rnacentral:lncRNA from 1 species
ACAAACUUCGCACAAUCGCUGCAAAUUGCCCUCGCCAACGGCUUUGGCGAAAAUAUCCAUCAGAUAUCAACAUGGCAAAGCAAGACUACCAAACACAACAAUCAUCAGUAUGGCCAAUUGAAGUCACAGGAACAAGAAAAAUCUAAGAUGAGAGUGGAUACAAGAGAAACCAAUUCCACACGAGGUCCACAACAUAAGACUUCACACAAUUGUCAACCAAUCAAAAUGUGCAGGACAACCUUGGUGAGAUCAAAAUGGAGAAGUCACAAAUACGACCUCUUUUAAUUUCAAAACAUUAACUCGAUUGCUUAAGGCGGUGCUCAAGAUUGGCAAAAGGAUUGUACCUGAGAACCCCUGCAGAAUGGGUGAACAGCAAAUCGACAGCGUCGAUUGUGGUCAAAUGCUAAAAGAUCACCUUCGCUGUCCUCCCCUCGAGCAGAAAUAUACCCUUGCGAAAUCAAUCGCUGGAUGAGACGGAGUAUGAAUUUUUCCUCAUUUUUUCUCGCACUCUUCGGAAUGAAGCGAUGCGCCCAAAGCUUUAUGCGAUUUUUUUCAUGUCCCUCCCCAAAUCAAAUCGAGUAUGGAAACACGAUAUCCGAAAAUUAAAAAUGCAAAAAUCUGGGAAACAAGGUCCCCACAUACCUUCAGUGAAGAAAAUUAGGGCUAGAUUCGUCUUCCAAUGUUUAUGUUUGGGAUAUGAGCGAUCUUGUCCCAGUGCUCGCCUGCUUGUCUUUCACACCUCUUCUCCAAUUCUCUGCAAUUGUAGAUUCGUAGGUGAGUAAGGGAUGUGAGCCUUCGCAUUGUUUCAGGGAAUGAUGUCAACGAGGAGCAUCCGCUGCCGAUGUCGAGACGUUGAAGUGAUUGAAGGGCCUCGAUCUGCUCUGGUAUAGCCUUCAAAUUGCGGCAACCGCAAAUUGCGAGACGCUCGAGAUUGCGGGCUUGUAGAAGCCACUGCGGGAGAGAUGUUAGUUUGGGAAGCUCAGAGAUUGUCACGGAGCGAAGACUGUGAAGGCAUCCAUGGAAAUCCAAGAUGUUGCCGCUUUCGUCUUUGGAUAUAUCUAGCUCCUCACAAUCCCAGAUACAGAGAUCCACGAGGCUCGAUAGAUGUCGCAUACCUUGCCAGAGGGAAGUCAACUGAUGACAUUGCCAGAUCAAAAGAGAUUCAAGGGAAGUGAGACUUUGGAAACCCUCCUCAAGCAAACAUUCUGGAAACUUUGUAUAUCGGAUCACUAGUCUCUUCAACUUAUUAAGGCCAAGCAUCAUCUGAUUUAUCAACAACGCUCCGUUGGCUUUAUUCAGAACUAACUCCUCAAGAUGAGGAGUUAGUGGCAUGGUUUUUAAUUUUUCACAGCCAAUGAUCUCCAAUUCCAAUAGACUAGGAAAUGAUGCCGGUGAAGGGGAUGAUUGGUCCGACUCGAUAUAUUCCAAUUCAGGCAGAUCCUCAAUAUAUAAAGACUUGAGGCGAGGUAGUCGGUCCAGUGGGGGGAGACAUUCACAUCUUUCACAAGCACCGAACGAUACGUCAACUAAAUGUGGCAAGAAAGAUACAAGGCUAUCCAUCAUCCACUUGGGGAAACUCUCACCUUUAUAUUUCCAGAUCUUCAACCUUUGCAGAUUUGAGGGCGGCUUCAGUCUAUCAAAUAGCACUUCAUCUAUUACUACAUCAUCAAUAUUGAAAUUGCCCCAACUAAGUACCAAAGAUUCCAGAGAAUGCUUCCCCAUCAAUAUCUCAUCCUCACAUUUGACUUCCGUAUUUGUUACGUAUCCCAAAUUUUCAAUUGAAAGUUGUCCUCGGAUGUUAUUAAGCCCCUUUAGCUCCCCAAGUCCGCAAUAAUUCUUAGCACGAGCUUUAUCUUUGGGCAAAAUGAAGUUCGUUAGCCUUUGCAAAGAACUCAAUUUCCCUAUUCCACGUGGCAAAUAACUAAGUUUCGAACAACCAUCUAUGUCCAGAUUUCGAAGGCUGACUAACUUCCUUAUAUCACUUGGCAAUUCUUCAAGGACAUAACAAGAGUGAAGAUUAAGUGUUUGCAAGCUUUGCAAUCUUGUAAUGGAGUUAGGAAGCCUUUUGAGUGUUUCACUGUAAGAGAAAUUGAGAUAUGUGAGAUACUUCAACUCACAAAUGGACCUUGGCACCUUCUCGACCUUUGUGGUAUGCAGAUCCAAGAUGCGCAACCUCUUGAAAUUUUGAAUUAAUUGGCGUAGGUCUACUUCACUUGUUAGAUUUCUUCCCCAACCUCCAAUAGUACCCAAAAAAGUUCUCAAUACACUUGGUUUCAAGCGUGAGAUUGGAAGUUCACCCAUCAAAUUGAAAGUUGAACCAAAGGAUAUAUGACGAGUUCUUUCAUUUAUUUGAUUUGUGUCAUCCCUUGCCACCCAACACCUAUUCCCUGCAAUUAAGCAGGCUAGGUCAUGCAUCAAAUCAUGCAUCUUGCAAGUUUCCUCCUUUGUGUAUGGAUCUUUUUUAAAAUCUUGGAAGAAGUUGCUCCAACAUAGAUCCAUGAAAUAUUCAUGAGCAAUGUCUUCUAAAAGCUUACCUGAAUUUGAUGGCUGGAUAAAUCCUUCUGCCAUCCAAAGAUCAACUAAAGCAUGCUUCUUUAUCUCAUAAUCUUUGGGAAACAAUGAACAAAUGGCGAAACAUUGUUUUAAAUGUGAAGGAAGAUGGUCAUAACUUAGCUUGAGAAUAGAUAUUAUUGGGUCUUCCGUUCGAGACACUUUUGGGAGCUCAACAUCUUUGAAACGUAACCAUUCAUCUUCAGUUUCCUUUUGGAAUAGUAAACCCCCAAUAGUUCGAAUGACCAAUGGAACCCCAAAGCACUUUCUAACUAUCUCUUCACCAAUAGUUCGCAUGUCGAGAUCUUGUAUGCCUCCUUCUUUUUGAACAGCCAUUCGCAUUAACAAAUCAAGAGAAUUACUUUCAGAUAAGCCCUCAAGAAGAAGAGGCAGAGCAGGGGAGGUGAUCUUUGCAACCAAAGGAAGGCGUGUAGUUAUAAGGAUCUUGCUUCCUUUAGCACCUCCCAUCAAUAAUGAUUUCAAGUCGGACCAUGUUUCUAAAUUUGCAUCCCACAAAUCAUCCAAAACUAAGAGAUAUCUCUUUCUAUCAAUUAUUGUCCUUAGUUUAAUUUGCAACCUAUCCAUCACAUUGUAGCUCGGUUCUUUCUCCUCCACACAAACUAUGAUAUUUUUCACUAUUUUUUUAAUGUCGAAGUCAUUAGAGACACAAACCCACAUUUUCAAGUCAAAAUGUUUACUGACCAUCUUAUCAUUAUAUACAAUUUUAGCAAGAGCUGUUUUUCCAAGCCCACCAAUACCAACUAUUGGAAGGAUAGAAACGUCUUCUUUCACAUCCAAAUCCAGUAAGAAUUUCAUGACGUUCUUUUUAUCAUUAUCUCUUCCAAUAAUGUCUUCCUCACGUAUAAACGAAUGCGUCUCCUCUCUCUUCCUCCGCCCUCUCUUUGCUUGCGAAUUCAUAGGUAGCUUGUCCAAGAGGACUUUAUUAUCAGCCUUAAUAGCUACCAAUCUCUCCCUCACUUCUCUUAUUUUUCUACUCAUCUUCAGUCCAAAAGCAAGCUGGUUUGAACUUGAGAAAAAUGUCCUUAUCACCUUGAUCAUCUGAUUGUCACCCCUCAGUUCUUGUCGCAUAGCUUCUAUAUCAAAUUCUUCAAGCACAUCUUGCAAGUCAUAGAAAGCCUCUUUUAGUUUCUCCACCAAAUCUUUGAUUUGGGAACUCUGCUGGGGUUGCUCUUCUGCAUCCUUCAGCACAGCAUGAAGCAUGGUGGCGGUGCUCCUGAGCAUCUGAAGUUCACGCUUGACAGCUCCUAACUUUCCAACCUUUUCCAGUGCUUGAGUAAUCCGAUCGGCAAGGAUGCUUGCACCAAUGCUAAUGACAGCUUCUGCCAUAUCUGUUCUCUCUCUCUCUCUCUCUUUCUCUCUCUCUCUCUCUCUCUCUCUCUCUCUCUCUCUAUGGGGAUGAGAAGAUAUUAGUCCUGUCGUUUCAAGGCUAGAGUCUUCUUAGAUGAUGUAUUAGAAAAACAAAAGGACAAGUUUGAAAAAAAAAUGAUGCUUUCUGCAAUGUAACAGUAAAUCUUAAUUUGUAACACUAAAAAUUUACAUGAAGUUUGUAACCUAUUCAUGGGACGAGUAAAUGUUACUUUAAAAAAGUAAUUACCACCGACCCUGUUUAAUAAAAGAAAUUUUAGGAAUUGACAAACAAUAGUUAAGCCGCCCACGGGUCUAGAAAGUGAAAAUUAAAGUUUCUUUCUCAGCAGCUGUAAAUGAAAAUUUCACCCAAGGGGGGCUAAAGAACAAACGAGCCCGGCUUUUUUCUGAUGAUGCCCAUUUUCCUAGUUUCAUCACAUGCUUUCCUUAGAAAACAGUGCACGUUCACAUGCUUUCCUUUUAAUACAGUGCCGGUUUACAUGCAUGCCCCCAUUGUUUUGUAGUAAACACCGGAAUCUUAAGAUUAAUAGAACUUGGAUCUUGAGAAGACAUAAAAUUAUUAUAGCUGCGGGGGCAACUUCAACAUCUAACUUCACAUGGUAAAAAAAAUUUAUGUUCAUGAAUUUCAGCUUUUGUCCAAAUAAGAAACUGAAGAAAAGAUUAUGAAGCUUAUAUUGUGAAUGAAAUAGUAUGAAACCUUUUGUGUUCAAAAGAUAAAUUACAUAUUGGUAUUGAAGUACGAUGAUGUGCGGUGGGAUUACAAAAAAGCAAGCUGAUGAGGAUGCUUUUCAACUUUAGAUUUUAAUAUGCGGAAUGGUAGAAUGGCUCUUAAAGUUGGCUAAUCUUCUCGUGAAUUCCAUUUAGAAUUGGAAAUUGGGACAUGUUACAUCUUCUUAUGUGCCCAAUUUGAAGAAGGCUAAAUAUCCUAAAUAUGUAAAUCUGUACACCAUAUAAGUUAUAUUCUUAAAUCCAAAUAAAAGACGUCGAUAGUUUUCCUAAGCAUUCUUUGUUUCAUCAAUCUAUUCAUUUUCAGAAAAGCUCUAUGGUUAGUCGCUAUAAGAAAGAACGAACCUGGCUAAUAGUGGGCUGAUCGACGGCCGACCAACAAAGGCGAGGCCCCAACUGGCCAAAUCAAGAGAGGAGGACAGGAGACGGUGUCGGCAAGAUCAAGAGAAAGAUGAGAUGAGACGGUAUGGGCAAAGACUCUAGGAAUAGAGAGAUCAAGGGCACUGCUGGGGAAAGUUGAGAGACGAACAAUCUGAGAGAGAGACUAGCUAUGGGAGUGAGAAUUGAAAGAGAGUAGCGAGGAUCUUUAAAUAUAAAAGAUUUAGCACUGUUCCAAACCAGUUCUUCCAAAGGCUAGUUCCCGAGAUUUUUACAUGAGAGCUAAUCGAAAGUUGUUGAGGUCAGUGAAUCUGAAACGUUGCAGCACGUGGCAGAGCGUGACGUGCGAAACUCUGCCACGUGCGGCAAUGAACGGGGCUGAAAUUUCAGGGCCUGUCACUUUGGAGGAUGCUGAGUUUGAUGAUGGCGUCGAUUUUGCAAAAAAAAGAACAGCAGAAAGGCGGCGUAAUGACACUCAAUAGCGACGGGUUUGACCAAAUACGGACACCGGGAGAGUUGACGUAAUAUUGCAACCAUCAUUAUAGAUUAAAGACUUAAUGGCGUUUCAUCAAUUUGUAAUGGCUCUAGUACCAUGAUAUGAAUAAAAUGAAGAGAGAAAAUGGGGAAUAACUAUAUAUUUUUAUGUAUUGAUAAACAAUACAUGAGACUUUAUUAGAUAACUAUUUAAAGUAAUAAGAUAAAUAUAAUGCCACAUCUAAUUAAUCAAGGAUAUGCAUUAUUGAAGGAGAUAUGUGUAUAAUCCUGAAAAAUAUGCAAAAUCAAGUAAAUAUCCAAAUAUCAUUAUCAAUUAGAAUGGAGAUUUUACAUACUAUAUACUAAAAAUCAAAUGUUAAUUUGUUAAGGGCUGUGCUAUUUCCACCCCCCUAAAUAACUUUAUCCAACCCCAUUUAUACUAAAAAGACAACAUUGUUCUCAAUCUUUCGGUUGCAGUUUAUAUUGAUGGCCCUUUUCCUUUUCUAUUUAGGAUAAUUACGAUAAUUAAACAUUUCAAAUGUUUUGUUUUGCUUUUUAGUGUAUUAAAGCAAAGUGCGUUGUCAAAUAUUCUUAUAACGUUUUAUAUACUCCCUGUCAAAUUAUCUCGCUAAUAGUAAAGACAUUUUUUGAUAUCGUAUAAAAUUGAAAAGUCUCUUCUUCAUCAUUGAUCUUAUAAUAAUUUAUCCAUUUUUUUGUCCCUCUUAUCUCAAAAACUCACUUCCUAGGUGAACUUUUUAUUUUCACUAGUCUAAAAUAUUUAUCAAGUCCCUUUAUUUACUAUAUCAAGGAAUUUAUCUUUUUUCCUUAUUAUAUUGGCGAGAUACUUUUAUAGAAAACAUGUAAGAAUAUACAAAAAAUAUUAUGUACAAUGAGGUAUCUUGAUAUUUUUACAUAAACAGUUCAUAGAUGAUUUUGAUUUUUGUCAAUCCAAAGUUCUUAUUUUAUGUGAUGUUUUGGUUUGAUGAAAUUUUAUCUACUUAACAAUUUAUCCAUAAAUUUGAUCAACUAUGUCCCCCGCCGGCGUCCACGUUAGCGCCGGCCGGCCAAUUUUGGCCGGAUGGACUAAAUUUACACAAUUAUAAAAUGUUUAGGACUAAAUUGGACCAAAAAAAAAAAGUUUAGGACUGAAUUGGCACAAUUACAAUAGGUUUAGGACUUUUUGGGUAAUUCUCCCGAUAUAGAAAUACUAAAAAAAAUGGAAAAUAAAUAAAUUUGGGACAAUCAAUUUAAAUUGCAAUUGAAUGAUAGAAGGCAGUUUUGCCUUUUCGUGAAAGAUGGAUGGAGUUAGUCAUAUAGGGGUGGAAAUCACCUUGGUUAAUUGUCCCUCAUUAAUGGCCAAUCACCUCAUUUUAAAGACAAAACUUAACAUCAGCACCAUACCUUAAUUAUUUUACAGAAACUCUCUUAAGGCGAUAUGAUUGUACAAUAACAAUAGAAAAAUUGAAACUACCUAAAUGACAUACAUUGAUAGCAAAACCUCCCUUCGUCAAUGCUCAAAACUAUUUCAUCACAUGCUUUCCUCGGAAAACAUUGCACGUCACAUGCAUGCCCAAAUUGUUUAGAAUUAACAUCGUAUUCAAAUUAUUAGGAUCUUGAGAAGAUAUAAAAUUAUUAUAGCUCGCUAGGCAACUUCAACAUCUAACUUCACAUAGUUAAAAAAACUUACGCUCAUGAAUCUCCGCUUCUGCCCUAACGAAGAAGAAGAAAGUACCAUUUUGAAUGAAGUAGCAUGAAAUCUUUUUUGUGGUGGGCACAUAAAAGCAAGCUGAUGAGGAUUUUUUUAUAACUUUAAAAUUUUAAUAAAAGGAAUGAUAAAACAGUUCUUGAAGUUGGCUAAUCUUCUCUUUGCAAAUACUUUAUAAAACCCAUAUUGUUUUCUCGUGUGAAUACUUUAAUAUCUAUCUAGGCUACCUGAAGUAUCCUUUAACAUCUAUUUGGAUCAUCUGCGGGUCUGCAUGUUCUGUGUGAAAGACUAGUAGUCAUCAUCUUUCAAAGAGAAUGUGGUAGGAGAAGUAACUCUUCUUGACAACUCUUGAAAGAUGUAAUUCUUGUUUUCUCUUGCCAACGACAUGUUUCAUGACCAUCGCUUCAAUUAUGGUGGUGUCGCUGUUCAUCCACCUUUGGUGUCCCUCUUCUAAUGCAUUUCUUCUUUUCAUGCCUUUGGACUCUUGUGUUAUCGUUUUGCAUUAUGCAAACAAGAGAGUUGCGGGAAGGUUCAACGAAAAAGCCUCGAGCAACCAGUCAGCCAGUAGGUGGCGAAGACGAUUUGUUAGUUCCCACAAAACCAACCGGCUGCUGAGAUUGCCGCCUAAGACCAACCUUGCCUAAUCCGAAGAUAUUCUUGGUUGGUGGGUAAGUCAACAACAAAUGUAUAUCUUUGCAUUGUUACUUUCUUUUUUUUUGGCCAACUGCAUUGUUACUUAAAAGCAUGUUUUUUCAUCUGUAGAUGUUUGGCGCUUGGUAGUCGCACAAUAUUUAAUAAUAUAUACAUAUUGAUUAAUAUAUACUUUCGUUUUAUAAUUUUUUUAUAAUUUGUGUUGUGGCAGAAAAAUAAAAAGAUAUAUAUAUAUAUAUUUAUGCUGAACACAUGCCCUGACUUUUCACAUGUUAUUAUCGCGUAGCAUUCAAGUAAAAGCAAAAACGAUAUGGAUAUAUUAACUAUUCAAAUAAAUAAUAGAGUAAACCAAAAAAGUUGCAAAAAUAUCUUUCAGGUGGACUCGAGGCCUGAGAUCAUCAUUUGGGUUGAAGAUUCCGUUGGUACGUGGUGAAUCUGGAGCGGACAACUGUGUACAAAGAUAGAAAGGACGAGUACGGAGUAAGGCCCACGUGUAUAAAGUUAUAUUGGUACGUGACUGACAUAACCAAAAAGCAACUUAACUCUCCACCAUGGCCACCUAUUAAUAUCACUUGGUUAUUAUUAUUAUUAUUUUAAAAUUUCUUUCUGCGUUUUGCGCCACUUCUGUCUCCUUCUUUCCUCCUCUGUAUUUUAAAGAUAGAGACAACUCGAGAUAUUAAAGGCCAAAUCACCUCAAUUGUCACUCAUUAAUGGCCCACCACCUCAUUUACAUAAAACUUAAUAUAAGCGCCUUCCUCAUUUAUUGUGAAAGAACUCCUUAAAUAUGAUAUAAGUGCACAAUAAUAGUAGAUAAUAAAUAAUAUUUGAAUGACAAACACCAAUUGCAAAACCUAUGUCUAUAUGUAUAUAUCGAAAAAAUAUGUAAAGUAACAUGUCUGAUUAAUGUUAAGGAAAGAAAGAAUGAAUGAAGUUUUGCAAUGAUAUAGCUCGACCAUUAAGCUCUAUUCUAUCUUACUUUCUUAUUAUAUAUAUUAGCUUAGCAAUGGUCUCUUUAGCAAUGCUCCCGAGGACAACUUUCACCAUUUUUGUUCUCUCUCUCUCUGGAUUAGAAGAUGAUUAGUCCAGUGGUUCUAAGUCCAUAGACUACUCGGGACAUUUACGGCAAGUCUGUGUUGAAAAUAGCAUUUCUCAUCAGCCACGAAUAACAGAAAGUGAAGCUUAAGUCCAUAAUGCAUUUAGGACCCACCGACAUUGAUAUUUAUUUCACAGGUUGGUUUUAUUUGGCAAUUUCUGAGACCCGGAAGCAAGGGAGAAUAGGACCAAGUUGUGAAAGCAAAUUGCCUCUCCAAGGACAAACACUUAUUUUUUUUUCCCAAGGUUUCGUUCUAUAUAUUAAUUUUUUUUUAAAUGAUGGAGGUCAUUGUUUAAUUUAAUCGGAUGGAUUUUGAGGUGUGACAAAGUUGGUAACAAAAAAAAAAAAAAAACCUAGGGUAUAUUAAUUUGUUUUGAUCCAACACCAUGAGAUGUGUGAUGUGAUUAAUUAGUAACUUAUAUGUGUAGAUGUAUUGAUACAUAUGAUAUAUAUGUUGGACUGAGAUUAUUUCCAUUAAAAUAGAAAUUUUUAUAUGCAUGGAUAACACCAGAUUUGUUAACAUUCCAUUGCCAGCACUACGCCAUCACUACACCUCUCAAUUCAAAACUCUCCUUCAUAUCUUCACUUGACAUUAUUGGUAUUAUUUUACUAAAACCUUACUGUUUAAGGAAGUUCACUCUCCUUGCCAAUCUUUCAAAACUAUUUGCUUCCUAUGAAUAAAAUGCUUCUAGAUUAUUUCUUUCUUCCUUUAUUUUUUCAUAUUCUCUAAGUAAAUGAAUAAAACUGCUUUAAAGAUCUCUCUUCCAUUACUAGACAAUAUGAAAACUUGCACAUUUAUGUAAUGUAAAAUGAUAUAUUUUGACAUUUUAUGCAUGUCACUCAUUUUUUAUAAAUUUCAAAAGGAUUCACAUUUAGGGCAAACUGACAUACACACGAUUUUUUCUAGCAUAUACAAUACGUACAAAAUCUUUUACUAUCUCAGUAUCCUAUUGCAAUUAUAUCGGUUAGUUUAGAAUACUCUUUAGUUCAAAUUUAUAGCUUUUUCUUUAACAAUUACUAUAAGAUAAGUCAUCUUUCUUAUCUUUUGAGUCUGGCGCUUAUUUCAAUCCCCCUAAUAUAUUAUUCUUCCAUUCAAUGUACAAAAUCAAAUCUUUGCCAAGUUUCCUUGUGGAUGUUUUCUAAUAGUGCUUGCAAGACCGUCAAAAUUCCUAGUUGGCCAUUAAUGACAAGUUAGUGACAUUGGACCAAGUAGACCUUGCGUGACAAUAAAAUUUGUUGAAGUGGUAUGGAUUAUUGUGACAGGGCUAGAAUGUGCAAAGCAUCUUUUAACAUCCUAGAAAAAUUCGGAGUGUUAAAAAAAUCCAUGCUGCUAUCUUGCUUGAAUACUCUAAUACCUGCUUGAACUACGCGAGAUACCCUUAACAUACUUGUGGAGCAUCUUUUGUAGUGUAGACACGUUCAUCUCUGUGUAUGCGCCUAAGCUAUGUGCGAAAGACCAGUAGCCAUUAUCAUUCAUGGAGGAUGUGAUAGGAGUAACUCUACAUAGCCUUGUGCAGCAAUGAAAUUUGUAACUCUUCCAAAAAGAACGUAACUUUCGUCUUCCCUUCCCAAGAAUAUGUUUCCCGACAAUCAUUUCGACAAGCAUUUCCUUUUUUUUUUUUUUUUUCCAUUACGGAAACAAGAGAGUUCCUGAAAGGUAUGGCGAAAAAUCUAGAGCAACCGGUUAGCCAGCAGAAGGUGGUGAAGGUUAUUCGCCAAUUCCCACGAAACCAAUCAGCUGCUGAAAUUGCAUCCCCAAAACAAACCUCGCCUCCAAAAUAUAUGAAUUUCCGUUGUCAAGACACCCUAGUAAAUGUAUAUCUUUGCACCGUUCUUUGAAAUCUGACUUCUAGUCUGCAGGUGUUUGGCGCUUCUUAAUCACACAAUUUUCAUAAUAUAUGCUUUGUCGUGUACACAAGAAAGAUUAGGGCUCAUUCAUAUGUGUACGGCAAGUUCAUGUUCAUAUAUUGUUCUAAAAAUACUAUAUUAAGGUUUUCAUUUAUUUCAAGAAAAAUAAAUAAUUUAAAAAAUAUCUUUUAAUAAAUAAUCACUUCUAUCGCUUAAAAUAAUUAGUCAAUAAAAAAUAUUUUAAUUAAUUUAUUGUCUAAAAUUUUUCAUAGACGUUGAAAAUAUUUUCAUUCUUUUAUUUUUGUAAGCGAUACAAGCGAUUAUUUUUACUUCGUAAAUUUUUUUAUCACAUAAAAAACUCCAAAUUAUAUUCACCGCAACACAUUUAUUCCAAACUUAUUUUUGUGACAUCAAGAACCUUAACCUUAUACUCAUGUGAUAUAUUUACUCUUUGUCAAAAUUUUGUCAUAUGAUUUUCCAAUCAAAACAUCGUUUUUAUUUCACUCAUGCAUUUGCUGCCAACCACAUUUGGCUUUUGUCAUCUACAAAGCUACAUUUUUAAUGAUGCUCAUUGCGGGAAUUAUCGUAUAGGUACAAAUUUAAGAUUUUUAGUAUCACAAAAAUGUUUAAGGUAAAUAUCACAGUGGAUAAAAUUUGGAGUUUUUAAUGACUUUUUUGUCAUAUCAAACAAGGUGGUUGAGUUUUAUUUUACUUUAUUGUAAAGUAAUAUAUCUAAUUAAUCUAAGAAAGGUGAAAGAGUGGAGUUUUGUGAUACUCAACCAUUGAACUGCACUCUUCCUAACUUUCCUAUAAUUGAUAGAUAUAAACAUAUAUACAUAGUUUUGGUUUCACAAAUGACACGUAAUAGUUGAAUUUUCUUAGCAUUUAUUUAUUUAUUUAUUUAUUUUGGUCAGAAUAGCAUUAAUUUGUUUAUGUUUCUUAAAACUCAAAAACAAUUGUCUACUUUUCUGUUAAAAUUCGAAAUAUUAUUCGAAUAAAAAAUAUAUACAUAAUUUGGUUUCACAAAUAACACACAAUAAAAUAGAACGAAAGAAGGUAACAAUGAUGAUUAGAGUUCGCAAUGCAAAUGGUAAUAUUUUUGUUACAUGGAAUAAUUUCUUUUAUUUCUACUCUCAAUGACACUUAUAUAAAAUUUAUAUUUUCAGAGCAGAAAAAGAAUAUGAAUGCGUUUGGCAUGAUCCACAAAUUUUCUUUUGUAUUUUUGUGCUUUUUUUUCUUGCUCGCUGAUCUUUGCCGCCAAUCACCGAUGGUGGUAGGUAGAUCCAAGGGCGGCGGCCAUGGCAAGGAAAAAGAAGAAAAGAAAAAGAAAACAGAAAAAAAUGACUUAUUUCUAAAAAUUAUUCCCGAAAACAAGAAGUUAUUUUUUUUUUACUUUUUAUUUCUAUUCCAAAUCUAUUUCUCGAUUACUUUUCUAUUUCAAAAAAUAGAAAAAUUAAUUGACGUUACCAAGUGAUUUUCUAUUCUUUUUCUAUUCUAGGGAGUAAAAGAAUAGAAAAAUCAAGUAACCGAAACGUUUCCAUGCGGCCCUUAAAAUUUCUUAGGAGAAGGUUUGUCUGUGCUUUUUUAAAAUGCAAAAUUUAGAAUUUUUAUUUAAAUAUUAACAGAUUUUGAAAAUAUUAUGCCUAAAUUACAUAUCAAGAUUUAACAAUUGUGAAAAUUUAACAAGCUUCAAGCCAAAAUAACUGUGAAAGCUUGAUCAAGGCAAAGAUUAUAUAUGCGUGUGUAUUAUGCCGAGGUUCGUGAGAGCACAAAAUUCGAAAUUCACGGUAGUAUAGUCAUUUGAUUUUAUGCGUCCGCUUUUUCUCGUCCUUUAUUUGUCCUUACUUUUUCCCUUUUUCCAAGCAACCAUAAAAAGGUAAGGUAAUGCGUUGGCGAUUCCAUGGGUACGUGGAAAUUAUGGAUUGGACAAUAUGUAAUAAAAGGGAAUAGGAUGAGUAGGGUGGAGUUGGGUCCAUGAGUAUUUACUAUUCACUAAGGCCUAACUACUACUGGGGUUCAUGUGAAGCCAUACUGCCACAAGGUUGACAGGAGCCUGGAGGCAGCGUAAUAAUUGCCACAUGGCCGUCCAUAAAGCAACUUAACUCAACCAUAGUACUGUGUUCUUUUGUUUUUGGUUUUUUUUUUUUUUGCACCACGUCUUUACUCCUCUCUUCUGCUGUCGUCUUUCUUUCUCCUCCUCUCCUUUUUUUUAGAUGGGGAGACCAUAAAUGGGCUUCACGAACCAAAGAUAAUAUGGUCUCGGAAAAUCUUUUUGGGUAAUCCAAGACUAAAUCAUAACAGUCAGUCUCAUUUUUAGUGUCAAUCCUUCCCCUUUAUCAUGUAGCGUAAUUAGCACACCCUAAUUUCUGCACAAAAAAUGGGAGUGGCAUGACCAUUUUAAAGAGAAAUAUGAAGCCCUCAAACAAAUCUCGCCACAAAUCAACUAUACCAAAAACAUGCAUGUAUGGGCCAAAAGCUAAUAUCAAUAGAAUAUAGCCCAAUAAUCCACACAUUGAAGCUUUUAAGUGAAUUUAUUGUUAUAGAUAUGCAUCAUUUUGUUUCUACAAUUCUUUGCGAAAUUAGACAAUCACUUGCUUGAAGCAGGAGUACGUGGCAUUUUCCAUGCAUUUAUGCUGUGAAAAUAUGUUCCAAGUUCUAAUCAGGUCAUUCCAAGUUGCUCCAAGCCAAGGUUAACAUAACUUACAACAAAUGGUCGAUUGGUGUUGUUGAUUGAAGAGAUAAGUGGUGAUGCAUCUCAUCACUCCUUUGUGAAUAUGCAAUGACAUAAUCACAUCGGAAGAGAAGUGACUUGAGACUCAAGAAAGACAUGAAACUAAUUACCUGCACUCAUUCAAAGUAGCAACAUCCGUGGCUUGAACUAAAGUAUCUUUUGACCUCAAACCCCUGGGAUUUGGCAUUGCGUGAUUGUGAUAUUUUGUUUGGAAAUUAAACCCUUCCAAAGUACCCGUUGCAAGAAAAAAGAGUAACUUUCAUACAUGAACACAAUCAAUUUGGAUUACUUCUGAGGCCAAUCCUUGUUAGGAAAUUGCAAUAUCACAUGAGGUCUUUCGGACGACAUAAAACCACUAGAUUCAAUUAUCCAUAGAGUGAGAAUUGAGUGCAUGAAGCCGACAUCUCUUGUAAUUUGGGUUUUAUGAGCACAGUUCCUUUCUGCAGCUUAGCUGGUCCAUCCAAAACUCUUAUUGCAACAUCAUUUCCUCCGUUAAACUCAAUGCAAAAGCUGUUAUAUGUGAAAUUUUCAUGAUUUUUGAAAAUAUGGAAAUUUCUAUUAAUACUUAGAAACUAUGAAAAUUGUGUAAAUCGUGAAACAUGGUUCUUGGGAUAUUCAAAAAAUUUUCAGUCAAUUUGGUUAGAAUAAAUGUGAUAUAGUGUGCAUAAUUGGGGGUUUUUAUUGACUUUUUUUCUAGAUCAAAUGAGAUGAUCGAUUUUUUUUUUUUGCUACUUUAUUGUAAAGAAAUAUGUUUAAUUAAUUUAAGAAAGGUGGAAGAAUGGAGUUUUGCGAGAAUGUGACAUAGCCAUUUAACUGUAUUCUACCUUUUCCACCAUGGAUAGAUAUGUAUAUACAUACAUAAUUUUGGUUUCACAAAUGACAUACAAUAAAAAAAAAUGAAGGAAGGUAAUUAUGAUGAUGAGAGUUAAUUGAGUUUUCUUAGGACUAGUUUGUUUAUGCUUUUUAAAAUGCAAAAAAUAAAUUUUAAAAUGUUAUAUAAAUGUUAAAAAAUUUUGAAAUUUUUUUUAUAUAAACUAUAAAUCAAGAUUUAAUGGUUGUGAAAAUUCGACAGGUUUCAAGCCAAAAAAAGAGUGUAAAAACUUGUUCCAGAUAUAUAUAUAUAAAAUAACAUAGCCCUUUAGAUAUAUUGCUCAGGUUAGUGAGAGGGCGAAGGUUUAAAUUCACCAUAGGCGAUAUCACUGUCCUACGAUUUGAUGUGUCUUCUUUUAUCCUUUCCCUUGUUUCCUUUUCUCUCUCUCUCUCUCUCUCUUUAACGCAACCCAAUAAGAUAAUGUGUUGGUGAUUCCCUUAUUACGUGGUGACUCUAGAUGGACAACCUAUACUAGAAGAUAGAUAGGACAAGUAUAAUGAUUGGGUCCCACAACUAUUCAUUAAGGUUUGGCUAGUGGGGUCCAAGUCUAUGAAGCUGUACGACCAUCUACGACAUAAUGUUGACAGAAGAGGAAGCAUAAUAAUUGUCUAAGGACUGACAACCAAAAAGUAACUUAACUCGACCAUGGUUAAUUAUUAACCAUCAUUUUGUUCUUUUUGUUUUAGGUUUUCUCGCACGCCAUGUCUUUCUUUCUCCUCCUCCGGGCGUUAGAGAGAGGUCAUGCGCUUUGGAAACUUUAUAAAUUAAUAAUCAAAUCUAGGAAUUAAUAGUCAAAUCUUUGACUUGUUAAUGGUCCUCAUAAUAAGUGAGCUUUCAUAUAGUCAAUUUUAGUAUGGUGAUACAAAAACUGUAAAGAUGAAUAGAUAGGCUUCAACAAUUGAAUAAUACAUAAUCUUGGUAAUAAGUUUUGGAUACUCCAAAACUAAGUCUUGACCAUUAAUCUCAUUCUUCAUGUUGGCCCCACACAAGAAUAAGGGAGUGACAUGGGCAUCUUUUAAGAGAAGGACAAUGCUACACCAAAAAUAUACACAUAUGGGCCAAAGGCUAACACCAAAAGGAUAUAGCCCAAUAUCCACAUGUCAAAGCUUUUAAGUGACUUUAUUCUCAUUUUGUGUUUACUUUGCGAAGUUGGGCCAUUUCGACUUGAGUUUUGCCAUGUGAAAAAUAGAGAUGCAACUUAUCGACUCACUACAUCACUUGCUUGAAGCAGGAGUGCGCACCAUUUUCCAUCCACAUACGGUGCAAAAAUAUGUUCCAAAUUCUAAUCUGGUCAUUUCAAGCUACUAUAAUUCAAUGUAAACAAUGCUUACGAUCAACAGUCGGUUAGCGUUGUUAAUUGAUGAGACAAGUGAUGAUGCAUCUCAUCACUCCUUAUAACGAAGUGUCAUGACAAAAUUGCACCGGAAGAGAAGUGACUUGGGACUUGAGAAAGACACGACACAAAGAAUCCAUAUUCACUUAAAAGUUCAGGUCUAGCAAAUAUCGAUGAUGAAGUGGGUAGAUUUUUAUAUUCCAAACAAUAAAGGGAAUUUCGUAAUAUUGAAAAAAUGAAAAGGAAAAGAUGAAACAUUCGGAUUAUUUUGAUAAGGCAAGAAACGAUUUUCGAAGGUAAUUAUGGAACUUGUCUUUGCAUAGCUUGGCUUGUUUUCUCUUCUGAUAUUCCUAGGAUUGGCAUUUGCUUAUUACCCAAAAUUAAAGAGAGAGGCAAGAGGGUAGAGAGGACAGGGACGAUGGAGGCCCAAGGCUCGCCGGGGAGUGUCCUUUAUUGCUGGAAAACUUGGCGAUGUUCAUGGCUUGAACUGAUAUUUCCUUUGACCUCGAAUCCCUAGAAUUAGGCAUUGCGUGUUAUCGACGUUUUGUUUGGAAAUUACACCCUUCCAAAGUCGCGGUUGUUGGCUGGUAAAGAAGUAUAACUUUCAUGUAUGAACACAAAAUAUUUGGAUUAUUUUCAAGGUUGAUUCUUUUUACAAAAUUGUAUUGUUACAUGAGGUCUUUCCAACAAUACAAAAACCACUAGAUUCGAUUAUCCGUAGAGUGAGAAUUGAGUGCCCGAAGCCAACACCUCUUGUAAUCUAGGCUUUUACCACUGCAGUUCCUUUUGGCAGCUUGCCUAGUCCAUCCAGAAGUCUUAUUGCAACACCGUUUUCUUCGUUAAACUCAACGCAAAGGCUACUAUGUUAUGUGAAAUUUUAAUGAUUUUUAAAAAUACAGAAAUUUCUAUUAUUACUUAGAAAUUAUGAGAAUUGUGAAAUUAUGGAACAUGGUUUAUAGGAUGUACAAAAAAAUUCAAGUCAAUCUCGUGAGUUCAUUUCAGGAGUGGAUUUCGACUCCCACACCUUGCAAAGAGGCAGGGCAAAAGUCUGAGAGUGUGUGUUAGAAUAGGAUUAGAGUAGGACCGACAAAAAAAAAUCUCGUGAGUUCAAAGAUAAAUAUUAAUUGUGGAAAAUUCUAAUUCCUUUGAAAAGUUCAGUGCUAUCAUUGAAGAAAAAGCGUUGGCGCACUUGACAUUGGAAAGAUCUAAUUUUUUCAGUUUUUUGAAAAAUAAAAUUAACUAAUUUCUGCAAAAAAAAAAAAGAGAGAUUAUUUCAUAUGAUUGAAACUGUGACAUCCAGAUUUUCGGAUUUUAAUUCGACUGGAUAAAUAGGACCGUUUUUAUUCAGUUGAAGCCAGGGAUUGUGAAAUUGGGAUGCAAGUGGGCUAUAUUGGUAAGGAAAAAUACCAAUUGGAAUGACGAGGUGUUGAAUAAAUUAAUGGGGGUUAGUUUGAUUUAAUUCAAUAGGAAUUAAGGCCCAAUUGAAAAGAAAACCUAGCAAAAUUCGUAUGCCACUUCUACCCCAUAUUUUGGCCUACCUAAAUGCUUCUAGAAGGGGCAAGUUUGUCUUUGAAUUGUGAGUGGAUGACAGCCCAUGGUGGCCCACGUGCGGAUGACAUAAGAGAGAGAGAGAGAGAGAAUGAGAGAGGAAAAAGGGGAAACCGGUUCCCCCUUCUCUUCCUCGUCGCUGCCUCUCUCCCCUGCAUCUUCAUCUUCAGCUGCACGACACCAUGGAAGCUGAAGAUCAGCGAACUAGCAAGCCGAAGCAGCGAUUUCUCUUGGCGCCGAUGCAGCAAGCAACCGAAGCCGGAGUCGCCGCCGUCCGCCGUCCUGCUGCCUCGCGCAUCUCCGCCCCCUGUCCCUCCUCUGGUUCGAAUAGAACCGAAAGCAGAAACAGAAGUAGCAACCAUCGUCGGUUGAAGGAGCUGCAAUCGCGCCGGAGCUGCCAUCGCCGCCGCACAUCGCUCCGCCGCCUCGCCACUACUCCGUGCGUCACCAUCUCUCCCUUGCUCAGCCCUCUGUUUCAGCGACGUUUCAGAUCUGGUGGAGCUCCGCCGGAGCCGUCCACCCCUCCUCCGGCCACCGUGAAGCCUCGCCUAAGUCUUGUUCAGCCUCUCCGUCCAUCUAGGUCUGUUGUUGCUUCAAUUCGAGCCCGGAGCCGCCCCUUCCAGCAGCGAUCAGAGAAGUCAGAAAAUGGGUAUUGCAGAGGGUUUUGGCCCGUUUUGGCCGUCUUCCCGAGCCCGGAUGCUCGGCCCGCUUUGGGGAAAGUCGAUCCUCGCGUCGAGCCCGUCGUUUUGAGUGAGUUUUACUCACUAAUGCUUUCUUAGUUUGCUAAUUAUGCUUAAAGGUUGAUUAGUGUUAAUUAAGUGUAAUUAGGUUGUUAGAUUAGAAUUGAUUAGUGAUUAUUAGUUAAUUACAUUGUAUGUUAGUUGUUUGGUUAGUGUAAUUAGAUAGAGAAUUGCUUGUAGUAUUUAUUGGAUCAUUCUUGGGAUUUUUCCCGUCCCUUAUCGGGUGUUUAUUAAGCGAUUCGGGCCUAGGUGGUAUUUUUAGGAAUUAAAUAUUAAUUUUCGAAAUUAAUUAUUUAAUUAUUUAUUUCCCGGAAAUUCAACUGGGAUGGCCAGUGACCGGGAUUUUAUGCUGAUGAUCAUGGCGCAGUCCGUUUAUUUAAUUGAGUUUUAUAUUGUGCUAAAUUGAAUUUAUUGUAUUUAUUUAUUUAAUUUUCGAAAUUAAUAAAUUAAUUAAUUAUUUUUCGGAAAUUAAGAUUUCGAUGGCCGACGACCGAAAUCUCGUGCUGAUCGUCGUGGCGCAGUCCGUUUAUUUAUUUGAGCUCCACGUUGUAUGGAAUUGAAUAAAUUGUGAUAUUUUAGAGAUUUACCCUAAAUUGAUUGGAAUUGAUUGAGAUUGAAUUGUAGAUUGGUAAAUGGCCAAGUAUGUUAUUCAGCAUUUAUAAUGCUUUGUUGAGUUGAUUUAAUUACUUGAUUGAGAAAUCGUUGGGCAUUGGUUGUCGAUAUUGAUAGUAGAUCCUCGAAAGCCGUCAAGAUAUGGCUAUGCCAGUGGGGCCGAGUUUUGCCACCGAAUUUGGAGUCGGUCGCGCCCGUUGGGCCGUAAAUUGCCACCUAUUAAAGGUCGCGCCUGUUAAGGCCGUAAUUUGCCACCCGAUACGGGUCGCGCCUGAUAAGGCCGUAAUCCGCCACCUAUUAAAGGUCGUGCCCAUUGGGCCGUAAUUUGCUACCUAAAGGUAGGUCAUGUCCUUCGGGACUGUAAUUUGUUGCCAAGAUUUGGUAGUCUGUGCUCGUGAAGCAGUGAGUAAGAUUUUGAGACUGAAUAAGGGAGGUGACCAGGGAAUGGUCGGAUUGACUUGUAAUCGACUAGGUCGAUUGAUCGAUGAUUCAAUCUGAGUGUGAUUCAAUGUGAUUGAUCAUUGCCUUGAUUUGAUGUUGCGAAUUGGUUGAUUGAAUGGAAAUGACCGUGAGUGGUCUUGUUGGCGUGUAAUCGAUUAAGUCGAUUAGAUCGAUGCUUCGAUCUAUAAUAUGAUUUCUUGGGUGCCUAUAUGAUCUGUGCUAACAUGCAGGUGGAAUCUGAGGCCAAGGUAAGUCCUCUGACUUAUGUUGUGCAUAGGCAGCCCUAAGGUGUAUUAGUUUACUAAUCGGGUCUUAGGAAGUAGAACUUGCUGAGACGUGGUCUCAGUGGUUAUUGAAUAACCAUUUCAGGACCUGGAUGAGGAGCCUAAGGAGCAUGAAUCUGAUGAGGAGGUCCCUGAUGAGGAACCCGAAGAGGAGUACGUGGAGGAGGACCCCGAGUACGACCCGGAUGAGGACCGAAAUCCUAUCCUGUCUUGUCAGACCUUGUUUGCUUGUAAAAAGUUGUAGUUGUGAAUUUUCAGUAAGAUAAAUGUAUGGCCUGCUUUUCUAUCCCAUUGCUUUAUUGUCUGGGGAUUUAUAACUGCUUCCGCAUGUGCUAUUAAAAAUGAAAGGGUCGGCGAUACAUAGUCCUGGGAUAUCGCAUAAUAAAAUCGACCAAAAGUAAGGGAUGUGUGCGUGCCUGAAGGUCGGGGCGUGACAGAAACAGUAAAAUAUCUGUUGGGUCAUGGGGUGCAUGUUGGGGCCUAUGCGCUCGAAAUCGAGUCUUGAAGGGCAUUUACAUAAUUGUUGUCUGAAUGAGCUUUUCAGCCCAAGUGCAUUCAUCCUCUGUUCAGGGACGGAGGAAAUAUGAGAUAAAGUUAUGUGACUUGAAUUAGCGAUUUAUUGAGGUAUGUAAUUUCCAACACUUCCAUAUUUUAAAAAAGUGCAUGACAUGAUUUGCCGAGAAGAAGCUACACUGUGACAUGGUUUGUUUGUUUUUUUUGUUUUUUUAAAGCAUUUUAAGCAUAUAAAUAGAUAUUCUUACAUGGCAUGCUAUUUUAAAAAGUCAGAUCAAGCAUUGGAUAUUUUUGAGCCUCUCUAAUCCGGAAAUAUUCUAAACUGAAAUGCUAUAUAUAUAGUGUGUGGGGGCAUGCGGAAUAAAUAUUUUUAAAAAAUCACUAAUUUUGGGUGAAGGCUGGUCCUUCAUUUCUUAAAAAGAAGGCUGGGCAAUCCCUUCCUUCUCACUAUGGAUGUGAGUGAAAAAGAUCGAGAGUACUCGACUCAUAUAAGUUCGAUUUAUAGUUCUAUGUGUGUUCUUAGAACGUCGAGAUUGAACUUGGAGAUAUGCCAAGCGGUCUUUGAAUUGGAAAAAUCGCCCGGUUUGAUUAAUACCUAUCUCCCCAUGUGAUGUAACUUACCGAAUCAAAAUGCAAGUUGGCCUUCGAAGCGUUGGUCUCUAAAACGGUAUGAGCGAGACCUGGUGUCGAUCCUCUUCUUUCACUGAAGCCUUCGAUUCUCCUCGGAGAUCAAUCAAAACCCAGAGCCGACCAAGUAAACUGGAAAAUCCUCUGAGGGAAAGUGGAGAUGGUGGGAGGUGUGCAAGGAGCGAGCAAGAGGCGAUCGAAUGCCGUCCGGACGCAAGCAGUGAUUGUGAUCUCUCGCGAGAGAAUUGAUGACGUCAUCGCGCAAAUGGGGAGAGAGAGAGAGAGAGCCACGCGACCUCAAAACGCACGGGAAUUGGAGCCAAAAAAGCGGGUUGGAUCCACCAGCUUCGAUCGUCGCUGCCAAUGCCGUCCAAGACUCCGGGUGCGUUUGGGAACCACUUCCCAAAGCCCCUUGGGAGUCCAAAGCCCUUUGGGCACAAAAAAUGGUGUUUGGCAAAAAACUUUGAAAGGGACUUAGGCAAAAUGCUAGCAUUUUUAAGGCUGAAAGCCCAAGGCAGGUGGGGGGCUGCCUUGGGCUUUUCAGCAUUUUCGGCAUGCUGAGGAGCACUGUUCACUUUUUUUUUUUCCAAAAUUGUCCUCAUGAAUUAUUGGUUUUUCCGGUGCGUGCCCUUGGAUGAACACUGUUCAUCUUCUUCGGGCGAACGACCGCUACAGGGACGCCGCGACCUCGCCGCCCUUCGUCGGAGAGUCGGGCGACCUUCGCGAGUCGCGGCGUUGCCGGCGACCGUCGCCUGCUGCACCGCGACCUCCGCACGGAACUCGCCGGGGCCGCGCGACCAGAUCCGGACGUCGCGAGCCUCGGGGUCGGGCGACCUCCAGCGAGGGUCCGCCGGAGGUCGCAGGUCAGCCGGAGGUCGCAGGUCCUCGCGGCGACCUCGCGGCGACCGGAUCUGGUCGCGGCGACCUCGCUGCGCGACCUCUGCGCAACCAGAUCUGGUCGCCGGAGGUCGCACGACCUCGCGGCGACCAGGUCUGGUCGCGCAGAGGUCGCACGACCUCGCCGCGCGACCUCCGGCGAACAGAUCUGGUCGCGCGACCUCCGCGCGACCUCUGCGCGACCAGAUCUGAUCGCCGGAGGUCGCGCGGCGAGGUCGUGCGACCUCUGCGCGACCAGACCUGCCUCCGGCGACCCAGAUCCGGGGUCGCCGGAGGUCGCCGGAGGUCGCCGGCGGUCGCCGGAGGUCGUUGAAGGCCGCUGCCCUUGCCGGUCAUUUUUUUUUAUUUUUUAUUUUAUAAUUUUUUUUACCACAAAACUCCAUUUGCAAGUGUAAUUUCCCAAACACUAUUUUGCUCAAAGCACUUCACAAAGAGCUUUCAAAGUAUAAUUUACCAAACACAGUUUGCAUUUUACAAAACACUUUAAAGUCAAAGGUAUUUGCAUUUUCCUAAAGGCUUUCCCCAAAAGUAGUUCCCAAACGCACCCUCCCUCUGGUUAGUUGAACAACCGAUCGUGACCAAUGAUUGCUCCUCGCUGAGAUAAAAGCUCUCUGUUCUGUUUUGAGUAUCGCACGUGUGAAAUAGAGACCGAGAGCUUUGUUGUUUGCUAGCAAUGAAAAUUGUUCACGUCCGAGAUUAUAUUACUAACAACUGCGAUUCGGUCUUCAUGAUCUCGUGCUGAUUGGGCUGUGAUUCUCGCUCUCUCGUUGCUGGAUUGUGCCAUUUCAUCGAAUGCACAUUAAAUGUCUGGUGAAAUGCCUGAGCCAUAUUAGUCUGAAUACACAUCGUCUUUGUCUGCUUGAAUGACUCAUUGUACCAGUUGGAUAGGUUAAGUAGAUCUAAAUUGAUAUCCACUUUUGAGUCCAUUCCCGAAUGUCUCGGUCUUGGUAGGCUUCCGGUACUCUAAGGCAGAUAAACUCGACUCUCUGAAAUUAGCUAAAAAAGAUGAUUCCGGUACUCUAAGGCAGAUAAACUUGACUCUCUGAAAUUAGCUAAAAAUGACGAUAUGCUGAAUUGUAAAUACUCUAUCGAUGGUUGCUGGUGCGCUCAUGAAGCAUAGGCUGAUUAUGGAGAGACUGAUACAUUGUAGUGUGGAUCUCAUUUGCUGUACAUAUCUUUUGAAUUCCAAAUCAUGUCUUCUCUGCGAGUGAACGUGAUUAUGUGUUCAGCGGAUGAAAAAAUAGUGUGGCAGUGCCGCCACGUUCUUGUUGCAAGAUUAAAUGACAAACAAGGUAGAAUUGAAAAGAAGUUGGAAUUUUUUUCUAAAAAAUAAAUAUGAAACGUUAUAAAAAAAAAAAAUAGUAGACUCGCGUCCUCACAAAUCUACAAUGAUGCAGAUCUAUUAGAAAACUCGAUACAUCUAUAAUCAUAGGCAAUGUAUAGCUUUUUAUAACUCAAAGGGAUGAAUAGACUCAAAGCUCAUGGAACACCCUAUUAUAAAAUAAAUAGUUACAAAAACAGGCCACACUAUUUCCACGCUCGAAAUGGAGGGAAAGGUUGAAAGGGAUUAAAAAAAUGCAAGAAAUGUUCUCAUAUGAGUGGACAGCUCCAUUUAUUUCUAAUUCACUUAUGAUCGGACCAUCAUCAUAGCCAUUACGCCAUUUCAAAAUAGAGGCAAAAUCCCAAGAAAAUCAUCAGUUUGACAAGUUCUGGAAAUUCUCUCCCUAAUUUAUUAGAUAAUAAUUUCCAAUAAAUUGGACAAAUUGCGUCACCCUAAGUUAAAAAAGAUGAAUAGUACUAGAGACACUCAUAUUGACAUAUUCAAUUGGCUCAAACUUUAUAAUACUCAAACAAUAAAUAGAUUUAUAAAAAUUAGAUAAUGUCACCAUUUUGCCACAUCUAAUGGAAACUGAAGGUGGCAUUGAUAAAAAAUCUUCCAACAAGGAAUGCAUUCAUCAGUAGUUAAGCGCAAAGGAGUAGACUUAUUGCUCUCAGACAUUUCAAAAAAAAGACUAACUUGAGCUGUGCAAGCGCAACAUCUUGACAACAUUCAAGAGGGUUUGAACCACAGCAGCAUCUGCUACCUUGGAAGCUGCUCUAAGUUAUUAAAGAGUUGAGAUUCGAGGUACUAACCCCCUUUUAAUUACAACGGGCAUGCCUUUUCAAAGGCUUGCUGCUCUUUGCGGCAUAAAUCGAACUCGUUUGUGUGGUAAUACAUGCAACCAACAUAAGCAUCCAUCUCUUUUGUGCACCUCUCGUGAAGAUCUUUCAGCCCAAUUCUCCUAAUUGAAUUAUGUAUAUAUAUAUAGCAUAAAAAAAAUAAUAAAUAAGAGAAAAAUAAGCUUGAUUUGCCCAUGCAUUCAGCCAAUUCCUGAGCCUACCCAAGGCAUAUCUAACUUGGGACUCACAAAAAAAAAAAAAAAAGCGUUCUCUUCGAAAGAAACGACCAGUUGGCCGUUUAUACUCCUCCGUUCGCCGCCGUUCGUUGUAGCCACCGUUUCUGACCUCGCCAGAAACGACAAUCCUCGACCGGCGCCAAGAGUUCCUUCUUCGCUUCUGUUAAGAUCCGCUUUUCUCGACACCAAAUCGAUGCGGGAGCCGAAGUUCCGACCACGAAGCAAGUACAAAGCCAGGCCCAGCCACACCGAACAAACCAAAGACGCUCCUCUCCGUUGCCCCUGCCUUCCGCUACCUCAGAGCUCACCGGAUACGUUUGUGUUUCUCGCAAUUCGAUCGAACCACGCCCAGUUUUAUAUGCGAGAUAUAAACGCCUGUUGGAUGCUGAUAUAUCAGGUGAAUUGAAACGUUGAAAUCGAGUCCAUAGCUCAGUUUCUAAAUCGCCCAUGCACCGUCCGACGAAAUACCUCAAUGAAGGAAUCGAAUCCGAUUUAGCCAAAACAGUGUUCGAGAUGUUAUUUUUAUGCUCUAUUAGUUCUGAAAUCAUUAAACUGAGACUGAAUAGGCGUUUUCUUUGAUUUUUGGUGGCAUUAUUUCUCAUUAUCCGAGUCGGUCAUGAGCGCCUCGCCGGAGGAACCCGUGGUUAGAGGCCGCUGUAGUUAGUUUCUCGUUUACGCACUUGUGUGCUUGUUCCGUUAGAAUGGAUGCCGUUUUACAAUGUCCAUUUUUUUUUUUUUUUUUUUUUUUUUGGUGGCUUAACAUCACCGGUGAGGUUCGGUGAUGGCCGGAAAGGGGCGGACGGUGACCAAGCGAUGGCCGGCGGUGACUGGCGCCUGUCGGACCGAACGACCCAGCGGGCGUGCUGGCUCGACGGUCGCCUCAGCACCGGCGAGGGGCUCAUCGGCCGGCACUCAUCGGAAAAUGGUGCUGGCUGGGAGUUAUGGACUGAGUGUAGUGAGAUUAAAAUGAAGAGAGUUGGGCUGAGUGUUGUCGGUCGGUAGUAUCAUUCCUAAAAUUAAAAUUUUUUCUUCCAGCCUUAUGUUUUUUCAUCAACCCAAGUCCCGACUUGUCCCAAAAAAGCCAAAGUCAGGUUUUAAAGGGGCACUCUCGUAAUUUUGCGGACACAAGCGUUUCCAUUUACAAGAGAGAAAUUCAGAGGUAUUGUGUUAAUUUUUUUUUAUCUCUGAUUAGUGUUUAUAAUCAAUUCUUUACUUGUGUUCUCAUGUAUUUGUAAAAUGAAGUUCAACUAUAUGUGUUUGUGCUCAAAUUACAAGAGUUAGGCUCAGCGGUUGAUUGUCGUUUGAGUUCAACGAACUGGAAAUGUCGGUAGAACUGCAUUUCUUGUGCCUUAGAUAGACACAGGCGACUAAGAGAGGAACAUAAACUCGAUCUUGAUUCUUGGAUUUUGAAGUCCAGGUUUAGGACGAUUUGGACACCCGAUCGUAGGCUCUCGAAAUUGAUGGCGGGAUAUCUCGAGCUAAUAAACUGUUUGACAUAUGGUUAGUGAAGAAACCUGUUUUUAAUGUUGGUUUCUGGUCGGAGGAAGAAUUGCUGUUUUAAUUGAUUCUCCUCCUCCUCCAUCCCUCCCAUUGGAAUACUAAUUUGGAAUACAUUGAGCUGCCAAGCUGCAUAUGAUUGAAGGAACAGAUGACCUAAAAAACUUUUGAGAGAAUGAUUGGUUCUACAAUUCCAGGCUUACAUAAAAUCAAUUCGCUGUUGCCUUUUUUUACUAAAAAGGAUGGCACUUGUCACAAGACAUCUGCGUUUGUGAGUGUGCCAUAUUGCCAUUGUUUUACAGGUUUUUCUUACCUGUGUUUACAACGUGGGUGCCAUUUUUGAGAGGCUUGUUGUUGGCUGUUUUCUGAUACAAACUAAUAAACUGUGUACUACUUUCUUUUUUGGUAUUAAGCUACUGGGAUUUCAGAAAUAGGCAAAAAUCGAAGAGAGGAGAACCAUUACGUGUUGAUCUUUUUAUAUCUCAUCUCCGACAAUCACGGGGGAUGUAAUUUAGUGACUUCAGUGAUUGUAUAUUGCAUUAACAGGGAGCCUCGUGGCUUUGGAUUUGUGAAGUUCCGAUAUGCGGAAGAUGCAGCUGAGGCUAAGCAGCAAAUGAAUCAUACUGUUAUUGGAGGACGUGAGAUAAGAAUUGUUUUUGCCGAGGAGAACAGAAAAACUCCUCACGAGAUGCGCGUGACUGAGAGUGUGAGGUACAAUUUGUCACAUUCUCCAUUUCACUAGGUUGUCUUUAUGGCAUUUGUUUCCAUCGAUUCAUGACAGGUUUUUUUGGUAAACUCUUUUUCCCCCCAUUUUAAAAUGAAGUGGGCGACACAGGGAAAGAAGGAGAAGUACAUCAAGGUCUCCAAGACGCCACAAUCAGUGUCAGUAAUUUUGACUUCAUGUCCAUUCUGAUUUGUUGCUUUCUCUCCCUUUGGGCUGUACAACGAAUGGAGCAGUCUGUCAUGAUGGACAUCCUUGUGAGUUUGGAGAAUCUUAUUCUGUUUUUGUAUUUUCUUACAGCUUACUCUAGGUCACCAACACCAGAUAGGCAUGACUCAAGGUUUGGCAUUUUUGUCCGAGUGGGUUUAAUUGCAUUGUUACUGGUUUUAUACUUUUUCUGUUCCUCUUUUAGGAUGAUAAGUACACUGUAGUUGAGCAUAUUAGGAACUUACAGUACUAAGGGUGCCUUAUUGGCCUGGGAAGAAUAUACAGAACUCUUAGUGGCAUUCUUUCACUUUUAUGUCAAGUAUAAUGUGAUAUUUAUACUGUCUGUAUGUAUUUUCAACUAGUAAUGCUUUGUACAUUGUAGUUUUAAUCUUUUUGGUACGUGAAAUUUAGAUCAAGUUAUUUCAGUUCAAUCUUUGCUAUAUAAAAAGUAGUUUGAGUUGUCUGUCGAUUCUCAUCCUUGGUGAACUUUAGUGGAUGAUAUUGCCCAAGGCAUUAAAGUAGUAGAAUUUCACACUCUUUUUAUAGUUUUAUGUGUUUUGUAAGCCCUGUAUGUUUGUAGUAAUUGUGGUAUGGGAUUUUCACUCUAGCUAAAUUUUGAACAGAAAGCUAUGCAUUCUUCAUUCAUUUCUUGUCAAUAUAGGUAAACAUUUUGUUGUUUAUUUCCCUUGGACAUUUGUGCUUAUAGAUAGGAAGCUGUUCGUCUAUUCUGGAUAUAGACCAUGGCGAACUAUUCAAAUUUAAUUUAUUGAAAUAGUAGCCUUUUGUUAAAAUAUCUAGAACUGGCUAAAUGAGUGGCAAAGGCAACCGAUCGUCCUAGCCAACCAUUUUUCUUGGAAUGGUUUACUUGUGGACCAAUCACAUUAUGCUUAUGAGUGAAAAAGAGUGGCCAUGUACAAUUGAAAGGAAAACUUUGCUGACUUUAGCAUGGCAGAUUGGUGUAUAUGAGAAUUUUAUUAUUUUGCUGGCCUUGUUACUUUUGGUAUUAGUAAUCUGAUGCAUCUCUAUCCUAUUAUGUUCAUACUACAGUGGUUUUUAUCAAUUUGGGGUGAUUGAUGCAGUACAGCAUCGUUUCUGUGGUAUUGAACAGUAUCUGCUUGUGGCCUUGUUUAUGCAGAUAUUAAAGUGAACAGGAAGAUUUUAAAGACCUAUGGGUAAAUAAAGUUAAACGACAAAAGAGAGAGAUGGACAACUCCCUUACCAUUCUGUCAAAGCUUUUCUAAUGUUAUUAUCCCACCUUCGCCAAUUACUGUCAAAGCAUGGGCUUUUGCUUACUAGGUCUGGUGGCCUGCAGUUGCAACUGAACUGAUUAGUAAAGCACCGUCGGCAGAUGAUUAAAUCACUAAAGUACCUUUUUUUCACUAUUUGUUUUCUCUGUGUGAUCUAACAUAGUUAUUAAUGAAAAGGUUUUGAAGCUUUAUUUUGUUUUGCAUAUACCAUCCAGUUAAGAAAAGAACUAGAGCUUUUUUAUGGCCAAAGAAAGAAAUCAUCCUCAAUCAAGGGAAGCAAUACCGGUGUAGAGAUAUGAUGACAUUGUCAAAGAUAGUUUGAGGUUUUAGAAAGUUGGGCCAAAGAGAGCCAUGCAGUUGUUGGACGCUGACGGUACAUCGUUAAUGAGACUAAUUCCAGUAUUUGGGCCCAAGUUGGUAAAUUGUACGGAACUCUUAUUAAGGUGCAGGUAACGGUCAUCUUCAAUCAGUUAGAUAGUGAUGCCAUCAUGUUGAUGCUUAUGUAAUUUUGUAAGUUGAGUGUAAUUUUUUUACUUGCAAAACGGAUUUUCUUGGUACUUUUUAUUAGCUUUUGCUGAUGGUAUUUUUUUCUUUUUUCGUAAAAUUCAUGCUUCAAGCCGAGUAAUGUUUCCUUGUAAGAUCUUUUGUUACCCUAGAUCGUGUUCUGUUUUAUGUAAGGGAAUCUUUAUGUUCCAUUUUUAUUAUUUCCCAUCUCAAUGGAUAUACCGAUUCCUUGAACCAGGAGCCGUGGGGCAAAGGAUUGAUACCAGUCUCCAACGCGAUCUGGGUCUGUACCACAUUCUCCAUAUCCUCAGGAGCACAAGAUUAAGCGGUCUAGUAAGAGGUCUCCAAGUCCAAGGGAAGAUAGUCGAAGUCCCAUUCAGGAGAGGGGUUAUCCAGCAAGCAUGUCUCAGAGUCCAAGGGGCAAUAUUCGCAGUCCUUCAAGGUCUCGUUCACAGUCUUACAGGUAUAUCUGUUGUUUUUCUAGUCUUGGUUGGAAACAACGCAUCUCUUCCUUGCGCUUCAUCCAAUUGUCAAAUAAUUUCUCCUUUAAUCUGUUAUUUUUCUAGUCUUGGUCUGGAACAAUGCAUCUCUUCUAUGCACCGGCUGAUUGUCAAAUAAUUUUUCCUUUCAUCAAAGUCAAUUUUCUGUUUUCGGAAUAUGACCUUGGCGAUUAGGUUGGCAUGAACUUGGUAAUUAUUUUUAUGUUGCAAAUUUAGUGGUUGACCAUAAAUGGCAUAGGUUGUUCUGUUGAGAUAGAUCUGUGAGAAUUCCUCCAGGUGCAUAGGAUGCGGUAUUUUUUGAUAUUUUACUCAAUUUUAGGUGCUGUACCGAUAGCAAUUGAUAUUUAUCAGGUGAUUGCUUUGCUGUGACACCCAUAUGAUGUUCCAUUGGCAAGAGAAUUGAUAAAGAUGGUAAAGUACUUCAAAUUUUCUUAUGAGAGAAAGUAUUAAUACUUUGAAUUUGCAUGAAUGAAGCAUGUUCCCUCAUUAUGUUGUUGAAAUUCAACAGUCCCAUUUACUACUAACCAAUAGCUAGAGGAUUUAUCUGGUUUAUGGUGGCAUAGUGCUAGUAUCUACAGUUUUAGCAUAUUUUCUGUUCAUUAAAGUAGUUUCUUUGUGCAUUUCCUGUGCAGCCCACGCUGAGAGCCUUCUGAGUAAGAAUUACGGGGCUUGCAGUCAAGUUGGUGGUAUGCCAGUGGUGGUUCUUUACAAAGUGCACUUCCAAGUAUCAAAGUGAACGAUAAACAGUGUCCUUUUGGAGAUCCUAUUGCUCUCUUCGAAUUUUAAAUAUCAUGGAUUAGGCUAUGCUUUAGAAAUGCUUUGUACGUUUUUGUUGGAGUUGGGCUUUAUGAACAUCAAGUGCAAGAUGGUUGUUGGUUGUUGGUUGCUGGUCACUCUUUUAAGUCCUACGUUCGACCUUAAUGCAUGGCUCUUAACUUUAUAUGUGUCUGGUUUUUCUUUAUUGUCGGUUUAAUGUGUAUUCCCGGGCUUAGACACCAGAUAAAUGUGUGGGGUUACCCAGUGCUUGGGGUCGGUCCCAGUUCUGUAUUAACCGCGGUUGAUCUGCAAUGAGCUACUCUGUCUCUUCCUUGUUAUCGUCUGAACAUAGUCGCGUUGAAACUAAGCCGGUUCUUGCUAUUUGAUGGUCAUCUCCAUGCACAGGAACAGAUGAUCAACAUUGAUUUUGAAUGCUUGAGGGUCAGUGGACAUAUAAACACUGAAUCAUUUGAAGCUGGGUGGUCUGGGAGGACUUGGAUGGAUCAUUUGAACUUAAAUUGUUUGGUCAAAAUAUAGCACCGACAUCCUUGGUGUAAGAGACCUGUUUUGGCGCCCCAGGUUCUCGCGAUUGUUGUCAUCUCAUCGAUGGGUAUGGAAGAAGGAGGAAGAGAGGGAGAGGCGGGGCGGCUAUGGAGAUCGGAACGCAGCUAUGGAGAUCGGAACGCGGUGGAGGUCGAUAUCAGUCGUGUCGUUGCGUUAAGGAGCUAUCUAGAUGAGCUAGGCCCUCUUUAACCCUGCCCAGCACAUAGCCUAAGUAGGGCCGAACUCAAUCCCAUCCGAAGAACUACAUUCGAGUGCACUGAAUUAAGCCACUGCGACGACCAUCACUCUACGAUGUGCCUCUGCUGCCGAAUCUCAUCCAUAUGUCUAGAGAAACACCUAUCCUAUUUCUUGAAUUUUGCUAUCUGCUAGAUACAACGUGACUUAUAAAUUAGCAUCAGUGUCAUUUUUUAAUAUUUGUUCUAUUGUCGAAUAAGACGUUUGGAUUGGUGUGAGAAGAUGAAAAGAAAAAGGCCCAGAGUAACUUUCAGUUUUGUAGAAGUAAAAUGGUAGGUACUGCUAAAUUGCAUUUCAAUGUUUGUACUGCACUUUCCAUGUAAAUGAGAAACAUUUCUUCGCCUUACAAAUAAAAUGAACUUGCCAAGUUGCACGGACAAACUCGGGUGACCUUCUUCCCAAAGUUCUCUUAAUAAGAAAUUGGAAGAGAUGAAACUAACUCAUGAAUCUCAUGUUUACUGAAUGAGAAGUCAAACAACCUUUUAUUCAAAAGAAAGGUCGACAUGCCAAAUUGAAUGACUUGAGCUUAUGAGGACACUCAAAAUUUGGAUGAAUUACGCUGACAUGUCGAAGUAACUGAAAUACAAAGACAAGAAGUCAGCCGUGACACUAAAGGCAAAUAGGUGAACUCAAAUGCCCAUAACGGUGAAACUACUCGCAAAUGUAGGAUGAAACCAAUGUAAUGGAGAUCACGUCCGAGCUUGGACACCUAAUUUUCUCUUCCUCUGGGAAGCCUUAUUUUCAUGAGGAUUUUCUGUCAAUGACCUAAAUCUGAAGGAAAAGGAGUUCAAUAGUAUCUCAGCCUGGAGGUCUCCACUGAUUUAAUUAAGGCAAUUGGCCGUUCUUAGCCAGCAGUUUGAAUUUUAGACCUUCAAUGCUUGCUUCUCAGCAGCAAGAAAUUCACCCUUAAGGGGGGGGGGGGGGGGGCUCCCACAAAAUUGUAGUUUCAGCAAGUAAUGAGGUCACAACGUAUGGGUUCUUGUUUGAGGCAGGACACCUAUCUUCCAAGUAACCUGUAUAUCAUUUUAAGCCAUUAACUAACUGAGCAAGGAAGGUGAACUUUGUACGUUUUAUCGAUAUUCAGAAAUAGUGAAGCAUUUCAGAAAGUCUUUGAUGCACUAAAAGAACCAAGAUGUCCAAAGUUCUUACUUCAGCUUAGGAAGCAAGACUGUGGGAAUGCUUUAUGAUUGUUAAAAAGUCAAAAUUCCUUGUGCAUAGUUCCAAUCAUGGAAUCGAUUGAGACCAGAAAGGAUAAAGAAUACUUAUAUGUAUUAUUUUUUCGUGGUAGUGUUUCUGGAAUCAUUUGAUAAAGUUGAGCACCUCCAAAUGAUUUUCAGAUAGAGCACAGAAGGGAACCGGUAUGGUCAUUGUUAUGGUACCUUUUCCUUGCUUCUCAUUGUCACGGCCCACACAGAUUAAGCAACCACAAUUGGCAACUCCCUGCAUAACAAUACAAGUAAUUCAGGCAUCACAAUGAAAUAUGAGUUCAUUAGCAGGGCAUUGUUCAUUAGCAGGGCAUUCUUUAAAUUUGACUAGUAGUUGGUAUGCUUCUUCUGAGCAUUAUCGAAGACAAUGUGUCAGUGUUGACUAUUUCAUGCUUUCCCAUCAAUCUUCUCCAUAGGCGCUAAUGUGCUCCUCAUGGCGAAGUGAGAGAUUCAGAAAUGCCUUCUUUAUCGCUUCAAAGCCUCCCUCUUCUCUCAUGCUUUUUGUAUUGUAGAAAAGUUGAAGAACACACUCUUAAAGGUCCUUCAUUGAACAAAAAUUCUUAACCAAGUCCAUGUUAUUUCUAUGGUGUGAACCUGUUAGUUGGUAUGGCAUCCUGCACCAUUCCAAUCACCCUGAGAAGGAAGAGAAUGCUUUUAUCAACUUUGGGGUAUAAUAAUGCGUAAACGGUGAUAGGGAAGUCAGCUACCUCUAUUGGCUUUGGAUCUUACAUGAGGACAACACAAGCUUGCUCAGUUAUUCUCUGUUGUAUAUAAAAGAUAAACAAUCAAGUAUUUAAAUACCUUAGAACAUGUCUGUAUGCACUUAUUUUGUUUGCUGUUAAUGGAAUUUCGUUAUUUUCUUGAGCAAGUAAUUGAAAUUUCACCUAAAGAAGGUAUCUUGAACACCAGAGAUGAUCUCCUGCUUCAAUUCCCAUGCUUCGUCUGACUUGGUGUUCUCACUGCAAGAUAGAAGCCAGUGUUGAUAGCAACAGCCUCGGUGGUUUUCUAUUUUCCUUUUUGAAAUAACAAGCAAGCUGGAGGUCAGGUAUUACUUGGCCCAGAUCACCACUCCAUUGGUGCUAUUAAUGUUCAUACCGGCAUAUAAGCAAGCCUUGUAGCGAGCAUCGGAUAUAUCUCAGUCGGAUGACUUAUCAGCCCCAACACCACAAUAAUAAGGCCCCUAAAUGAAGACAAAACCUCGCAUCACAAUACAAUUUUUUUCUCAUCAACUCAAAGCCAAUUAUCUAUCAAUAUACAGGGAAAUUCGUUGGGAAAAAAAUUCUCACCUGGGAACCUCGAUAUCCUCUGAUAGGCCAACCGAAUGGCUAUUGAACAUUUAUCUGCAAUACGGUGUUUUCUUGCUCAAUCCAAUACAUAAUGUGAACAUUUAGCCCAAAAGUAUGAACUUGUCUAUUCCAAAACUUUCUAAUUCACGAUAUAUAUAAACUCAUGUUUUUGGAUCUCCCACCAUGAAAUGUCAUUGAUAACCUUUGGGUUACUGAAUUUCAGCAACCCUGGUGUGCUUGGUCGCUGGGAUCGGCUUACCAGCAGGUGUAUAUGAAUUGGAAAUAACUCGAAGACAAACAAUAAUACUCCGUAAACCAAUUGAAACACCCUUCCUCAUUUCAUCAACCUGUUUAGAUGAUCUAACUGGUGGUCAGUGAGUUCUUUGUGAUCCUCAUUUGGCAUUGUGUCCUCAGUGCCAAAAUUCACACCAUUUCUGUCUAGCCUGAAAAAUAAAGCAGUGUAAGAAAUAGACAUAUCUACUGAAACAAAAGCCCUAUGAGGUUAAUCUCAUGUUAGAUAGUUCAAACAACGAGCUCUGUCCGUAUGACUUGGCCUUUUGGUAUGCAUGAGAGUUUAGUUUUGAAAAGAUAAAAAGAAUAGACUGAGGCUGCGUUUGGAUUCGACUUUUCAAAGCUACUUUGGGCUUCCAAAGCCCUUUGGGCUAAAAACAGGCGUUUGGGAAAAAAAUUUCUAAAGAUCCUUAGCUGAAAGUUUGCAUUUUGAAGGCUGAAAGCCCAAGGCAGGGGGAGACCUGCCUUGGGCUUUCGGCAUUUUCGGCAUGCCACGCCCGCACUGUUCACACUUUUUUUUUUCCAAAAUUAUCCUCACGAAUUUUUGGAUUUUCCGGAUGCGUGCCCUUGUCGACACUGUUCAUCUUCUCCGGGCGUAAAGAGACGCCGCGACCUACGUGAUCUUCGUCGGAGCUUCGGGCGACCUCCGCAAGUCGCAGCUCUGGUGGCCAAAAGGCACGCGGUCACCGGCGACCGUCGCCUGCCGCACCGCGACCUCCGCACGAAGCUCACCGGGGCCGCGCGACCCACCUAGUUGCAGGUCUGGUCGCGACCAGAUCUGGUGCCGGAGGCUCGAGCGGCGACCAGAUCUGGGUCGCGCCUCGCCGCCCACGGAUCUGGGUCGCGGUGGCGCCGUGCGACUUCCCGCGACCUCGCCGCCCCAGAUCCGGGGGCGGCGAGGCGCGACCCAGAUCUGGUCGGCGGCGAGGUCCUCCCCAGAUCUGGUCGCGACCAGACCUGCAACUAGGUGGGUCGCGCGGCCGCGGUGAGCUUCGUCCGCCCCAGAUCCGGGGUCGCCUGAGGUCGAGGCGGCGUCGCGCGACCUCGCCGCCCCAGAUCCGGGGUCGCCGGAGGUCGCGACGGCGUCGCGCGACCUCACCGCCUCAUAUUCGAGGUCGCCGGAGGUAGUCGGAAGUCGCCGGAGGUCGCCGGAGGUCGCCGGCGGUCGCUGCCCUUGCCGGUCAAUUUUUUUUAAUUUUUCUUUUGUCAAUUUUUUUUUUAUCACAAAGAUCUUUGUAAAUGCAAUUCCCCAAACAUUAUUUUGUUCAAAGUACUUCACAAAGGGGCUUUCAAAGUACAAUUUACCAAACACGAUUGCAUUUUAAAAAAACACCUUUAACUCUAAGGUUUUUGCAUUUUCCCAAGGACUUUCCCCAAAAGUAGUUCCCAAACUCACCCUGAGUACUUCAAAGAAAGGGGUCUCCUUAGCAAGUGCCGUCGUCGAAAAGUUGAAAACCGCUUUUUGAAGACUAGUUUCAAGAAGGAUGGCUUACAUUUUGAAGCAUAAAUAGUGAGUCUUAUCGAUUUCCCUAAGGACACUACCACAAAUUUCCUUUAAAAGAUAAACUAAAAAUAGUGACAUAACUAUGCUUCGCAUUUCGGAACCAUUUCAAGGUUAUUCUCAAGCCUCGUUCCCAAAAGUGAGCUCGCGAACAAGCAAAAAACCGAGGGCAGUUACAGAGUUGAAGGAAGUAGACUGCAGAGUGCCACGGUUUAAGAGAAUAAUGAAAUUCCACCCCAGCAAGGAUCAAUCAUCAAACAUGUUAUUCUGAUAUUUCCUUAGAUCUAAUGGAUGAUCAACUCGUGAAUAUUGACAGUGCACCUAAUUCUUUCCUCUUGCAAUCAAAAGGCAAUCACAUUGAAGUACUUUCUUCUCUCACAAACUUCGCACAAUCACAAAUUGCCCUCGCCAACGGCUUUGGCGAAAAUAUCCAUCAGAUAUCACCAUGGCAAAGCAAGACCACCAAGCACAACAAUCAUCAGUAUGGCCGAUUGAAGUCACAGAACAAGAAAAAUCUAAGAUGAGAGUGGAUACAAGAGAAACCAAUUCCACACGAGGUCCACAACAUAAGACUUCACACAGCACACAUUUCUUCUGCCUCGCACAGCACACAUUUCUUUCAUAGACAUUGUGACAAGAGACGAAGAACAUAUCAAUUGUCAACCAAACAAAAUGUGCAGGACAACCUUGCUGAGAUCAAAAUGGAGAAGUCACAAAGUUCGACCUCUUUCAAUUUCAAAACAUUUACUCGAUUGCUUCAGGCGGUGCUCAAGAUUGGCAAAAGGAUUUUACCUGAGAACCCCUGCAGAAUGGCCGAACAGCAAAUCGAGAGCGUCAAUUGUGGUCAAAUGCUAAAGAUCAGCUUUGCAAUCCUCCCCUCGAGCAGAAAUAUAUACUUGGGAAAUCAAUCGCUGGAUGAGACGAAGUAUGAAUUUUUCCUCAUUUUUUCUCGCCACUCUUCGGAAUGAAGCGAUGCGCCCAAACCUUUCAGCGAUUUGUUUCAUGUCCCUCCCCAAAUCAAAUUGAGUAUGGAGACACGAUAUCUGAAAAUUAAAAAUGCAAAAAUCUGGGAAACAAGGUCCCACAUACCUUCAGUGAAGAAAAUUAGGGCUAGAUCUACCAUUCAAAUGAUAUGUGCGGGAUAUGAGCGAUCUUGUCCCAGUCCUCGCCUGCUUGUCUUUUGCAACUCUCCUCCAAUUCUCCGCAAUCUGCGAUUUGUAGGUGAGUAAGGAAUGUGAGCCUUCGCAUUGCUUUAGGGAAUGAUUUCAACGAGGAGCACCGCUCGAUGUCGAGAUUUUGAAGUGAUUGAAGGGCCUCGAUUUGCUCUGGUAUAUCCUUCAAAUUGCGGCAUUUCCAAAUAAGGAGACGCUCGAGAUUGCGGGCCUGUAGAAGCCAGUGUGGGAGAGAUGUCGGUUUGGGAAGGAGCUUUAUUCUCACGGAGCGGAGACUCGGAAGGCCUCCAUGGAAAUCCAAGAUGUUGCCGCUUUCGUCUUUGGAUAUAUCCAGCGCCUCACAAUCCUUGAAACGGAGAUCCACGAGGCUCGAUAGAUGUCGCAUACCUUGCGAGAGGGAAGUCAACUGAUGACAACCACCGAUGCUAAGAGAUUCAAGGGAAGUGAGACUUUGGAAGCCCUCCUCAGGCAAACAUUCUAAAAACUUUAUAUCGUAGAUAUUCAAUCUCUUCAACUUAUUAAGGCCAAGCAUCAUCUGAUUUAUCAACGCCGCUCCGUUGGCACGUGUCAGAUCUAACUCCUCGAGAUGAGGAGUUAGUGGCAUGGCUUUUAAUUUUUCACAGUACUCGAUCUUCAAUCGCAAUAGACUAGGAAAUGAUGCUGGUGAAGGGGAUGAUUGGUCCGACUCAAUAUAUUCCAAUUCAGGCAUAUAAAAGAAAUCCAAAGACUUGAGGCAAGGUAGUUGGUCCAGUGGGGGGAGACGUUCACAUCUUUUGCAAGCACGGAACGAUACGACAACUAAAUGUGGCAAAAAAGAUACAAGACUAUCCAUCAUCCACUUGGGAAAGCUCUCACCGUUAUAUCCCCAGAUCUUCAACCUUUGCAGAUUUGACGGCAGCUUCAGUCUAUCAAACAACACUUCAUCUUUUACUACAUCAUCAGUAUUGAAAUCUUCCCAACUAAGUACCAAAGAUUCUAGAGAAUGCUUCCCCAUCAAUAUCUCAUCCUCGCAUUUGACUUCCACAUUUGUUACGUAUCCCAAAUUUUUAAUUAUAAGUUGUCCCCGGAUGUUAUUAAGCCCCUUUAGCUCCCCAAGUCCGCAAUAAUUCUUAGCACGAGCUUUAUCUUUGGGCAAAAUGAAGUUCGUUAGCCUAUGCAAAGAACUCAAUUCCCCUAUUCCACGUGGCAAAUAACUAAGUUUCGGACAACCAUCUAUGUCCAGAUUCCGAAGGCUAACUAACUUCUUUAUAUCACUUGGCAACUCUUCGAGGGCAUAACAGUGGUAGAGAUUAAGUAUUUGCAAGCUUUGCAAUCUCGUAAUGGAGUUAGGAAGCCUUCUGAGUGUUUUGCUGUAAGAGAGAUCGAGAUAUGUGAGAUACUUCAACUNNNNNNNNNNNNNNNNNNNNNNNNNNNNNNNNNNNNNNNNNNNNNNNNNNNNNNNNNNNNNNNNNNNNNNNNNNNNNNNNNNNNNNNNNNNNNNNNNNNNNNNNNNNNNNNNNNNNNNNNNNNNNNNNNNNNNNNNNNNNNNNNNNNNNNNNNNNNNNNNNNNNNNNNNNNNNNNNNNNNNNNNNNNNNNNNNNNNNNNNNNNNNNNNNNNNNNNNNNNNNNNNNNNNNNNNNNNNNNNNNNNNNNNNNNNNNNNNNNNNNNNNNNNNNNNNNNNNNNNNNNNNNNNNNNNNNNNNNNNNNNNNNNNNNNNNNNNNNNNNNNNNNNNNNNNNNNNNNNNNNNNNNNNNNNNNNNNNNNNNNNNNNNNNNNNNNNNNNNNNNNNNNNNNNNNNNNNNNNNNNNNNNNNNNNNNNNNNNNNNNNNNNNNNNNNNNNNNNNNNNNNNNNNNNNNNNNNNNNNNNNNNNNNNNNNNNNNNNNNNNNNNNNNNNNNNNNNNNNNNNNNNNNNNNNNNNNNNNNNNNNNNNNNNNNNNNNNNNNNNNNNNNNNNNNNNNNNNNNNNNNNNNNNNNNNNNNNNNNNNNNNNNNNNNNNNNNNNNNNNNNNNNNNNNNNNNNNNNNNNNNNNNNNNNNNNNNNNNNNNNNNNNNNNNNNNNNNNNNNNNNNNNNNNNNNNNNNNNNNNNNNNNNNNNNNNNNNNNNNNNNNNNNNNNNNNNNNNNNNNNNNNNNNNNNNNNNNNNNNNNNNNNNNNNNNNNNNNNNNNNNNNNNNNNNNNNNNNNNNNNNNNNNNNNNNNNNNNNNNNNNNNNNNNNNNNNNNNNNNNNNNNNNNNNNNNNNNNNNNNNNNNNNNNNNNNNNNNNNNNNNNNNNNNNNNNNNNNNNNNNNNNNNNNNNNNNNNNNNNNNNNNNNNNNNNNNNNNNNNNNNNNNNNNNNNNNNNNNNNNNNNNNNNNNNNNNNNNNNNNNNNNNNNNNNNNNNNNNNNNNNNNNNNNNNNNNNNNNNNNNNNNNNNNNNNNNNNNNNNNNNNNNNNNUAGUUUGGUGGUUCUUUCUUCUCCACACAAACUAUGAUAUCUUUCACUAUUUUUAUCAUGUCAAAGUCAUUAGAGACACAAACCCACAUUUUCAAGUCAAAAUGUUUACUGAUCAUCUCAUCAUUAUACACAAUUUUAGCAAGAGCUGUUUUUCCAAGCCCACCGAUACCAACUAUUGGAAGGAUAGAAACGUUCUCUUUCACUUCCAUAUCCAGUAAGAAUUUCAUGACAUUCUUUUUAUCAUUAUCUCUUCCAAUAAUGUCUUCCUCACAUAUAAACGAAUGCGUCUCCUCUCUCUUCCUCCGCCCUCUCUCUGCUUGCGAAUUCAUAGGUCCCUUGUCCAAGAGGAAGUUCUUUUCAGCCUCAAUAGCUUUCAAUCUCUCCCUCACUUCUCUUAUUUUUCUACUCAUCUUCAGUUCAAAAGCAAGCUGGUUUGAACUUGAGAAAAAUGUUCUUACCACCUUGAUCAUUUGAUUGUCGCCCCUCAGUUCUCGUCGCAUAGCUUCUAUAUUAAAUUCUUCAAGCACAUCCUGCAAGUCAUAGAAAGCCUCUUUUAGUUUCUCCACCCAAUCUUUGAUUUGGGAACUCUGGUGUUGUUGCUCUUCUGCAUCGUCCAGCACAGAAUGAAGCAUGGUGACGGUGCUCUCGAGCACCUGAAGUUCACGCUUGACGCCUCCUAAAUUUCCAACCUUCUCCAGUGCUUGAAUAAUCAGAUUGGCAAGGAUCCUUCCACCAAUGCUGGUGACAGCUUCUGCCAUAUUUGUUCUCUUUCUCUAUGGGGUUGAGAAGAUUUUAGUCCUGUCGUUCCAAGGCUAGAGUCUUCUUAGAUGAUGUAUAAAAAGUCUGUCCUUGAGAUUAAAUAAGUGUACAAUAAUAGUAGAUAAUAGAAAAUAUUUAACUGACAAACAGUAAUUCCAAAGCAUCCUAUGUCAUAUAAGAUUCCAUCCCAUCUAAUAAGUAAGGCGAGUUCUUAUUCAUACAUUCUUCUAGAAACAUCAUGUUAGAUUAUAUUAGAUUGAUAAAGUUUUUUUUUCUACCAUACUGUUAAGUAAUAUGUCUAAUUAACAUUAAGGAAAUUGGGAGGUAAUUGAGUGAUGAUGUGGUUUGACCGUUAAGCUCCAUUCUGCUGGACUUUCUUCUUAGUUUGGUUUUAAUAUAUGAUGCGUAAUAAAUUAAAUUGGAACAAGGUAAUCACAAUGAUCGGAGGCUUUUUAAAAAAUAAAAACAACUUUGUGUUUUCUUGUGUAAAAUUCAAAAUGUUAUUUAAAUAUAAUAAGUUAUGAUUCAAAUUACAUAUUAAUGCUUACGUGUUGUGAAAAUUUAAUAUGUUUAAAGACAAGAUAAUGUAAAAUGUAGACUGAGACAACAUUAGAAUAAACAAAAAUAAAAUGUAAAAAUCUAUCAAGACAAGCCAUUAGCUUAGUUGGUGAUGUUCUUGAAAUCCGCUAGAGGUGGUGGACAAUGUCAUUGUCCUUUGUACUUGUCAACUUUUCUUUUUUCCUUACUUUUUCUCUUUUGGGCGAACAGAAAGUGUAAGGUAACAUGAUGUUGAAGCAAAGCCAUAAUUUUUCACUUCAUUGGCCGACAAAUGAGAAUCAAAAUCCACUUACGAGGGCUACAGCAUCUGCUCAAGCCCGGAAACCAUCUCAUUGCAGCUUAGAAAGUUAUCAUAGCUGUCUCGACAAGGGCAACAGCAUAGGGAAUGCCCCGAUGGAUGCCCACUCUCUAGUGUUCAGUGGACAAGAUCAGCUUAUGCUCGGUGAUAAAAUGUUGUACUUUGCAAGACCGUACGUGUCAGAUAACAAGACAAANNNNNNNNNNNNNNNNNNNNNNNNNNNNNNNNNNNNNNNNNNNNNNNNNNNNNNNNNNNNNNNNNNNNNNNNNNNNNNNNNNNNNNNNNNNNNNNNNNNNNNNNNNNNNNNNNNNNNNNNNNNNNNNNNNNNNNNNNNNNNNNNNNNNNNNNNNNNNNNNNNNNNNNNNNNNNNNNNNNNNNNNNNNNNNNNNNNNNNNNNNNNNNNNNNNNNNNNNNNNNNNAUGAUACUAAAUAUUUCACGAAACAUUUGGCAAGAUGCUGAGAUCUUUAAUAAGGAUAGCAGUGUUGCACGUUCUUAUUCACUUAUAAUCACAAUUAGUUGUUGUAUUUGGUCACUUCCCUUCCAUGUUAGUUGCAUGUUCAUAAUUUCUAUGGAUGCCGAUUCAAUUAUAUUUAAUUCCAUUUCUUUCUAACCGCCCCUUGCUCUGCCAGGAUUUUCAAAAGAAAUCAUGUGACUCUUAGUAUGUACGUAGCGAGUAAUUUUUCAUGUGACCAGUAACUUUUUACAAGAUAUUCGACUUCCAAUAUAUAAAUAAAUACUCACCUAUUUACAUUAUUAAUAAUUUUUUACAUAAAAGGUAACCUAUCUACAUUGAUUCUUAUCGUCCCAUGUAUUUUUUUUUUAAAAGGACAAGUUUGAAAAAAAAUUGAUGCUUUUUGCAACGUAACAGUAAAUCUUAAUUUGUAAGACCAAAAAUUUACAUGAAGUUUGUAACCUAUUCAUGGGAUGAGUAAGUUUUGCUUUAAAAAAGUAAUUACCACCGACCCUGUUUAAUAAAAGAAAAUAUAGGAAUUGACAAACAAUAUGUAAGCCGCCCACGGUCUAGAAAGUGAAAAUUAAAGUUUUUUUUUUCUCAGCAGCUGUAAAUGAAAAUUUCUCCCAAGGGGGCUAAAGAACAAAUGAGCCCGGCUUUUUUCUGAUGAUGCCCAUUUUCCUAGUUUCAUCACAUGCUUUCCUUAGAAAACAGUGCACGUUCACCUGCUUAGAAAACAGUGCAUGUCCACAUGCUUUCCUUAGAAAACAGUGCACGUUCACAUGCUUUCCUUUUAAUACAGUGCCGGUUCUCAUGCAUGCCCCAGUUGUUUUGUAGUAAACACUAGAGUAUUAAGAUUAAUAGAACUUGGAUCUUGAGAAGACGAAAAAUUAUCAUAGCUGCGGGGGCAACUUAAAAUCUAACUUCACGUGGUAAAAAAAAAUUAUGUUAAUGAAUUUCCGCUUUUGUCCGAAUAAAAAACUGAAGAAAAGAUUAUGAAGUAUAAAGUGUGAAUGAAGUAGUAUGAAACCUUUGUGUGCAAAAAAGAAAUUGCAGAUUGGUAUAGAAGUACAAUGUGCGGUGGGAUAACAAAAAAGCAAGCUGAUGAGGAUGCUUUUCGACUUUAGAUUUUAAUAUGCGGAAUGGUAGAACAGCUCUUAAAGUUGGCUAUUCUUCUCUUGUGAAUUCCAUUUAGAAUUGGAAAUUGGGACAUGUUACAUCUUCUUAUAUGCCCAAUUUGAAGAAGGCUAAAUAUCCUAAAUAUGUAAAUCUUUACACCAUAUAAGUCAUAUUUUUAAAUCCAAAUAAAAGACAUCGAUAGUUUCCCUAAGCAUUCUUUGUUUCAUCAAUCUAUUCAUUUUCAGAAAAGCUCUCUGGUUAGUCGCUAUAAGAAAGAACGAACCUGGCUAAUAGUGGGCUAAUCGACGACCGACCAACAAAGGUGAGGACCCAACCGACCAGAUCAAGAGAGGAGGACAACAAAUAGUGUCGGCAAGAUCAAGAGAGAGAUGAGAUGAGACGAGACGGCAUGGGCAAAGACUCUAGGAAUAGAGAGAUCAAGGGCACUGUUUGGGAAAGUCGAGAGACGAAGAGUCUAAGAGAGAGGCUAGCUAUGAAAGUGAGAACUAAAAGAGAGUAGCGAGGGUCUUUAAAUAGAAAAGAUUUAGCAUUGUUUUGAACUGUUCCAAACCAGUUCUUCCAAAGGCUGGUUCCCAAGAUUUUUACAUGAGAGCUAAUCGAAAGUUGUUGAGGUCAGUGAAUCUGAAAUGUUGCAGCACGUGGCAGAGCGUGACGUGCAGCAGCGAACAGGGUUGAAAUUUCAAGGCCUAUCACUUGGGAGGACGGUGAGUUUGAUGAGUUUGAUGAUGGCGUCGAUUUUGCGAGAAAAACAAUAUAAAGGGGGGGGGGGGGGGGGACAUCCAAUAGCGACGGGUUUGACCAAUACAUGAGACUUAAUGGUGCUUCAUCUAUUAAUAAUGGCUCUUGUACCAUGAUAAGAAUAAAAUGAAGAGAGAAAAUGGGGAAUAACUGUAUAUUUUUAUGUAUUGAUAAACAAUACGUGAGACUUUAUUAGAUAACUAUUUAAAGUAAUAAGAUAAAUAUAAUGCCACAUAUAAUUAAAUAAGGAUAUGCAUUAUUGAAGGAGAUAUAUGUAUAAUCCUGAAAAAUAUGCAAAAUCAAGUAAAUAUCCAAAUAUCAUUAACAAUUAGAAUGGAGAUUUUACAUACUAUAUACUAAAAAUCAAAUGUUAAUUUGUUAAGGGCGGAUCUAUUUCCACCCCCUAAAUAACUUUAUCCAACCCCAUUUAUACUAAAAAGACAACAUUAUUCUUAAUCUUUCAGUUGCAGUUUAUAUUGAUGGCCCCUUUCCUUUUCUAUUUAGGAUAAUUACGAUAAUUAAACAUUUCAAAUGUUUUGUUUUGCUUUUUAGUGUAUUAAAGCAAAGUGCAUUAUCAAAUAUUCUCAUAACGUUUUAUAUACUCCCUAUCAAAUUAUCUCGCUAAUAGUAAAUACAUUUUUUGAUAUCGUAUAAAAUUGAAAAGUCUCUUCUUCAUCAUUGAUCUUAUAAUAAUUUAUCAAUUUUUUGUCCCUCUUAUCUCAAAAACUCACUUCCUAGGUGGACUUUUUUAUUAAUUUCAUUAGUCUAAAAUAUUUAUCAAGUCCCUUUAUUUACUAUAUCAAGGAAUUUAUCUUGUUUCCUUAUUAUAUUGGCGAGAUAAUUUUAUAGAAAGCAUGUAAGAAUAUACUAAAAAUAUUGUGUGCAAUGAGGUAUCUUGAUAUUUUUACAUAAACAGUUCAUAGAUGAUUUUGAUUUUUCUCAAUCCAAAGUUCUUACUUUAUGUGAUGUUUUGGUUUGAUGAAAUUUUAUCUACUUAACAAUUUAUCCAUAAAUUUGAUCAACUAUGUAGAAAAAAAAUAGAUUUCUUGGAAAUUUCUCUUUUCGACUAAACAAAUCUUUAUGGAAGUAAUAUCUAACUGUAAAAAAGCACAGUGCCUUUAAUUUACCUAGAAAAUCUGCAAUAAACAAAAAAGUAAAUGUAUGAAAUUCUUAAUUUCAGUAUAGAUUUUACAUGGAUAUAGAAAUACUAAAAAAAUGGAAAAAAAAUUAAUUUGGGACAAUCAAUUUAAAUUGCAAUUGAAUGAUCGAAGGUAGUUUUGCCUUUUCGGUGAAAGAUGGAUGGAGUUAGUCAUAUAGGGUUGGAAAAAGCGCCCCCUUUGUUAAUUGUCCCUCAUUAAUGGCCAAUCACCUCAUUUUAAAGACAACUUAACAUCGGCACCAUACCUUAAUUAUUUUAUAGAAACUCUCUUAAGGCGAUAUGGUUGUACAAUAACAAUAGAAAAAUUGAAACUACCUAAAUGACAUACAUUGAUAGCAAAACCUCCCUUCAUCAAUGCUCAAAACUAUUUCAUCACUUGCUUUCCUCGGAAAACACUGCAGGUCACAUGCAUGCCAAAUUGUUUAGUAGUAACAUCGUAUUCAAAUUAGUAGGAUCUUGAGAAGAUAUAAAAUUAUUAUAGCUCUCUGGGCAACUUCAACAUCUAACUUCUCUUGGUAAAAAAACUCAUGUUCAUGAAUCUCCGCUUUUGCCCUAAAACAAAAAGAUGAAAAAGAUUAUGGAAUACCAUAUCUAGUAUGAAAUCUUUUAUGUGCAGCGAAAAAAAAAAUUAAAUUUUCUUACUGAAGUACCAAUGUGUGGUGGGCACAUAAAACCAAGCUGAUGGGGAUGUUUUAUAACUUCAAAAUUUUAAAAAAAGAAAUGGUAAAACAGCUCUUGAAGUUGGCUUUUUGCGAAUACUUUAAAAAACUGUAUUGUUUUCUCGUGUGAAUACUUUAAUAUCUAUCUAGAUUAUCUAAAGUACCCUUUAACAUCUAUUUUGAUUAUCGACACGUCCGUAUGUGAUGCUAGAAAGACUAGUAGGCAUCGUCUUUCAUAGAGGAUGUGGUAGGAGAAGUAACUCUUCUUGACAACUCUUCUGGAAAGAUGUAAUUUUUGUUUGGGAAAAUGUCAUAAAUGGUCCCUAUACUAUUACUUAAUGUGCAAUUUGGUCCCUAAACUUUCGAUCGGCUCAAUUUGAUCCCUAAACUAUUGAUAAAUGUCUGAUUUGGUCCAUGAACUUUCGAUCGGCUUAAUUUGAUCCCUGAACUAUUGAUAAAUAUCCGAUUUGGUCCCUGAACUUUUGAUUGGCUCAAUUUGAUCCUUGAACUAUUGAUAAAUAUCCGAUUUGGUCCCUGAACUUUCGAUCGGCUCAAUUUGGUCCCUGAAUUAUUGAUAAAUGUCCGAUUUAGUCAUUCGUUAAUGUUUUUUUUUUCCUUUUUUUUUUGCUUCUUUUCUCUUCGGAGGGAAGCCAGCGUCCGGAGAGGCGAGCUAGCGGAGGGAAGAGAGAAGAAGCAAAAAAAAGAAAAAAAAUAUGGAGACAACUCUAGAUAUUGAAGGCCAAAUCACCUCAAUUGUCACUCAUUAAUGGCCCACCACCUCAUUUACAUAAAACUUAAUAUAAGCACCCACCUCAUUUAUUGUGAAAGAACUCCUUAAUGAUAAUAUAAGUGCACAAUAAUAGUAAAUGAUAAAUAAUAUUUGAAUGACAAAUACCAAUUACAAAACCUAUGUCUAUAUGCAUAUAUUGAAAAAAUAUGUAAAUUAACAUGUCUGAUUAAUGUUAAGGAAAGAAAGAAUGAAUGAAGUUUUGCAAUGAUACAGCUCAACCAUUAAGCUCUAUUCUAUCUUACUUUCUUAUUAUAUAUAUUAGCUUAGCAAUGGUCUCUUCAGCAAUGCUCCCGAGGACAGCUUUGGCCAUUUUUGUUCUCACUUUGGAUUAGAAGAUGAUUAGUCUUGUGGUUCCAAGUCCAUAGACUUCUUGGGACAUGUACAGCAAGUCUGUGUUGAAAAUAGCAUUUCUCAUCGGCCACGCAUAACAUAAGGUGAAGCUUAAGUCCAUAAUGCAUCUAGGACCCACCGACAUUGAUAUUUAUUUCACAGGUUGGUUUUAUCUGGCAGUUUCUGAGGCCCGGAAGCAAGGGAGAAUAGGACCAAGUUGUGAAAGCAAAUUGCCUCUCCAAGUACAAACACUUCAUUUUUUUUCCCAAGGUUUUAUUCUAUAUAUUAAUUUUUUUAAAUUAUGGAGGUCAUUGUUUAAUUUAUUGGGAUGGAUUUUGAGGUAUGACAAAGUUGGUAACAAAAAAAAACCUAGGGCAUAUUAGUUUGCUUUGAUCCAACACCGUGAGAUGUGUGAUGUGAUUAAUUAGUAACUUAUAUGUGUAGAUAUAUUGAUACGUACGAUAUACAUGUUAGGACAGAGAUUAUUUCCAUUAAAAUAGAAAGUUUUAUAUACAUGGAUAACACCAGAUUUGUUAACAUUCCAUUGCCAGCACUACACCAGCACUACGCCUCUCAAUUCAAAACUCUCCUUCGUAUCUUCACUUGACAUUAUUGGUAUUAUUUUACUAAAACCUUACUGUUUAAGGAAGUUCACUCUCCUUGCCAAUCUUUCAAAACUAUUUGCUUCCUAUGAAUAAAAUGCUUCUAGAUUAUUUCUUUCUUCCUUUAUUUUUUCAUAUUCUCUAAAUAAAUGAAUAAAAUUGCUUUAAAGAUCUCUCUUCCAUUACUAGACAAUAUGAAAACUUGCACAUUUAUGUAAUGUAAAAUGAUAUAUUUAGACAUUUUAUGCAUGCCACUCCUUUUUUAUAAAUUUCAAAAGGAUUCACAUGUAGGGCAAAACGACGUACACACGAUUUUUUCUAGCAUAUACAAUAUGUACAAAAUCUUUUACUAUCUCAGUAUCCUAUUGCAAUUAUUAGUUUAGGAUACUCUUUAGUUCAAAUUUAUAGCUUUUUCUUUAACAAUUACUAUAAGAUAAUUCAUGUUUCUUAUCUUUUGAGUCCGGCACUUAUUCCAAUACCCCUAAUAUAUUAUUCUUCCAUUCGAUGUACACAAUCAAAUCUUUGCCAAGUUUCCUUGUGGAUGUUUUCUAAUAGUGCUUGCAAGACCGUAAGAAUUCCUAGUUGGUCAUUAAUGACAAGUUAGUGACAUCGGACCAAGUAGACCUCGUGUGACAAUAAAAUUUGUUGAAGUGGUAUGGAUUAUUGUGACAUGGCUAGAAUGUGCAAAGCAUCUUUUAAAAUCCUAGAAAAAUUCGGAGUGUUAAAACAAUCCAUGCCGCUUUCUUGCUUGAAUACUCUAAUACCUGCUUGAACUACGCGGGAUACCCUUAACAUACUUGUGGAGCAUCUUUUGUAGUGUAAACACGUUCAUCUCUGUGUAUGCGCCUAAACUAUGUGCGAAAGACCAGUAGCCAUUAUCAUUCAUGGAGGAUGUGAUAGGAGUAACUCUACAUAACCUUGUGCAGCAAUGAAAUUUGUAACUCUUCCAAAAAGAAUGUAACUUUUGUCUUCCCUUCCCGAGAAUAUGUUUCCCGACAAUCAUUUCGACAAGCAUUUCCUUUUUUUUUUCCAUUAUAGAAACAAGAAAUACUGUUUGUCCACUGGUGCUUUUCAAAGAAUUUCUCCAAAUUUUUUUUGUCUCGAAAGUGAAGCAAAAGACAAAAAGAGUAAUGGCAAAGAAACUCCAAUAAAUUCCAAGAAGACCACAAAUUUUGCGGACACAAAUUGAAGUUUGUUGCUUCGCUUUUCGCAUCCCUCCUCAUGAGAACGUCUCUUUUUCCAUCACUAGUAGAACUUCCAUGCAUUAUGUUUGGAUUAAUCUCUGUUGUUUUUUCUUUUUUCAAAAUUGUCUCAAUUCGAGGCAUUUGUUAAAAAAUUGCCACAUCGUAAUGAUUUUAUUGACACAAUUCGUUUACCCUGUGAAUUGGGUGAUGUGGAGAGAGUUUGUAUUGGCUUAGAUAAUCUUAGCAUCUAGUGUCUUUGUUGACGUGGCAACAUCUCAAGAUGCCAUAUUGGACACUUAUAUGGACAUUUAACAACUAUUUAACGGUGUUGGCAUCAUGUCAACAUUUUUCAUUUGGAACAUUAACGAAGUCCUCACAUUGACCUCAUGAAAAAUUCAGAUAAUUGAUUGAACGAGAAAACUUUAGGUACCUAAUUGCGAAAGGGCUAAUAAUACAAGUACUUGUAAUGCCAUUGUUCCAAAGAGUUUAUCACAAAAUCAUUGGUCUAGGCUCAAAUCUCAAACAUACUUUUGUUUACGGAAUAUUUUCUCCACAACUCAUCCUCUCGAUUCAUUUCUUGGUUUCCCUUUAAUAAUUUUCUUUUGUAAGAUUAUUCAUUCUUUCGCGUGAAAGAAAACAGGAAAUAAUUUUGUUAAUUUCACGUGCCAAAAGAUUUCAAUGGCUAAAUGUCAAGCACAUUGGAGGACUACAAAAUUUCUCAAUGUCGAUUUCCCUUAGAUUUUUUCCUAAUCAUUCGAUCAUAAAAAUUCAAGCUUUACACUUGAAAAUUUUUAGUGGAUUAUCAAACGUUUGAUUGAAAAUAAACUUUUUCUUAACACUUGAUUUUAGUUCGGUUGGAUAUCAUAUUAAUAGUAUUAUCAUCACAUGUAAUUGUAUGGGCACACUUAAUUUAAAACCUUACUAUGAUUUCUUUACCAAUUACAUCUAAUUUGCCUAAAUAAUAUUUUUUGUAGAUAAUUUGUUCCAACUUUUCCAGAGAUCAAUUGAUAUCAUCUGGAAUCCCCAGUCUGACCCGCAAGAGACAACAUUGAUACCACAGAAUAUAUUGCAGCCCAAUAUAAGCAGUUAACGACUACUUAAUAGCAUUGAUGUCAUAUAAACAUUUUCCGUUCACGAUUCAAUGGAGGUCUCGCAUUGACCUACAUCCGAAUUGUCGAGAUAAUUGAUUGAAUGAAAAAAAAAAAAACUCUAGAUACUUGAUUGCCAGUUCAUAGGUAAGAAAUUUCAUGCACCUAACGAUCUACUUUUAUUUUAGUCAAUUUGAAUAUUUUUAGAAGCCGUAGAUACAUAAUGAAAUUGAUGACGUUUCUUUUAUGAAGGGUUUGCUUCAACCACACGUAUGAAAAAUCGAAUAAGCGCCUCCUCUGAUUGUCUUUCUCUUUUCCUUAUUCAGCCAGAUCCCAAAUGCUUGAAACAAGGCGCCAUCAAAUCAUAUAUAUGUGCCAAGAGAUAUAUAUAUAUAUAUAUAUAUAUACAAGGCGAUUGUUAAUGAUAGUUGUAAAGUUAUACACAUAUUUCAAUAGUAUUGAAAUACUCCCUCAUCCAUUUAAUUUUGGUGCGCUUCACCACAUUAUGGUCAGUAUUGAAUAUAUAUAUUUUUCUCUUUUAAUAUUCAAUAACUUUGCGGAUUCCAUAAUUUUUUAUUUUGUGAAAAAAGAAAAACGGAAAAUUGAUAGUGCUUGCAAUUGAGGCCUCCAUGUACCAAAUUAGAUUAGUGCAUUUGUCAAUUUAAUUAAUUAAUUAAUUAAUUAAUUAAUUUAUGUAGGCACUCAUAUUUGGUUCAAGUAUACCAACUUAUGAGGUUGGAGUUGAAAACAAUCAACCAUAAAAACAGCUCAUUUUAUGCUAAUUCCUUAUUCUUAAUCAGAUGUGAUAUGGAAAUAUCGAAUAUGGACACUAGUAAAUUUCAUAUUUUAGAUUUCAUAAUUAAAGGACCUCACUAAUUGGCAUCAAAUUCAAAUGAACUUUGGAUUUCAUAAACAAGAUGUUUACUUACUUAUUAAUUUUUUUCAUUUUUUCUUUGAUAGAUUCCAAGAAGACCAAGACUUUUACAUGUUUGUAUGUUAGUGGGAAAAAAACUUCAAUAGAUAUCAAGAAGACCAAGACUUUGUAUGUCUUUCUUGCCAUUACCAAUAGAAUUUCUAGGCGCUACAAGUCUUGCUUAAAAUUAACAAAGCCAUAAUUUUCCUUCAAUUCUUUUUGGGUUUAAUCAUUUUGGGAUUUUUUCAUUCAUUAAUCUCUAUUGUAUCGCAAAGUGAUGAUGAGCAAAUGGAGAGAGAACCAUAAAGUCCGGGAAGAUCAAGACUUUCACCUACUAAAAAUAUCAUUUUCAGACAAGGACUUUCACCUACCAAAGAUGUCAUUUUCUUUUUCAAAGAAAAAGUGAAAGAGUGAUGGCGAGAGAGAAACUAAUAUAUUCUAGGAAGACCAAGACUCUGCAUGUCAUUUGAUUGUGCACGUCUUUUGAUGGUGGGAAAGAAACUUCAAUAGAUUCCAAGAAGACCAAGACUUUUGCACGUUUGUACGUUAGUGGGAAAGAAACUUCAAUAGAUGCCAAGAAGACCAAGACUUUGUAUGUCUUUCUUGCCAUUACCAGUAGAAUUUCUAGGCGCUACAAAGUCUUGCUUAAAAUUAACAAUGCCAUAAUUUUCCUCCAAUUCUUUUCGGGUUUAAUCAUUUUGGGAUUUUUUUCAUUUAUUAAUCUCUAUUGUAUCGCAAAGUGAUGAUAAGCAAACGGAGAGAGAACCAUAAAGUUCGGGAAGAUCGGACUUUCCACCUACUAAAAAAAUCAUUUUCAAACAAGGACUUUCACCUACCAAAGAUGUCAUUUUCUAUUUUUGUGGAAAGUGAAGCAAAAGUGAGAGAGUGAUGGCGGGAAAGAAACUAAUACAUUCCAAGAAGACCAAGAUUGUGCACGUCUUUUGAUGGUGGAAAGAAACUUCAAUAGAUUCCAAGAAGACCAAGACUUUUGCACGUUUGUAUGUUAGUGGGAAGGAAACUUCAAUAGAUGCCAAGAAGACCAAGACUUUGUAUGUCUUUCUUGCCAUUACCAAUAGAAUUUCUAGGCGCUACAAAGUCUUGCUUAAAAUUAACAAUACCAUAAUUUUCCUCCAAUUCUUUUCAUUUUGGGAUUUUUUCAUUCAUUAAUCUCUAUUGUAUCUUUUCAAAUUUGAGUUCAACAAAUGAAAAGAAAAAAGCAAAGAGAAAAAACAGACAAGAAGAAAGAGCAAAAAAGUUUAAAAAGGAAGUAAAGAAGGAAAGGGGCAAGAUAGAGCACCAUUGAAGCACAUCCACAGUGUGUUGUUGCCGUUAGCACCAUCACUUUGGUGACUAUUUCCAACUUUGCCACCUUAUAAGUUACAAUGACCUUCGUAGACAAUAUUUUUCUUGAGAUGUUUUCCUUAGACUGGUUCAGAAGUUGAGGAUAAUGGCAUCGAAAUUAUCAAAACUUUCGCUUGUUUUACAAUAGAGUACCUAAACUUUUCUUUUUUCAAUCAAGUAUCUCACUUUUUCAAAUUUGAUACAAUUUGAGGCAUUCGCUAAAUGAAUCAUCAUGUCAUAUGAUUUUGGUUACAUGAUUUGCUCACCUUGCAUAUUGAGUAAUGUGGAAAGAAAAAAUAUUGACUUAGAUAAUCGUAGUGUCUUAUAUAUCUCGGCCGAUGUGGCAGCAUAUCAAGAUAUCGUAGAAAACACUAAUGUGGGCAAUUAAUGACUAUUUAAUUAAAUCGGUAUGAUAUCAACAUUUUUUGUUAGUGAUUUAAUAGAGGACUUAACCUAUAUUCGGAAAAUUGAGGUAAUUGACUGAAUGAAAUAAAAUUUUGGUAUGAUUAAAAAAAGGGUAAUAAUUUAUCCAAUAAUUUAUCUUUUUUUACAUGAUAUUCAUGUGAAAGAGAAUAUUAAGUGGUUUUGUCAAUUUCAAGCCAUUGCAAAAAGAUUUUAGUGGCUAUAUGUCAAGCCCAUUUGGAGACUAUAACGUUCUCAAUGUUGAUUUCCUUUAUAUUUUAUGCAAUCAUUCGAUCAUAAACCAUUCCUGCCCCUUUUUCUUGGCCAAUUCCACUGCUUUCCCUUUCAUCUAUUCACCCAAAACUAAAAAAGUAUGUGUAGUUUGGCCUAAAUCAGUUUGAACCGGUUUGAAAAUGUACCAAUUUUCAAAAUUGGAUCUGCCUAGUUUUAGAAUCCCAUGGGUAUAGAAUUGGGCUUUUGGCUACUGUUGCACAUGGGGGGACUCAAGCACUCAAUUCCACAGAUCACCGGCAUUUUACUUUACCACUAAGGCCGAACGAUUCAUGUGUUCAUGGGCAAUUGACAUCAUUGCAUAUCUAUAAUCGUUUGCUCUAGACACAAUCACUGAUUCACUCCUAGUCCAAUCGUUAGGACCACAAACUGGCAACCUAACUGGUUCUCCGACUGGCCUAAGUUUGAAAACAUUGGUGCCAAGUUCCUAUCCCUUCUUAAAACAAGUAGAUAAUGACCAUCUUAUAUGAAUUGAGUUGUAAUUGACGCAAUACUUUUGCCACGUAAUGAAAGAUGAUAGCUAAGUGAUUAUAACUAAUAAACGUUGAUGCUCCUCUUUCUCCUUGGUUAUAUUAGACCUAGAAAUUCUUCGUACUGCUCCAAAUGAGGUUGAUGCUCAACUCCCAUGGUACAUUACUCCUGUCAUUGCUCUAGUUGGAGCUAUGAUUGAUGCUUGACAUUUCCCUUAAAAAUUUCGUAUUCAACAGUAAGUCUUUGCUUUGGCAUCGCACAUACUUCAAUUUGAGAUGCUAAUAAAUAUUAGUCAAGAGGGAAAAAAAGUUAACAUCUACCACUCUUAGGAACCUUAUAUGCUAUUAGGAACUUUGUCCAGCAUGGCAUGCUAUCGAGAGGUCGUAGGACUUUGUCAGGCUUAAGAAGAGAUCUAAUCUCCCCAAUCAAAAGAAAUGAAAUCUAUCAACCAUUGGAUUUUGUUAUAAAGCAAAAAUCUAGAAAAUGAUGCAGUGCAAUAUAUUUAGCUACACAAUAGUAGUUUGAUUUGUCACAUGUAGUUUUUGGAUAUCAUGGUUUUUACAAGCAUGAGAAGUAAACUAGUCACAACAUUCGGAAGCAAAUUACUCAAUAUCAUCUCCAGUGAGUUUGCUAAGAAUUUUCUUUUGAUAAGCAAAAGAAAUUUACUGCACAAUGGCGUCAAGUAGAUGCUAGCCCAUGUAACAAAUGAUAAACAUGGUGCCAUGAGGUAUAAGAAAGAAUGCACAUUAGUAACGUCGUUGUCACACAACCAAAAGCCGUGGAAAGCCAUCUAUCAUUCAAAUAAAAUAAAAUAAAAACCAGUCUUGCUAUUUUCAAAAGCGCUUGUAUUUUUUUAUUUUUUUUGGUAAAGGUAAUGAUAUAUUGAGCCAAGAACCAAUAAUUACAGAAGAUUAGGCACCACAAAACUUUCACUCAAAGAGACACAGCGUCAAAUGGAGUGAAAGGGCGCCUAAUGCAAAAGACCACCGCAAAGCCGUCAUAGCAAGCAGGCAAACACAGACGGCCGAAAAGAAAGACAAAACAGCCACGCAGGGCUGGGGAAACAAAGAGAACAACACCAACCAAGGAACAACAACAAGGAGGACCCGAAGAUUCGAGGCAGCCGCGGAAGGCGCAGAAAACGGGGAGGAAGCCGCAAGACACUAGGCGGUUGGCGAAUGAGAUACUAGGCAGUCAACGUAGGAGAAGAGAAAAUAGAAGGGUCGAGCCCCCAAUUCCGAUGAAGCCUUCUAUUUGUCUUUGACCACUUUAAUGAGAUGCUUCUUGAUAGCCACAAGCACCACUGGAUGACCUCUGAAGAGAAUGUCGUUCCUAUACCUCCAAAUAAGGUGGCAGAGGGUAGCAAAAGAGAAGCGCCCUAUAGCAUGAUAGAAGUCCUUACCUGAUAGGAAAUUCAUCGCCCACUGAAGAUUUUCCACCCACGACCCGUUUCUCCACGGGAGAUUGCACUUGGCCACCCAAAAUAAGCCAUACGCGAAGUAAUACCGCAUCCGAAGAAGAGAUGGUCAAUAGAAUCCGGCGUGUGCUUGCAAAAGGCACAAACUUCCCUCCCGAUCCUCCCAUAGGACAUAAGAAAAGCUUGUGUAGGAAGGCGGUUCUUAACGAUUAGCCAUAAAUUGAAUUGGUACCUCGGAGUGAUAGCUUUACUCCAUAUAAAGGAUGACCAGUCCACUCUCGCUUUCCUCUUUCUGAAAAAAUGCCAUGCAGAAGCCACUGAGAAGAGACCAGACGAAUCGACACUCCACACAAAUCUAUCCGGAACCUCAGGGAGAAGAAUAGGGAGCUGGCCCCACGAGUCCAUCGCCAUCCUAAAGGCUCGACUAGGGUCUGAUAAAAGGUCCGCAACGGCUGCACACCUAUGAAGUCCCGACUCUAAGAUAGUUUGCUCCGAGCAAAUCAGAUCCAACGGCCCCCUCUGGUGCCAAUGAUCAUACCAGAGAGAGACCGUUCGCCCAUCACCAAUCCUCCAGCGGAAAUUGAGUCAGACCUUGGGUCUUAGGUGUAGGAUCCUCCUCCAAGCCCAAGAGCAGCGAGCCGGAGCCUUAACCAUCCAGAAGUUCUUCCCUCUUAGAAAAGUAGAGUGAAUCCACUUGCACCACAAGGACUCUUUGUCAGUGAAGAGGGUCCAAAUAUGUUUGAGCAUAGCCGCUUUGUUGUACUCUCGUAGUCUACGAAUCCCAAGACCACCUUCCUCUCUAGGGAGACAUACAUCCUCCCAGGAUACCUUGGCACCUCCCUUACCAAGGUUAGGCCCCUUCCGCAGGAACCAUCUGAGAAUUUGCUCUAUACGAUCUAAGACUGCGAUAGGAAUAAUAAAUACACUUGCCCAAUAGGCCUAAAUCGCAUGGAGCACUGACUUAAUAAGUUGAACUCUUCCGGCAAAUGAGAGAAAUCGAUGAGUCCAAGAUUGCACCAUUGCCGUAAUGCGAUUGACCAAGACAACGCAAUCCGCCUUGUCGAAACUCGAGGAGAUGAUAGGGGCUCCUAGAUAGCGUACCGGUAGCUUUCCUUCAACAAAUCCAAGGGUCUCCUUGAUCUGAGUUCUCAAUUCAUCCGAGCCACCCACGAGGAACACCUCACUUUUGCUGUUGUUCGGUAUCAAACCACUCCAAGUCGAGAAAGUAUCAAGCCCAUCUUUAAGAAGCCUGACGGCCAUAUCUGCUCGGCAAAAAAGAAACACAUCGUCCGCAAAGAAUAAAUGAGAUAACCGAGUGGCCUUGCACCUCCAGGAGAAGUUGAAUCUAGGUAGGUCCGCAGGGGAAGUGAGGAUCCCCGAGAAGACUUCCAUCACCAAGGUAAAUAGAUAAUGGGACAUAUGGUCCCCCUGUCGAAGGCCACAGCUGCUAGGGAAGAAUCCAUGGAGCUCUCCAUUCAAUGAAAUAGAAAACAUAGGCAUGCGCACACAUACCAUGAUAAGCCGAAUGAAGUGGUCCGGGAAGUGAAAAGCCCGGAGAACCAUCUCAAGGAAGUCUCAACCUACCGUGUCAUACGCUUUCUAAAAGUCCACCUUGACAGCACAUUUGGGGGAAUAUGGCUGAAGAUGAAACCGUGCGAACAACUCCUGGGCUAGAAGAAUAUUGUCCCUGAUCCGGCGACCCUUAACGAAGGCGUUUUGAGAAGGGCUAAUGGUAUCCUAAAGAACAGCCGUGGCACAAUUGGCUAAGACCUUGGUAAAACAUUUGUAGAUCGUGUUGCAACAAGCAAUAUGUCUAUAAUCAUUUACUGAGGUCGCAUUAGGCACCUUGGGAAUCAACACCAGGAUGGUGGCAUUAAUCUCUCUCAAAAGUCUCCCCGUGACAAAGAAGUCAUUCGCUGCAUCCAUGACCAACGAUCCAACAAGGUCCCAGUUACUCUUGAAGAACUCAACGCCAUACCCAUCUGGCCCCGGAGCCUUUCCUCUGGCUAGAGAGAACAAGGUAUUCUGAAUCUCCAUCUCUGAGAAUGGACGGGCGAGUGAGGCAACCUGAGCCUCAGAGAGCGGACACCGGAUAGCUUGCUGUAAGUCGUCCAAGGCUGGCCUAUGAGGGAGAGAUCGCGAGGCAAACAACUCUUUGAAGUGAGAAACGAAUGUCUCCUGAAUAAGGUUCGGCUCGCUGACAAGAUUCCCAUUUCUAUCCAGGACUGAGAUGAUUCUAUUCUUCAGCUGCCUCGUAGUCACUGAAUGAUGAAAGUACUUGGUGUUCUUGUCACCAUUCUCUGCCAGGAGGAUGCUUGUUGGAUCCAGCUGUAGGUCCUCUUGUGCUAACCUUAGAGCAUUCCUGGAUUGGGCAACCCUCUCAGACAAGUUAGAUAAUGAGUCUCUAUUCAGCUACUUGAGCCGUCUCUUCAAGGCUUUUAAUUUGGUAACCAAUUUGAAAAUGGGAACACCUUCCCCCGGAGCCUCCCACACCUGGGUAACAAUGUUAUGAAAUGAAUAGUGCUCCAUCUAGAAAUUAAAGAACUUGAAAGGCUUCCUUCACAAAACCGGUUGAAUCACCUUGGCCAACAUCGGAGAGUGGUCAGAAAUACCAGGUGUCAGAAACAACGCUUCAGAGUAAGAGAAAUGCAAACUCCAAAGAGCGUUAACCAGCACCUGGUCAAUCUUUCUCGCUUUCCGGUUGGCCCCUGAAGACGUCGACCAGGUAAAUCGAAGGCCCACAUAUCUCAAAUCCUCAAGCUCUGAUUGAUGCAAGCAAUGAUUAAAUUCCCCAAAGGAGGGAAGCUAGGCAUUAGUACCACCAAAUUUGUCAGAGGGGUCUCUAAUAGCAUUGAAGUCACCAGCAACCAUCCAUGGAAGGUCGUAGAUGCAAGAGCUCAUCUUGAUCAAGUCCACCCAUAAGGGCCUUCUAGAAACAAAAGAGUGCUAUGCGUAGACAAUUGAGGUGCAGCAACAAAGACCCAACGACAGAAGCCUAACUCUGCCAUGGAUGACUUGAUCAUUAGAAGCUAUCACCUCAAAAUUAACCAAUGAAGGGUCCCAACCGACCCAAAUUCUGUCCCUCGGAGACGAACUAUAGUUGGCAAUCCAAGUCCACCCCGAAAGCAGACCAGACGAUAAAGAGCAAAAUAGAUAAUACGGGACUUUAGUCUCUAGAAGCCUGACUAAACAAAGACCAUUCGAAAGAACCAAUUUACGAAUCUCGACUCUCCUCAAAGGAUCCAUAAGACCACGAAUAUUCCAAAAGCUAAAAUACAUAACGAAACUAAGAACAAACUACGCUAAAUAAGAAAGACUAGAGCAAGGCUACUUGGCUUUUGAAGCUUCGGCGGAGGGGGUCCCAGCGCACCACCAAUGGAUUCAUCCGAUACCGGAUCCGGGGCAAGUGCAAGAAGCCGAUCUUGGAUGGUCUCCACCAUUGUCGCGGCAUGAGGCUGCUGAUGAAAAGGUGAACCAGGGGAUGUUAUAUCCUCCUCAUCCGACGAUGCAAAAGAAGCCGCGACUUCCGACUCCAAUCCAUGAUCCACGGUGGAGGAGAGAACUGGGAGCUGUGGUGGGUCUGCCAUGAGAGAAAGAACCACCUUGGGAGAGGCACUGGCUCCCCUUACCGUCUUUCGAAUAGGAGCGGGCGGAGAAGGACCCGCUGUGGGUGGAGGUGGAUCAACAGCCGGGGCUUUGUCCCGAGAGGGUUGUCCAGGCCCUGCAGUAGCGGAGGAACUGGGUGACUCCCACACGAAGGGGGCUUGAUUUUUCUUCUUCUUGCCCUUUACCUUCCUCCAAGGCUAUUCCUGGGCGGGUUGAGGAGGAGCACCCACCAUUGGAAGAUCCUCAGCCUCCGGGGGAACGGACAACGAUGGGAUCGGAGUGGACUAGACCUGAGCAGGGCCAAUUGCGGACUGAGGAGGGACAGAUUCGACCACGGCAUUUCUUUCUUCACAACGAAACAAUAAGCUAUUGAAGUGAACAACCACGAACACAGCCCGACAUAAACAAGGAGUAAUAAAAACUACUUACUGUUUGAUGUUAGGUUCUAAAGUCCAACAAAAGGAAGUUCUCUAGUAGAACCCAAAAACAGGAGUGUGCCAUAGAUUCACAGAGAAUUUAAACAGAAAUUACAAGACCUAUGAAACAGGCAAUGGGAUAGAAAGCAAAUGAAGGUUUGUUGCAGAAGGCAGGCAUAGACAUUGUGGACCUGAAUAUCCAUGCACAGUGAUGAACAAGGCAUUACUGCAGGGUGAGCUCGGCAUCUAAUUUGUAACAACAAGAGAGAGAAUGUCAAUCAUCAUAGCAGCUGAGGCUGUGUUCUCCAUGAUAGCUACUACCCAAUCAUCUCUUUGACCCAACAAUUGAGAUUCAGAUGCAGGGUGGCAAGUUGAUGCAAGCCUAGGGGAGGCUUUCUCAAACAAUAGGAUCGGGAGAGUGACUCGCACACAGAAACAGGACAAACAGGAAUUUCAGCACUGCGCGAGCUCAGGAGAACAGCUGUAUCUCUGUCGAUACAGAUCGGAUCGACCUGAUUCCAAAGCAAAAUGAACAAAGACUUCUGGAUCUACAAUUUCUCUGUUUUGGGUUUUCUGAAAUAAGCACUGUAGGAUAGUCGAAAUUGGGUAGGAAGUAACAAACAGAACAGGAAAAGACAGAGACUCCGUUGGUUGCUCUUCUAGGCCUCCAAGGAAGUUGAAAGGGACACCGAUUCUUCUAGAUCGAUGACUGCAACUCUUCAAGGAUGCAGAUUUUGAAAGCUCCGACUCUUCAAGGACGGAGUGAAAACUCUUCUAGGUUUUCAAGAGUUGAACUCUACAAGGUUCACGAUACUUGCUUCAAGCAAAGCUUUUCAUUCAUAAAAAAUUGUCUGUCUUCUACAAGGGAUUGGCUUAUAUCAUCAAAGAAAUAAAAAUAGAACGUUGAAAAUAGGAGAAAUAAAGACAAAGCGUAGAAAACUAGGAGAAAUAAAAACGGAGCAUUGAAAAUAGGAGAAAUAGUAAAGGGCAUGGAAACUAUAAACUAGUAAAAGCGUCACGCGAGCUUCCAAUGUGUCUUUGACUCAAGAUGUCAUUAUGGCUUCUCGGUUUCGUCGAGCUUUAAUGCGGGCCGAUCUUCUUGGUCGAGAGAGCCGGUCUUCAAUGUGGGCUGCAUCACAAGUUCAUCUUCAGAAUAGCAGAUUAGGACAGCCGCUCUCAUUAAGUCAGACCAAUAACUGAGAAUGAACCAGUCAUUGUAAAUAGACUGCUUCUGAUGACCUUGCUAGCAUCAAGGUGAGCUAAGAGUUGCCAAAAGCAUUAUUUGCACAUUCUUUCGGAAUCAUUGAUUUCUCAGAGUUCCAGUGGCAAUUUUAGGACUAACAAGGAAUGAGAUGGAUCGGUCCACUAUUAAUUAACUUGGUUUAUAGAUGUAAGUAGAGUAAGUUUAAAGUCAUCUGUACAAUAACUGGAAUCAGUGAACUCGUGAAGAAGAAGACUGGAAAGCAAGUUAUCUUGACAACUCGAAUAAGAACAUAUGACCUUAAAGUGAAUCCUGAGGCUAGUAUUUAUAGUCAAUAUCAUGUAUAUCGAUUAAGGAGCUAUCUCCAAGUACAAUAUCCUUCAAUACACGGAUGGCUUUUAUUUGGUUAAGUUGCAUAGCAAGGCCUCCAUCAUAAGAGGUACCCUUUAGAAAAUCAUUAUCUUCCAUAUCCGAUGAGUCCAUAAAAGUUUCCAUCUUUUUCUUCCUCCCGUAUAACCAAUAAGGCUUAGGACUUUUUCCUUCCAAAUAACGAGCAGACAUUUCUGAAUCAGCUCCGCACCUUCAUAAACUCCUCUGAAGAACACACUAAACCUCUUUCCCCUCUCAGAAACAUAGAAAACGCCAUAAUGCUUCAACAGGAGUCUCAUCAACUUCCGAGGCAUCACAAAUUCUUGUCGAAAGUGCGCGGGGUGAUUGGUUACCAACCUCUUUUCCAUUGUGAAGCUAAGUAACUCAUGCAUUGCUGCAAUGGAUCUCUUAUUGAAUUCUUUCAAUCCAGCUUGAAGGCCACAUGCAUUAGCGUAAGGAGUCAAGUAAGACCUUUUCUGAAAGUGCUCAAUCUUCCCUCCGUAGCUACACACCUUCUUGUAACUGGCAGGAAACUUGAAGGGGGAAAGAUAGGGAAAGCAACCCUGGAGUAUGAAAAGGCAAAUUCUGAUACCCCCAAUAUGGGCUUCUCCAACUCUGUGAUAGCCCAAGUAGGAUUCCACCCUAUGAGCUCGAGGUAAUCAACUUCAUCUGGAGAUUUAACCACUUUGAAGUGCUGCGGAUACUCGUGUACCCACUUGCUCCUAAAAUUAGCUGGCAAACCAGACUCUCUCCUGUAAUGAGCAAUUUUGUCCGGAGGAAGCCAUUUGUCGACCGACAUCAUCAACAUCCUAGUCACGUAUUCAACAGCCGUGCCAGAAUGUCCCCUAAUCAAUCUCUCCUCUUCCUCUAACAAGUCUUCAGCUUCUUUAGUUAUUUCCAAACCACAAUACCCCCUUCUGAUCUUUACACAACUCAAAACAAUUUUGGUGACUUUCGAAUAAAAUCCACUAUACUGUUUGCUUGGCUAUAGAUCCAGCGAUCUCACAGGGAUUAUCAUCUCGGGUUCCUUUUUCAACAUUUCCAUCAAAACCAACACCUUUGACACCACUUUUGCUUCUCAGUGGCAAUUUCGAGAUCAUGGACCCUCUUGUCCUUGUUCCUAUCUUGCACUCUCUUGCUGGUGUUCAUGAAUCUACGCUAUGACCAGUUAAGUAAAAUCUCGCCAAAACUCAAGUAUCCUCUCAGGGUAGGCGAAUGCACUGGUGAGGUGACAAAGCAACCAAACUCUCUUGCCGCGCUUCAUUCAUUCAUUCGAGAAAGCCACUGUUUUACCAAUGAUUUGAAAACGGGUCAUCUCAAGAUGGUAAUGCCUCGCUCCAAAUUCAAGAAACAAGCCCAACAAAAGCAAAUGCCUCUUGCUCAGGGCAAACAUCAAACGGCUUACGUGCAAUGGAACGAGGAACAACAAGAGCCCAAGACAAAAACAUUCGAGAAGAUCGCCGUAAAAGAAAACACAUGCUCCUGUCAUUGCCUUUUACUGAAUCAUUGAGUUACAAAUUUUAGGAAGUGUGCCCAAACUAGUCACGAGCAAGUUCUUAGCAAGUCAUUCCGGAUAACUCAAUUAUUCAUUGAUAUUUUCUUAAUUCCGUGAGCAAUAAGCGUGCAGUUUGAACAUAAUGCAACUAAACCAAGUAUUUACCACAAUAUGGAUUGAUUCUUUUCCUUUUUUAAGAAGAACUUAAUUCAGUUCAAUUUAAGAAAAUUAUAAGCUGAACAGGAUUAAGAUAAAUAUACAACCAAGCUAAAUAAAAAACUGAGUUAUUUAAUGUGAAAUAAAAAAAAAAAAACCAAACCAAUAUUUUCCUGUCCCUCUGUAGGAGUGUAUUUGAUAAAUUCUUAAAACAGAUCCAUUAAACCUCAGUCAAACCUCAGACUAACGAAACUCAGUCAAACCUCUUUUUCUUAAAAGAGAAAAAAGAAAAAAGAAAAAUAAGCCGAGAGCCAUUCACCCCCUGCGCAGAGUGAAAUUCCAUGGUCGUCGAAGAUGCUUUUGUCUCUCAGGUGAGUUUCACGAAGCUCCGCUUGAUUUCACCUCAUGUCCUUUUCUGCAGCGCGAUCGCCGGCGAUGAUGAUUCUGAGUUUCGUCUCGUGUUCAGAGCCGAAGAGCAGAAGAUCGUGGAACGAGAGGACGUAGACGACGGAGCAGAAGACCUGCUCGAAACGAUCGACAAACAAACGUGAGUUACGGCAAAACAGAGUGUAGGCAACUCCUCUCUGUUCAUAAUGCGUUUUCGUAAUGCGUUUCGGUACAUCCUUUGAUUCUGAGAUGAUUAUCGUGAUUUUCUGAUCCGUGCCCCGAAAGUUAAAAUUGAGAUGCAAAUGGUUCGAUGAAGCUAUGGCUGUGAUUAUCGUGAUUUACAUCUCGAGCUUUCUCUCAAACUUGCUGUGAUUUACAUAGAGUUUAACACGAUGGUUAAGCUCGAGUCUUUGUUGAAGGACGAUUCUGAUUCACUCAAAUCCAGCAAAGUGAAGAAUAAUGUGGAGAGAAUCGACUACUGGAAGCCAAGCCCUCGAUAAGCUUUUAGGCGGGAACAGACUUUCUUUUGCAGACUGUGUGUCUUUUUCUCCAUGCAUUUCAACGAAAACAAAUUUCACCGGUUUGGCAAUGUUUACAGGUGGUAUUGAAACUCGGGCAAUUACGGAAGCAUUUGGCGAACCUGGGUGAAAAUCACAGUCCAACAACGUUACCUUUGAUGAACUUUUAGUUGCUUUUGUUAAUUAGCUUUCUCAGAAAAAUGCUGCUGACGUCACUUCAGGUCUGGGAAAACACAGCUUGCAUGUACCCCAUGCGUUACUUCUCGGGUUGGUCUGAAUUAGAUAUUAGGUUUCUGUCUUGAACUUCUGUUGCAUUUUUUUUUUUUUUCUGAUGAAAAAUGCCAAAUAGUAACAUAAUGAUUGAAUUUCUAUGGAGUAUAAAGAUGUGUGUAUUAGGUGAUUCUGGAAGUACGGCACUCUCAUUUUCUGUAAUCUGCAGUCAGUAUACUGGAACGCAUGUACAGUGGCUCAAACCAAGCAGGAAAAAGGCCAGAAGAGUUUGUACUAUGUCACAACCGAGUAAAACCCUUAAUCAUAGUCAGACUCGGACUUGGGUUGAUCAUUAGUCGAAUGUGAUGCUUGAAGAUACUCUACUUUAUUUCCAAAUCCUACAACAGUAUUUACCCCUAUUUUCAAUCAUUCUUUAUUAAUGGUUUGUGGAUUCCAUGGCCGUAAAAUAUUUUCAGCUGCCAACUCACAUGAGAGGAGGAAAUGGCAAGGUAGCUUAUAUCGACGCAGUAGGAACUUUGUAUCCUAUUAUGAUCUGUCUGUAUUUUUCAUGACCUUGACAAAGAUACUUGUGUUUCUGAAUCAUCAUCUGUCCAUGUAAGCGCAUGUGCACUUUCUUAACUUAGUACACCUGCAGUCUUAGAUAAUGUAAGCAAUGCACUUUCAAUUUUAAUCAAAUUCUAGACAUUAAACAUGCUCCAUGUCCGUCACUCUUUACUAAAUCACCUAGUUACAAAUUUUAGGAUGUAUGCCGAUCUAGGUUCAACACAACCAAAUCGGUCAUGAGUAAGUGCUUGGCAUGUCAUUGUGAAUAAACUUAAUUGUUGAUUGAUAUUUUCAUGAUUUUAUGAGCAAUAAGUGCGGAGUUUGAGAACAAUGCAAUUAAACCAAGAAUUGACCACAAUGCAGAUCGAUUAUUUUCCUUUUCUAAGAAGAAAUUUAUGUGGUCCAAUUUGAGAAAAUUAUAAACCAAGCGAGACGAAGGUGAGUGCAAAAUUAAGCCAAAUCGAAUUAAAUUAUUCAGUCCGAAAUUACAAAAAAAAAAGUCAUACCCAAUUUUCUCUCAUCCUCUUUAAGAGUGGAUUUAAAAAGAUUUUAAGAAUUUAUCAGAUCCAUUAAAGCUCAAUUUAUAAUAACAAAACUCCAUCAAACCUCUUUUUCUAUAAAAAAAAAAGAAAAAGAAAAAUAAGCCAAUAGCUAUUCUUCCCACUUCCCGCCUCUAUAUCUAUAUGGAUUCCCUCCGAUUUGCGAUCGUUUCCAAAAUCCACAAAAAAUUUGAAAGUCUCUUCUCCUGCGCAGACGCACCGAACUCCAUGGCCGUUUGAUUCUGAAGUUGAUCAUCGUGAUUUUCUGGUCUCUGUUCUCAAGUUGACUGUAUAUCUCUUUGAAUGUCGAUGUUAAGUGACUCUGAAUACUGCUAAGUGCAUGAGCUUGAUUUCGGUUUCGGUUGCUCAGUUUAGCUCGAUUUUCCUGGAACAUCACCGUGAAUCCAUUGGCAUUUUUACAUCUCGGCCUUUCUCUCGAACUUGUCGCGAUUUUCUGCACGCGCACGAUAGUUUUUAGUUUUUGUCUUCUGAUCAUCCAAGAGCAAUUCAGCCUUCGUUAUGUUACGUGACAUCCACCGGAUGUCUUUUUUCCCGUGUGUUCGUGACGUAGCUGGAUUAAUAACGAAUAUCCUAAGCUUAAUUCAUCAAUAAUAUCUGUUGGAACGCUAGAUUGUCAGUGAUGAUCUAGGAAAUGCUUUUGUCCUGACAUUCUACAUUCACCAGAAAACUUAGUUUAACGCGAUGGUUAAGCUUGAGUCUUCAUUGGAGGACAAUUCUGGUUCGCUGAAAUCCAGCAAAGUGAAGAAUAAUGUGAAGAGAAAAUCAAAGACUAAGAUCGAACAGUAUCUCGAGCGUGUAAUGCGGAAAGCUGAUAUAUCUGCCGAGGAGGAUCUGGAAUUGGAAAGGAAGCUUGCCAAGAAGCUCUAGGUAAAGGAUGGAAAGCUACUUGGGUCAGACGAUGGAAUGAGUAUGUUAUUUAAAGGAAUUCCUUCUAUUCUUGAUUCUUUUGAACAAGACGCACCAGGGGUAAGAGAAAAUUGUAGUGAAAGAUUUGAAGGUAAAUCUUCAGGAGAAAAAAAAGAAAUGUCCAAGCAAGAGCAUAUGCAGGAUGAUGGAAAAGCUGUUCAUGUUAAGGCUGGAGCCUGUGACUCAGUAGACUAGAAACCCCUUCAUUUCAGCUCUCAAGUGAGUUCGUGAGCUCCACAAAUUUCAAUUCAUUUCCUUUUCGUGAUGCGAUUGCCAAGAAUGAUUCUGAGUUUCCAUUCGACUUCCUCUUGAACUUGUUGUGAUUUUCUGUGCAUACGAUAGUUUAAUUUUCUUUCCUUAAAUGACGAGAAGUAAUUUCCACCACUACUUGAAUAUGAUAUGUCUAAUUCACCUCUUCGACGUAUGUCUUCUAAAUUAUACAAGAGCAAUUUGGCCUUUGUUAUGUUACGUCACAUAGUAAUUGUACCAUCGGUACAUCUAUUAUCCAUGUAUUUACAGCAUAGAUGGAUUAAUAACGAAUUUCCUAAGCUAAAUUCGUCAACAAUCACUAUUGGAACACUUGACAUUCUACAUUCACCAGAAAAUAUAGAGUUGAACACGAUGGUGGGUUGGUUUUUUUUUGUUUGCAGGUAUUUCUCAGGGAAUCCAUGCUGGAGAUGUGAAAAAAGAUACAGGAUGCAGGGAUCGACACUUGCAAAUGUCUUGAUGAUGCAUACAGAGAAGGUAUAUCUGAUAUUCAGUUCCGAAAAUUAAGUGGAGGUAUUAUUUGGCUAAGGUGAUUUCCUCUGUCUUUGUUUUGUUUUUUUGUAGCACUUAACUAGAACCAAAGGUUUCUCUGAAGCAAAAGUUGAUAAGAUAUGCGUAUCAGCUGAAAAGAUAGUGGUUAGAGCUUAAUUUCUUCUUAUCCUGAGAUGGCGAUGUAAUCAAUUGCAAUUUCUAUAUGCAUCUCACAAUAACUUCUCUUUGUUUUCAUUAGAAUUCUCGUUUUAUUACGGGAAUUGAAGCUAUGCUCAGAGUAAGUCCUUAAUUCGGCAAAUUUCGAGCUAAAAAUGGUUCGGAAGACCUGAAUGAGUCAUUGCCCCUUGAAAUAAAGCCUGCAAAUUAGCAUAUCGACUGUAGAAAACUGUACUUGCUCUAAACACAAAGUACUUUCAAUGUCUUUAUUUUUUCCAGAGCAAGUCAGUUAUUUGCAUCACAACUGGAAGCCAACCCCUCAAUGAGCUUUUAGGCGGUAAUAGACUUUCUUUUGUAGAUUGUGUAUAUUAUUCUUCAUGCGUUUCACCGAAAACAGCUUUCCCUGGAUCUGCAAUGUUAAACAGGUGGUACUGAAACUCAGGCAAUUACAGAAGCAUUUGGUGUAUCUCAGUGACAAGCACAGUCCAAUAACGUUACCCUUGAUGAACUUUUAGUUGCUUUUGUUAGUUGGCUUUCUCAGAAAAUGCUGCUAACGUCACUUCAGGUCUGGGAAAACACAGCUUGCACAUACCCUGUUUGUGACUACUCAGGUUGGUCAGAAUUGCAUGUUAGGUUUUCGUCGUUAACUUCUAUUUCAUGUUAUGUUUCCUAGAUGAACAACAUAAAUAGCAAGAUAAUGAUUGAAUUUCUAGUAAAGAAUAAAGCUGUGGUUAAUAUUGGCAUCGGAACGUGUUUAUUAGGUGAUUCUGGAAGUUGGCACUCUCAUCUUCUGUAAAUGGCAAUCAGCAUACUGGAACACGCAAUCUAUAGUGGUUCAAACCAAGUAGGAAAAAGGCCAGGAGAGCGUACUAGGUCAUAACCAAUCGGAAGCCUUGGUCAUUGUCAGACUUGGACUUGGGUUGAUCAUCAGUUGAAUAGGAUGCUUGAAGUACUCUACUAUAUAUGCAAAUCCUACAACAUUAUUUUCUCUUCUUUCCAUCACUCUUUAUUAAAGCUGAUCCCGUUCCAUGAGAUGAUAUCUUAUGGUUUGUGGAUUCCACGAUCCUAACAAUUUUAACAGCUGCCAACACACGUGGGAGGGGCAAAUGGCAAGGUAGCAUACCUCGCCACAGAAAAAACUUUGUAUCCUAUUAUAAUCUGUCGGUCAUUUCCUUGACCUCAACAAAGCUGCUUUUGUUUCAUACUCGGCUUAUGUCCAUGUAAGUGCAUAUGCACUUUCUUAACUUGGUACACCUGCAGUUGCCAUGAUUGAAUUGUACAAAUAGCUGAAAGAUUUGGCAUGGAUCCUGGUGCCGUCGCACAUAAAUGCUUUCUACACUGGUGGCAAGUCUUCCUUCUUUUCUGGCUAAUGUACUUGCUGUAAUCUAGUCUUUCCAUGAAUUUGAAGAUCAUUUAUGCCUGUGCCUCUACUUCUGAGCAUCAGUACAACUUCCUUCUCAGUUUGGCUGCCAAAGUGUCUGAAGAACCAUUUAGGUUCCUGGUAAGACAGUGUUCAAGAAUCAAACUGCACACAUUUUGUAAGGUGUCGAUGGUUGACCUUAGCUGAGUAUAUCCUUCAGAUUGUGGAUUCAGUGAUCACUCUCUUUCGAGUGGAAUAUAAUGGAAGGGGAGAACUUGCAGGGCAUCAGGUCGAUUCUGAAACCAUGAAAUCAUGCGAGUUGCAAAUUUUCAGCUCAUCUAGUUUGACACUAAUAGAUUUCCAAUUGCAGCAAACAUUGGCACAAAUGCUCUCACGCUUACUUAAGAUAGCCGAGGAAUUUAAUGUGGCAGUGUACAUGACCAAUCAAGGUACCGCAUCACAUCUCAUUUCUCCCACCUAGUCAUGGAUCCUUUAAAGGAUCUUAUCCAAUUUAGCUCUUUGAUGGUUGCACACUGAAAAAUAGCAAUUUGGUGACUACACUAAGCUCAUACUAGUUCUCAUAAAUCUCAAGAACCAGUUAUUUGGUGUAAACUAGUGAUGCAUAUGGUAGCUGCAGUCCAUGAGUUAAGCAAAAAAGAUAAUUUUUUUGACGACUUUUUCUUCGAUUUCUUUGUUUCAGUGGCAUCAAAGAAGCAUGCAGGUGGGCAUGUUCUGGGUCAUGCAACCACAAUUAGGUUGAUGUUUACAAAUGGCAAAGGUGAGCAGUGGGUUUGCAAGGUGUUCAAAGCCCCAGACCUACCUAAAGCUGAAGCUAUAUCCUUUUUGUCUGGAUCUUUGUCUACCUAUACACUUUAUUGAAAUUUACCAGAUUACACUGCAGACAUUAAACGAAAUUUCUAGAAAUCUAAUAUCAAUCGGAGAGAAAGUCAAUACUAAGUCUAUAUAUGGAUAGGUGGAGACUAGAAUUUGAGCAGUAUACUUGUAGUAUACUUACAUGCGCUGCCUGUGCUAUGGAAAUAAAAUACCCAACCAUUGAUGAUGCCAUACUGCAGAUCUUCCUCUAGUUAUAUACUUCGUUGAAAUUUUUCAGACCAUGCUGCAGAGACCAAGUAAAAUAUCUGGAAGUCUAGAUCAAAAUCUGUGAGAAAGUCGAUAAUUAGUCUAAAUAGGGAUAGGUGGAUACCUGAUUUAAGCAUGAUACUCACUUUAUACUUGAUGUUGCCUGGAGAUCCAUGAACAUGUUGAAUACGAAUUUUGUCCAGAGGAAUUAAACAAAAAGAAGUAGCUAUUGAGAAUUUUCCUCAGUAGGACCAGUAUGUUAUUUUUAGCUGUGCUGUUAUGUAGAUGAUGCACAUCUAUCAAGACCAUCACUUAAUUUAAUCAAAAAAUUUAGGAAGAGCUCAUCUGUCAAUAAGAUGAGACAGAUAUUCCAUAUAUGUUGAACUUGACAGACACAUGUUUUUCAGAUAACACCAGGAGGCAUCACCGAUGCGAAGGACUGAAGGAGUCUCUCCAACCAGGAAGGCAGGCGAAGUGCUUUUUUAUUUUUAUUUUUAUGUUAAUCUGCAAUUUGAUGUUAGUCAUCGUAUUGACCGCAAGAGGCAUAUAAUGAUCUCCCAAGCACUUGUUCAUUUCCUUUCUCUGCAAUGGACACUUUGUCACCCUUGUCAUAGCUUGUCCCUAAGUUUCAUGUGCUCGACAACAAACCAUUCAUGAAUGACAUGAGUUACUUUCUCUAACUGUGAUGGUGACCCAAAAGAUUUGUCAACUACAAUGUCACCUUUGUGUAUCAAAUGCAAAAUAUAUCAUAAGGGUAAGGCCGAAGUAUCCUUUCUGCUUCUUCUAUUUAUGUUUAGCCAAUUGAAUGCAAAUAAUACAGCCUUAUAUUCUCUUAGGAACUUAAACGAGCGUGGCAUGUCUUAUAUUCUCUUAGGAACUUAAUAGAGAUGUAACCAAAAGAAAAUUAUUCAGUGUCAUUUCGAAUUACCUCAAAUGAAAUGAAAUUUAUCAAUCACCGUGUUUCGUCAUUAAGAAAAAUAAAUAAAGUUAUCCACUGCAAUAUGUUUUUAAUUACACAUAAGGUCAACAGUUUGUGGAUAUCAUGGUUUUUAUGAGCUUGAGAAGAAAUCUAGUCACAAUAUUUGAAAACUAAUUACCCAACAUCAUCUCCACUGAGUUCACAAUAAUUUUCUUUUGAUAAUUAAAAGAACUUAGUUGAACUUUCUUACACGAGCAAUCUGGCUUUUGUUUAUGUUACACGACAUUCAAAUCGCACCAUUGCAGUAGCUGCAGUCCUUGAGUUAAGGAAAAAGAUGAUUUUUGAUGACUUUGUCUUUGAUUUAUUUGUUUCAGUCGUAGAUGAUCUAGGCGGUGCUGUGUUCAUAUCAGACCCAAAGAAACCUGCGGGUGGGGAUGUUCUGGCUCAUUUAGCCACAAUUAGGUUGAUAUUUAGGAAAGGCAAAGGUGAGCAGCGCGUCUGCAAGUUGUUUAAGGCCCCAAACCUACCGAGCUGAAGCCAAGUAUACUGAGUCUACAUAUAGAUAGGUGGAGACCUGAUUUAAGCACGGUGCUCACAGUAUACUUGAUGGUGUAUGGAGAUCCAUGAACAUGUUGAAUACAAAUUUUGUGCAGAGUAAUUAAACAAAAAGAAGUGGAUAUCCAGAAUUUUUUUAAGCAGGAUUAGUAAGUUAGUUGUGCAACCUGUGCUAUGUAGACUGCACAUCUAUCAAAACCAUCACUUAUGUAAGAAAUUUUAGCGAGAGCUCAUAUGGCAAUAGGGUGAAAUCGACAAACGCACAUUUUUCAGAUAACAACAGGGGCAUAGCCGAUGAGGACUGAAGAGGUCUCUCCUACCAAGAUGGCCAGGUGAGGUGUUUUUUAAUUUUAUUUUUUGGGUUAAUCUGCAAUUUGAUUUUAGUCAUCGGAUUGAUAGCUACCUCUAUCUUCAUGUUAAGUUUGUAUUGGCAGGCAUCAAGCUCCUUUUGACAGCUUUAAGUUUAAAAUUGCCGGAGAGGUUACCGCUUUAGCCUUAAUAUCUAACAUGCUGUCAUUGUCUGUUAUUAAAGUUCACAUGACCCUUCACAAGGUGUUGUGUAAACUUGAUUUCCAUAUGAGAACCAGCACGCUCCAAGUUAUAAUGGUUCACAUUUGUUCUCAUAUGACAAUAUCGUCCUGGUCUAAUUUACUAGUAGAGAUUCUAUGCGGAAAAUAUUACAUUGGAUAGACUUUGCAUGACGGCUAAAUGAAAUGCCAGAAAGAUAUUACUGCACAAAGCAUGAUCAGGUUCUGUAAAGGCUUGGUUUUAUAAGUACAUAUAUAGCUGCAUAAAAACGAUGUCAUCUCAAACUCUCAAUAUAGAGCAACGGACCAUUAGAGCUGAAAAAAUUGUCAAUGUAUGAGAAAGGGCGACUGGGUCAUAAGCAACAGAAGGCCAUUCAAUAGCUAAUGGCCUGGCCAAAAGGGACCGCAAUGCAUAUGACUCGGCAGUGCAAGGACAAGUUCGCAGCACUCCCAACUCUAGGCAUACUGGACUCCUUAGUCUCUGCACCACUUUUCAAAUGUAGCGCUUUGUACUCAGCCCAAGCUAUUCACCCUAGGAACUGGCUUCACCUCAUUCGGCGCAUGCUCGUAACUCCUCAAACAUUUAGAGCUGGUAAAGAAGCAUCCUGAGUUGGAAAAGAAGGCAACGUUAACAGGUGAACGAUUCGGCACUCAAAAAUCAUUCGAAGAGCAACAUUGUACGUGAAAAGGCACAUUUCAAUACAAGGAUACAGGUAAAGAACACCAUUUUAACCUUAGAUUAUAAAUUUAUGUUCGAAACCAAUUUUUCCAAAAUGCUGUUACCCAACAACAUAACAUUCUCCUCUGAACUCUGCUUAAUAUCAUCAGAGCUCAUCCAUCCUUACUUUUCAGAUUGCAAUGCAUGGACCAAAUUCCAGUGGAGCCGCAUCAACAAACUGAAAAAAUAAUUGCCGCUAGGAAAUGGUGCAAAAGACUUCCCAAAACCCAUCUUCAUGACUUCUGCAUCAUCUGAGCGAACAAGACUGCCUCCAGAAUCAAUUCCCCAGAAGGAAGGAAAACUGCCAUAACAUCCUGAAUGAUUCAGAGGACAGAAAGGAUUAGAUAUAGAUCACAGGUGGAGGGAGAGAUUGAGAGCGAUGUCCCAGAAUGAAACCAAUGAACAUUAUUGUUACUCACACAGGCCAGAAAAGGGGUUUUAGAAGAGCUGUCGAAGAGCACAAAACCAAACUUCCUGCUGAUCUCUCUCACGACUUGAUCAGCAGGGUAGGCCGCCGAUCCCUCAGAGUUCAAUAAGCUUCUACGACAAUAAUGACCUCAUUAGCGGUUUUAUUCCAUCCAUAUUACUGCAACAUUGCCUCUGUCCUUGGAACAAGCAACCGAAAACAAUCUGUCACAGAGGGUAAGGCAUGUCAAAUCUCGAUGUGGGACGAGCUGAUUGAGAAGAGAAGACAGUACGGCAAUUUCCCUCAAUUAACAAUCCAAUAAAUUUCAUUUUCUGGCUUUCAAAAUGAACCAGAGACUCAAGUUCCACUAUCUCCUUUAGGCUGACAAAUGGAACCUUUCAUGAUAUCACAGUAAAGUCCAACAAAAAUCAGUUUGAUCUAACCGUUGCCUCUCUAAACAAUGAAAUCACGAUUAUUUUUUCUUUUUUGGUGGUUAAAGCUACCUUUAUCAAGAGAUGGAGUGGGAAUUUGCAUAGAAGAACGAUAAACUUUAUUCUUUGACCAGGUAAUCAGUUUUUAAAUGGGUUUUGGCCAACAUAAUUCAUUCAAAAUUUAGCUGUUUCAUUCACAUAUUCAAACCUCUGUUUGAAAUUUAUCCUUCCAUCUAUACAAUAACUGUUAUGGGAAGAAAGAGAGCUUCUUAUUUUGAAUAUUGACCUGUCAAUGUUAAAAGGAUAUUAUCUAACCAAUUCACAUACAGAAAUUCACAUUGUAUUUUGUGGCUCCUACAAUAUAGUCACUAAAAGCAAUUCUGUACUUAGAGUCAAAAGUACAACUUUUAACCUAUUGGCAAGUGAUACUGCAUAUUCAAUGUUAAAAACUUAAGACUCGUCCUUCCAUGAGCCCCGAUCAAAAUGACAAACGAGGGCCGCUGUUACUGUGAGUACAUCAUGUAUAUCAGCAGCAAUCCUCUCUUCAUCCUUUUUGGCUUUCUCUAUGUAACAAAGCCUCAUUUUAUGUUUUAUAAGGUAAUGUGAUGUGAUCUCAUUGAACCACUCUUGGCUGAUGACAAGAACUAAACUCACCUGAUUCGACCAGGACUGAAGUAUCUUAUUAUGAUCCUGGAAAUUCCCACAGAAAGGCGCCACCUUGCCUUAAGAAACCACCCAAAGCUUGUCCAUGCUUCCAGAUAUUGGAUGCUCAUCGUGACUAACCUGCAAAUCAAGGUGAAAAGAUGGCUAUUAGCUGUAAAGACAAUCCAUCAUUGGUCAAAUUGAAGUAUUCUGGCAAAAAAAUCAAUCUCACCAUCAGACAUCUUCCUUGGAACAAGACCAGCCCUCGAAUGAGCACCUCAACCACAUCCAAAUCCUGCAGUUUGGGAUAGUAAAAAACACAGAAUCAUACUCAUCAAUCCUUAGACAAGAAACUAGCAAUUUACAAAGAUAGAACUUUAGUAGUCAUAGGUCAUUAAAGUAGAACUUAAAGUCGCUUGGUGCAAGUGGAUCCACUCCACGUUCCUAAAAAGGAAGAACUUCUGGGUGGUUAAGAAGCCGACCUGUUGCUCUUGGGCCUGAAAGAAAAUUUUACAACUCAGAGUAGAAGUCCGGCUCAGUUUCUGGUGGAGAAUUGGGGAUGGCCUUUCUAUGUCACUUUGGUUUGAUAACUGGCAUCCUGAGGGCCGCUGAANNNNNNNNNNNNNNNNNNNNNNNNNNNNNNNNNNNNNNNNNNNNNNNNNNNNNNNNNNNNNNNNNNNNNNNNNNNNNNNNNNNNNNNNNNNNNNNNNNNNNNNNNNNNNNNNNNNNNNNNNNNNNNNNNNNNNNNNNNNNNNNNNNNNNNNNNNNNNNNNNNNNNNNNNNNNNNNNNNNNNNNNNNNNNNNNNNNNNNNNNNNNNNNNNNNNNNNNNNNNNNNNNNNNNNNNNNNNNNNNNNNNNNNNNNNNNNNNNNNNNNNNNNNNNNNNNNNNNNNNNNNNNNNNNNNNNNNNNNNNNNNNNNNNNNNNNNNNNNNNNNNNNNNNNNNNNNNNNNNNNNNNNNNNNNNNNNNNNNNNNNNNNNNNNNNNNNNNNNNNNNNNNNNNNNNNNNNNNNNNNNNNNNNNNNNNNNNNNNNNNNNNNNNNNNNNNNNNNNNNNNNNNNNNNNNNNNNNNNNNNNNNNNNNNNNNNNNNNNNNNNNNNNNNNNNNNNNNNNNNNNNNNNNNNNNNNNNNNNNNNNNNNNNNNNNNNNNNNNNNNNNNNNNNNNNNNNNNNNNNNNNNNNNNNNNNNNNNNNNNNNNNNNNNNNNNNNNNNNNNAAUUUCACCUUUGGCUGUCACCAGGCAUAGGCUUCCCACCCAAGCUUUCCUCCUCUCUUAUGGCAGGAUUGAUACUACUUUUUGCCCCUUCUGUGAGAAAGUGCCUGACUCUAUUGACCAUCUAUUUUUUAAGUGUCGGGUCACGGCUGGUUUGGCUUUCUUUUGGGCAAUCAGAUGUAACCUUCUGUGGCGAAACCGGUCUUGGGAUGAAAAUCUCCUUUGGGCCACAACCUUUCUUGUGGGCAAUGACUUCUUCAAAAGCAUGGCGCGAUUUUCUUUUCGCGCUCUUUGUCAUAUCAUUUGGAGGAAUAGGAACAAUAUUCUCUUCAGAGAUGAGCCGCUGUCCAUUCUAGCCAUGAAGAAUCAUCUCCUCAAAGUGGUCAAAGAUAAGGCACUCUUUUUCAGGGAUGUGGAAGAUUCCUUCAGAAAUAGGAGACUACAGCGCAGUUGGGACUUGGAUCUGAGUAUCUUUGCUCUGCGCGUUUCCCUCUCGGGUGACUAGCCGUCUCUAGACCGACUGAUGUUGGUCUUUGUGUCGUCGUGCUUGUCUGGCGGUUGUUCAUGCUGUCUGGGUCUCUUUCUUUUCUUUUCUUGCUCUUGCCACUUGGCCUCUUUCUCAGCUUCCUUCCACUCAUAAUGAGCCUGUUCAUCUUGAGUGCAAGUUUCUAAAGCCGGUUCGUUUUGUACAUUUUGGUCUUCCCCAUUUAUAUAUUGCUUAUUUUACCAAAAAAAAAAAAACAAAGAAAUUUCCACAUUAAUUAUGUGCAAAACCCAACGCUGCCUAUAGGAUAUUAGAACUACUUGGUAUUACAGAUUACUGCAAUACAAAAAACACCGAUCAUGCUAGCAUACAUGUUCGAUUCCCAAUAUUUUGCCAAUUGGAACAAUUAGAUUGGUUCUGUUCCAUUAUAAGUUAGAUGUAAGAUGGCAGAGGCUCCCUGUUGUGAUCACCAAUUGGUUCCAUUGUAUUUUCAAUGCAAAGACCAGAUUCCUAUAAGUUCAAAUAGUGCAAGAACAAUAUAACAAGCUAACUGAAAAAGUCAUCGAAGUCACAAAAUGGAGAAAAAUGAGUAAAACUUACCAGAUGAUCGGAUGGCUCGCAAGCAAAACUAUGUGAGGUUUCUCAAAAGUUAUCUUGGCAAAUGCAACACUGCUUUUCUGACCACCUAUUUAUAUGGGCAAAGAAUCAUGUUAUAUGUGCAAUAACAUUCAAAAAGCCUCAGAGAAAGUACAGUGAACUGCAAUUUAGAUUACAAAUUAACUCACCUCUAAAAGAGCUUCACGACCUCACACAAAAAUUGCUUCAAUAAAAUUUUUUCAUAUGCAACAGUAACAGAGAGGGAGGAGAUGUAUCAGACAAGGUUUGCAUUCGUCGAACUGCAAGAUUUCCAGUUACACCAAACAAACACAAGUAAGCUCGAAACUUUUGUUCUGGAACUCCCCACACGAAAAAUGCCACAUAAGAAGGUAUUUUCAGAUAAAAUAACAUAAUGUAAGACAAAAUAAUAUUUCACAUUAGAGUAAACGCACAUGACUGAUACUUUAAAGAACUAAAUAGUUUUGCCCCAGAGGUCACUGCUGACAACACAAUCACAGAAGCAGGUAGCGUAUCAUUUCAAUCUCAACCAAACAAGCAUAAGUAGUUUGGCUACAAAUUUCUUGCAAGCUUUUAGUAAUAGUUCCUAACCCACUAGAGAUCAAGACCCAAGCGGAAGGUGAUUUAUGGAAUAUCAAUGCUGUCAUGAAUUGGUGUGGCAUUGAAAGGUUGGAGCCAUGAGGCGCCCCAGAAUUUUAUCCCAGAUCGACUGGUUAAUACUACAAAGGAUCAUCAUCAACAAAAAGAAGGUUCUCAAUGAUAAAGGAAACCAUUGAAAAAAAAAAAAAAAAAGGAAGUGCAUCCCUUUUCUUCACAAUCAUAUCACAGCAUCCACAUAACUAAUCAUGUUUUUAGAUUUUAGAAAAGAUUAUUCUUAUUUAGAUCGAAUUCACUAGAAGAAAAUUUAGAACAUCUCAAUGCACCAUAUAAAAUGAAAUGCUUCUUUUUUCUAUUAUUAAAUUGCAAAAGGUGACACUUAACAUUGACAGCAUUAGCCCCACCUCAACAGCAUUCGCAAGUGAUCCUUCCAAGAGAUUUUGCCAAUACAGAUCACAGUGGUAUUUGCAAAGCACCACAGUGAACAAGCUUAAGCGCAGAAGAGAAAAGAAGUUGGGAAGAGAAAAUACAACAAACGCUGAAAAGCAUAGUGCAUUUUGAUUCACAAUUUGUUUGGCGGGUCACGCAAGUGCGAAAGUAAGCACAGUUUUUGGGCAUCAAGAAGAGUUCAAGAUAUGUCAUCAAUAUAGCAAGAUGCAGCUUUGUGAACAGUUCGUUCUACAUAUGUCAAUCUUUCACCUUCAGUGGCUGGUUUUCGAAAAUUUAUGUGAAAAAUCUGAAUGAGGAAAAUCAGUUCGUAUCAAGCAUCGAAUUUAGGAACUGGCUUCACCUCAUUCGGUGGGUGCUCAUAACUCCUCAAACCUCCAGAGCUGGUGAAGCAGUAUCCUAAGUUGGAAGAGAAGGCAAUGUUAAAAAGGUGAACAAUUUGGCGCUCAAAAACCAUUGGAAGAGCAACAUUGUAAGUGAAAAUGCACAAAUCAAACAUGCAUACAGGUAAAGAGCACCAUUUUAAACAUAAAUUAUAAAUUUAGGUUUGGAACCAAUUUUUCCAAUAUGAUGUUACCCAACAAAAUAACAUUCUCCUAGGCAGGCUUUGGUUGCCGAUCUCUUCUCUGAGGAUGGAUAAGCUAUCAGAUCAGAGAUUGAGUCUUGGGGUUCGCCGCUUCCUUCCUUAUCUGGAACCCAAGAUCGGUUCUGUUGGAGGGAGGACUCGACGGGCUUGUUCUCGGUGGCCUCGGCUUGGGAGGCCUUAAGGAGGAAGAAGGCCAGAGUCAAUUGGCAUUGUUUCAUUUGGAGUAAUGCCAUCCUGCCUCGCUACCAACUGAACCUGUGGCUCAUCACCAAGAGGAGGUUACCUACUCAGUCUCUUCUCAUGUCUUAUGGUAGGAUUGAUGCUGCUUCCUGCCCUUUUUGCAACGAGGUGCCUGAUUCAAUCAAUCAUCUUUUUUUUGGUUGUCGCAUUACCUCGAGUAUUGCCUUUUUUUGGGCUACUAGAUGCAAUCUCCCCUGGACCAACAGGACUUGGGAGGAGACUCUCAGUUGGGCCAUUACGCUGAGCAAGGAGUUUUAUAAGUGUGUUGCCCGGUUCUCCUUUGGGGCGCUGUGUCACAUCAUCUGGAGAAACAGGAACAAUAUUCUAUUCAGGGGGGAGCCGUUAUCUAUUUCGGCCAUGAAGAAGCAUCUCCUCAAGGUUGUUAAGGAUAAGGCCUUUACCUUUGAAAAUGUUGAGGACUCUCCCAGGAACAGGCGGAUGCAACGCUCGUGGGAUGUGGACCCCAUUAUCUUCGCUUCCUCUGAUUAUAGUCUGACUUAGGCUUUUCGGUGGUUGUUUAGGUGUUUUUGCCAGGCUUGUUUUGCCGUUGGCUUGCUGUUGGUCGUUUUGUUUGCUUGUCCGCGGCUUCCUUUCACUCUUAAUGAGCGUGUUCAUUUUGAGUGUAAGCUUUUGGAGCCGUGUUGUUUGUACAGUUUGACCCCUAUUAAUAUAUUGCUUACUCUUACCAAAAAAACAAAAACAAAACAAAAUAACAUUCUCCUCUGAAUUCUGCUUAACAUCAGCAGAGCUCAUCCAUCCUUACUUUUCAUAUUGCAAUGCAUGGACUGAACCCCAGUGGAGCCGCAUCAACAAACCGAAAAAAAUAAUUACCUUUAGGGAAUGGUGCGAAAGAUUUCCCAAAGCCCAUCUUCACGACUUCUGCAUUAUCCAAGAGAACAAGACUGCCUCCAGACUCAAGUCCCCAGAAGAAAGGAACACUUCCAUCAACAUCCUGCAUGAUUCAGAGAACAGAAAGGAUUAGAUAUCGAUCACAGGUGACGGGAGAGAUUGAGAGUUAUAUCCCAGAACCAAACCAAUGAACAUUAUUAUUACUCAGAGGCCAGAAAAGCGGUUUUAGAACAGCUGUCGAAGAGCACAAAACCAAGCUUCCUGCUGAUGUCUCUCAUAACUUGAUCAGCAGGGUAAGGCCUCCGAUCCCCAGAGUCCUAUAAGCUUCUAUGAUGAUGACGACCACAUUAGCAGUUUUGUUCCAUCCAUACUGCUGCUUAAGAAGAGCAACAUUGUCUAUGUGUCCUUGGAACAAGCAGAAGAUAUUAUCGACAACCGCAAACAAUCUGCCACAGAGGGUAAGGCAUGUCAAAUCUUGAUGUGGGAUGAGCUGAUAAAGAAGAGAAGACAGUACCACAAUUUCCAUCAAUUAACAAUCCAAUAAAUUUCAUUUUCUGGCUUUCAAAUGAACUAGAGACUGGAGUUCCACUAUCUCUUCGAGGCUGAUAUAUCGAACCUUUCAAAAUAUCACAAUAAAGUCCACCAAAAAUCAGUUUGAUCUAACUGUUGCCUCUCCAAACAAUGAAAUCGUGAUUCUUUUUUUUUUUUUUUUUUUUUGUGGUUAAAGCUACCAUUAUCAAGAGAUGGAGUGGGUAUUUGAAUAGAAGAAAGAUAAACUUUAUUCUUUGACUAGGUAAUCAGUUUUUAAGUGGGUUUCGGCCUGCAUGGUUCGUUCAAAAUUUAGCUGUUUCAUUUGCAUAUUCAAACCCCCGUUUUCAAUUUAUCCUUCCAUCUAUACAAUAACUGUUAUUAGAAGAAAGAAAGCUUCUUAUUUUGAAUAUUGACCUGAACAUGUUAAAAGGAUAUUAUCCAACCAAUUCACGUACAGGAUUUCAUAUAGUAUUUUUGGCUAGGCAUGGCCUACAAUAUAGUUACUAAAAGCAAUUCUGUACAUAGAGUCAAAAGUACAAACUUUUUAAGAUAUUGGCAAGUGAUACUGCAUAUUCAAUGUUAAAAACUUAAGACUCAUCCUUCCAUGAGCCCUAAUCAAAUGACAAACAAGGGCUACUGUUACCGUGAGUACAUCCUAUAUAUCAGCAGCAAUCCUCUCUUCAUCCUUUUUCGCUCUCUCUGUAACAAAGCCUCAUUUUAUGUUUUGUAAGGUAAUGUGAUGUGAUCCCAUUGAACCACUCUCGGCUGAUGACGAACUAAACUUGCCUGAUUCAACGAGGACUGAAGUAUCUUCUUAUGAUCCUGGAAAUUCCCAUGGAAAGGCACCAGCUUGCCUUGAGAAACCACCCAGAGCUCAUCCAUGCUUCCAGAUAUUGGAUGCUCAUUGUGACUAACCUGCAAAUCAAGGUGAAAAGAUGGCUAUUAGCUGUAAAGGCAGUCCAUCAUUGGUCAAAUUGAAGUAUUUUGACAAGAAAAUCAAUCUCACCAUCAGACAUCUUCCUUGGAACAAGACCAGACCUUGAAUGACCGCCUCAACCGCAUCCAUAUCCUGUAGUUUGGGAUAGUAAAAAUCACAGAAUCAUACUCAUCAAUCCUUAGAAAAGAAACUAGCAAUUUACAAAGAUAAAACUUUAGUAGUCAUAGGUCAUUAAAGCAGAACUUAAAGUCCACAUUUAUAAACAAAGAAAUUUCCACAUUAAUUAUGUGCAAAACCCAAUGCUGCCUAUAGGAUAUUGGAAAUACUUGGUAUUAUGGAUUACUGCAAGACAAAAACACUGAUCGUGCUAGCAUACAUGUUCGAUUCCCAAUAUUUUGCCAGUUGGAACAAUUAGAUUGGUUUUGUUCCAUUAUAAGUUAGAUGUAAGAUGGCAGAGGCUCCCUGUUGUGAUCACUAAUUGGUUCCAUUGUAUUUUCAAUGUAAAGACCAGAUUCCUAUAAGUUCAAAUAGUGCAAGAACAAUAUAACAAGCUAACUGAAAAAGUCAUCGAAGUCACAAAAUGAAGAAAAAUGAGCAAAACUUACCAGAUGAUAGGAUGGCUCGCAAGCAAAACUAUGUAUGGUUUCUCGAAAUUUAUCUUGGCAAAUGCAACACUGCUUUUCUGACCACCUAUUUAUAUAGGCAAAGCACCAUGUCACAUGUGCAAUAACAUCCAAAAAGCCUCAGAGAAAGUACACAGCGAGCCGCAAUUUAGAUCACAAAUUAACUAACCUCUAACAAAGCUUCACAAUCUCACAUGAAAAUUGCUUCAACCAAAAAUUUACAUAUGCAACAGUAGCAUAGAGGGUGGAGAUAUAUCAGACAAGGUUUGCAUUCGUCAAAGUGCAAGAUUUCCAGUUACACCAAACAAACACAAGUGAGCUUGAAACUUUUGUUCCAGAACUCCCUAUAGGAAGAAUGCCACAUAAGAAGGUAUUUUCAAAUAAAAUAACAUUGUGAAUAUUGACAGUGCACCUAAUUCUUUCCUCUUGCAAUCAAAAGGCAAUCACAUUGAAGUACUUUUCUCUUGCAAACUUCGCACAAUCGCAAAUUGCCCUUGCCAACGGCUUUGGCAAAAAUAUCCACCAAAUAUCACCAUGGCAAAGCAAGACUACCAAACACAACAAUCAUCAGUAUGGCCAAUUGAAGUCAUAGAACAAGAAAAAUCUAAGAUGAGAGUGGAUACAAGAGAAACCGAUUCCACACGAGGUCCACAGCAUAAGACUUCACAUCGGUAGCGAUUGAUUUAGUCAUCUAGUCAUAAAGAGAAACGACAACAAUGACUACCGCUUCAUUCAUUCAUUCUACCUCACACAGCACACAUUUCUUUCGCAGACAUUGUCAACAAGAGACGAAGAACAUAUCAAUUGUCAACCAAACAAAAUGUGCAGGACAACCUUGGUGAGAUAAAAAUGGAGAAGUCACAAAUACGACCUAUUUUAAUUUCACAAUAUUUACUCGAUUGCUUUAGGCGGUGCUCAAGAUUGGCAAAAGGAUUUUACCUGAGAACCCCUGCAGAAUGGCUGCACAGCAAAUCGAGAGCGUCGAUUGUGGUCAAAUGCUAAAGAUCACCUUCGAUGUCCUCCCCUCGAGCAGAAAUAUACCCUUGCGAAAUCAAUGGCUGGAUGAGACGAAGUAUGAAUUUUUCCUCAUUUUUUAUCGCACUCUUCGGAAUGAAGCGAUACACCCAAACCUUUCAGCGAUUUUUUUCAUGUCCCUCCCCAAAUCAAAACGAGUAUGGAAAUACGAUAUCCAAAAAUUAAAAAUACAAAAAUUAAAAAUACAAAAAUCUGGGAAACAAGGUCCCACAUACCUUCAGUGAAGAAAAUUAGGGCUAGAUCUGCAAAUCAAAUGAUAUGUUCGGGAUGUGAGCGACCUUGUCCCAGUCCUCGCCUGCUUGUCUUUUGCAACUCUCCUCCAAUUCUCCGCACUUGUAGAUGUUUAGGUGAGUAAGGGAUGUGAGCCUUCAUAUUGCUUGAGGGAAUGAUGUCAACAAGUUGCACCCUCUGAUGUCGAGAAUUUGAAGUGAUUGAAGGGCCUCGAUCUGCUCUGGUAUAUCCUUCAAAUUUUGGCAUCCCCAAAUUUCGAGACGCUCGAGAUUGCGGGCCUGUAGAAGCCACUGUGAGAGUGAUGUCAAUUUGGGAAGCUCAUAGAUUUCCACGGAGCGGAGACAGUGAAGGCCUCCAUGGAAAUCCAAGAUGAUGUCGCGGCUUUCGUCUUUGGAUAUAUCCAGCUCCUCACAGUCCCGGAUAGAGAGAUCCAUGAGGCUCGAUAGAUGACGCAUACCUUGCGAGAGGGAAGUCAACUUAUGACACCACGAGAUGGUAAGAGAUUCAAGGGAAGUGAGACUUUGGAAACCCUUCACAGGCAAACAUUUCGGUAACUCUACAUCCUCGAUAUUCAGUCUCUUCAACUUAUUAAGGCCAAGCAUCAUCUGAUUUAUCAACAACGCUCCGUUGGCACGUGUCAGAUCGAACUCCUCGAGAUGAGGAGUUAGUGGCAUGGCUUUUAAUUUUUCACAGUCCUCGAUCUCCAAUUGCAAUAGAAUAGGAAAUGAUGCUGGUGAAGGGGAUGAUUGGUCCGACUCAAUAUAUUCCAAUUUAGGCAUAAGAUAAAUAUGCAAAGACUUGAGGCAAGGUAGUUGGUCCAGUGGGGGGAGACGUUCACAUCUUUUGCAAGCAUUGAACGAUACGUCGACUAAAUGUGGCAAGAAAGAUACAAGGCUAUCCAUCAUCCACUUGGGAAAGCUCUCACCUUUAUAUUCCCAGAUCUCCAACCUUUGUAGAUUUGAGGGCGGCUUUAGUCUAUCAAACAGCACUUCAUCUAUUACUACAUCAUCAGUAUUGAACUCGCCCCAACUAAGUACCAAAAAUUCCAGAGAAUGCUUCUCCAUCAAUAUCUCAUCCUCGCAUUUGACUUCCGCAUUUGUUACGUAUCCCAAAUUUUCAAUUGAAAGUUCUCCCCGGAGGUUAUUAAGCCCCUUUAGCUCCCCAAGUCCGCAAUAAUUCUUAGCACGAGCUUUAUCUUUGGGCAAAAUGAAGUUCGUUAGCCUAUGCAAAGAACUCAAUUCCCCUAUUCCACAUGGCAAAUAACUAAGUUUCAAACAACCAUCUAUGUCCAGAUUUCGAAGGCCGACUAACUUCCUUAUAUCAUUUGGCAACUCUUCGAGGGCAUCACAGAAAUUGAGAUUAAGUGUUUGCAAGCUCUGCAAUUUCGUAAUGGAGUUAGGAAGCCUUUUGAGUGUGCGGUUGUAAGAGAGAUCGAGAUAAGUGAGAUACUUUAACUUAUAAAUGGACCUUGGCACCUUCUCGACCUCUGUGGCUUGCAGAUCCAAGAUGCGCAACCUCUUGAAAUUUUGAAUUAAUUGGAGUAGGUCUACUUCACUUGUUAGAUUUCUUCCCCAACCUCCAACCCUACGUUUGGUCGUCCGGAUUUCUAAUCGGGAUAGGAUUGGAUAGGAUAGGAUAUGAAAUCCUGGGAUUUUUUUAUAUCCCGUCUAGUAUUUGGUGAAUCGCAGUAUUAAAGUCGGAUAUGUUCACAUUAUGUACAUUUUUUUUUAUAUAAACGACAUAUUAUUAUAAAUGAACCUAAAUGUUCAUAAAUAAAGACGGUGAAAAUAUCUCGUAACAUUAUUCCUUAAUUUAUUUAUUAUUUAUUAUUUAUUUUAUUUUUUCUCUUUUUUUUAUAUUAUUUUCAUUAUUAUUUCUUUUUCCCCUUUCAUCAUUCUUUAAUAAAAAUUUAUCAAAUAGUAAACUGUACUAACAUACCUAAAAUACAAAAAUACCUAAAAUAUAUAAUAAAUAUAAAUAUUUAAUUUAUAGGUUGAAUGUUUAUUAUAAAAUAUAAUUAAAACUGAAUAUAGAAAUUAAAAUAAGAUUAAUUAAAAAUAAAUUUUUAUUUUCUUAAAUUAGAAUUCAAAUAUUAUUUAUAUUGAAAUAUAAUUUCAAUUUUUUUAAUUUAAUAAGUUUGUUAUUCAAGAAAAAUAACUUUCCUUUUAUGGACAUUAGAAAUCCUAUCCACCUUUAUCCCACCUCCCCCAUGGGAUAAUUUUAUCCUGUCUAUAUCCCCCUUAUAUCCGACUUUAUCCUAUCCCGAGUGAGCACCAAACGUAGGAUAGGAUAAAUUAUAUCCUAUCCCGAAUUUUAUCCCGACUGCCAAACGCAGCCCAAUAGUACACAAAAAUGUUCUCAACACACUUGGUUUCAAGCGUGAGAUUGGAAGUUCACCCAUCAAAUUGAAAGUCAAACCAUAGGAUAUAUGACGAGUUCUUUCAUUUAUUUGAUUUAUGUCAUCCCUUGCCACCCAACACUUGUUCCUUGCAACCGAGCAGGCUAGAUCAUGCAUCAAAUCAUGCAUCUUGCAAGUUUCCUCCUUCGUGUAUGGAUCUUUUUUUAAAUCUUGGAAGAAGUUACUCCAACAUAGAUCCAUGAAAUAGUCAUGACCAAUGUCUUCUAAAAGCUUACCUGAAUUUGAUGGCUGGAUAAAUCCUUCUGCCAUCCAAAGAUCAACUAAAGUAUGCUUCUUUAUCUCAAAAUCUUUGGGAAACAAUGAACAAAUGGUGAAACAUUGUUUCAAAUGUGAAGGAAGAUGGUCAUAACUUAGCCUGAGAAUAGAUAUUAUAUCGUCUUUCAUUUGAGACACUUUUGGGAGCUCAACAUCUUUAAAACGUAACCAUUCAUCUUUAGUUUCCUUAAAGAAUAAUAACCUCCCAAUAGUUCGAACAAUCAAUGGAACUCCAUAACAAUUUUUAACUAUCUCUUUACCAAUAGCUAGCAUGCUAGGAUCUUGUCUAGCCCCUUCUUUUCGACCAGCCAUUUGCAUCAACAAAUCAAGAGAAUCACUUUCAGAUAAGCCAUUAAGAAGAAGAGGCGGAGCAGGGGAGGUGAUCUUUGCAACCAAAGGAAGGCGUGUAGUUAUAAGGAUCUUGCUUCCUCUAGCACCUCCCAUCAAUAAUGAUUUCAAGUCGGGCCAUGUUUCUAAUUUUGCAUCCCACAAAUCAUCCAAAACUAAGAGAUAUCUCCUUUUAUCAAUUAUUGUCCUAAGUUUACUUUGCAACCUAUCCAUCACAUUGUGGUUUGGUGGUUCUGUCUCCUCCACACAAACUAUGAUAUCUUUCACUAUUUUUAUCAUGUCAAAGUCAUUAGAGACACAAACCCACAUUUUCAAGUGAAAAAUGUUUACUAAUCAUCUCAUCAUUAUACACAAAUUUAGCAAGAGCUGUUUUUCCAAGCCCACCAAUACCAACUAUUGGAAGGAUAGAAAUGUUCUCUUUCACAUCCAUAUCCAGUAAGAAUUUCAUGACAUUCUUUUUAUCAUUACCUCUUCCAAUAAUGUCUUCCUCACAUAUAAACGAAUGCGUCUCCUCUCUCUUCCUCCACCCUCUCUUUGCUUGCGAAUUCAUAGGUCCCUUGUCCAAGUAGAAGUUCUUUUCAGCCUCAAUAUCUAUCAAUCUCUCCCUCACUUCUCUUAUUUUUCUACUCAUCUUCAGUUCAAAAGCAAGCUGGUUUGAACUUGAGAAAAAUGUUCUUACUGCCUUGAUCAUCUGAUUGUCGCCCCUCAGUUCUCGUUGCAUAGCUUCUAUAUUAAAUUCUUCAAGCACGUCCUGCAAGUCAUAGAAAGCCUCUUUUAGUUUCUCCACCCAAUCUUUGAUUUGGGAACUCUGGUGUUGUUGCUCUUCUGCAUCGUCCAGCACAGAAUGAAGCAUGGUGACGGUGCUCCUGAGCAUCUGAAGUUCACGCUUGAUGCCCCCCUAAAUUUCCAACCUUUCCCAGUGCUUGAGUAAUCAGAUUGGCAAGGACGCUUCCACCAAUGCUGAUGACAGCUUCUGCCAUAUUUGUUCUCUCUAUCUCUCUUUCUCUAUGGGGUUGAGAAGAUUUUAGUCCUGUCGUUCCAAGGCUAGAGUCUUCUUAGAUGAUGUAUAAAAAGUCUGUCAUUGAGAUUAAAUAAGUGUACAAUAAUAGUAGAUAAUAGAAAAUAUUUAACUGACAAAUAGUAAUUCCAAAGCAUCCUAUGUCAUGUAAGAUUCCAUCCCAUCUAAUAAGUAAGGCGAGUUCCUAUUCAUACAUUCUUCUAGAAACAUUAUGUUAGAUUAUAUUAGAUUGAUUAAGGUUUUUUUCUACCAUACUGUUAAGUAAUAUGUCUAAUUAACAUUAAGGAAAUUGGGAGGUAAUUGAGUGAUGAUGUGGUUCGACCGUUAAGCUCCAUUUUGCUGGACUUUCUUCUUAGUUUGGUUUUAAUAUACGAUGCGUAAUAAAUUAAAACGAAACAAGGUAAUCACAAUGAUCGGAGGCUUUUUAAAAAAUAAAUUUAAUUUUGUGCUUUCUUAUGUAAAAUUCAAAAUGUUCUUUAAAUAUAAAAAGUCAUUAUUCAAAUUACAUAUUAAUGUUUACGUGUUGUGAAAAUUUCAUAUGUUUCAAGACAAAAUAAUGUAAAAUGUAGACCGAGACAACAUUAGAAGAAACAAAAAUAAAAUGUAAAAGUCUAUCAAGACAAGCCGUGAGCUAAGUUGGUGAUGCUCUUGAAAUCCGCUAGAGGUGUUGGACCAUGUCGUUGUCCUUUGUACUUGUUAUCUUUUCUUUUUUCCUUACUUUUUCUCUUUUUGGGCGAACAGAAAGUGUAAGGUAACAUGAUGUUGAAGCAAAGCCACAAUUUUUCACUUCAUUGGCCGACAAAUGAGAAUCAAAAUCCACUUACGAGGGCUACACUACAUCCACCACAAUCUGCUCAAGCCCGGAAACUAUCUCAUUGCAGCUUAGAAAGUUAUCAUAGCUGUCUUGAAAGGGGCAGCAGCAUAGGGAAUGCCCCGAUGGAUGCCCACUCUCUAGUGUUCAGUGGACAAGAUCAGCUUAUGCUAGGUGAUAAAAUGUUGUAUUUUGCAAGACCGUACGUGUCAGAGAACAAGACAAAUGAAGAUAUUGAGUCUCAAGGUCUAGCGUCCCUGUCAAUUUGUGCACAAUCUCUUUUGAACUCUUUACCAAGCCCCUUUUCUUAUUAGUGUUGAACUCAAGUUCUUCUAAAUCACAUCCAACGAGUACGAUAAAUGUGUCCCAAUAUAUGAACUAUUUGAAGAAAAAGUACAUAAAAUGGUCAAGUCCAUAUAAAUGAGUAAUAGCAUGAGUCUUAACAUGAUACUAAAUAUUUCAUGAAACAUUUGGCAAGAUGCUUGCGAUCUUUAAUAAGGAUAGCAGGUGUUGCAGGUUCUUAUUCACUGAUAAUCACAAUUAGUUGUUGUAUUUGGUCACUCCCCCUUCCAUGUUAGUUGCAUGUUCAUAAUUUCUAUGGAUGCUGAUUCAAUUAUAUUUAAUUCCAUUUCUUUCUAACCGCCCCUUGCUCUACCAGGAUUUUCAAAAGAAAUCAUGUGACUCUUAGUAUGUACGUAACGAUAAUUGUAAUUUUUCAUGUGAGCAGUAACUUUUUACAAGAUAUUCGACUUCCAAUAUAUAAAUAAGUACUCACCUAUUUACAUUAUUAAUAAUCACAAAAGGUAACCUAUCUACAUUGAUUCUUAUCGUCCCAUGUAUUUUAAAAAAAGGACAAGUUUGAAAAAAAAAAUUGAUGAUUUUUGCAAUGUAAUAGUAAAUCUUAAUUUGUAAGACCAAAAAUUUACAUAAAGUUUGUGACCUAUUCAUGGGACGAGUAAGUUUUGCUUUAAAAAAGUAAUUACCACCGACCCUGUUUAAUAAAAGAAAAUAUAGGAAUUGACAAACAAUAUUUAAGCCGCCCACGGGUCUAGAAAGUGAAAAUUAAAGUUUUUUUUUUCUCAGCAGCUGUAAAUGAAAAUUUCUCCCAAGGGGGCUAAAGAACAAAUGAGCCCGGCUUUUUUCUGAUGAUGCCCAUUUUCCUAGUUUCAUCACAUGCUUUCCUUAGAAAACAGUGCACGUUCACAUGCUUUCCUUCUAAUACAGUGCCGGUUAACAUGCAUGCCUCAGUUGUUUUGUAGUAAACACCGGAGUAUUAAGAUUUAAUAGAACUUGGAUCUUGAGAAGACGGAAAAUUAUCAUAGCUGCGGGGGCAACUUAAAAUCUAACUUCACAUGGUAAAAAAAAUUUAUGUUAACGAAUUUCUGCUUUUGUCUGAAUAAAAAACUGAAGAAAAGAUUAUGAAGUAUAAAUUGUGAAUGAAGUAGUAUGAAACUUUUGUGGGCAAGAAAUUGCAAAUUGGUAUAGAAGUACGAUGUGCAGUGGGAUAACAAAAAAGCAAGCUGAUGAGGAUGCUUUUGGACUUUAGAUUUUAAUAUGCGGAAUGGUAGAACGGCUCUUAAAGUUGGCUAAUCUUCUCUUGUGAAUUCCAUUUAGAAUUGGAAAUUGGGACAUGUUACAUCUUCUUAUGUGCCCAAUUUGAAGAAGGCUAAAUAUCCUAAAUAUGUAAAUCUUUACACCAUAUAAGUCAUUUUUAAAUCCAAAUAAAAGACUUCGAUAGUUUCCCUAAGCAUUCUUUGUUUCAUCAAUUUAUUCAUUUUUAGAAAAGCUCUCUGGUUAGUCUCUAUAAGAAAGAACGAACCUGGCUAAUAGUGGGCUGAUCAACGGCCGACCAACAAAGGCGAGGCCCCAACCGGCUAGAUCAAGAGAGGAGGACAGGAGACGGUGUCGACAAGAUCAAGAGAGAGAUGAGAUGAGAUGGCAUGGGCAAAGACUCCAAGAAUAGAGAGAUUAAGGGCACUGCUAGGGAAAGUCAAGAGACGAAGAGUCUGAGAGAGAGGCUAGCUAUGGGAGUGAGAACUAAAAGAGAGUAGCGAGGGUCUUUAAAUUUAAAAGAUUUAGCACUGCUUUGAACUGUUCCAAAUAGGGGUGAUUGGUCCAGGGUGGGUAGGUUAUAGACCUAGACCCUGUACCCGACCUUAUUAUAACCGGUUCCCCUUUUUUGGACCAUGUACCCGACCCACCCUAUUUUUUCGGUCCAGUUCUAGGGUUAACCCUGUUUAUAUUGGAACCUGUUUUGCAAUUGCCCAUCCUAUACGACUUCGAAUUUUAUAUUAAUACGCGAUAAAACAACAUAAUUCUUCUAAUUUAUAUUGAAACAUUAAGCACUUGUAAUUAAUAAGUAAAUAAACUUUUUGACUAAACAAAAAACUAAGGAUUCACAAGGCAAAUUAUCAUAAACAAAAUCAUAAGGAAACUAGCUCCUGAUAUGACGCCUCCCAUGAUCAAAUAUAUUCUCUAGGGGAUAUCCAAGGGUGAUUCAUUCAUCUCAGGAAGUCACUCCGAAGCUGUACGUUUAAUUUAAACAGAAUGUCUUGAAACCCAUCGAUCGGACAUCACUUAUAUAAGACAAGGAAGAAAAUCCAGUGCAGCUGAAGCCAGAUAAGAGAUUUCAGGAGCUUGAAAACUGCAGAUCCUACACCAUCAGUCUCAUUAGCAUUGUUUUCAAGAUCCAUCUCUCGAUUCCAUGACAGAAUAUCACUACAAUCCCUGAAAACCUAUACCUCAAACAGUUUACUUGACUGCUUUUUCGAAAACGUUGAUCCAGAGUUUUCCAUUGGCAGAAGAUGUAGCAUAGUUUACAUGAGACAAUCUACGGUGACUACUACCCCGAAUGAUUUUAAGUUUUCUUUUCAGCCUGCUUCAAUGGAGAACCAAACACUUCACCAUGAAAACCCAAAUCUGCUACGUUGAUUAAUUAAAUGGCAAAUUAUCAAUGCUUGGAAGGCAGGACCGAACCAUUAAAGCUAUUAGUAGACGCCCACUGAAAAGUUCACGACACAGCAGGCAAUGAUCCGUUCAAUGAAUCCAAAGCGCAAUACUUAUCGUUCAUACUUCAGAACUGGGAGUUGCAUCGAGACAAGCAUUGAUUGCAAGACAAGCAUUAACAAGGAAAUGGUUUGCAACAGCAUGACAAUUUCAAUUAAACUCUCUUGCACAAAACAAAAAUCAUUUUCAAUUCAAGUACAAAAAGAACCAAAGUGAACAGCAGUUUAAUAAUUUUCACUUCAAAUGUGUCAAUAAAUCAAAAACAAUUAGACAGACCCAUUUGGAAAAUUUGGUUUGGUACAGAAGUUUUUUGAGCUUAUAAGAAAAAGAGAGAGAGAGCAGCUUAAAGGUGCUUGAAACCUACAUAAACAAAUUGAAAUCUUAAAACCUAGCUUGAUAUCUACACAUCAAAGGCUAUCAUUGAGCUGAUCUACAUAGACUAUUUAUAAUCCCACUACCUUCCCCAAUGAGAAUAUUUAUAAUCCAAACUGUAUGGCGAUAUAUGUGGUAAAUUAUUAAAAUGGGACUCCAUCCAACCAAAUUCAACUACGUAACAAACAUUGAGAUUCCUACUAAAAUCAAUAAUCUUAAAGCAGUCUCGUCUUCCAAACCAACUCAAAAUUUGGAGAGAAAUAUAUAGAAAGUUGGGAAACCAAAAACAGUUCAUGCUGUCUAGAAGACCAGCUCGUGCGGCUUCAUGCCCGCCUUCAAGGAGAACCUGGCAGCUAAGUAUGUCUUCAAAUAAAGUAUGAAGACACAAGAACAUAAUANNNNNNNNNNNNNNNNNNNNNNNNNNNNNNNNNNNNNNNNNNNNNNNNNNNNNNNNNNNNNNNNNNNNNNNNNNNNNNNNNNNNNNNNNNNNNNNNNNNNUUUCUGUUCUUUUUUUGUUCCAGGGAACAUAAAUAAAAAAAGUGUUUCUGUUCCGGGGAACAAUUUUUGAACAAAAGAACGCGUUUGGUAACGUUUGUUCCGGGAAUAAAAAAUGAAUAGAAACACGUUUGGUAAAUUUUAUUCUUUUUUGUUUCUUUUAAUUUUUUAAACAUUUUUAUUUUAUUUUUCAUUUUUUCCUUUCUUUUUUUCUUUUUUCUUUUUUCGGCCGGUCCCCGGCCUCCGGCGACCGGCCGACGGGGCCGGCAGCCUCGCCCAGCCACGGCGAGGCUCGCCGUGGUUGGGCGAGGCUCGGCCUCGCCGGGGGCCGGCGACGCUCGGCCUCACCGGAUCUGGGCGAGGCUCGGCCUUGCCGGGGACCGGCGACGCUCCGGCGAGGUCGCCGACCCUCGACGGUGUCGCCGGCCAAAGAAAAAAGAAGAAAAAAAAGAAGAAGAAAAGAAGAAGAAAAGGGAAGAGAUAGAAUUUUUGUUCUUUUUUUGCUUCGAAGAAGUGUUUCUUUUCUCAGAAACAAUUUCUUUUUUUUGUUCCUAUUUCGUUCCAGGAACAAAAAAACAAAAAAAGAACAGAAACGCAACCAAACGCGUUUCUGUUCUUUUUUUGUUCCCGGGAACAAAAUCCGUACAGAAGUGUUCUAGAAACGUUUCUUUGGAGCGUUUCCAUGCACGCCCGAAAUGAACCUAGAGCUUUAUUUUGUAUGAUAAAGGAGAAAUUCAGCUUUCUGUCCUUUAGCAUCGCAGUUGAGGGGCAGAAGGAUCAGUACGAACCCAGCUUACCCGAGUUCUACGAUUUCUUCCCUCUCUCCCCUAGCUUACCCCUACUCAUUCACAAUGAGUUCCCAUAUGAACAAAAAAAUUCAAAAUUUUCCACCAAUUUGACAAGAAAUCCAGCUCAGGAAAGCACCCCCAAAGAAGAGAAAAUAUUGGCUGGGUUUUACCCUCCACGUAGGCGAUGGGUAAGACCACUCAGUGAUCGACACGUGGCGCCACGUAGCGACGGCGUCAGAAGUUUAAAAUUUUCGCGCGCCGCUCCUGAAGCCCACCACUCUGACACUCUCUCUCCUCUGUUCUCCUCUGUGACCUGUCCACUCGUCCUCUCUCUCCUCUCUCUCCCCGUUCUCCCCGUUCUCCGUUCCAUUUUGCGGGAGAACAAAAGUCGCAGGUGCUUCUUUUCGAAUGCUCUUCCCCCUCCUCUGCUCUCUCUCCUCCGCUGGCAACCCGCGACGCCUCGCCUACAAGCGUGAGCAUGUUGUUUUUCAGUGAUGUGNNNNNNNNNNNNNNNNNNNNNNNNNNNNNNNNNNNNNNNNNNNNNNNNNNNNNNNNNNNNNNNNNNNNNNNNNNNNNNNNNNNNNNNNNNNNNNNNNNNNNNNNNNNNNNNNNNNNNNNNNNNNNNNNNNNNNNNNNNNNNNNNNNNNNNNNNNNNNNNNNNNNNNNNNNNNNNNNNNNNNNNNNNNNNNNNNNNNNNNNNNNNNNNNNNNNNNNNNNNNNNNNNNNNNNNNNNNNNNNNNNNNNNNNNNNNNNNNNNNNNNNNNNNNNNNNNNNNNNNNNNNNNNNNNNNNNNNNNNNNNNNNNNNNNNNNNNNNNNNNNNNNNNNNNNNNNNNNNNNNNNNNNNNNNNNNNNNNNNNNNNNNNNNNNNNNNNNNNNNNNNNNNNNNNNNNNNNNNNNNNNNNNNNNNNNNNNNNNNNNNNNNNNNNNNNNNNNNNNNNNNNNNNNNNNNNNNNNNNNNNNNNNNNNNNNNNNNNNNNNNNNNNNNNNNNNNNNNNNNNNNNNNNNNCGCCUCCACCUCCGCCUCCGCCUCCACAGGUUGCCUCCGCCUCCACCUCCGCCUUCACAAGGGACAUCGACGACCUGAAGAUUGCUGUUACUAUCCCGUCAGUCCUUUCGGCACAAAGGUUAGUCUCAUACCGUAAGGUAUGAUGUUUAACAAAUGCUGAUGGUUCAAAUGGUCAAAUCUUAGAGUGGGAACAUGUACCUGCUAUGAUAGCUGGUAUAGUUUCUUUGGUUUGCACUUGAGUUUCCUCUUUGCAUGGUGGGUUCUUUCUGUAGAUUUGAGGUUUGUCACCAUGUUGCCCAUGAUAAUUCUGUUUUCUUAAUGUUCCAAUUAAAGAAUAAUAACAGAACAAGUGCUGGUUUUCUCACUGAUAAUUGUGUUUAUUUACUGAUCAUGUGUGCCUAAUAGGUUUUGUCUAGUAGCAAAAGCACCUUUGUGAAAGGAGCCUGUGGAGUUGGCUUGGCUUUUUCAUGCCAGGAUCUUCUAACUAGGACCGAAGCUGCUGAUAAUGCUGACAGAGAUUCCUACAAGAUGGCUGAAGUUGAAUUAGUAGGGAAUAUUAUCCGGUCAUUAUCUAUCACGAUCUUGGAACUUACAAAAUCAACAUCCCAGAUUCUUCAAAGUCUGUGUGAACAUUUUCCCAAUGACAUGUGUGAGAAUGGUAGAUGUCAGAAUCCUCAUUUCUUGAAUGAGGACAGUGAUCUUGUGGAGGAAGACACCUGGGUCUUGCUGGACUUGUUCUUGGUUUGGGCAGCUCUAUUAGUGCAGUUUACCGAAGUGGGGAAAUUGAUGUGACACUGAAGAUAAAGGACUUGAUAACUUCAUGGAUUCCACACACGGAGCCAUUUGUUUGGAGCUCUAACUCCUGCAAUGAAGGAUCUGAGAUGCUUCUAUCUGUUGGAUCUUGUCUUGCACUUCCCAUGGUUGUGGCUUUCUGCCAGAGAGUAGAAUUGGUGGAUGUUGGUGAACUAAACCAACUGAUGAAUAGUUAUAGAGAACUUAUAUCUGAAUUAUUGUCUGUUAAAAAGUCAGGUGCAUUCCACCAGAGCUUGUUGAUGGAAUCAUGUGCUGGAGCAGGGAGUCUCCUUGCCUGUGUUGUGAAGGAAGGCAUAGAUUCCAUUGAAGUUGGAUGUCUGAAAGAAUUACUGGAAUUGUUGAGGAGAUAUUAUUCCAAUCCUCAGCCUCCCUCCACUUAUCUGGGAGGGAUGCUUGGAAUGGUUAAUUCUUUGGGUGCAGAAGCUGGGUUGGUUCUGAUUCAUCCCUUAUCCUCCAAUUAUGGUCGUUACAGGCUGAAGGUGAUUGAGGAUUUUCCUCAACUAGCCUUCUAAUCAUUUUUCAUGGUCCUUGUUUCUUACAGUGAAAUGUUCUCUUGGCAGGAAUCUUCUCAUAUAAUACGUGCGCUUCUUUCAAGUCCUGUCUGCGAGCCUUUGUUAACAUCAUCAAUGCAAGAGAUGUUUCUUGUUGCUCAACAUUCUGAAGAUAAUCAGCUGCAACAAUACUCUGCGUGGGCACAUUCUCUUUUCUUCGACAUAGUCUGUGGUCCAAGGAAGUAAAUUCGGAUGAUCAUAUUCAGACUGAUACCACUGUCUCAGAAGUUGCUUCUCAAAGUUUCUCCAAUGACAGUAUAGUCAUUAAACUCUGCUCAUGGUUAACGAUUGUGAAUUCAUCAAAGAUGAAUAGGCCAAAUACAGAGGUGAUGAGCUCCAUUUAUUGUUCUUGUUUCAGAAUUCUUCAUGUUGAAAGUUUAUGUCACUCUAUAUAUGAUGAAGGACUCACUAUAAAACUUUAGUCAGAAGUGGUUAUCAUGGACUCACAAAAUCAACUUAUAUUUUGCUUUCUGAAGUGUUUGAUUUUCCCUUGUUGGUGUAUUUUCUGUUGUUGAGACUCAAAAUUCUUGAAUAGAACGAAAUGAAGACAUGUCCAACAUAUGGUUCAAGAUGACCUAUAACCUUGUGAAUGCAGUGGUGAUCAAAAUAGAAGUUACUAGAUUUGUUUGAUGGGUUUUCUUUAACAUUUGACUUGCAGACACAUGGAAUGUGCUUGUUGAAGUUGUAGCAACUUUACAACGUGCUGAAGGAAGCAUUAAAAGACAGUGGCUUGUUUAUGCAGUGGAGAUUAGCUAUGUCUCUAAUUUUCCCUCUACGGUAUGCAACUAUUCCCAUACUUUUUGACGCAUUACUAAUGAAAUGGAUAGGGCAUUAACUAUUGCUUCUGUUCAUAAGUUGUACGUGUCUCGGUUUGCUUGAAGGCUUGUCCAUACCCAGCAUGUUAUAUUAAUUGCAAUUAACAAUGAUGAAUAAAAAAUGACUUCAAAAGUAUUUAAGUUUUGACUUAUAAAUUAGAGUCAAACAACAAAAGAAGUCGGUCCUGCCUUUUUGUUCCCCCUUAACUCUCUUAGUCCCAUUCUAAUUAUCGAUUGAAGGUACUCAAGUAAUGUGAGUUGAAAGAGAUGCUUUCUUGUAUUCAGUGUGUUGUACUGCAUCGGGAUUAUGAGUGAUGAUGCUUAAGUGUUUAGUAAACACACCACUAGCUCUUUGUUUUCAGGACAGGUUUGCCUCUAUAGUAAGAUGUUAAGUUUCCAUUUUAUUACCUCAGCUCUGUUGCCUCGUGAUAAAAUGGGUUUCUGCUCAUGUGGAAAGAUGGAGCAAAUGGGAUUCGCUUAUUUGUGUUGCUGCUGUAAGAUUACAUGUCUGUUCAUCAUGCUUCUAUGUAACUUUCUUAAUCUCUUGCAGCCAAUGCAAUUUAUUGGCCUGCUCUCAGGCAGUUGCUGCAAAUACAUGCCUUUGUUGAUCCCGGAUCGCUUCAGUGUCUUGUCUCUCUGCUAAGGUAACAAUGGUAUCUCAUAUUUGAUUAGUUUUGUGUUGGUUAGUUAAGAAAGGUGAGAAUAAAUUCCCAUCUCCAACAGCUCAGUUUCAGUGAGGCUUUAUGUUUUGUCUCCUUGUCUAUGAGAUUCAUUUUGCUCUAUUGUAUAUAUUUCAUGGCAUCCGAGCUGUAACUAGUCCAAUGGGGUGUCUACUUAUUGUCAAGGUACUUCCUUUACUUUAUCCUAGAGUAUUUUGGCAUACAUGUAAACUUGUGUAUACAAGGGAAAAACUAAAAAUUUUGUGAAUGGCACUUUCAUUGCCACGGAAAUUCCGAGAGUUUAUGCAGUUCUAGCAGCCGCAUAGACCACAAGUACUUAUUUCCCUGUGCUAUGACAUCUGUCCAAAACAGAAGAUCUAACAGAAAAAGGAUUACAAUCUCCCUUUUGCAGAAUUAUACAGGUGAUCGCUUGAACUUUGGAUUGGCUGCUGAGCUGGCUAAAUCUGAAGGUGGAGAUAAACCAGCUCCUGAGCCUGAUCAUCAACACCUUCUACAGCAACAAGGAGACCUUCCUCCACGAGCUCAUCAGCAACUCCUCUGAUGUACGUCUCCUCCACCUCGCUUUGAAGUACUAGGUUGCCUUGUUCAAUGUCUUUUGUCUGUUAGGUGUUCGUAAGGGCUUGCAGGCUUGAAGAUUAGAGAGAUUUAUGUUUGCUUGAAGUAGUUGUUCGAUGCCUAGUGAAGACUUAAGCGUGUCAUUUUUAGUUGAUUGGAUGGCUCUGCCUUCGUGUCAUUUUUAGUUGAUUGGAUGGCUCUGCCUUAGGCAUUGUUGAGAAAUAAUCGUGAUUGAAAUGCGAUAUUGUGAUGCUGAAGGUGAUAUAUUGAUUCUGAUCUGUGAUCGGUUUGUGUGUGCUUUAGGCAUUGGAUAAGAUUAGAUAUGAGAGCCUCACGGACAAGAGCAAGCUCGAUGCCCAGCCUGAGCUGUUCAUUAGGCUGGUGCCGGACAAGGCCAACAAGACCCUUUCGAUCAUUGACAGUGGCGUUGGCAUGACUAAAGUAGGUAAUGUAAUUGGCUGACAGAGAUUGAUCAAUUUUCUUGCUCACGUCUUUUGGCUAUGGCUAUGUUCCUACGCGAUAACGGUUACUGUUACGUUGAGUUCAUUUAAGUUGUGAGACUGUUGGUAGAUAUUAACGUCUGAGAUGAAUUGGACAGAUCUUGUGAACAACCUGGGUAAGAUUGCGAGGUCAGGGAUGAAAGAAUUCAUGGAGGCAUUGCAGGCGGUAGCUGAUGUGAGCAUGAUCGGUCAAUUUGGUGUCAGUUUCUACUCUGCUUAUUUGGUGGCUGAGAAAGUCAUUGUGACUACUAAGCACAAUGAUGAUGAGCAGUACAUCUGGGAGUCCCAGGCCGAUCGUUCCUUCACCAUUACAAGAGAUGUGAGUGGGGAGCAACUCGGCAGAGGGACCAAGAUCACCCUCUUCCUUAAGGAGGACCAGGUGAGUUCAUUUAUGGUUGCUUUUAUGAAUUCGUGGAGAAGAUUUGCAUUGGUUUUGGAUGAUACAUGAUGCUGUCAGCGUCACGUCUCUGUUUUCCUCAGCUGGAGUACCUGGAAGAAAGAAGGAUUAAGGACCUUGUGAAGAAGCACUCCGAGUUCAUUAGCUACCCCAUCUAUCUAUGGACUGAGAAGACAACCGAGAAAGAGAUCAGUGAUGAUGAGGACGAUGAGCCCAAGAAGGAAGAGGAAGGAGAUGUUGGGGCCGUCAAUGAGGAGAAGGAAGAAAAGAAGUCCAAGAAGAAGAAGAUUAAGGAAGUUUCUCAUGAGUGGCAGCUCAUCAACAAACUGAAACCCAUCUGGUUGUGAAAGCCAGAGGAGAUCACCAAGGAGGAGUAUGCUUCCUUCUACAAGAGCUUGACCAAUGAUUGGGAAGACCAUCUUGCCGUGAAGCACUUCUCUGUUGAGGGGCAGCUUGAAUUCAAGGCUAUUUUGUUCGUCCCAAAACGUGCUCCGUUCGACCUCUUCGAUACUCGCAAGAAGAUGAACAACAUCAAGCUCUAUGUUAGGAGGGUUUUCAUUAUGAACAACUGCGAGGAGCUCAUUCCAGAGUAUCUGAGAUUCGUGAAAGGAGUUGUUGAUUCUGAUGACUUGCCCCUCAACAUUUCUCGUGAGAUGCUGCAACAGAACAAGAUUCUGAAGGUCAUCAGGAAAAAUCUUGUCAAGAAGUGCAUUGAGAUGUUCAAUGAGAUUGCAGAGAACAAGGAGGACUACAACAAAUUCUAUGAGGCCUUCUCGAAGAACUUGAAAUUGGGUAUCCAUGAAGACAGCCAGAAUAGAGCUAAAGUUGCAGACCUCCUCCAGUACCACUCGACAAAGAGUGGGGACGAAAUGACAAGUCUGAAGGAUUAUGUCACGAGGAUGAAGGAGGGUCAGAAGGAUAUCUACUAUAUCACUUGUGAAAGCAAGAAGGCUGUAGAGAACUCUCCGUUCUUGGAGCGGCUCAAGAAAAAGGCUAUGAGAUGCUUUUCAUGGUGGACGCAAUUGACGAGUAUGCUGUAGGACAAUUGAAGGGAGUAUGAUGGAAAGAAGUUGGUCUCUGCAACCAAAGAGGGCCUGAAACUUGAUGAUGAAAGCAAGGAAGAGAAGAAGAAAAAGGAGGAGAAAAAGAAGUCCUUUGAGAACUUGUGCAAGACAAUGAAGGACAUUUUGGGAGACAAAAUAGAAAAAGUCGUGGUAUCGGAGAGAAUUGUGGACUCUCCCUGCUGUUUGGUGACGGGAGAAUAUGGAUGGUCUGCAAAUAUGGAAAGGAUUAUGAAGGCUCAGGCUCUGAGGGACAACAGCAUGAGCUCUUACAUGUCAAGCAAGAAGACAAUGGAGAUCAACCCUGAUAAUGGCAUCAUGGAGGAGCUGAGGCUGAUAAGAACGACAAGUCCGUGAAGGACUUGGUGAUGUUGCUGUUUGAGACUGCUCUUUUAACAUUCGGGUUCAGUCUCAAUGACCCCAACACUUUCGCAGCAAGGAUUCACAGGAUGCUGAAGCUGGGUCUGAGCAUUGACGAGGAUGAGACUGCUGGUGAUGAUGUUGACAUGCCUGCCUUGGAAGAGGAUGGUGCUGAGGAGAGCAAAAUGGAGGAAGUGGACUAAGCUUCUGCGACAUCGAAGUGAAUUCCAUUUUGUACUAGUGCCAUAGAAAGAUGAGGGGUGUGUGAUAUGUUAAUGGAUAUAGUGCUUCUAAAUUGUUACUUCUAUUAUUGUAUCCAUAAGGCUUAUCAUCUGAAAGGAGUUCGAUAUUUUGUGCUACCAGCAGUGUGUAAAUGAUUUUGUUUGGCAGAUCUUGUUAUCGUGUUUGCGAUAGAAUUUCAGGGUAACAACUCCUUAAGGCGUCAUUGUUGCGUGAAUUGGACUUGGAAAUUUAAGAAACUCUCAAAGUUCGGUGCAUGCAGAGUCCCUAAGGGCAUGAGCCUAUUCGAACAGUGAGUGUGGAAUGGACUCAAACAUGGUGGAAGAAAUACAUAGCACUCUUUUGAGGCGACAGCUUCUUGAUCAAUUAUCUACCUACUCGUUCCUUACAUGUGCAUGGCAUUACCCACGAAAGGGUCCCCCUUCUCAAUAGUAGGAAGUCACGGUUGUACUAUUCUGCACCAAAGUUUGCGCAAAGAAUGAAAGAAAAGUUUACAUAGUUCUGUCCGUUGGCUUUAACCAUGUUUGGAUUGCCUCAAUAGAAAUGUGAUUGGCAAUCUCUACUGAUUCUGUAUGUUCAGGACUACCAAGCGAGCAAAAUAUAAGUAUGUAUUACAUCUGAUCUCCGGAAGAAACUCCUGAGUCACUCGUGCAUACAUGUAAUGUAAAUUGAAACCCAUAUCUUCAUGGGCUUUCUAGUUCAGCAUAAGCUCGUACAUAGCUCAAUGUUAUUGCCUUCCGAUUGAGAAAACGGAAGUAUAAUACAAGAAUGCGGGAUUCCGAAAUAGGUGUAAUGUAUUCCAUGUGGAUUAUCUACCUCCAAAUGAUGGAUUUUAUGUGUAAUCAAGCCAUCUUCAGUAAAAACCAGAAGCACAUAGCCAGGCAUUCCGAUGAGGUGCAUCGUUCAAAAGAGAGAUUCUAGUUAUAGCAUCUCUUGCAAAACGAGCGCCCUGUCCUGCAUUGAGCAUUGUUGCAGAAGUCUCUCUUUGGUUGUCAUCAUUCUGCAUAAGACAAGACGAUCGAGAAUCAAAUCACUCAGUUUAUGAAUCAAAUUGAUUCAGAAGCAAAAUCAUCAAGAACAUGCAUCUUCUUCUAACUGUCCUUCGAUUAUUAAGAAUAACGAGGCAUUACUUCAACAAUUAUCGAGUAACUUUACAAAUAGUCAUUACUAUGAUCCACAUUUAACCUUGUUGUCUAAGAAAGAAUAACAAGAAAACGUCUGUUGCUUUCCUAAGGGGAAAAAACAUAACAUGUGCGGCCAAGAUCAAAUUCUUCGGUUUAAGGCCCUAAAUCUCCCAAUAAUUACUAAAUUCCCACCAUACAAUCUUCAAGAAAAAGUAGUUGAAUAAAAAAUGACAUAAACAAUCAAAAAGACAUGGAAAUCACGUUGACCAUUUAGUAGUAGCCCAUAUAUUACGGGCAUAUGCUGAUCUUAUAUUAACAGCAGCAGAGCCAAAGUUCGUAGCAUCAAGCCAAAACGAAAAUUUGCUUGAUCUUUUAUCAAGGUCCAGAUGUUGGAAGAUCUUGCUUCUACAAAGGGACCUCGUGCAUCAAGUUCAUAAACAAGUAGCUGGCAGUCUUACAUUUUAAAACUUCAAUUGUAACAAAAAUAAUGAGUUACAACACCAGUAGAUGAUAAAAAGGACAAGAAAAUUUUCCACUACACUUAUUGUUUUAUUCUAUUACACCCUUGGGAUGAUACAAAAUACAAAAGCCAAAGAAUAAGCCAAAACAGAAAGCCAAUUCAAAAGCAUAACCUGUGCACAUCAAGCGCGCGGAACAAAUUUGAAUUUUGCAUAUUCAAGAGAAUUUCAAAGAACAAUNNNNNNNNNNNNNNNNNNNNNNNNNNNNNNNNNNNNNNNNNNNNNNNNNNNNNNNNNNNNNNNNNNNNNNNNNNNNNNNNNNNNNNNNNNNNNNNNNNNNUCCCACUCUGGUCAAUAGAAAUGCGACUUCCCAGGACACGUCGCCGACCCAUUCAUUUUUAUUGCACAUGCGAAAGCGAAACAAAUCCCUGACAAUAUUUAACUUGGGAUAGAAAAGCAGGCAAUCAAUCACAACCAAACAAGCUUUCUAUAAACACAUAGGUUUAUAUACAACACUGGAUUGUCUACAAAAUAGACAGGCUCAACAACUAGGGAACUGUCCUAUGACCAACUUGUCAGACACGUUCACCGAUUCUUCAGCCUCCACCUUUCGAACUCCAGGACUUCCGGUCCUCCACAACUGUCAUCUAGGGACUUGAAAUAUUAUCCCACAACCGGGAUGAGACUACGUCUCAGCGAGUCCUACCCUCUAAAACUCAAUUAGGAAGAAAAUACGCCUCAAGGCGCUCUAGCCACACAAAUAGGAUAAAGGGCUUACCUCGCCUCAGUCCCUUUCCUGCACGUCAGUACAAUUCAUAUUCAAACAAUGCUCGCACAAGCUGAAACUACCGACACUUAUAUCAGUCUAUCAAUUCAAUCAAUCCAAUCAUUCGCAAUGAUUCAAUUCCAUCAUACUAUCUAUCUUUCCAUUUCAAUCCGUACUAUCUAUCAACCAUUACUAUCUAUCAUUCAAUACCGUCUAUCAAACCAAUCGUUAAUACGACACAUGUGAUGUUGCUAGUUAUAAACACCUAGAGGGGGGGUGAAUAGGCGCACAAACAAUUUAUCGAUAUACGGAAGCAAUUCUUAACAAAUUGAAAUACGAUCAAGGUAGAAAGAAAGAAAUUGGAACACAUGAUUUAUAGUGGUUCAGCUUUUCCAAGCCUACGUCCACUCUUCCGCACUGACAGCCCACCGGCUGGAUUUCACUAUGAUCAAAAGAGUAGUUACAGCACAGCUUUGCCUUGAUUCCACAGUGUAGAUGUACUAUCACACCUCCUCAAGGUCUCUCACAAAUAUAAACUCUCUUUUGUAUACAAGUAUUCGCUCAAAGGAUUUAUCUAAACAAAUAGGAGCUUCAGACUUUGGAAUUCUUCUAUCGCGCACACCUCGAACAACUAAGGACGUCUUCCUUAUAUACUCCUUUAUGCCAUCAUACCCGUUGGCACUUACCAAAGGAAUUCCUCCAAUCUGCCCGUUGGACGGAAUCAAUUAGGAAGAUCGUUCGAGCUAUUAAAGGAACGUGUUGAUAGCCCAUCAAUCCUGUUCGCCCAUACAAUCAGGAUCUCGGUUUCCAUAAGUAGAACCUUUCGAUAAUAUUUAGACAAUCAUCGAAUCUUCAGUCAUUGAAUCAAACUUGAUCAAUCAAAGGAUUCUGAUACGUCUUCUCCAGCCACGAGAUCUUCUCCAGAUGAUAAGGUUAAAUCCUGAACAAAACAUCUAGUUCGGGAUAUCCUUUCUUCAACGGAUCAGAGACUGUCAAUGAGGAUAGACUUUGAGUCUUGAGUCUGGCUGUCCGGAAGUCUUCAGACUUUAACUAACAGAGUCUGCAGACCUUCAGACUAGACUGAUGGAAACGUUUUGUCAACUUCAAAACUCUUCAUGAGGAUUUCUCCAACAACAUGCUCUCCAAAGCUGUAAUAUAUAGACGGUAGCUCGCACAAGCUGUAUAGAUAGAUAGCUCACCAAAGCUGUAAUUGAUAGAUAGCUCGCACAAGCUGUAUAGAUAGAUCGUGCUCGCACAAGCUGAUAAAACGAUCUUAGCUCACCAGAAGCUGCCGCAAUAUUCAAUAUAGUAUACUAUAGCUCACCAGAAGCUGCCAUAUAUAUAUGCAUAUCAUAAUUACUCGCCUAAGCGGAUACAUAUAUAUAAACCAAUGCUCGCCAAAGCUGAUCAUUCAAUAAUAAACCAUAGAACUGGAUAUUCAAUCCAAUAAUAACCAACGAUUCAAACUAGUCAUACAAACCAAUUACGGUGCUAAAAGCCAACACCGGGUAUUUUCAAGUUAAAUACCACAACUUCAUCAAUAUCACUCAAUUCCACACUUUUGGAAUAAUUAACCAUAAUCAUCAAUAACUCAAUUUCUCAAUUUAAGCUUACAAUUAACACAAACCGACCACACGGCUGCGAUCAGCGCGAAAUUCUAACGACCGGCCAUCUCGGCAUAAUUUUCGAAAUUAUUAAAUAAUUAAAUUUAAUUCCGAAAAUUAAAUAAUUAAAUAUUAUAUUAUAAUAAUAUAAUAUAAUAAAAUAAUAUUUAUAAAUUCGAAAUAAUUAAUUAAUUAAAAGUAAUUAAUUAGGGCUUAAACAAGAUUACAAUAAUUUAAUCAUACAAUUAGCCCUAAUUAAACAUCCAUUAAACUAAUCAUGCAACUAAUCUAAUUUACAUUAAAAUAAUCUAAUUUAGUCACAUAAACCUAAUUAGACUAAAGCGUCAUUAACUCACUAAGCAAGAAUUAGAGGAUAAACUCACCGGAUUAACGUUCCGACGAGUCCACGGCGAAGGCAACGCCAAGGCGGGCGAUAAACCUCAAGGCGGCGACACCAACCAAGGCCGGGAAGACACCUAAAACGGGCCUUGAAGACCUCACGGCUUUCUGGUUUUCUGCUUCUGCUUCUGAUCUGGGUUGAACUGCAGAGAAGAAACCAGCAACUUCAACGGCGAAAACGGGCCGAUCGGAGCUCCGGCAAGCGGGUGGUUGGCAACCAGCGGCUCCCGGGGGUCUUGGGGAUCUUAUAGGAGGUUGGGAUGGGCAAAGGAAGGGUCGGAAAGGGGUGAAACAGCAAGAAAACGCGGAACAGGCGGAGCAGGGCGGAACCAGACGGUCCGGCGAGCGGCAGCUUCUCUCAGGAUUUCGGGACGACCGGAGAGUCGUUCCGGCGAGCGGCUGGAUGCUCCGGAACGGGCUGGAUGUCUUCGUCACGGACGUGGGUGGAGAGUUCGCUGAUUCAUCUGAUAAGUCGACUUUUAACUCGAAUCUUUGGCGAAAGGUCAGCUGGAGCAGAAACUGGAACGAGGAGAAAACAGGGGAGGAAAACGGCCGACGAUGGCCUUCCGGGCGUGUGACGAUGGAGGGGCUGCUGCUGCUCGGUUCCUCUGGUUUUUGCUGAGCUUCUCUCCUUCAACAACAAUGGAGAAAGCCUUGGAUUAAGGGAGAAGAAGCUGCUGAAGAGUGGGGGGUCUCCUUGGGCUCUCUAGAGCUCAACAUUUGCCAUCUUCUCAUUGGCUUUGCCCCCACCAUGACAUCACAUGACAUCAUCCACUCUCUCUCCUCAAUCUUCCUCCACAACCUUGCCAAUAGGUGCAAAAUAGCUCUCCCCCCCCCCAUGGCAUACGAAUUUGUUACAUUUCCCUAUUCAAUCUCAAUCAAUUUCAUCCAAUUCUCAACUAAACACAUCCAAUUGAAGCCUAAUUAAAUCCAUCAAGGUAUCCUCGUCCGUCUCAUGACUUUUUCCCAUCAAAUGAUCCAACUUGCAUCCCGAAGAUUCAAUCAAAAACGACCCUCUGAUAAUCUCGAACAAAAACGGCAUUACUUUGCUUUUCUGCCAAAAAUCUCGGUUUGUAGAAAAAUCUUCUGGAGAUGAGUCGGCAUUCCUAAAAUGAAUUGUGACUUGACAGAACUUCUCAUUUCUGUAAUCGGGUUCAAUUUCACGGUUAAAUUCAAUCUGGCGCGACUUUAGCGCGUCCUAAUCUACCGGGUAGCUUUUAGGAAUUUUCUGUGCAAUUGACCUGUGAUUGAUUAUUCUCAAGCCACAAAGUGCAUCUUCGACACCUUGGCGACUCUCGAUUGUCGUAGAAAUCUCGAGAUUUCGAUUACGGACACAGGGUACCCAAAACGACAGAAGACUCGGUCUAGUGCCGGUCGACGAGCAUAUUGCGAUCAGGUGGAAUCACCCACACUCUAAUCACAUAUCUCAGUCGAAUCGACCUAUUACUAAUCUCUGUUCAAUUCUGACAGUGUCGUAAUGAUCCUUGCAGAUUAAUACGGUCGAGUAGCCGAUUCAUGGUCGAAUUCUCAAGUCUAUUGCGUUUAGAUUCCUUAACGGCUUCACAUGAUAGACUAGUUAUUUCGUGAGUGGCCAACUCAGAGAAGAGAGCUAUAGACGCAAAGAUGAAAUGCCCGACUUAUUCAAUUGAAACCAGAAUUGGAAAAUCGAGAUGUCACAAAAGGAUGAGACAGUUGGCAUUUGAAGGGUAUAACAAUCACAAGCCCUGCAAAAACAUGAAUGCCGUGCACCCGAAAGAGUUUGACCUACCCACAGAAAGAAUAAAAAUUUGAUUUAGUAAUUCUCAUACGCUCUUGAACACCUAUGAAAAUCAUUAGAUCUACCGCAUGCUUCUUAGUAUUCAGAUUUCCCAUUGGGCACGGACAAGACACGAGUAUAGUUCUUUGAUGGCAAAGAUAUAAUUGCUGAAUUCGGACAGAAAUCAUCCAAAUUCAAGCAUCAAAACAUCUCAGUUUCUCAACCAUUUGCCAGGUGAUGAAAAGGGCAGCUUUGCAGCUUAACGCUUAAGUCAUCAUAAAUCCGUAUCAAUAAAAAACAAACCCUCAAUUCAUCUGCCCUGAAAGGGCUCAAUGACAAGAACCAAGACCUCAUAAACUCAUGACUUCCAGCUAUUCUUACCGAUAAGCAGGAAGGGCUUCAUACUCAAACCAAUCUUACGUAGUAAAGAUCUCUCCUCAUCACUUAUGGUUUCCAGAUCAACUGGAAGGUCUGCUGAUCUAAGAUUCUCCUGCACUUUUGCUAGAGCUUUCUCAGCCCUUUUGACCUUCCCUUUAGCCUGGAAAGAAGAGGAAAAUAAAAAUGGAAAAUGUGAUAAAUAAUUAAGGAAAUGGAGCAGAAUUUUAUAGCAUAAGUUUGUUCAAUCAAGAAUAUUACAAGAGCAAGUUUCUUCUCAAGAUAUUUCAAGAGUGCAGCGUGCUUAUUGAGUGAUUCAUCUCAACGCAUUUGCUCAACAUCUUUGCUACUUAUUUCAUUCCCCCACCGAGAGGUGCCAGCCAGAGUUUCAGUAAGAGUGCCAGCAACAAGUGGGCUUUUAGAAGCUUUGAAUUUUGAUUCAAUUGCAGCUGAGGCCCUCUGACGAGCUUGGUCGUCCUCAUUUGCCUGCACAUCUGUUAGUUUUUCUCUCUUUCAGUGCUUCUACCACCACAGGAGGCAAGAAGUCAUUGCCCCUAUAAAACACAAUAUAAUCUUUGUUCCUACAAAGUAGUGUUCCCCCAGUUAAAUUCUGCAUUCAAAAUGACACAAAUCAAUAACAAGAGCACCAAAUUUUCCUUACCUAAAGAAAAAGGACGGAAUAUGCAAUACUAAACAGAAGUUGAUAUUAUCAUAAUGCCAGAACAUUAAGGUUGGCAGGAAGAAGAUGAGUUAAAAAGAACUUCAGCCUAUCGUCAACAGGAAUUAAAACCAACAGGCAAAAAUAAUGCUUGAGACUGUAUCCAAGCUCCUAGUUUCUCUCAUUGAAAUGCCCUUCUGUAACUGCUGGAAAGACCUUACAAUAAGAUAUACAAGAAAUUCCUGCUUUACUCUAAUAACAGCCACAAUCAUAGCAGAAAGUUAAAGCCUGACUACAGAUUGAAGCAAAUGAGCUAAAGCCCGCAAAAAUUUGGAAGAACUCCAUACAUUAAAUGGUUGGAUGAGACUAAAUUCACCACAUUAUAAGGAUAACAAGUCUCAAUAGAUAACUUCUUGCCUCCAAACACUCGCCGUCUUUAAGAAUUAGAUCCUCCUCCUCGCAUUUCAAGGUGUCGGAAUCCCUAACAAUUUUGUUCUGCACAUGUUCAUAAACAAAAAAGUAUCAACACAGAAGCAUAACAGAAACAUAACAUUCAUACUAUAGCAUGAGGAACUGACAGCUUAAGAGUGAUGCCUCCGCAACAACAAAAGCAGGGUAUGAUACUUACACGAGUUUCUUCAACAUUUAGUUGCACGCAAGAAUAAAAUGCCGCUUUAUCAUCCUUAUUGACAAAUUCGUGUAAUGCUUUAUCCAGAUCAUUGAAUGGAAGUAUCUCCAUUUUUUGCAAGGCAUAACUGCAUAUUAAACUAUAUACAGACCUUAAGAAAACUAAGAGACUGAUAACAAUUAUCAGCAUGUCUUUCUAACAUUCUACCCAUAACAAUAUACUCAAGGAAGCAUAUCAGUUGAAGUUAAAAUAUGUGUUUGCAACAACAAAUCACAAUGCAAAGCACGUGUUAUUAUUAUGGAUUUCAUUGGUGGCCAUAAGAGAUUUAUACAAUAUGAAAAAUACAUUUAGAAAGCAUAAAAGAAUCAGGAUUACCAGACUAUUCUCGGCAACAAGCGCCUCAAUGUUUUGUUGAUUUAGCUCCUCAGGGCGAAGUCGCUCAGAAUCUUCAAAUUGUGCUACAGAUCAGGAAGACGAACAAUUUCAAUGACAAGUCAUUUCUUUAUUCAAAGGCAAUAAGAAAGGCAUACAAAUAUUGACUUGGAAAAAGAAGGACAAAUAGUGCCAAAAACAUAGCCUACUAAAUUCCAACUCUUUGACCCGAAAAAGAAAAAUCAUCAAACUCCACUUGUCAAAAGAUCUGUACCACUUUCACUCCGACCCUUUCUUGAAGCCUUAGAGAAGAUUAAAAUAUCUUGAGGAUUAGCAACCUACAAAAAGAAAAAUCAUUACUCCUUUUUGGGUAGCGCUGUCAAAGACUACACCGUGUGCACCUUCUAGUGUGCACCUUCUAAUAUGCAUUUACCUUUCCAACAUACUUUUGUCCAAACCUUUGAGGAUUUAUCGUCAUAAAUGUGAUUGUCAAACAUAAGUAUAUGAGCUUUUUUUCUCCUAUGAAAUUGUCAAACGUGAUUGUCAAGAUGGAACAUCCAAUUUAUUAAAAAGUUCUAAGAAAACUAAACUUACAAUAUUUAGCCCAUCUUGUUUGACACCUACACUAAUUAACUCUAUAUUCUAAGGAAAUAAAAUAUCCCAAUCAUUAUCGUUUAUGAGUAAAAUGACAUAAUCCUACUACUAAUAUGCAUGGGCUAAUAAUGAGUGACAUUGGGACUAAAUUCCACAUGAAAAACAAACAGUCACUUAAUAAAACUAGAUGAACAAAUGCCUCUAGCUUUGUCACCAACCAUCUCUACCUAUUACUCAUGCUACAUCAGGCGAAGAGGAAUCAGGAGCUUUUGUUGCCGCAUUCAUUGCCUUGUAUGAGCAAAACUCUACAAAAUUCCUAGGCUAGACUGAAGGUUGCCUAGCACUUUCAGGUAUCUCUUCAUCAAAACGAUGGCACAGUUCUUUAGUGGAACACUCACGUCCGCACAUGCAUGUGCACGUCAGAAACAGCUGACUGAUUCCCUGAACAUCUUUCAUCUUCUCCAAGUUCAUCAUUGUUUAAUCAGCACUAAAUAAAAGACCGAAGGCAAAGGGACAGAUGACUUAACAUUUAGUUACAGACACUUCUCAUGGGCAUCUCGUUGAGCGAAACCAUCAAUUACAUGCCUUAAACAUCAAGCCAGUAUGAACAACAUAUAGGUUCCUAACAAUCUCACGCGAACAUUUUGGCAGCAACUACAAUAGACAAGCUCAUGUACGAUUUCAGUCACUGCCUAAUGCUAACAUAGGCCUAAUAUCGAAACCACCAUUCAAGCCCAAUCAAGUCGGCACAAGCCAUCAUACAUUACAGCUGCCGUCACGGAUUCAAAUUUCACAAGCAUUCCUAAGUCUACACUAAAUUUUCAAAAAAUAAAAUGCAUAUCGCGGCAUAGUCUGAACCUAAAGCCGCCACCGCUCUUUCAAAUAUUGCGCACCGAGCAGCACAAACCUCUGCCGACACCUGGAGGUACGUUCACUCGAUAGAGAGAUCGAAUCUCCUAGGAAAGCACAUUCACUUUCAGGCCGGUCGGUCACGAGCGAGUGAGCGGAGAAAGGAAUCGGAAGCGGCGCUCACCUGGAAUGUAGGUGUUCUUGGUGAGAAUCGGCAGCAAAAGCAGAGCCAGAACCCCAGCAACGCAACAGAUGACACUGCGAAGAAGUCCACAAGGUCAAAGAAGCGCGUGAGCUCGCGCUCGAGUCGCCGGAACAUAUUCGCCCGAAUAACAACGAGUAGAGAUAAUCAAAGACCGAGAAGCUACUGCGGUACCUGACGAGGACGCUGUGAGAUAUGAGCAGAGUCCCUAGCCGAACGAUCGGUUGAGGCUUCGGCGGAGGUGGGCAUCGGCGUCGGAGUCGGGGGCGACGGAGUCGCGAGAGGGCGUUGGGGCGGAGGCGGAGGCGGAGGCGGCGUCGUCGGCGUCGAAGGCAACCGGCUUGAGGGCCGUCGGAGUCGGGGGCGACGGACUCGCGAGAGAGCGUCGGGGGCAGAGGCGGUGUCGUCAGCGUCAGAGGCAACCAGCUUGAGGAGCGUCGGAGUCGCAAGAGGGCGUCGGGGGCGGAGGCGGCGUCGUCGGCGUCGGAGGCAACCGGCUUGAGGAGCGUCAGAGUCAGGGGCGUCGGAGUCGCGAGAGGGCGUUAGGGGCAGAGGCAGACGCGGAGGCGGCGUCGUUGGCAACGGAGGCAACCGGCUUGAGGAGCGUCAGAGUCGGGGGCGUCGGUGUCGCGAGAGGGCGUCGGGGGCGGACGCGGAGGCGGAGGCGGGGUCGUCAGCAUCGGAGGCAACCGGCUUGAGGAGCGUCGGAGUCGGGGGCGUCGGAGUCGCGAGAGGGCGUUGGGGGCGGAGGCGGCGUCGUUGGCGAGGUGUCGGAGUCGAGAAUGGAGAGAGAGAGCUCGUCGGCGAGAAUGGAGAGAGAGCAGAGGAGGGGGAGAGAAGCAGUUGUGCGACUUUUGUUGUCACGCCCCGAACCUCGAGCGCGCGCACAUCCCUCGGUGGUCGAUAGAAUUUUGCGACGUUCCCAGGUCUCGUUGCCGACCCUUCAUUUUCAUUGCACAUGCGGAAGCGAAUUACUAAUCCCCUGACCUCAACAAACAUGGGAUAGAAAAGCAGGACAACAAUUUCCAAAUCAAAAUACACAUUCAUAAACACCUCAAGCUUAUACAAAAUGUCUAUGUCAUAAAGAACUACUGAGCCACCUAUGCUCCUGACCCUUCCGCUUCAAGCUCCUGGCUCUUCACACUAGGGACCUGAAAAUGGUUAUUCAAUAACCAGUGAGAUAUAAAUCUCAGCGAGUUCCACCCCUAAGCCCCGGUUAGUACACCAACUCAACUCGGGGUAUCUAUCUAGAACUACCCCACCACAAGCAACAACCAACGGUCAAUUCGCAUACAACCUUACCUGGUAUGCCAUACCGUGCACGUUAUAACUCAGCACAAUACACGCAAUACACAUGGUCAUUAGAUGAUACAGUUCAUCAAUCACAUACGAGUCGCGUCACCAGCGAUCUCACCUGGCCAUUGCCAUACUCUGCACAUUAUCGAUUCAUGCGUGUGUGCCAUAAAUAAUGUGCUUAACUCAUGCAUGACCGGAAUCAACAAUGCAAUGAUUCUCAUGCGUUAUUGCACAUUAUCACAGUUCAGAAACACAAUGCAUAUACUCAAUGCAUAUUCCAGUUACUAAUGACCUACCGGCCAUAGCUAACUUUCCAAUUGGUGCUCAUCUACCUCAACACUCAUGCGUGCUCCAGAUAAUAAUGACCUCCCGGCCAUGGCUAACUUCCCAGUCAGCACUCAUCCGACUCCCGCCGGGCUACCGAUAAAAAGAUCGGGCUUCGUCCCACCCCGUCGGGCACGGCUACGUCUCGAACUCCCGUUCAGACGGUUUCCCAAAAAGGGACAUCGGUCCAGAGUCUACUGCGACCGGCUUCCGACUCCCCGUCGGGUACCGCCCCCAAACUCCCAUUCGGUGGCGUUCCAAUUCAAUCUCGUGAGCACACCACUAAAACUCCAUUUUUCUCAUGAUAACGGUCCACUUCCACGGUCCCUCGGACAAUCCAUUUUCCCUUCUUUGUGGAAAAACUUACAAUUCAUGCGGAUGUUUAUGCAAUAACACACUCAAUCACUUCAUAGAAUCAACACACAUGAAUUUUAGACACUUUUCGCAUUCUGGAUGAACAGUGCACGUGAACAGUACUCGUGAACAGUAAAUUUCCAGAAUUUAAUAAACUAUAAAUUAAAUUCAUAAAUCAUUAAAAGCAUUAAUUAAAGAAAUCAUCAAUUAAUUAAAGCCAAGCAUACUUAAUUAACCACAUAAACCACAUUAAGCAAAUAAAGCAAGAUUAAGAUAGACUAAUCUAAUUCAUCCAUCUAACCACCUAUCUUAGGGCUAAUACAAAUUAAUUAAAUCACUUAAACUAGAAUUAAAUCUAACUAAACCAACCCUAAGCAAGUUUAGGCACUAAUCGAAGGAUUAGGAGCUAAACUCACCCGUUAAGCGGGCCGGAAACACCGACGCGGCGGCGACGACGGAGGCGAUGCUCUGAGACCUCUACCACAACGAUCCAAGGCGGUCCCAAGCUCAACACAGCAACCACAGCUCAGACUCCCUCUGAAACUUCUGAAAAACAGCCCUGCCGGAGAAGAAAACAAGUUGAACGGCUUGGCCGGAGCUCCGGCGAGGAGGGUGGCUGGCAACCGGUGACACCCGGGGGUCUUGGGAGUCUUGUUGGAGGUUGGGAUGAGCAAAGGAACGGCUGGAAUGGAAGAAAACGGGCUGCAAAGUCGAAACAGGCGAAGCAGGGCGGAACCAGGCGGUCCGGCGACCGGCGUCUUGAGACGGCUGUACAGGACGACCGGCAGCUCCGUUCGGGACGAAACUGGGCUCGUUGGAACGUUCUGUCUCUCCCGGUCACGGUGAUAGGUGGAUUGUUGGCUGAUUCAUCCGGGAAGACCACUUUUGACUCGAUUCUUUGACGAAGGGUCAGCUGGAGCAGAAACUGAAGGAGAGGGAAAACGAGGAGAGAGAGAGAGCUCCGUUCGAGGGAGGCCGAAUGGGGGAGAGAGAGAGUGAAGUGAGGGCUGUCAAGACUCCCAUAAAUGCUUGCUUCAAGUCCCCAUGCCAAGCCAUCAUCAUUUUAUCUCUCUUCUCUAGCCUUUUCUCCCUACAACUAGGGGUAUUUUGGUCAUUUCACCUUGCACAAAUUACAAAUCUGACCUUGGGCUGAAAUUGGUGGAUGGGCCUAAGGAUUGGGCUUGGCCAUGAAUAGUAAUGGGCUUGGGAAUUGGUUGGGCUUGAAAUGGCUAAGAUUUGGCCCAUGGGCUUAGAAGAUGAAUAGUAGGUUUGGCCCAAUUGACUUAUUUGCUUGACUUAGGCCCAUUAAGCUGGCUGUCCAACUUUGGGCCUAGGGCCCACACUGGCUUGGCCCGGCCCACGACCUCACGGGCUCGCUUCCUCGGUCCGAAAAUCCCUUUUCCAAUUGCUUGGCUCAACUGGCUCUGUCGACUGCUUGAUGUAGCUUCAUCCAAAGUCCGUCCCGGACAUUCCUGAUAAUUCGAAGUCCAAUCCUAAGUUCUCUUGCCAUGUCAAUUUCGCCAAAUGCCAUUUUGGUAACAACUCAGACUGACGGAUGGCUUUGAGGAUUCACGCGUGACCGACUCGUGCCAAACCACGUUCAAGACAUCUCGACGCAUGGAUGUCUUUGACUGCAUGAAAUUACGAAGGAUAGAUUCUUAUUUCAAAGUACACGAUUACUGAGGAUCGACACAGGGUUGUUCGCGGGUUCGAUAACGGUAAACAGAAUCACCCGUCGUUCCAUUAUGUUCUGUCCACGAAUCAACUUCUAGUCGUCCUUGAAAUCGGCAUGUCUAUCUACAGGAUCGUCCUCACGUAAGUCUCACGGUCAAGUCGUUUUCCCAGGUCGAGUCCUUUAGUCGCACGAGUUUUGUCCUUAUUAGCCUUUCCCCUCAAGGUCAGUAUCUCAGGAGUGAUCAAUUCCGAGUGAAAUUAACCAACAAUGCAUUGACGAAAUUCACAUUCAUUCAUCCCUUAUAGGGCUCAAAUUUCAGGAUGUCACAUUUGUUCUCCCCCGCAACGGAACGGAACGGAGAACGGGGGAGAGAGAGAGAGGAGAGAGAGGACGAUUCGACAGGGUGCAAGCGUCGCAGAGGAGAGCAGAGCAGAGGGAGCGUCAGAGUGGUGGGCCCCACACGCGGCCUGCGCGAAUUUUGAACGCCUGACGCCCUCGCCUACGUGGCGCCACGUGUCGAUCGUUGAGUGGUCUUACCCACCGCCUACGUGGAGGGUAAAACCCAGCCAAUAUUUUCUCCCCAAAGAAAACGAGAAGAACCCAGCUUCAAUCUAAAAGAAAAUUUUAGAAAAACCGAGGAAAUUUGCGAGCUUACAGAUGAGGAAGCCGGCGAUGGAUGAAACAGAGCAAGGGGGAGCUGGCGAUGGCGCGACGAGGAAGCAGAUGAACGCAGAUGAGGAAGCAGCGCGACAGGGAGCUGGAUCUGGCGAUGGCGCGACGAAGGAAAAUGCUGUGAAGUCUGUGUGUGUGAGAGGGAAAGAAAGUAAACAGGAGACAAAUUAGGGUUUUGGACUUUUGGGUGGACUUACAAACCGGUUCCCGAACCGGUCCGGUCGAUCUGGUUCCCGGGUGGUAAUCUCUUGGAAUCGGUUCCCGGACCGGUUCAAACCGGUUCUGAAUUUUGGGAAUAGGUUGUUCUGUUGAGAUAGGUCUGUGAGAAUUCCUCCAGGUGCAUAUGGUGCAGUAUUUUUUGAUAUUUUACUCAACUUUAGGUNNNNNNNNNNNNNNNNNNNNNNNNNNNNNNNNNNNNNNNNNNNNNNNNNNNNNNNNNNNNNNNNNNNNNNNNNNNNNNNNNNNNNNNNNNNNNNNNNNNNCCGAUAGCAAUUGAUAUUAUCAGGUGAUUGCUUUUGCUGUGACACCCAUAUGAUGUUCCAUUGGCCAGAGAAUGAUAAAGAUGGUAAAGUACUUCAAAUUUUCUUACGAGAGAAAGUAUUAAUGCUUUGAAUUUGCAUGAAUGAAGCAUGUUUCCUCAUUAUGUUGUUGAAAUUCAUCAGUCCCAUUUACUACUAACCAAUAGCUAGGGGAUUUAUCUGGUUUAUGGUGGCAUAGUGCUAGUAUCUACAGUUUUAGCAUAUUUUCUGUUCAUUGAAGUAGUUUCUUUGUGCAUUUCCUGUGCAGCCCAUGCUGAGAGCCUUCUGAGUAAGAAUUGAAGAUGGUGGUAUGCCAGUGGUGGUUCUUUGCAAAGUGCACUUCCAAGUAUCAAAGUGAACGAUAAACAGUGUCCUUUUGGAGAUCCUGUUGCUCUCUUCGAAUUUUAAAUAUCAUGGAUUAGGCUAUGCUUUAGAAAUGCUUUGUACGUUUUUGUUGGAGUUGGGCUUUGUGAACAUCAAGUGCAAGAUGGUUGUUGGUUGCUGGUGACUCUUUUAAGUCCUGCGUCUGACCUUAAUGCAUGGCUCUUGACUUUAUAUGUGUCUGGUUUUUCUUUAUUGUCGGUUUAAUGUGUAUUCCUGGGCUUAGCACCAGAUAAAUGUGUGGGUUUACCCAGUGCUUGGAGUCGGUCCCAGUUCUGUAUUAACUGCGGUUGAUCUGCAAUGAGCUACUCUGUCUCUUCCUUGUUAUCGUCUGAACAUAGUCGUGUUGAAACUAAGCCAGUUCUUGCUAUUUGAUGGUCAUCUCCAUGUACAGGAACAGAUGAGGAACAUUGAUUUUGAAUGCUUGAGGGUCAGUGGACAUGAAUCAUUUGAAGCUGGGUGGUCUGGGAGGACUUGGAUGGAUCAUUUGAAUUUAAAUUGUUUGGUCAAAAUAUAGCACCGACAUCCUUUGGUGUAAGUCUGUAAAGGACCUGUUUUGGCGCCACAGGCUCUCACGAUUGUUGUCAUCUCAUCGAUGAGUAUGGAGGAGGGAGGAAGAAGGGAGAGGCGGGGCGGCUAUGGAGAUCGAACAUGGUGGAGGCCAAUAUAAGUUGUGUCGUUGCGUUAAGGAGCGGUAUCUAGAUGAGCUAGGCCCCCUUUAACCCUGCCCAGCACAUAGCCUAACCAGGGCCGAACUCAAUUCCAUCCGAAGAACUACAUUCGAGUGCACUGAAUUAAGCCACCGCGAUGACCACCACUCUACGAUGUGCCUCUGCUGCCGAAUCUCAUCCAUAUGUCUAGAGAAACACCUAUCCUGCUUCUUGAAUUUUGCGAUCUGCUAGAUACAACGUGAUUUUUAAAUUAGCAUCAGUAUCAUUUUUUAAUAUUUGUUCAAUUGUUAAAUAAGACGUUUGGAUCAGUGUGAGGAGAUGAAAAGAAAAUGACCGAGAGUAACUUUCGGUUUUGUAGAAGCAAAAUGGUAGUUACUGCCAAAUUGCAUUUCAAUGUUUGUACUGCACUUUCCAUGUAAAUAAGAAACAUUUCUUCGCCUUGCAAAUAAAAUGAACUUGCCAAGUUGCACGGACAAACUCAAGCGACCUUCUUCCCAAAGUUCUCUUAAUAAGAAAUUGGAAGAGAUGAAACUGACUCAUGAAUCGUCCUUCCCCCGCCAUAGCCGAGAUAUAAAGACGCAUGCUUAGAGUAAGAAGGCCUAUUAGAUUCAUAAUUUGGGGAAAAUUCCUUAAAUGGGAUGCCUAUUUGGCAUUAUGGGUUUUGAGACUACACCAGGCAUUGAAGGCCGCUUCAACCGCCGUAGCCGAGAUAUAAAAAUGCAUCCUUAGAGUGAGUAGGCCCGUUGGAUUCAUAAUUUGGGGAAAGUUCCUUAAAUGGGAUGCCUAUUUGGCAUUAUGGGUUUUCAGAUUGGACCAGGCAUUGAAAGUCACUUCAACCGCCGUAGCCGAGAUAUAAAGACGCAUCCCUAGAGUGAGUAGGCCUGUUGGAUUCAUAAUUUGGGGAAAGUUCCUUAAAUGGGAUGCCUAUUUGGCAUUAUGGGUUUUGAGACUACACCAGGCAUUGAAGGCCGCUUCAACCGCCGUAGCCGAGAUAUAAAGACGCAUCCUUAGAGUGAGUAGGCCCGUUGGAUUCAUAAUUUGGGGAAAGUUCCUUAAAUGGGAUGCCUAUUUGGCAUUAUGGGUUUUGAGACUACACCAGGCAUUGAAGGCCGCUUCAACCGCCGUAGCCGAGAUAUAAAGAUGCAUCCUUAGAAUGAGCAGGCCCAUUGGAUUCAUAAUUUGGGGAAAGUUCCUUAAAUGGAAUGCCUAUUUGGCAUUAUGGGUUUUGAGAUUGGACCUUGAUAUAUAGUUUGACCUUAUCAAGAAUGAAUCUUGGCCACUUGGUACUCGGCUAGUGGUAAGGAAAUUGAAUGAAGAGGUGAUAUUUAGUUUUUAGGUGUGGGAUUUGAUUUUCACGCUCUACAACAGUUAGUAAACUUAUAAGAGAGAUGAAAGUCAAAAGUAAGAUAGGCCAAAGAGUGAGAAUAAAUAUUGGAUUAGACCAUCAUUAGCUGAUGCUUUUAAUGCUACUUUACCAGCAAAGAUAUUGGAGAGACUGCUUUGUUCUAUGAUGGGACUAAAUAGGGCAAAAAUGAUCCAUUGAGUAAAGUUCUGGACCAUUUCAUUUAUUUUUUGUUGUAAACUUAAAUUGGGCUGAUGCCUCUCGUAAAAGUAAACUUUUCUACUUUUCUUUCUUCUUCCUUUUUAUCUAAUAGAUCUUCAUGGAUAUUCUCAUAUUAAACCUAAGCCUAAUUCUCAUGAGCUGCUACUCCGGAAGGCUUUCCUAGAUCAGCUUGGUCGUUAUAUGUUUGGCUUGAUAAAUCAUCAAGGUCUGAUUUUCAGACAUGUUCAAAAUAGGCGUGAAGAAUUGACCAUAGGGAAAUGUUGCUUGUAUAGUGUUUUGUGUCACUCCGUAAUUUUAAAAGGCAUCCUGACGAGAUUUUUAGAGGUACUUACCAUAAUGAAGACAUGGCAGAAUUUUUACUCGCAUAAAUUUGUUAGUGAUGUCGGAAUAUCAAAUUUUCAUUGAACAGUGAAAAAUUCCUCUUCUUCGCCGAUGCCACAAUAUUUGGCUCUUUAACAACCCUUUUUCUUUUUUGGAAAUAAAGAAAAUGGGUUUUGUGGCUGGUUAAAGCAAAUGCCUAGAGCUAAUGGUGAAAGUUAUCAAGUUUUGAAAUGGCAAUUAUAUCUUCUAUCAGACUUACAAAAGUGAUUUCAUACAUUCGAGAACAACUAUAUCAAGGCACUAAAAAACCUUCGUUGAUGCUUUCAGAAACAGCUCAAUGUCAAGAAGAGUUUCUAAAAGUUGAAAGAGACAUUUUGAUCAGAAAAACACUAAUAUGUGUUCAUCUAAGAGCAGAAUAAUGAUCUUAGUUUACAAAUGAAUUAAAUUAAUUAUAUUUCCCAACCAUUAUUUUAUGGAAACACAAUAAUGUGUGAUAUCGUUAAAAUUCACAAAGAUGGGGGCAAAAAACUGAAGUAUGAAGCCAUGGAGACUGGCCGAGUAGCAUUGAGAUGGUAGAAGGGGGAAGAAGCUUAGGUGAUUAGACGAGGGACUUACACAUCCUUACGACGUGACAUAAGAUAUCAUUUCCAAUGUUGCAUUCACAGUCAAUGCUACUCUUAGCUUCUGCUGGCGACUGUAGUGUCAACCCAACCCAUCAAUUUGAUGCUCAAUUUUUCUCAUUGAAAGUUAUCCAAGUGGUAAAUCCUUCGAAAUACUUCACAUUCUUUCUUCAAUGCAUGCAUUUUAAAGUGUGGAAGUCGCUCGAUCUCACUCUUUUUGUUCUCAAUCAAAAGCAAGGCAAUCGGUCCUGUGCUUGUAUAUGGCCAUCUCAACUCAUAUUUCACUCGAGAAAAUUUUUUUGUUUCCCACUCUAGGUUGAUUUUUGUAGAUCAUGACUAGGCUUAAAGUUGUAAGGGUGAUGUAUUUCUGAUCAUUGUGGAAUGAGUAAGUGUUUUUAUGGAUGCACAGUUUUCCUAUCAAAUUAGCAAGGCCUCCCUAACAAUAAAUAGAAUGCAUCCAUAGGAAUAGCAUCGCGUAGAAUAUUAUCUUAGUAACUUUUACCAAUUGAAAAUGACACAAGAGCUUGUUUAGUUACUUGAAGAUCGCUCCCCUUGCUAAACUUUUGAAGCUUGUAUAGUUCCAAAUACUUAGAAGUGGGUAGCUAAAGCUUUUCAAUCAAAGUUGUGGAUGCCACAUUGGUGCAACUCUCCAUCGAUAAUCCACUAACACAAUUUUCCAUUAAUGGAGCAAUGGGCUUGAAAGAUGUUCUCCCUUUACUCAUCUGUUUCUAGAGCAACUAGGAUGUGUAGAGCCCUCUAGAUUACUGGUAACUCAUCAUCAUUCGCUUGUUCCAAAACCUCAUCUUUCUCCUCAUAUUCGGACUCAAUCUGGUCAGGAUCUUGCUUGGCCUUCUGAAGUUCCAAAUCAAUCUUCUCAAUUUCUUGAAGGGUCGUAACCCUUUAGCUGGGACAAUCAGCUUGCAAAUGUCCAUAGCCGUGACACUGGAAUGAUUUUCUACCUUUUAGUUUCUGUUUUCUUUGUUACGAAUUCAGCAGACUUAUCCUUUUCUUUUUACUUUUUUUAAAGUGUUCUCGACCUUGCCUGAAGAUGCAACCUUAAAGAAGGAUGUCUCUCUAGUUGAAGAGUCGAAAAACCCUCGCCAUGCUUUAGUUGUUUCUCCACUUGGAUGACGAAUUUGCAAACAUCUACAAAGGACCAAUGUGAUUGAAGUUGAACUAAGUCUAAGUUGACCAUCUCCAUGUUUAAUCCUCCGAUAAAAUGAGUCAUGCUCUACUCUUGCAAUUCUAGAACAUCAGACCUUAUAAGGGUUGUUCAAUCUACCUAAUAUAUUCUUCAAUACUCAUCCCAUGUUACUUGAGAGGAUUCAUCUUUCGAAACAAGUACUGCGUGUAGUUGUUGGGUAAGAACCUCUUUUCCAUAUAUCUCUUGAGUUUUUUUCAAGACUUGACUCUGCCUUUUCUAUCUCUAAUUCUAUGAUUUUUUAGGUUUUCCCACCAAAGUGAAGCAUACUUUUUUACUCACAAGAACGACGAUCUUGCAUCUCUUUUUAUCCGAGUAUGAGUGGGAGUCAAAUACUCAUUCGAUAAUAUUCAGCCCAUCAACAAAGUCAUUCCGAUUUAAAGCUGUCUUCAAAUUAAGAUACCUCCACUUUAAGGUCGUGGUCAUUUUCAUGGUGCCUUCCUCUUCUUCUUCUAACUCGAAAAUUUAAAUCACUAGAGUCACCUCCAGUGUCAUUGGAUUUGUCGCAAGAGUUUGUUUGAGUUACUGGAUUAGCACGGUAAGCUCUGUGCAAUUGUUCUUGUCGUAUUUGAUUCUCCAGGAGAGUGAGGACCCUCUCAAUUUUUUGCUGGAGAUCCUCUAUAGGAUGGUCACACUUUUCGUUGUGUUCUUGCUCCAAAAGCCUCUUUAAAUCGAAUUAAUGGAAAAUGAAGAAAUCUCUCAAACUUGUACAAACAAGAGCCAAGAUACCACCUUGAUGCGUGAUAGAAAUUAAGAAAUUAAGAAAUUUGUUUUUAGGAAUAUACGUAUGGAAAAGUGUCUUCUGGAAGUGUUCUAAAUGGAAAGUGUGUUUUUGGAUGUGAUUGGAAGAAAGUAAGGAUAGAAUGGAUGAAGUUUACCAUUAAGGUAUAAAGGAAUAAUUCACUAAUCUAGGAUAAAGAACUUGAGGCUCACCACCAGGAAAUUGGAUAAAGAAUGGAAAGGAAAUUCGCUCACUAGAGAGAAUUCUAAUGUGUUGUCAAUUUCAAGUCUCAAUCCAUACAUUUGACAACCACCAUCAGUACCUUAAUAUAAAUAAGAGAAGAGAGCGGAGCCCGGGGGGGGGGGGGGGNNNNNNNNNNNNNNNNNNNNNNNNNNNNNNNNNNNNNNNNNNNNNNNNNNNNNNNNNNNNNNNNNNNNNNNNNNNNNNNNNNNNNNNNNNNNNNNNNNNNNNNNNNNNNNNNNNNNNNNNNNNNNNNNNNNNNNNNNNNNNNNNNNNNNNNNNNNNNNNNNNNNNNNNNNNNNNNNNNNNNNNNNNNNNNNNNNNNNNNNNNNNNNNNNNNNNNNNNNNNNNNNNNNNNNNNNNNNNNNNNNNNNNNNNNNNNNNNNNNNNNNNNNNNNNNNNNNNNNNNNNNNNNNNNNNNNNNNNNNNNNNNNNNNNNNNNNNNNNNNNNNNNNNNNNNNNNNNNNNNNNNNNNNNNNNNNNNNNNNNNNNNNNNNNNNNNNNNNNNNNNNNNNNNNNNNNNNNNNNNNNNNNNNNNNNNNNNNNNNNNNNNNNNNNNNNNNNNNNNNNNNNNNNNNNNNNNNNNNNNNNNNNNNNNNNNNNNNNNNNNNNNNNNNNNNNNNNNNNNNNNNNNNNNNNNNNNNNNNNNNNNNNNNNNNNNNNNNNNNNNNNNNNNNNNNNNNNNNNNNNNNNNNNNNNNNNNNNNNNNNNNNNNNNNNNNNNNNNNNNNNNNNNNNNNNNNNNNNNNNNNNNNNNNNNNNNNNNNNNNNNNNNNNNNNNNNNNNNNNNNNNNNNNNNNNNNNNNNNNNNNNNNNNNNNNNNNNNNNNNNNNNNNNNNNNNNNNNNNNNNNNNNNNNNNNNNNNNNNNNNNNNNNNNNNNNNNNNNNNNNNNNNNNNNNNNNNNNNNNNNNNNNNNNNNNNNNNNNNNNNNNNNNNNNNNNNNNNNNNNNNNNNNNNNNNNNNNNNNNNNNNNNNNNNNNNNNNNNNNNNNNNNNNNNNNNNNNNNNNNNNNNNNNNNNNNNNNNNNNNNNNNNNNNNNNNNNNNNNNNNNNNNNNNNAGUCAAACAACUUAUUCAUAAACUGACAUAGCCACCCAUGCUUACAGGUUGUGAAGUGGGAAAUGCAUUGACGCAGCAAAAAUGGCGAAAAAUCACCUAGCCUAAAAGGGGUAUGCGGGAAAUUGAGUAAAGCAUGAAGGGCUCAAAUGAAACAGAGAUUCAUCAAUCCAACAUGAUGGAGCUGCAUAUGGACAAGUUAUCUAACCUAGUGUGGCAUGCAUUUGACCAUAAGGACAAUGUCUUGCCUUCUUCAACAAAGCUACAAUGAGAUGCUGGAUUGCCCGACUUUGAAAAAGGGUGUACUUCGUUCCUAAACUUAAUGUACCUAAGAGUGGAAAUAAUACAUUGUUUCCAUAUGUGUAGGAAAUUUUAAUUGGGGCAAAUGGCCACAAAAUGAAUCAAGGGCACGCAAUGCCUGAGUCACCCGACUUCUAAAAAGGGAAAGACUCAAAUGGAAUAGAUAUGUGUCAAGUGAAUUGCUGUCAAUCAUGAGAGCAAAUUCGUCCCCAUAGCCAAGGAAACAGGAUGGAACGCAGUCAUCAGAUAUAGGGGUGAGCAUGGUCCGGGUUGGUCCGGGCCACCCCCUAACCCUAGGACCAACCCGUACAGUGUCGGUCCUCAAUUUUUAGGACCGAGGACCGACCCUAUUGAGCCUGGGACCAAGGACCGGACCGACCCAAUGGGUUCGGUCCGGUUCCAGGUCAACCCGGGACCGGAUCGGUAAUUUUUUUCAUCUUAUUUUUUAUACUUCCUAAAAAAGCAAACCUACAAAUUCAAAUUACACAUCCAUCAACAAUACGGUAUUAUGCAACUAAACUANNNNNNNNNNNNNNNNNNNNNNNNNNNNNNNNNNNNNNNNNNNNNNNNNNNNNNNNNNNNNNNNNNNNNNNNNNNNNNNNNNNNNNNNNNNNNNNNNNNNNNNNNNNNNNNNNNNNNNNNNNNNNNNNNNNNNNNNNNNNNNNNNNNNNNNNNNNNNNNNNNNNNNNNNNNNNNNNNNNNNNNNNNNNNNNNNNNNNNNNNNNNNNNNNNNNNNNNNNNNNNNNNNNNNNNNNNNNNNNNNNNNNNNNNNNNNNNNNNNNNNNNNNNNNNNNNNNNNNNNNNNNNNNNNNNNNNNNNNNNNNNNNNNNNNNNNNNNNNNNNNNNNNNNNNNNNNNNNNNNNNNNNNNNNNNNNNNNNNNNNNNNNNNNNNNNNNNNNNNNNNNNNNNNNNNNNNNNNNNNNNNNNNNNNNNNNNNNNNNNNNNNNNNNNNNNNNNNNNNNNNNNNNNNNNNNNNNNNNNNNNNNNNNNNNNNNNNNNNNNNNNNNNNNNNNNNNNNNNNNNNNNNNNNNNNNNNNNNNNNNNNNNNNNNNNNNNNNNNNNNNNNNNNNNNNNNNNNNNNNNNNNNNNNNNNNNNNNNNNNNNNNNNNNNNNNNNNNNNNNNNNNNNNNNNNNNNNNNNNNNNNNNNNNNNNNNNNNNNNNNNGAUAACUCUUAGGACCGAGGACCAACCCGCACAGUGUUGGUCCUGGAAUUUCAGGACCAAGGACCGACCCAGUCCCCUUGGGAACCGGACCAAGACCGGCAGGGUUGGGCCGGUCCAGGGUCGGUCCAGGGUCGACCCUAAACCGCUGCUCACCCCUAAUCAGAUAUGCCGUAAAAGGGAGUAUACCGUUCCUAAAAUGAAUUAUGUCGAAAAUGAAAAUAACAUAUUACGUCUCUUUUUACUUGCAGUUGAUAAAUGGGGCAAGUCACUCGAAGUAGAGUAGCUCCCACCUGUGAAGCAAGAUGAAACAAAGUCAAUUGAUUCAGCACAAAAAGGGAGUAUCGUCCCUAAAUUAGUCCAAUUCAAUUUUGGAAUAUAAGUAACAUGCCCCAUCUCUUGUAGGAAAAUGUGCACAUUGACCGCUGGAGCAACACCUUAUACCAAGAAGGCAUGCUAAGGCCCAACCAUCCAUUUUGAUGGAAUAAAUGGAGUAAAACAUCCAAGGAGCAAUGCCCUCACAUGUCAAAACAAGGAGUACCCUCUCCUUUCAUCUUUGACGCCCACUCAGAAUGAGUGAAUUCGAUAACAUCUAAAUGGCCUAUUUGAAAGCAAGAUCUUCAAGGAAAUGUUAACACCUGAGGAGCAAAAGCACAUGAAGAGGAAACACAAGACAUUUAAAGUCAGCUGCAGGAGAAGGGUAAUUCGGUAUCGUUUCCAAAAUGCCCCUCUCUAACUUCAUUAUUUGACGUAGUUCCCUUGUUUGACAGGAAGCGUUGGUAUUCGAGGAACAAACUCGAGAAAUUGAUUUAAGCAUAAUCUAUAUCGACAAAGUAAGCAUGUGGAGUUAACACAUGACAAAGUCACCUAAGUUGGCUUAAAAUAUGCGUCGUUCUAGAGCCGGUUCAAUUAAAUAAAAAAAAGAAGCGCCCCAUAGACACUACCAGCGCUUCGGCCUGGUGGUAUGGGAAUGAAUGAACGGUCCGAGAGGUACGGGGUUCGAUCCCCGGAAACGGCAACGAGGUUGCCAUGUAAAAAAAUAAAAAAAAUAAAAAAAAUUUUGCAUCUCUUAUUUUUGCAAAAAGAAGAAAAUGCUUGAACUAAUGAGACCAAAGACCUGAGAUUCUCUUCAAGCCUUAAAACAGUACGUUCAUUCCGCUAUUUGCCGCCAAAUGGUGAAAUUAACCAAGGGUAAUGUUGUAUCGUUUCCAAUUUUACAAUCCCUGAGGAUUCAUGUACUAACACAUUCCCUUUUGUUCUUCGUAGGGUCGCCUGACUACUAAGGCACAGGUAAGUACCCUUCUUCUCAAAAUCAAAUGGAAAACAAAUGGAGAAUUUCCAUCACAAAAAAGAACAUCUAGCGUUUUUCUGGAAACGAGCACAAGAAAUGGAAAUUGAAGAAAAAAAAAGUUUUCCACAAAGUUUGUAAAAAUCUUCUUUAUCUUUAAAUUGUCCAUCCAUUCAAUGGAUCACUCAUUUCGAAUCAAAAUUCUCUAUGGAGGUUAAUCCACCCACAUGAUCUCAACAAAAAUUGAAAGGCGAUGUUGCUUAUGCCAAGCGAGAAACACUUAGGAUGAGGAAAGGCAACCCAUUUCCAAAUAUGUCCUUUAAGCACUCUAGGAUUUGAGUGAAAAAGAAAACCCGUGUCGUUUAAGGUCAAUGAAUUCAUUCGCAAGCGGUACAUAAAUCAAGAUGAUAAGAGGCAUUUCUUUCCUCUAUCAUACACACUACAGGUGACAAUAAUUAGCCCAUUUGAGCCUUUUAAUGUGAAGAAUUUUCUACAAAAUACCCCUGUCAAGAACCACCCCACGAUGGGGCAAUUAUGGAGGUUUGGGUUGACAUUACUUGGAGAGGGAAGAUGAGAAAAGUUUCUUUACUCUCACUUGCAUAAAUCUUUUUGUGGUAACUUCAGGUGAAUUCUUAUGGAAGCUCGAAGCAUCCCAAGGUGAAGAAGAGCAUUCUUUUCUCUACCCAAACACUGAUACCCUUUGCUUAAACCAUAUUGAGCCUAACUAUUCAUUUCUAAAACCCGAGUGGUGAUUAUCUCCCCACAUUGGGGCAGGGCACAUGAUUUACCAAUGCAAUUGGUGUUUAUAUGAUAUGAAAAGCAUCUUGAAAGUCCCAAGAGCUCAAAAAGCUUGAAAGAACAAAAGUCAAGUGAAAAUUAAAGGGCAUGAAAAAGCAGUGUGCCUGGUAAAAGCAAGGCCAAUGCCCACAAAAAAAAAGGGAGAGAGAGUGGAAGAAAAACAAUUGCAUCAAGAGGAAUAUAUCUGUGAAAGCAAAAAUGGCAAAAAAAAUGCCUGUGUUGAAAAGAAAAUCAUUGCAAAUGCAAAAGCCAUUAUGUUAAGAUGAUUAGUCAAAGGACUUUCGAGACAAUUUGAAUUCUAAACAUUGAGCGCUUUAAAAAAAAAAGGAUGAUAUGGUAAUGAUGCCAUGAUAAUCACCAACUCCUAAAUCCCCCUUUGACAAAAAGUUCUAAGCCUUUUGAGCUAAGCCUUUUGAACCUUUCCCCAAAUCAACAUUACAACCCAUUUCCAAAGUCUCUUCAGAUUGGGAUGAUUCAAAGUGGAAAUAAGGACUUCCUAAAAAAGAUGCCGCUCGAAGAAGUGAGAGUAAGGUUGUCUUAUCUCAUCUUAAGGUUUCUUGACUUGUAAACCUGGCGAAGAUGUCGAUCAGUGAUUAAUUCAUUUCAUAGCCAAUGAUGCUUAUCCAUUGCUAAAACCAUGACCAAACCUGCACUACGGUCCUUCUAAAAGACCUCUUUGAUUGGUCAAUGUGUACUUAUUGCGAAUGAUUCAAAGCCUUGCGCAUUGGGAGAGUGAGGUUGAGUGAUCAGUUUAUUUCCCACAUGAACAGAUGGGAUCAAACAGCCAUUUUCUUGAGGAUAUGCGAGAAGCCCUUUUUGACUAGGGAUCCUUGCUUGGCAUACUUAACAAACCUUUCUCAUGAGUCAAGGUCAUUUCAACAAGGACUUCUCUCCCAAGAGAAUUUGACGAUUAAUGAUAUCAUCCGAGAGUGAUGACAGUUUUGCGAAUUUGUCAAGUGGUCGGAAUUAGUUUGAUUUGUUUAUGCAAUCAUUGCCUUCUCAUUACCAAUACACUCUUGAUAUUGUUUCGGAUGACAUAUGCUGAAAUUGAUCUCAUCUAGUAUGCUUUCGCUACUAGAAUACUUGUUAUAAUGAAUUCUAUUUGAUGUACAAUAUCCACUUCAGAAUAUUCUCGAAUGACAGGUUCCUCCAGUGAAACCACACAAUUUCAAAGGGUUCAUGGAUUAGCCUUAAACCAUGCAUUUUCAAAGGGUUCUCGGUUAUCCUUAAACCUUGCAAUUUCACACGGUUCAUGGGUUAGCCUUAAACCAUGCAAUUUUCAAAAGGUUCUUGGCUAUCCUUAAACCUUGCAAUUCUAAAGGUUCACACGGUUAGCCUUAAACCAUGCAUUUUCAAAAGGUUCUUGGUUAUCCUUAAACCUUGCAAUUUCAAAGGGUUCAUGGGUUAGCCUUAAACCAUGCAUUUUCAAAAGGUUCUUGGUUAUCCUUAAACCUUGCAAUUUCAAAGGGUUUAUGAGUUAUCCUUAAACCAUGCAUUUUCAAGAGGUUCUUGGUUAUCCUUAAACCAUGCAAAUCUAAAGGGUUCUUGGAUUAGCCUUAAACCAUGCACUUUCAAAAGGUUCUGGGUUAUCCUUAAACCUUGCAAUUUCAAAGGGUUCAUGGGUUAGCCUUAAACCAUGCAAUUCCAAAAGGUUCUUGGUUAUCCUUAAACCUUGCAAUUUUAAAGGGUUCAUGGGUUAGCCUUAAACCAUGCAUUUUCAAGAGGUUCUUGGUUAUCCUUAAACCUUGCAAUUUCAAAGGGUUCUUGGAUUAGCCUUAAACCAUGCAUUUUCAAAAGGUUCUUGGUUAUCCUUAAACCUGGCAAUUUCAAAGGGUUUAUGAGUUAUCCUUAAACCAUGCAUUUUCAAGAGGUUCUUGGUUAUCCUUAAACCAUGCAAUUCUAAAGGGUUCAUGGGUUAGCUUUAAACCAUGCUUUUUCAAGAGAUUCUUGGUUACCUUUAAACCAUGCAAUUUUCAAGGGUUCAUGGGUAAGCCUUAAACCAUACAUUUUCAAGAAGUUCUUGGUUACCCUUAAACCAUGCAAUUUCAAAGGGUUCAUGGGCUAGCUUUAAACCAUGCUUUUUCAAGAGUUCUUGGUUACCCUUAAACCAGAAAAUUUCAAAGGGUUCAUGGGUUAGCCUUAAACCAUACAUUUUCAAGAGGUUCUUGGUCAUCCUAAAACCAUACAAUUUAUGUGGUUAGUGGGACUGCCUUAAACCACAAGGUUAGUGGGUCUGCCUUAAACCACACGGUUAGUGGGACUACCUUAAACCACACGGUUAGUGGAACUGCCUUAAACCACAAGGUUAGUGGGUUUACCUUAAACCACAAGGUUAGUUGGUUUACCUUAAACCACACGGUUCGUGGGACUACCUUAAACCACACGGUUAGUGGACUUCCUUAAACCACAAGGUUAGUGGGAUUGCUUUAAACCACACGGUUAGUGGAACUGCCUUAAACCACAAGGUUAGUGGGUCUGCCUUAAACCACACGGUUCGUGGGACUGCCUUAAACCACAAGGUUAAUGGGAUUGCCUUAAACCACACGGUUAGUGGAACUGCCUUAAACCGCAAGGUUAGUGGGUCUGCCUUAAACCACACGGUUCGUGGGACUGCCUUAAACCACAAGGUUAAUGGGACCGCCUUAAACCACAAGGUUAGUGGGGACUACCUUAAACCACACGGUUAGUGGGACUGCCUUAAACCACACGGUUAGUGGAUCUGCCUUAAACCACAAGGUUCGUGGGACUGCCUUAAACCACAAGGUUCGUGGGUAUAUCCUUAAACCACACUUUUCAAAUUGUUCACAAGUACAUCCCUAGAUCACGCUCUUUACAUUAAGCUUACUUGCAUUUUCAUUUUACAAUUACAAAAACAAAAAAAAAAAAAACAAAAAACAAAAAACAAAAAAUUAGGCGUCACCUUAUAUUUGAAAGAAACCUCUUUGAGCUUCCUUCCAAAGAGGGGCAGCUGUUGACACCUAAUUUUUGCCCAAAAAUAUUUCAUUCCAGCAUACAGAUUAUCUAGGUGUUUAAUAUCGUGUUUUAAAUGAAAGAUGUUUUUCCUAUAAAAAAUAAUAAUAAUAAUUUAAAAAAAAAAGAAAAAAAAAAGAAAUCGAAAAAAAAAAGAAAGAAAAAAAAGAGAGAGCAAGUUGGGGCCAACGAUCUAAAUGUGACUAGCCAAGCCUAGGAGGUCAGAUUGGAAUCCAAAUGACAAGUUGGGGCCAAAAUGCAAUUUCCAAAAGUCGAGGGACCAAUUCGCAAAUUUUGUAAAAUUUGCGCCCGAGCCCUUAAAUCAUCAUCUUGGUCAUCAAUUAAGUUGAAAUUGAAUUUGGCCAAGUAGAAUCAAUCAAAUUGAGCCAAAAAGACCACAUUUGUAUUGAAUUUGGUAUUUUCGGAUAAGAAAAUGGCCAACUUUGAGGGUCUUUUUGGCAAAAUUGGGUGGGCACAAUUGCGAAAAAUGGUCAAGAUCUUAAGCUACUAUACAUGAGGUUGCUAAUUGAUCAGAAACCGCGGCCAAAUAGUGGAUUAAAGCACUCAAAUCAGCAGCCAAAACUCAGUCCACGAGUUGGUCUUAAUCCGGAGUUGCUGAGUAAGCAAUUUGGUGGCCCCACCAUAUCCUCCUCAGCUGCCCAACCAGCCCGAUCUUUGCACGUUAUGGAAGACCGUAUAUAGCAGUGCAAGUGGACGAAAAUUAGCCAGGGAUAAGCUUCUGACAACACCGGAAAUUCGCAGCAAAGUCCGCACACUCAACAGCUACAGAACUUAAAAAAUUGGCGAAGUCUGAAGAGUAGGUGAAGUAGCCCUGUUGAUAGGCUUGGUAGGUGGACAAAAGGCUGACCAAAAAUCCCUUAAUUCGGGGGAUAAUAUCACUAAAGCAAGGUAUUUCAUGGGAUGAGAGAGAGGAGACGAGAGGGAGAGGAGAGAGCUCGGAAUCGUCCCCCAAAGAGGCCCUCGGAAGCAACUCCAGAGGAAAAACCCAGAAAAUUCCAGAUCAACCUUCUGAGAGAAAAGUGAGAUUUGCGAAAACUUGCAGCCAAAAUUAGCCAAAACCUUAAACUAGAGAGUGAAACUUCACUCAAAUAUCUUUCCAUCCAUAGGUCGCACGUCCAAAAUGGAGAUCGGGAAGACCUCCUAAAGCCCCCCGAAACAGUGCCCUCCUGUCGGGCCAAGAAAGUCCGAAAUUUUUCUAAGUGUCGAGACUGGUUGGUCACGAGUGAGGAAAGCCAGUGUUUUUGAGAAAUUUGAGAGACAAAUGAGGAAAAUAUUGACUUUUAACCCAGACUAAAAUACAUAUAGUUUGGCGUGGUGUCAAUUUUUCCAACAAAAUACGUCUUGAAGUCUAAUGUUAGAGCUCAACGAAAACCUUCGUUGUCAGUUCGUUUUUUUUGCAGAUCUCAUUUCCAGUUGAAGAAGCCAACUUCCACAGGCCCCCGAGGAUAAUUUGUCGGUUUCAUCGGCCAAGGACCACUUGAAAAAGAAACUAGGAAGAAAGGUAAGCAUCCUAGAUGUAUUUAUUUUCGAGUUUGAGCAUGUUUUGAUCAUGAAAAUCAAGAGGAAAACCGGCCCGGAAAACUGAUUUCUGAGGUUGAAAUUUUUGUAAGUGUUUGAAAUCUCUUCAAGAGUGUUGCACGUGUGCUUCUUGGAGAGGUCGUUUUGAUGUUGUUCGGUGGGUCAUUCUCUGUGAUGUUUAUUGCAUUUGAAAGCUCAUGUUACCUACUUUCAUUCGGAUCAAGUAAUGUUUCCCUUAGAUCUCGUAUGUGAUAGGUGUUGGGGCUUGAAUAUGGGCACUCAACCUGUUUGCUUGACUUGGGUUCAAACCCAGAUUUGCAAAAUCAGAUCAAACCCGCAUAUUUGAUGACGAUUCCAGCUUGUUUUUCGUGUGUUUUAAGCUGUGUUUUUUUAUCUAUCUUACUCCUUGCGUGUUUUAGUUUAACCUUGAUGUUUUAGUUCCACAUAAUAUUGCUCAUGAGUUGAGAUUGAAGACCGCAAACAUGGCCCGAGGAAGCUGAUUGGGGCUAGUUUAAUGCACACCAAGUGUUUGACAAAAUGCUCAAACUAAGCUUCGAUCUUGAAACGGUCGAUUUGAGCUUGAUUAUUGUGAUAUUCAUGUGCUGUGUUACUCCAUGUUAGCAUAGAUCGGUUUAAGGAAUUAUUAUUAUUAUUUUUUAAAAAUAAUUAAAAAAGAGAAAAAUAUGAAAAUUUCAAAAAUAUCAAAAAAAUGUUAGAUGGCAUCAAAUUAGGAUAUAAAUGACAUAUAUGAAAUUUUCCUAAUUUUAAAAGGUCAUUUUCCUAAUUUAAUGCUAUUUUGGUAUUUUAUAACCAUUUUUGUAAAUAAUCCAUUUUGUGUAGAUUAAAAUUAUUUAGAGUUAUUUCAUGCAUCUAGAGUAAUUUCAUGCAUAUUUAUAUUUCCAUUUCGCUCACGGGGGUCCUGUCCCGGGGCGUGAUAACAAGGCCAUGUAAUAUUAUUUGCCCGACUUGUAUCGGGUCUUUCUUUUCCGCAUUACUUUCAAGUCAUUUCAAUUUCUUAAAUAUUUACUUGCGCACCGCUUUUCAUUAAUUUGAGUUUAAAUUUCUCUUCUAAAUUAUGUUAGGAUUAGUUUAGACAUUAAGGAAAACAAACCUACAAAAACAUUUGCAUGGACGCUUAGCGGUUUUAUAAAGAUUAUAAUUGGUAAUCAAGAUUGUGUGGCCAUUUAGAUGAACAACCUUUUAAGUUAGUGGUACCGCAAGGGCGUUAAUAGAAACAUUAGCGUAAACAAGUCCCCGUUCCUAGAAAUCUCUGGUUGCGUAGGAAUCGUGACAACACUCCCGUGUCUCGAUUGGUUUCUAGCCGACCCCAAUAGGCUAGUGGCGACUCCUAAAAAUAUUUAGGUUGUUAAGAACUGAAAAGAAAAUCCAACGUCGCGCGAGGUAUGGGCUUGGGAGAGCCUGUGUCUAAUUUAGGGCCAUUGGUCAGCCUCUUUAGGCAAAUACCCCUAAACCUUCUUCCUUUUCCCCCGGACGGAAAAAAGAGGUCGUGACAGUUAGCGUAUGCAAAGAACUGAUUUCCGCUAUUCCAUGUGGCGAAUAGCUAAGUUUAGAACAUAAACUUAUGUCUAGAUUCCGAAGGCUGACUAACUUCUUUAUAUCACUUGGCAACUCUUUGAGGGCAUCACAAUAUUGGAGAUUAAGUGUUUGCAAGCUCUGCAAUUUCGUAAUGGAGUUAGGAAGCCUUUUGAGUGUGCAGUUAUCAGAGAGAUCGAGAUAAGUGAGAUACUUUAACUUAUAAAUGGACCGUGGCACCUUCUCGACCUUUAUGCCUUGUAGAUCCAAGAUGCGCAAUCUCUUGAAAUUUAGAAUUAAUUGGCGUACAUCCACUUCACUUAUUGGUUCUAUUUGUUGUCUUUCUUUUCAAUAUGUAGUAGUAGAUAGAAAUGUUCUCAGUGCACUUGCUUUCAAGCGUAAGAUUGGAAGUUCAUCCAUCAAAUUGAAAGUCGAACCAUAGGAUAUAUGAAGAGUUCUUUCAUUUAUGAUAUUUGUGUCAUCCCUUGCCACCCGACACCUGUUCCUUGCAACUAAGCAGGCUAGAUCAUGCAUCAAAUCAUGCAUCUUGCAAGUUUCCUCCUUCGUGUAUGGAUCUUUUUUAAAAUCUUGGAAGAAGUUACUCCAACAUAGAUCCAUGAAAUAUUCAUGAGCAAUGUCUUCUAGAAGCUUACCUGAAUUUGAUGGCUGGAUAAAUCCUUCUGCCAUCCAAAGAUAGACUAAAGUAUGCUUCUUUAUCUCAUAAUCUUUGGGAAACAAUGAACAAAUGGCGAAACAUUGUCUCAAAUGUGAAGGAAGAUCGUCAUAACUUAGCCUGAGAAUAGAUAUUAUUGGGUCUUCCAUUUGAGACACUUUUGGGAGCUCAACAUCUUUGAAAUGUAACCAUUCAUCUUUAGUUUCCUUAAAGAAUAAUAACCUCCCAAUAGUUCGAACAAUCAAUGGAACUCCAGAACACUUUCUAACUAUCUCUUUCCCAAUAGCUAGCAUGCUAGGAUCUUGUCUGGCCCCUUCUUUUCGACCGGCCGUUCGCAUCAACAAAUCAAGAGAAACACUUUCAGAUAAGCCCUUAAGAAGAAGAGGCAGAGCAGGGGAGGUGAUCUUUGCAACCAAAGGAAGGCGUGUAGUUAUAAGGAUCUUGCUUCCUCUAGCACCUCCCAUCAAUAAUGAUUUCAAGUUGUGCCAUGUUUCUGAUUGUGCAUCCUACAAAUCAUCCAAAACUAAGAGAUAUCUCCUUCCAUCAAUUAUUUUCCUCAGUUCAAUUUGCAACCUAUCCAUCACAUUGUAGUUUGGUUCUUUCUUCCCCACACAAACUAUGAUAUCUUUUACUAUUUUUAUCAUGUCAAAGUCAUUAGAGACACAAACCCACAUUUUCAAGUCAAAAUGUUUACUGAUAAUCUCAUCAUUAUACACAAAUUUAGCAAGAGCUGUUUUUCCAAGCCCACCAAUACCAACUAUUGGAAGGAUAGAAACGUUCUCUUUCACAUCCAUAUCCAAUAAGAAUUUCAUGACAUUCUUUUUAUCAUUACCUCUUCCAAUAAUGUCUUCCUCACAUAUAAACGAAUGCGUCUCCUCUCUCUUCCUCCGCCCUCUCUUUGCUUGCGAAUUCAUAGGUCCCUUGUCCAAGUGGAAGUUCUUUUCAGCCUCAAUAUCUUUCAAUCUCUCCCUCACUUCUGUUAUUUUUCUACUCAUCUUCAGUUCAAAAGCAAGCUGGUUUGAACUUGAGAAAAAUGUUCUUACCACCUUGAUCAUCUGAUUGUCGCCCCUCAGUUCUCGUCGCAUAGCUUCUAUAUUAAAUUCUUCAAGCACGUCCUGCAAGUCAUAGAAAGCCUCUUUUAGUUUCUCCACCCAAUCUUUGAUUUGGGAACUCUGGUGUUGUUGCUCUUCUGCAUCGUCCAGCACAGAAUGAAGCAUGGUGACGUAGCUCUCGAGCGCCUGAAGUUCACGCUUGAUGCCCCCAAAAUUUCCAACCUUUCCCGGUGCUUGAGUAAUCAGAUUGGCAAGGACGCUUCCACCAAUGCUGAUGACAGCUUCUGCCAUAUUUGUUCUCUCUAUCUCUCUUUCUCUAUGGGGUUGAGAAGAUUUUAGUCCUGUUGUUCCAAGGCUAGAGUCUUCUUAGAUGAUGUAUAAAAAGUCUAUCCUUGAGAUUAAAUAAGUGUACAAUAAAAGUAGAUAAUAGAAAAUAUUUAACUGACAAACAGUAAUUCCAAAGCAUCCUAUGUCAUGUAAGAUUCCAUCCCAUCUGAUAAGUAAGGCGAGUUCCUAUUCAUACAUUCUUCUAGAAACAUUAUGUUAGAUUAUAUUAGAUUGAUUUAAGUUUUUUUUUUCUACCAUACUGUUAAGUAAUAUGUCUAAUUAACAUUAAGGAAAUUGGGAGGUAAUUGAGUGAUGAUGUGGUUCGACCGUUAAGCUCCAUUUUGCUGGACUUUCUUCUUAGUUUGGUUUUAAUAUAUGAUGCGUAAUAAAUUAAAACGAAACAAUGUAAUCACAAUGAUCAGAGGCUUUUUAAAAAAUAAAAAUAACUUUGUGUUUUCUUGUAUAAAAUUCAAAAUGUUAUUUAAAUAUAAAAAGUUAUGAUUCAAAUUACAUAUUAAUGCUUACGUGUUGUGAAAAUUUAAUAUGUUUAAAGACAAGAUAAUGUCAAAUGUAGACCGAGACAACAUUAGAAUAAACAAAAAUAAAAUGUAAAAAUCUAUCAAGACAAGCCAUUAGCUAAGUUGGUGAUGUUCUUGAAAUCCGCUAGAGGUGGUGGACCAUGUCAUUGUCCUUUGUACUUGUCAUCUUUUCUUUUUUUCCUUACUUUUCUCUUUUAGGCGAACAGAAAGUGUAAGGUAAUAGGAUGUUGAAGCAAAGCCAUAAUUUUUCACUUCAUUGGCCGACAAAUGAGAAUCAAAAUCCACUUACGAGGGCUACACUACAUCCACCACAAUCUGCUCAAGCCUGGAAACCAUCUCAUUGCAGCUUAGAAAGUUAUUAUAGCUGUCUCGAUAUGGGCAGCAGCAUAGGGAAUGCCCCGAUGGAUGACCACUCUCUAGUGUUCAGUGGACAAGAUCAGCUUAUGCUCGGUGAUAAAAUGUUGUACUUUGCAAGACCGUACGUGUUAGAGAACAAGACAAAUGAAGAUAUUGAGUCUUAAGGUCUAGCGUCCCUGUCAAUUUGUGCACAAUCUCUUUUGAACUCUUUACCAAGCCCCUUUUCUUAUUUUGAACUCAAGUUCUUCUAAAUCACAUCCAACAAGUUAGAUAAAUGUGUUCCAAUAUAUGACCUAUUCCGCAUGAGUCUUAACAUGAUACUAAAUAUUUCACGAAACAUUUGGCAAGAUACUUGAGAUCUUUAAUAAGGAUAGUGGUGUUGCACGUUCCUAUUCACUUAUAAUUACAAUUAGUUGUUGUAUUUGGUCACUCCCCCUUCCAUGUUAGUUGCAUGUUCAUAAUUUCUAUAGAUGCCGAAUCAAUUAUAUUUAAUUCCAUUUCUUUCUAACCGCCCCUUGCUCUACCAGGAUUUUCAAAAGAAAUCAUGUGACUCUUCGUAUGUACGUAGCGAGUAAUUUUUCAUGUGACCAGUAACUUUUUACAAGAUAUUCGACUUCCAAUAAGUACUCACCUAUUUACAUUAUUACUAAUUUUUUACAUAAAAGGCAACCUAUCUACAAUGAUUCUUAUCGUCCCAUGUAUUUUAAAAAAAGGACAAGUUUGAAAAAAAAAAAUUGAUGCUUUUUGCAAUGUAACAGUAAAUCUUAAUUUGUAAGACCAAAAAUUUACAUAAAGUUUGUGACCAUUCAUGGGACAGUAAGUUUUGCUUUAAAAAAGUAAUUACCACCGACCCUGUUUAAUAAAAGAAAAUAUAGGAAUUGACAAACAAUAUUUAGGCCGCCCACGGGUCUAGAAAGUGAAAAUUAAAGUUUUUUUUUUUCCUCAGCAGCUGUAAAUGAAAAUUUCUCCCAAGGGGGCUAAAGAACAAAUGAGCCCGGCUUUUUUCUGAUGAUGCCCAUUUUCCUCGUUUCAUCACAUGCUUUCCUUAGAAAACAGUGCACGUUCAUACUCUAAUAAUUUUUUCUUUUUUAAUUUAAAGAAUAUUAAUAUUCUUUAAAUAAUUUGAUAUUCGCUCUAUUUUCAUUUUCUUUUUUGGGGAUAGAGGGACUUGAACCCUCACGAUUUUUAAAGUCGACGGAUUUUCCUCUUACUCUAAAUUUCAUUGUUGUCAGUAUUGACCAAUCAGUUUCGCUACAGCACCCGCUGCUCUAGCUAAUUGUCCAAAGGGGAUCCUAUCAACUUGUUCCGACCUAGGAUAAAUAUUUCCCAACUGUUCUGGUCCAUUUACGGUUAUUGCUUUUGUGAACAUAGUAGCUAAAUAAUCCCAACGUGUCAUCCUCUAGAUAAUUCAAAUCGAAGCAAUUGGAUGUACAAAAAUAGGAAAUUAACUUCUCAUUUUUUUCUGACAGAUAAAAAAAAAAAGUAAAUAUAAGCAAGACUUUUACCCCAAGAUUGGUUGAUUAGUCAUCUUGGCUUGUUUUAGCUAUUUUUCUUUAUUUGUUUCAUAUUGUAAAUGUAUUAUCGCACCUUCCAGUACGGUUACCUUGUUACGACUUCAUACUUGAACAAAUAAAAAUUGGGAAAGUUUAAAUUGCGCAAUUGUUUACAGUUCCGGUUCACAUGCAUGCCCCAGUUGUUUUGUAGUAAACACCGGAGCAUUAAAAAUAGUAGAACUUGGAUCUUGAGAAGCCGGAAAAUUAUCAUAGCUGCGGGGGCAACUUAAAAUCUAACUUCACAUGGUAAAAAAAAAUUAUGUGAAUGAAUUUCCACUUUUGUCCGAAUAAAAAACUGAAGAAAAGAUUAUGAAGUAUAAAUUGUGAAUGAAGUAGUUUGAAACCUUUGUGUGCAAAAAAGAAAUUGCAGAUUGGUACAGAAGUACCAUGUGCGGUGGGAUAACAAAAAAGCAAGCUGAUGAGGAUGCUUUUCGAAUUUAGAUUUUAAUAUGCGGAAUGGUAGAAGGGCUCUUAAAGUUGGCUAAUCUUCUCUUGUGAAUUCCAUUUAAAAUUGGAAAUUGGUACAUCUUACAUCUUCUUAUGUGCCCAAUUUGAAGAAGGCUAAAUAUCCUAAAUAUGUAAAUAUUUACGCCAUAUAAGUCAUAUUUUUAAAUCCAAAUAAAAGACGUCGAUAGUUUUCCUAAACAUUCUUUGUUUCAUCAAUCUAUUCAUUUUCAGAAAAGCUCUCUGGUUAGUCGCUAUAAGAAAGAACGAACCUGGCUAAUAGUGGGCUGAUCGACGGCCGACCAACAAAAGCAAGGCCCCAACCGGCCAGAUCAAGAGAGGAGGACAGGAGACGGUGUCGGCAAGAUCAACAGAGAGAUGAGAUGAGACGGCAUGGGCAAAGACUCCAGGAAUGGAGAGAUCAAGGGCACUGCUGGGGAAAGUCAGAGAUACGAAGAGUCUGAGAGAGGCUAGCUAUGGGAGUGAGAACUAAAAGAGAGUAGCGAGGGUCUUUAAAUAGAAAAGAUUGAGCACUAUUUUGAACUGUUCCAAACCAGUUCUUCCAAAGGCUGGUUCCCAAGAUUUUUUCAUGAGAGCUAAUCGAAAGUUGUUGAGGUCAGUGAAUCUGAAACGUUGCAGCACGUGGCAGAGCGUGACGUGCAGCAGCGAACGGGGCUGAAAUUUCAGGGCCUAUCACUUUGGAGGAUGGUGAGUUUGAUGAUGGCAUCGAUUUUGUGAAAAAAACAGCAGAAGGGGGGCGUAAUGACACUCUAUAGGACGGGUUUGACCAAAUACGGACACCGGCAGAGCUGAUGUAAUAUUGCAACCACCGCUAUAGAUUAAAGACUUAUGCUUUGUUCGUUUUGCGGAAAAUAAUUUUCAGAGACAUAUUUUCCGAAAUUUCCGGUGUUCGGGUGGACGAAAAAUACACGGUCAAAGAAAACAUUUUCCGGUCAACGGAAAAUCCCCUCUUAAUCUUGGAAAAUGAUUUCCUGUUUUAAAAAGAGGAAAUCAUUUUCCCGGCCUCUCGCACGAGCUCUCUCGCACGAGCUCUCGCGCUCACUCUCGCGCUGCUUUUUUCCUUCCUCAUUUCUGCACUCUCUCACAAAACCUUAGGGUUUCUGAUCUCCUCCUCCUCGUUCGACACCGACGAUCGGUGAAGCAUCCCUCAUUCACAAAUGUCCUCCUCCCUUCAGUUCUCUCUCUCUCCCUCUCUCUCUCCCUGCUGCAAUGGCUUCGACGACGUCCUUCUCCGGGAUCAGCCUCUGCCCUCCCCGGCCGCUCCUGCCCACUUGCUCCAGCUGGGGCGCUGCCGCCACCGCCGCCGCGCUCCGCUUCCCCGGUGGCUCGAAGCCGCUCGGGAGGAUCCGGCUCAAGAGGGAGCACCGCGGCGGCGCCGGGAGGCUCGCGGGGAGCCCGCCGUCCAGGCUGCUCGCCGUGCGGUGCGAGGCUUCUGGUGGACGGGUGAUUGCCCCCGAUUCAUUUUCUUGUUAUUUUUUUUUUAGCGCUCCACGUGCUUGCUCGUGUGUUCGUUCGUUGCUCUGUUUUGGGGAUUUGGUUAUGCUUAUUUGGGGUGAUGCGAUGAGGUUGCGUGCGUCCAGGCUUGGUGCUAGUAGUGUUCUGUGUUCGAGUGCGUUGGAUUUUUCUUGCCAAGUUGUCAUUUUUUUCGAUAAUCCUGAAUUGUGCAAAUAUGUUGAUUGAUUGCUAGUGUGGUUGCCGUACUGCUAAAUUAGGCUGUGCAUAGACGAAGAGUGAGCUGCUAAAUGGAUGAAUGUGUAUAUGCAGCUUCUUUGGGGGUGGUGUUUGUAAUAUGUAUAAUCAGAUUUGUCCACUUGAACCCAAUAAAUUAUUGAUUUUGUAGCUUUGUCAAAUGACAGAUCACACAGCAAGAAUUUACAGAGAUGGCCUGGCAAGGGAUUGUUUCCUCUCCAGAUAUUGCGAAGGAGAAUAAACAUCAAAUAGUGGAGACUGAGCACUUGAUGAAGGCUUUGUUGGAGCAAAAUAAUGGGCUUGCCCGGCGGAUCUUCUCCAAGGCUGCAGUUGACAAUACCCGUCUUCUGGAGGCUACUGAUAAGUUCAUCCAACGGCAACCAAAGGUAUCUCUACUGAAUGACAAUGUCUUAAUGAGCAUCUCUUUUCAAUCAAUGGGUUAUUACAGCUAGAUGUUGCUAUUUUCUUUUACGAAUCGAUUAAACAUUUUCAGCAUGGGCAUUGCCUCUUGAGACCGAGUUCUUAAUUGAAGAAUAGAGGAUUUAACAUCACUUGAUGUUCUCAGCCAUUUAAAGGAUUCAAGCCCCACAAACGAUGUUCAAGAGAAUUACCUAAGUGCUGAAAUCUUAAAAAAUGUUUUCAGGUAGAAAAUAUUUUCCUUACCGAACACUGGAAAACAUUUUCCGAAAUAUUUUCAAGUUUUAGCCAAACACCGGAAAAUGACUUCAUGGAAAAUGUUUUCCGGAAAUGGCCCAUUUUUCGUGAAACGAACGGACCCUUAAUGGCGCUUCAUCAAUUUAUAAUCUCUCUAGUACCAUGAUAAGAAUAACAUGAAGAGAGAAAAUGGGGGAACAACUGUAUAUUUUUACGUAUUGAUAAACAAUACAUGAGACUUUAUUAGAUAACUAUUUAAAGUAAUAAGAUAAAUAUAAUGCCACAUAUAAUUAAUCAAGGAUAUACAUUAUUGAGGGAGAUAUAUGUAUAAUCCUGAAAAAUAUGCAAAAUUAAGUAAAUAUCCAAAUAUCAUUAACAAUUAGAAUGGGGGUUUUACAUACUAUAUACUAAAAAACAAAUGUUAAUUUGUUAAGGGCGGUGCUAUUUCCACCCCCUAAAUAACUUUAUCCAACCCCAUUUAUACUAAAAAGACAACAUUGUUCUCAAUCUUUCAGUUGCAGUUUAUAUUGAUGGCCCCUUUCCUUUUCUAUUUAGGAUAAUUACGAUAAUUAAACAUUUGAAUGUUUUGUUUUGCUUUUUAGUGUAUUAAAGCAAAGUGCAUUAUCAAAUAUUCUUAUAACGUUUUAUAUACUCCUUGUCAAAUUAUCUCGCUAAUAGUAAAGACAUUUUUUGAUAUAGUACAAAAUUGGCUGGUGGGUAAGUUUCCUUUCGUUGGGACACAACAGCAAAUGUAUAUCUUUGCAUUGUUACUUAAAAGCACGAUUUUUCAUAUGUAGGUGUUUGGCGCUUGUUAGUCGCACAAUUUUUAAUAAUAUAUACAUAUUGAUUGAUACGUAAUUUCGUUUAUAAUUUUUUUAUAAUUUGUGUUGUUGUAGAAAAAUAAAAAAAAAUGUAUAUUUAUAUUGAUCACAUGCCCUGACUUUUCACAUGUUAUUACCGUGUAGCAUCCAAAAGUAAAAGCAAAAACGAUAUGCAUAUAUUAACUAUUCAAAUAAAUAAUAGAGUAAACCGAAAAAGUUGCAAACAUAUCUUUCAGGUGGACCCGAGGCCCGAGAUCACGAUUUGGGGUGAAGAUUCCGUUGGUAUGUGGUGAAUUUGGAGUGGACAAUUGCGUAUAAAGACAGACUGGAUGAGUGCAUAGUGGGGCCCGCAUGUAUGGAGUCAUAUUGGUACGCGGCCGACAUAGCCAUAAAGCAACUUAACUCUCCACCAUGGUCACCUAUUAACAUCACUUGGUUGUUAUUAUUAUUUUUUUUUAAAUUUCUUUUUGCGUUUUGCGCCACUUCUGUCUCCUUCUCUCCUAUGUAUUUUAAAGAUGGAGACAACUCUAGAUAUUAACCACUGGGAUUCGCCCUAGUGGCCACCCUUCCAACAUGGAAGGGGGAGGUGAGGGGUUCAAAUUCCUACCUUCUCAGGGAGGAAUGGGGUGGGGACGCGUAAGUUUCAGGAGUGAGUUUCGACUCCCACGCCCUGCAAGAGGCAGGGCAAAAGUCUGAGAUGAGUGAGUUUCGACUCCCACGCCCUGCAAGAGGCAGGGCAAAAGUCUAAGAGUGAGUGUAGAGUAGGAAUAGAGUAUGACUGACAAAAAAAAAAAAUCUAGAUAUUAAAGGCCAAAUCACCUCAAUUGUCACUCAUUAAUGGCCCACCACCUCAUUUACAUAAAACUUAAUAUAAGUACCUACCUCAUUUAUUGUGAAAGAACUCCUUAAAGAUAAUAUAAGUGCACAAUAAUAAUAGAUAAUAAAUAAUAUUUGAAUGACAAAUACCAAUUGCAAAACCUAUGUCUAUAUGUAUAUAUCGAAAAAAUAUGUAAAGUAACAUGUCUGAUUAAUGUUAAGGAAAGAAAGAAUGAAUGAAGUUUUGCAAUGAUAUAGCUCAACCAUUGAGCUCUAUUCUAUCUUACUUUCUUAUUAUAUAUAUUAGCUUAGCAAUGGUCUCUUCAGCAAUGCUCCCGAGGACAACUUUCGCCAUUUUUGUUCUCUCUCUGGAUUAGAAGAUGAUUAGUCCAGUGGUUCUAAGUCCAUAGACUUCUUAGGACAUGUACAGCAAGUCUGUGUUGAAAAUAGCAUUUCUCAUCGGCCACGCAUAAUAGAAGGUGAAGCUUAAGUCCAUAAUGCUUCUAGGACCCACCGACUUUGAUAUUUAUUUCACAGGUUGGUUUUAUCUGGUAGUUUCCGAGGCCCGGAAGCAAGGGAGAGUAGGACCAAGUUGUGAAAGCAAAUUGCCUCUCCAAGGACAAACACUUCAUUUUUUUUCCCCAAGGUUUCGUUCUAUAUAUUAAUUUUUUUAAAUGAUGGAGGUCAUUGUUUAAUUUAUUGGGAUGGAUUUUGAGGUCUGACAAAGUUGGUAACAAAAAAAAACCUAGGGCAUAUUAGUUUGCUGUGAUCCAACACCGUAAAAUGUGUGAUGUGAUUAAUUAGUAACUUAUACAUGUAGAUAUAUUGAUACAUAUGAUAUACAUGUUUGGACAGAGAUUAUUUCCAUUAAAAUAGAAAGUUUUAUAUGCAUGGAUAACACCAGAUUUGUUAACAUUCCAUUGCCAGCACUACACCUCUCAAUUCAAAACUCUCCUUCAUAUCUUCACUUGACAUUAUUGGUAUUAUUUCACUUAAACCUUACUGUUUAAGGAAGUUCCCUCUCCUUGCCAAUCUUUCAAAACUAUUUGCUUCCUAUGAAUAAAAUGCUUCUAGAUUAUUUCUUUCUUCCUUUAUUUUUUUUCAUAUUCUCUAAAUAAAUGAAUAAAACUGCUUUAAAGAUCUCUCUUCCAUUACUAGACAAUAUGAAAACUUGCACAUUUAUGUAAUGUAAAAUGAUAUAUUUAAACAUUUUAUGCAUGUCACUCUUUUUUUAUAAAUUUCAAAAGGAUUCACAUGUAGGGCAAAACAACAUACACACGAUUUUUUCUAGCAUAUACAAUAUGUACAAAAUCUUUUACUAUCUCAGUAUCCUAUUACAAUUAUAUCAGUUAGUUUAGAAUACUCUUUAGUUCAAAUUUAUAGCUUUUUCUUUAACAAUUACUAUAAGAUAAGUCAUCUUUCUUAUCUUUUGAGUCUGGCGCUUAUUUCAAUCCCCCUAAUAUAUUAUUCUUCCAUUCAAUGUACACAAUCAAAUCUUUGCCAAGUUUCCUUGUGGAUGUUUUCUAAUAGUGCUUGCAAAACUGUAAGAAUUCCUAGUUGGCCGUUAAUGACAAGUUAGUGACAUCGGACCAAGUAGACCUUGUGCGACAAUAAAAUUUGUUGAAGUGGUAUGGAUUAUUGUGACAUGACUAGAAUGUGCAAAGCAUCUUUUAACAUCCUAGAAAAAUUUGGAGUGUUAAAAAAAUUUAUGCCGCUUUCUUGCUUGAAUACUCUAAUACCUGCUUGAACUAUGCAAGAUACCCUUAACAUACUUGUGGAGCAUCUUUUGUAGUGUAGACACAUUCAUCUCUGUGUAUGCACCUAAACUAUGUGCGAACAACCAGUAGCCAUUAUCAUUCAUGGAGGAUGUGAUAGUAGUAACUCUACAUAACCUUGUGCAGCAAUGAAAUUUGUAACUCUUCCAAAAAGAACGUAACUUUCGUCUUCCCUUCCCAAGAAUAUGUUUCCCGACAAUCAUUUCGACAAGCAUUUCCCUUUUCUUUUCAUUACGGAAACAAGAAAUAUUGUUUGUCCACUGGUGCUUGUUUGGUAAUAUUCAAAGAAUUUCUUCAAUUUUUUUUGUCUCGAAAGUGAAGCAAAAGACAAAAAGAGGCAAUGGCAAAGAAACUCCAAUAAAUUCCAAGAAGACCACAACUUUUGCAGGACACAAAUUGAAGUUUCUUGCUUCGCUUUUCGCAUCCCUCCUCAUGAAUCCCCAUGAGAACGUCUCUUUUUCCAUCGCUAGUAGAACUUCCAUGCAUUAUGUUUGGAUUAAUCUCUGUUGUUUUUUCCUUUUUCAAAUUUGUCUCAAUUCGAGGCAAUUUUUAAAAAAUUGCCACAUCGUAAUGAUUUUAUUGACACAAUUUGUUUACCCUGUGAAUUGGGUGAUGUGGAGAGAGUUUGUAUUGGUUUAGAUAAUCUUAGCAUCUAAUGUCUUUAUUGAUGUGGCAACAUCUCAAGAUGCCAUAUUGAACACUUAUAUGGACAUUUAACAACUAUUUAACGGUGUUGGCAUCAUGUCAACAUUUUUCGUUUGGAACAUUAACGAAGGCCUCACAUUGACCCUCAUGAAAAAUUCAGAUAAUUGAUUGAACGAGAAAACUUUAGGUACCUAAUUGUGAAAGGGCUAAUAAUACAAGUACUUGUAAUGUCAUUGUUCCAAAGAGUUUAUCACAGAAUCAUUGGUCUAGGCACAAAUCUCAAACAUACUUUUGUUUACAGAAUAUUUGCUCCACAACUCAUCCUCUCGAUUCAUUUCUUGGUUUCCCUUUAAUAAUUUUCUUUUGUAAGAUUAUUCAUUCUUUUGUGUGAAAGAAAACAGGAGAUAGUUUUGUUAAUUUCACGCGCCAAAAGAUUUCAAUGGCUAAAUGUCAAGCACAUUGGAAGACUACAAAAUUUCUCAAUGUCGAUUUCCCUUAGAUUUUUUCCUAAUCAUUCGAUCAUAAAAAUUCAAGCUUUACACUUGAAAAUUUUUAGUGGAUUAUCAAACAUUUGAUUGAAAUUAAUUUUUUUUAGUACUUGAUUUUAGUUUAGUUGGAUAUCAUAUUAAUAGUAUUAUCAUCACAUGUAACUGUACGGGCACACUUAACUUAAAACCUUACUAUGACUUCUUUACCAAUUACAUCUAAUUUGCCUAAAUAAUAUUUUUUGUAGAUAAUUUGUUCCAACUUUUCGAGAGAUCAAUUGAUAUCAUCUGGAAUCCCCGGUUUGACCUGCAAGAGACAAAAUUGAUACCACAAAGAAUAUAUUGCAGCCCAAUAUAAGCAGUUAACGACUACUUAAUAGCAUUGAUGUCAUAUAAACAUUUUUCGUUCACGAUUCAAUGGAGGUCUCGCAUUGACCCAUAUCCGAAAUGUCGAGAUAAUUGAUUGAAUGAAAAAAACUCUAGAUACUUGAUUGCCAGUUCAUAGGUAAGAAAUUUCAUGCACCUCACGAUAUGGUUUUAUUUCAGUCAAUUUGAAUGGACGUCGCUAUUAAUUGACCAAAGCGAGGGAUGGGUGCGUGCCCGAGGAUCGAGGCGUGACAGUGAUGGCAGGAAAGAAACUAAUAUAUUCUAAAAAGACCAAGACUGUUAACGUCAUUUGAUUGUGCACGUCUUUUGAUGGUGGGAAAGAAACUUUAAUAGAUUCCAAAAAGACCAAGACUUUUGCAUGUUUGUAUGUUAUGUUGGGAUUGUCGGAUUCCCAAAAACCGGAUUCGACACUAAAUCGAACCCCUAAAACGAAUGCGGAAGACGAAGCCUGGGAAAAUCACAUAUCACCGAUCCUAAAGCACACCACGGAUUCGAGCGUACAUUGUUAACCACAGAUUAAACACCAAUGCUGAAGAUUGAGGAAGAGAAACCGAUCAUGUUCGAUUCGAUGACGUCAAUUGGCCUUGAAGGGAAGACGGUGUCGCAUUUUGCGCACUUUUGCUUUUGGAGGGAGAGAGGGAGAAGAACGUACGCUCUUUUUGCCAAAAGGUACGUUCAUCUCUCUCUGUCCUCCCUUUUAUAUGUCCCCUCAAAAAUAUAAAACAUACCUCUUCAUCGUAUCCCUUCAUCCAUGGGCCCUAAUUUUGUGGGCCGGGCUUUUAGGCCCAACAUGGGCGGACGGGCCAACUUAGGCCCAUCACCUAAAACCAUCAUCUCCCACUCGCACAUGGUGGGCUGAACAGAAUUCUCUUUUACCUCUCUUCAACAUUCAUACCGGUGAAUAAUCCGUGCGACCAGCAUACUUUAAGAGCUCGUUGCCAUACAUCUGUUAGGAAUAUAUAGCAGCUCAUAAUGGGCAUCACACUCUAAGUAGAUUUAGUAUGCAGUACCCUAGAUCGAUCGAUCACAUUUAUAUCUCUCUUGAUCUCUUUUAAACAAUGAUAUAUAUAUAUAUUGUAUUCACAAUUAUAAUUAUCCCAAAGACAGUCAUAAUUGGUUAACCAGUGAAUACAAAACUACAAUGUGAUUCUCCAAAUUCGAUCUUCCUCUUUCAUUCAAACUCUCAAUUUCAGUUCAACUUGCUUUUCUAGAAAUGUCCCAUUAGAUCGAAUCAACUCAUGACCAUUGGCAACAUCCUAAGAUAGCAAACACUAAAUAGAAAUCUUGAGAAUAAAUAAGAGUCAUAAGAGGACUAAAAAAUUGAGGAACUCUUUUCCUCAAGAGUCUCACACGACAUAAAAGUUGAGAUCAAAUUUUUGCCACUCUUAUUGGUCGUCUCAUGCAUACGUAGUAUGAAAUACGUAUUACGGUAAUAACUCCUUUCCCAUGGAGCGUAUGUCUACACCUUUAAUACCGUACAGAUGAUAGUUCAGACAUACUCAAUGUCUAACUUGAGUUCACGUAUCUACUCAUUCACAAAAUUCAUUAGAACUCACAUCUGGCAUCAUAGACAGAUAAAAUAAAAUAUGUGGGGUAUUUUACUUUCGGACAUAGUAAGUAUUAUGUCCCCAUCUUAACACUCAGUUAAGGCAACGUACGUAUUUUAAGCUUUAGCUCUCGAUUAUCACCUAGAUAAUAAGCUUAAAAACAGUCUCAUCUCUAUUUAUCACACAAUAAAUAGAGGCGAUUACCCGUGUGAGUGGGCUAAUCUUAUAUCUGUCCGACAUACUUUCUCAACUUAAAGUAAUGCACUAAGCAUUAAGAUGCAUAAAGAUCAAACAAAGAUUCAUAGGCAUUAAUGAUGAAAAAACACAAAUUCAUCAAAUGUGAACACUUCAGGGAAAUUACAAUCUAGUACAUCAGACUCUACGCAAUCCCAGAGAUUUCAUAUGGCCACAAAACACAUCUCUAUGUAUUGGUUUUGUCAUAGGAUCUGCUACCAUUCUAUGCGUAAUAUGUACUGUAAGUUCAUAUCUUUUCGCGCAAUCAAAUUUUUUUUUGAUAAAAUUAUACUAGGUAUCUAUAUGUUUGGUCUUACCAUGAUAUUUUGGAUCUUUGGUGUACGCUAUUGUUGCUUGGCUAUCACAAUUAACCAAACAAUGAAUCUGCAGCACUUCCAAUAACACCUAAAUGAUCCAAUAAUCUCUUAAGCCAAACAUCUUCUUAUAUUGCUGCUGAUAAUACCACGAACUCAGUUUCCAUUGUGGACAAGGCUAUACACUUUUGUUUCUUACUGCUCCAACAUAUGGUGCUAUUAUUCGAUAAGAAAACAAACCCAGAGGUAGAUUUUCUUUCAUCUGAAUCUCCUCCACAAUCAGCAUCAGAAUAGCCUUAGAGUCGCAGAUCCUUUCCCUAAUAACUCAGCGUAUAAUCAGCAGUCCCCUUUAAAUACCUCAGUAUUAUCUUAACGGCCUUCCAAUGUGCUGGACCUGGAUUGGAUUAGUAUCUACCCACCAUUCCAACUGCAAAAACAUAUGUCAGGUCUUGUACACAUCAUAUUGUACAUCAAGCUCCCAACAGCACUAGCAUAAGGAACAUAUUUCGUUUGUUCCUUCUCUUGUGGAGUCCUUUGACACAAUCUGUGGCUCAAUCUUUCACGUUUUGCAAUAGGAGUGUCUAUGAGUUUACAAUCCCAUAUCAUUCAUCUCAAAGUUGGAAGACAACCAACUUUUGACAGUAUUGACAAGCUCCAUAUUGCUUCCGGCAAUUAGUAUAUCAUCAACAUAUAAUGAUAUGAUCACAAAUUGAUCAUUGGAUCUUUUGAUAUAUAUAUACAAUGAUCCUCAUCUAUCAUUGUAAAAUCAUAUGUCAUUAUGGCAUUAUGAAAUCGUAUAUACCAUUGUCUUGACGACUGCUUAAGGCCAUAUAUCGACCUCAAAAGUCGACAUACCUUUUCUUCUUGGCCUUUCACUAUGAAACCAGCAGGUUGUUCCAUAUAUAUUCCUUCCUCUAAUUCUCCAUUGAGGAAAGCAGUCUUUACAUCCAUUUGAUGUAACUUAAGAUCCAUACUAACCACUAUUGCCAGAAUUAUGCGAAUAGAGGUAAAUCUCACUACAGGAGAAAAUGUUUCUUCAUAAUCAAUUCCUUCCUGUUGAUUAUACACAUUCGCCAUAAGGCGAGCCUUAUGCCUUUAUAUCAAGCCAUCAGCUUUACGCUUUAUUUUGAGAACCCACUUGUUCCCAAUAGCUUUGCGUCCUUUUGGAAGAUCAACCAGUUCCAAACUUGGUUUGACUUCAUUGACUCCAUCUCCUCUUUCAUUGCAUAAAUCCAUUUUUCCUUACUAGGGCAAUUCAGAGCCUCAUUAAUAUUUCUUGGCUCAUCCUCAUCUUGCGGAGCAAUCAUAAAAGUUUCCCCUUCAAUGUCAAAACGUCGACGGUGAAUACUUUGGUGACUUGUUCGCCGUAUGGGAGAUUGUACACUUUGUACAUCAUUCCCUAUUAUGCUCCCACUAGGAUUAGAUAAUGAUAACGUUGUCUCAUCAUGUGGUUGCAAUUGAGAAUGAGUUGAAUUCAAUUCAUCACUUCUCAUAUUACUCCCACUUGGACGAACUCCACUAAUAUCAUUAUCUUAAUCCAAUGUUUCAAAUAGGGGUAAUCUUCCCUUAUUUCGCCCUUCUUAGGAAAUUCAUCCUCUAAGAAUGUGACAUCACGUGAUUAAAAUUCAGUUAUACUCCCACUUUCAUGCUCACCUAUGAACACAUACCCUUUCGAGUGUUCGGAGUAUCUCAUUAAAAUACUCUUAUUUCCUUUAGGACCCAAUUUCCCAAACUUGUGAGAGGACUAAUGAGUAUAGGCAGCACAAACCCAUGGCUUAAGAAAACUUAAGUCCGGUUUUCUACCUGUCCAUAACUCAUAUGGAGUGGAAGUAACUGAUUUGGAAGGCACCCGAUUAAGUAUAUAGGCAGCAGUUAACAACGCAUCACUCCAAAAAGUAAUAGGUAAGUUAGCAUGCGCCAUCAUGGACCUAACCAUUUCCAGUAGGGUUUUGUUUCUUCUCUCUGCAACACCAUUUGUUGAGGAGUAUAUGGAAUAGACAAUUGUCUUUCUAUUCCUUUUUCACCAUAUAAUUUUCUGAACUCAUCAGAUAAAUAUUCUCGACCUCGAUCGAAUCUCAAUGCUUAUAUUUUCUUGUCUAAUUGAUUUUCGUCCAAGUUCAUAAACCUUUUGAAACAACUUAAUACUUCAGAUUUAUGAAAAAUCAAAUAGACAUAUCCGAAUCGAGUAUAAUCAUCUAUAAAAGUGAUGAAAUAAACAGUCACAUGCUUUCCUUUCACAUUCAUUGCACCACAGACGUCAGAAUGGAUUAAAUGCAGAGGAAAUUCAGCUCUUUUACCUUUUCCAAAUAGUUUCCUUGCCGUUUUCCCUACUAGGCAAUGCUCAUAUAUGGGCAAAUCGACUUUUUCAAUGUUGCCCAACAAGCCCUCUUUGGCCAGUCUAUUCAUACGUUGUUGGCCAAUAUGACCAAGUCUAACAUGCCACACAUUCACAUCACUAUCAAAUGAAUUAGGAGAUGUGAGAAGGGAAUAACAAACAUUUGCAUUAACAUAGUCAAUAUCUAAUACUAUGAAACCAUCCAGAAAAUAACUACAAGUAUAGUAGUUUGUAUCCAAAUACAAAUCUACACCUCUAUUAUGGAAGUUCACACUAAAAACAAGCUUAACCAACACAAAAAAAAAAGACACUUAAAUUUCGACGAAUCUCCGAAGCAUAUAGAACAUCAUGUAGGAACAAGUUGCGUCCACCACGCAUGUUCAAUUGGCAGGUGCCAAUCCCUUUAACUUCAGCUCUGGAGUUGUUUCCCACAUAGAUCCAGUUAGUUCCAGUUGGUAUUCGUCGGAAUUCCACGAAGGAUCCUCUAUCCUUCGCUACAUGGUCUGUCACUCUUGAAUCUACAGUCCACAAAGGAUUGGAUUCAGCCAAUAAUGUAGAACUUGACACAUAAGCAAAGUUCUCAAAUGUACAAGAGGUGUUUACCUUAUUUGGCUCACGACAGUCGCGAGCAUAGUGACAUUUCUUGUCACAAUUGUAACACCUUACCCUUAACAUUUUCUUCACUUGAUGACGUUUUCCUCUCUUGUGUUGGUUAACUCUUGAUCUCUUGCAAUAAGGACUUGAUCCUUUGCAUUCCCACAUAUUGAACGAAUCAAUACGCUUGCGCUUAGAGCUCAAAGCUCUUUCUGAGCUAGAACCAGCAUUGCAAAUAUCUAUUUUCGGCUCACAUGCCGUUAAUCGGUCCUCUACCAGCUCAAGGUGGCGCACAGCAUCCUGAAGAUCUUCCAUAACAUGGUCAAGAGCUUCUAGUGUUUCUUGCUUUUCCAGCACAUAUUGAAUCUCCAUAUUCAAUAUUUCACAAUUGUUGCCGUUCAUAUCAACAAUUACGUUCUUAGUGCUGAAACCAUCGAUCUGAACACAUCAGACAUAUAUGCACGAAUAAUUAAUGCCUAUCAUUUAUGCAUCCACUUUGCACAGACUCAUCAUAUCAAUGAAUAAUUUCAAGUAAGGUUUCAGAAUCAAAAUGUCACUACGUUUCCAAUCAUCCUCCAAAAAUCCUAACUUAAAACUAUUAUUAAUAUAAUUGUCUUUUGCAAAAUAAAUUCUAUGAAGUUACAAAAACUUCUAUGAACUACCCACAACAGUCAACAAUAACAGAAAGCAAAUAAUAUCUAACAUCCAAUAGAAUAAUAAUGCUUUCACAUAAUACAACAAUCAAUUACACUAAGUAAUAUACUCAAAGAAGAAAUAUCAACAUAGAAAGAGAUAUUCACACUUAAAAAACAUCUCAAAAUAAUCUAAGAAAUAAAUAAGGAAUGUCCCUUCUAAUCUAUCAGUCAAAAUAUCUAAGAAAUUUGUAGGCACAUUUGCCAACCAUGGAAAAACUUUUGGAGAGCUCUCAUGUCGCCUCCAAGGCGCAUUCACUCUGCGCCAUGUGGCGCUCAAUCUAAGGGUUGAAGUUUUGGUUAACUCAACCCUAUAGUACUCUCUAACAAAAGCUACCAUUAGCCUCCUAUAACCCGGGACCACGUUGACCUCCCAUAGCCGAUCUAACACUGCUUGCCAUUCAGGUGGAAGAGUGUUCAUCAAAGCCGGCACCUUCUCAAAAUUCGGCAUAAGAUAACCAUUCCAAAUGAUUUCCUAUAUCAUCUGAUUGACUCUAUAACCUGGAUCGGACGAACCCGUCGGGCCGGUCGGAUCGGGUCGGACGAACCGACCGGCAAGUGCCGCGCGCGUGCGCGGGCUGACGUCACGCAGACGUUAGCCGGCACGUGCGCGGCACGCGCCAAGCUUCCGCGCAUGUCGGGUCGCCGGUCGGGUCGCCGGCCGGUGACCGCCCGGCCAACGAUCGUCGGCGAUGACGUCAUCGAUGACGUCAUCCCAGCGGUUACCGACCGUUGGGUGACGUCACGGUGACGUCAGCACGCGUCGGUUUGCCGACCGGCGCGUGCCGGUUCACUGGCCGGCGGCGUCGCGCACGUGCCAGUCCGUCACCGGCGCGUGUGGCGCACGCGCUGGCCGAGCCAGCGUUUCAGGCGCGUGGCGCCCACGCGCAGCGGCUUCUGGCCGCGUGUGUGGGCGCGUGCGGCGUCGCCCGGCGGUGGUCGAUAUGUCGACGGACUCGUUUCGACGAGCCCUUUCACCCAAUGCCUUCAGAAAUCGAUUUCGACUUAUAGAAACUCGAAAAAAUGGACGACCAGUGCUCGAGUGUCGGGAUUUUGCGCCCCGAUCCGUGUCGGCCGAAUAUUUUCGCGAAAAAUCAAUCAUAAAACAUCAAAGGGGUCGGGAAAACAUGAACUAGAGCUCUGAUACCAAUGUUGGGAUUGUCGGAUUCCCAAAAACCGGAUUCGACACUAAAUCGAACCCCUAAAACGAAUGCGGAAGACGAAGCCCGGGAAAAUCACGUAUCACCGAUCCUAAAACAUACCUCUUCAUCGUAUCCCUCCAUGCAUGGGCCCUAAUUUUUUGGGCCGGGCUUUUAGGCCCAACAUGGGCAGACGGGCCAACUUAGGCCCAUCACCUAAAACCAUCAUGUUAGUGGGAAAGAAACUUCAAUAGAUGCCAAGAAGACGAAGACUUUGUAUGUCUUUCUUGCCAUUACCAAUAGAAUUUUUAGGCGCUACAUAUCUUGCUUAAAAUUAACAAUACCAUAAUUUUCCUCCAAUUCUUUUCAUUUUGGGAUUUUUUCAUUCAUUAAUCUCUAUUGUAUCUUUUCAAAUUUGAGUUCAACAAAUGAAAAGAAAAAAGCAAAGAGAAAAACUGACAAGAAGAAAGAGCAAAAAAGUUUAAAAAAAAAAAAAAGGAAAUAAAGAAGGAAAAGGGCAAGAUAGAACACCAUUGAAGCACGGCCACAGCGUGUUGUUGCCGUUAGCACUAUCACUUUGGUGACUAUUUCCAACUUCGCUACCUUAUAAGUUACAAUGACCUUCGUAGACAAUAUUUUUCUUGAGAUGUUUUUCUUAGAGUGGGUCAGAAGUUGAGGAUAAUGACAUCAAAACUAUCAAAACUUUCGCUUAUUUUACAAUAGAGUACCUAAACUUUUCUUUUUUCAAUCAAGUAUCUCACUUUUUCAAAUUUGAUACAAUUUGAGGCAUUCACUAAAUGAAUCAUCAUGUCAUAUGAUUUUGGUUACAUGAUUCGCUCACCUUGCAUAUUGAGUAAUGUGGAAAGAAAAAAUAUUGACUUAGAUAAUCGUAGUGUCUUAUAUAUCCCGGCCGAUGUGGCAUCAAAUCAAGAUAUUGUAGAAAACACUAAUGGGCAAUUAACGACUAUUUAACAACAUUAGUAUGAUAUCAACAUUUUUUGUUAGUGAUUUAAUAGAGGACUUAACCUAUAUUUGGAAAAUUGAGGUAAUUGACUGAAUGAACUAAAAUUUUGGUAUGAUUAAAAAAAGGGUAAUAAUUUGGAUACAUGUGCGUCAUUAUCCAAUAAUUUAUCUUUUUUUUACGUGAUAUUCAUGUGAAAGAGAAUAUUAAAUAGUUUUGUCAAUUUCAAGCCAUUGCAAAAUGAUUUUAGUGGCUAUAUGUCAAGCCCAUUUGGAGACUAUAACGUUCUCAAUGUUGAUUUCCUUUAUAUUUUCUGCAAUCAUUCGAUCAUAAACCAUUCCUGCCCCUUUUUCUUGGCCAAUUCCACUGCUUUCCCUUUCAUCUAUUCACCCAAAACUCAAAAAGUAUGUGUAGUUUGGCCUAAAUCAGUUUGAACCAAUUUGAAAAUGUACCGAUUUUCAAAAUUGGAUUUGCCUAGUUUUAGAAUCUCACGGGUAUAGAACUGGGCUUUUGGCUACUGUUGCACAUGGAGGGACUCAAGCACUCAAUUCCACGGAUCACCGGCAUUUUACUUUACCACCAUGACCGAACGAUUCAUGUGUUCAUGGGCAAUUGACAGCAUUACAUAUCUAUAAUCGUUUGCUUCGGACACAAUCACCGAUUCACUUCUAGUCCAAUCGUUAGGACCGCAAACUGGCAACCUAACUGGUUCUCCGACUGGCCUAAGUUUGAAAACAUUGGUGCCAAGUUCCUAUCCCUUCUUAAAACAAGUAGAUAAUGACCAUUUUAUAUGAAUUGAGUUGUAAUUGACGCAAUACUUUUGCCACAUGAUGAAAGAUGAUAGCUAAGUGAUUAUAACUAAUAAACGUUGAUGCUCCUCUUUCUCCUUGAUUAUAUUAGACUUGGAAAUUCUUUGUAUUGCUCCAAAUGAGGUUGAUGCUCAACUUCCAUCGUACAUUACUCCUGAUGUUGCUCUAGUUGGAGCUAUGACUAAUGCUUGACCUUUCCCUUAAAAAUUUCGUAUUCAACAGUAAGUCUUUGCUUUGGCAUCGUACAGACUUCAAUUUAAGAUGCUAAUAAAUCUUAGUCAAGAGGGAAAAAAAUUUAACAUCUACCACUCUUAGGAACCUUAUAUGCUAUUAGGAACUUUGUCGAGCACGGCAUGCUAUCGAGAGGUCGUAGUACUUUGUUAGGCUUAAGAAGAGAUCUAAUCUCCCCAAUCAAAAGAAAUGAAAUCUAUCCACCAUUGGAUUUUGUUAUAAAGCAAAAAACCAGAAAAUGAUGCAGUGCAAUAUAUUUAGCUACAUAGUAGCAGUUUGAUUUGUCACAUGCAGUUUUUGGAUAUCAUGGUUUUUAUGAGCAUGAGAAGUAAACUAGUCACAACAUUUGGAAGCAAAUUACUCAGUAUCAUCUCCAGUGAGUUUGCUAAGAAUUUUCUUUUGAUAAGCAAAAGAAAUUUAUUGCACAAUGAUGUCAAGCAUAUGCUAGCCCAUGUAACAAAUUAUAAACGCAGUUCAUGCUAUGAGGUAUAAGAAAGAAUGCACAUUAGUGUUGACACCUAAAUUUUGGCGACCCGUUUUGUCAUUUAUUGCAUUAAAAAAUUAGGGGUUAAUUUUAUCCCCGAAAAAAUAGUCAAUUGUAUAGCAUAUAGAUUUAAGUGCAUUUGCAUUUUUUGCAUUUGUUUAUUGGACCGGUGGCGGAUGAGUUCGAAUUAGUGGUUUUGAGCUUUAAAUUGAUAGGCUGGACUAAGCCCACGAAGGGAACAAAUUGGCCCAAGCCCUUUUUUUUAUGAUCGAAAAUGAUCUCGUGAAAAAUAGAGAUUUGAAAUUUUUCCAGGAUAUGUUGGGGGAUUUUUCAAUAUCUUCGGAUAGGGCAAGUGCGACAAAAAUAUUGGGAGCUCAUCUUUAAAAUAUUCAGAAUCCGAGAAAAUUUUAUUACGAUCCCGAACUUUGGGCAAUGUUCGAUCAAUUGUGAGUUGGUAUUUGGAAAGAAAAGAAUUGUUUUUGUUGAUCUUGUGAUUAUAAAUGUGCGGACAAAAACAUCAAAAAGGGCAAGAAGGAUUAGCAUUAUUAAAAUAUAUAUUCAAUGAGGAUAUAUGGAUCCGCAAUGCGUACAAAGGAAAUAUAAACCCUCACAAAAGAGGGAAGUCAGUACGUGGACUUCUUUCCUAUAUUCAAAUUUCCCUUUUUGAAGUUCAUAUUCGGCCAGUAUAAAAAGCGUAAUGUUCGAGGAAAAAAGGGGAGGCCACACAAUUGAGAUACACGGCCAUAGGAGAGAACACACGCUAGAGAGAAUAAAAGGGAGAAAUCAUGGGGUUCGGCAAUUCAUUUGAGCGAUACACGUAAGAAGAAAGAGAGAGAGAGAGUCCACGGCCGAGUACUUCGCGUCCAAAAAUCUCAAGGCUGUGCGUCCACCGAUCCUCACCACCGUCAUUAGAAUCCUCACUGUCACUCACUGCUGCCUUCCGAAGUUGAGAAGUUGCUGCCUCGCUGAAGAUCUCCGAGCACUUUCUGUCGCAACUGAUCGUGAGUGAUACGUGCAUGGUGGUGUUCACUUCAACAACACACCCUCAUGGUCAAAGUUUGAUAAUCAAGGAGGUUUAUCACAAGACCUGCAGAAUUCGCAAAGAACUUGGGAACUAGCCAAGUUUGUCAUUGGUCAAAGUCUCCCUAGCGUCCUUUGCUACCUUGCCGAGAAGCCCUGCACAGCUACGUCAUCUCCAUACGAAUAAAGCUCGGGCCCAACUAACGCGAUGGCUGAUGCUGCUCCCUGUCCGAGACCUUGACAUUGGAGCCCCACCGCACUGCUGUCCGAGCCCUGCCGAUGAGCUGACACUCCUAUUGAUACCGACAUCGCCUGCUUGAAGCUGCUGCCAUUGUUGCUUACGUCCACAAACCGAGAUUCAGCAAAUUCCCGACAACGCUGUUGCUCCCCCGACGUUGCAGUUUCCUCGUGUCGCUGAUCAGACGACGUUGUCAUCCAAAACCCCGUCGUGAAUAGCAAAGCCACCGUUCCCAUUCGCAUCCAAACCGAGUCGAUCCCGAAGCUCCUAUUUUUUGCAGGUUCGUUGACCGUGAGCCCACGGUCAUCCUUUACUGAGGAGCACCAUUGUGCCGAGCUUCGUUCACGCACCGCCCUCUCCCGUUGAGCGGAUUCCAUCCGGUUCAAAUUUGGUAACAUUAUUUGCAAAAUUAGGUAAUUAUCUCAUCUAAAUUUGAUUUGGAUAUUUUAUUGCCUAAUGCAUGCUUUUCAAUAUCUUACGUGCAUGUUUGAAUUAUCCGCGUGUUCCCAAUUACGAUUUAUUGCCCAAUUCGCAACCACACACGGAUUUUUUAUUCCAUCUAUAAGGCUUUAAAUGGAAUAAUUAACCACGCGGGAGUAAAAUUGAUAUUUUGAUCUUUAAGGCUUAAGAUUAAUUUAUCGAUUUUAUUAGCAAAAGAAUUAAGUUUGAAUUUCAAUUCGAAUGGUGGAUAGCGUUUUUGAUGAUCAUGGAUGGUUUGAUGUUUAUCUCUUAAUUGUUUUGUUUAUCCCGAAAAUACAAAAAAAUUGCAUUUGCAUGUCGUGUAGAAUUAUGGCAUAUUUUGUACGUCAUUGCAUAUUAGGGUUAAAUUGCACUUAGUUUAAUUUUAGGUAAUAUUUUUCUUAAUUUAUUAUAAGUUUAGGUAUUUUCUUAAAUAGAAUGCAUUUUAGGAUUAUUUGGGUUAAGAUAAUAUUUUAUUUUAAAUUAGGAUUUGGUUUAACUUAAUUCCUAAUGCAAAUUGAAUAGGAUCUUAAUCUAGCUAGAUAAUUUUCACAUUUUAUCUAAUUUCGAAUUUUAGGAAAAAGAAAAAAUGUCACAGGUUAAAUUAGUUUUAUUAUUUAGGAUAAAAUGCAUUCUUUUAGGAAAAAGGAAAAAUGUCAUAUGCACGUCAUUAGGGUUAGAUUCAUUGAGAUGCGUGUCAUUUAGUAUUUUUGCUAGGCCCAUUUAAUUAGAAAUUAUAUGUCAUUAGAAUUAGGUCAUUUAGUUAAUAUUGCAUUGCAUAUUGCAUGAUUUUCAUCAAUUAAGUAAAAACAAAAAAAAAAAUUGCGUGUUAAUUAGAAACCAUAUCUAGGGUUGUUGAUGUGGAUUUUAAUUUAACACUGCAAUGCUUUCGUUGCUUUGAGGUAAGUUUUUGCAAUUUAUUUAUUGUUUAUCUGAGUGUUAAAUUGAUGGUUUGUGCACCCGUAUGAUCACCUCACAUAUUAGGGAAAUAAAUUUAAAAUCAAUCCAAAUUGCUUGCCAAACAUUUUUUCAAAAUAAAAAGAAAGGUACCGAAAGGGCAUUAGAGGAAUAUAGUGUAACAAAGUCCCCGUACCCAUAGUCUCUGGUUCGUAGAAGUAAAGUAAAUCUUCCGUUACUUUAGUUGGGUUUCUAAUCGACCCACCAAAAAUAGAUUAGUGGCGACUCCUAAUUAAAAAUUUGCAUGUUAAGAACUUGAACCGAAAGUCGCGAAUUGGUAUGAGCUUGGGAGAGCUCGAGUUAAGUCUAGGCUUAACAAUCCAUCAACCAAACCCUAGGUGGUUCACAUCCAAAAAAUUGGUCGCGACAGCUUGGCGAUGUCGUUGUCACACAACCAAAAGCCGUGGAAAGCCAUCUAUCAUUCAAAUAAAAAAAAAUAAAAAAAAACUAGUCUUGCUAUUUUCAAAAGCUCUUGUAUUUCUUUCUUCACAAUGAAAUAGUAAGCUAUUGAAGUGAAUCAACCAUGAACACAGCCCAACAUAAACAAGGAGUAAUAAAAACUACUUACUGUUUGAUGUUGGGUUCUAAAAUCCAACAAAAGGAAGUUCUCUAGUAGAACCCAAAAACAGGAGUGUGCCAUAGAUUCACGGAUAAUUUAAACAGAAAUUACAAGACCUAUGAAACAGGCAAUUGGAUAGAAAGCAAAUGAAGGUUUGUUGCAGAAGGCAGUCAUAGACAUUGUGGACCUGAAUAUCCAUGCAUAGUGAUGAACAAGGCAUUACUGCAGGGUGAGCUUGGCAUCUAAUUUGUAACAACAAGAGAGAGAAUGUCAAUCAUCAUAGCAGCUGAGGCUGUGUUCUCCAUGAUAGCUACUACCCAAUCAUCUCUUUGACCCAACAAUUGAGAUUCAGAUGCAGGGUGGCUAGUUCAUAUUCAGAAUAGCAGAUUAGUACAGCCACACUCAUUAAGUCAGACCAAUAACUGAGAAUGAACUAGCCAUUGUAAAUAGACUGCUUCUGAUGACCUUGCUGGCAUCAAGGCGAGCUGAGAGUUGCCAAAAGCAUUAUCUGCACAUUCUUUCUGAAUCAUUGAUUUCAGGAGUUCCAGUGGCAAUUUUUAGGACUAACAAGGAAUGAGAUGGAUCAGCCCACUAUUAAUUAACUUGGUUUAUAGAUGUAAGUAGAGUUUGUCUAAUUAAAUCUGUACAAAAACUCGAAUCUUUCAACUCGUGAAGAAGAAGACUGGAAAGCAAGUUAUCUUUACAACUCGAAUAAGAACAUAUGACCUUAAAAUGAAUCAUGAGGCUUGUAUUUAUUGUCAAUUUCAUGUAUAUCCAUUAAGGAGCUAUCUCCAACUGCAAUAUCCUCCAAUUCACUGAUGGCUUCUAUUUGGUUAAGCUGCAUAGCAAUGCCUCCAUCCUCAGAGCUACCCUCUAGAAAAUCAUUAUCUUCCAUAUCUGAUGAGUCCAUAAAAGUUUCCAUCUUUUUCUUCCUCCCCAUAUAACCAAUAAGGCUUGGGACUUUUUCCUUCUAAAUAACGAGCAAACAUUUAUGGAUCAGCUCCGCACCUUCAUAAGCUCCUCUGAAGAACACACUAAACCUCUUUCCCCUCUCAGAGACAUAGAAAACGCCAUAAUGCUUCAAUAGGAGUCUCAUCAGCUUCUGAGGCAUCACAAAUUCUUGUCGAAAGUGCGCGAGGUGAUUGGUUACCAACCUUUUUUCCAUUGUGAAGCUAAGUAACUCGUGCAUUGCUGCAAUGGAUCUCUUAUUAAAUUCUUUCAAUCCAGCUUGAAGGCCACAUGCAUCAGCGUAAGGAGUCAAGUAAGACCUUUUCUGAAAGUGCUCAAUCUUCCGUCCAUAUCUACACACCUUCUUGUAACUGGCAGGAAACUUCAAGGGGAAAGAUAGGGAAAGCAACCCUGGAGUAUGAAAAGGCAAAUUAUGAUACCCCCAAUAUGGCCUUCUCCAACUCUGUGAUAGCCCAAGCAGGAUUCCACUCUAUGAGCUCGAGGUAAUCAACUUCAUCUGGAGAUUUAACCACUUUGAAGUGCUGCGGAUACUCAUGUACCCACUUGCUCCUAAAAUCAGCUGGCAAACCAGACUCUCCUGAAAUGAGCAAUUUUGUCCAGAGGAAGCCAUUUAUCGACCGACGUCAUCAACAUCCUAGUUACGUAUUCAACAGCAUGCCAGAAUGUCCCCUAAUCAAUCUCUCCUCUUCCUCUAACAAGUCUUCAGCUUCUUUAGUUAAUUCCAAACCACAAUACCCCCUUCUGAUCCUUACACAACUCAAAACAGUUUUGGUGACUUCCGAAUAAAAUCCACUCUACCGUUUGCUUGGCUAUAGAUCCAGCGAUCUCACAGGGAUUAUCGGGUUCCUUUUUCAACAUUUCCAUCAAAACCAACACCUUCGACACCACUUUUGCUUCUCAGUGGCAAUUUCGAGAUCAUGGACCCUCUUGUCCUUGUUCCUAUCUUACACUCUCUUGCUGGUGGUCAUGAAUCUACGUUGUGACCAGUUAAGUAAAAUCUCAAGACAAAAACAUUCGAGAAGAUCGCCAUAAAAGAAAACACAUGCUCCGUGUUCAUUGCCUUUUACUGAAUCACUGAGUUACAAAUUUUAAGACGUGUGCCCAAACUAGUCACGAGCAAGUUCUUAGCAAGUCAUUCCGGAUAACUCAAUUAUUCAUUAAUAUUUUCUUAAUUCUAUGAGCAAUAAGCAUGCAGUUCAAACAUAAUGCAACUAAACCAAGUAUUGACCACAAUAUGGAUCGAUUCUUUUCCUUUUUUAAGCGGAACUUAAUUCAUUCUAAUUUAAGAAAAUUAUAAGCCGAACAGGAUUAAGAUAAAUAAAAAACCAAGCUAAAAAAAAAACUGAGUUAUUUAAUGUGAAAUAAAUAAAUAAAUCAAACCAAUAUUUUCCUCUCCCUCUUUAGGAGCGUAUCUGAUAAAUUCUUAAAACAUAUUCAUUAAACCUCAGUCAAACCUCAGAAUAACGAAACUCAGUCAAACCUCUUUUUCUUAAAAGAGAAAAAAGAAAAAUAAGCUGAGAGCCAUUCCCCCCCCCCCUUCCCGCCUCUCCGAUCGUUUCCAAAAUCUGCCAAAAAAAAAAAAUUCGAAAGUUUCUCCUCCUGCGCAGAGUGAAAUUCCAUGGUCGUCGUAGAUGCUUUUGUCUCUCAGGGGAGUUUCACGAAGCUCCGCUUGAUUUCACCUCAUGUCCUUUUCCGCGGGCACGAUCGCCGGCGAUGGUGAUUCUGAGUUUCGUCUUGUGUUCGCUCGUUGAUGUUCAGAGCCAAAGAGCAGAAGAUCGUGGAACGAGAGGACGUCGACGACGGAGCAGAAGACCUGCUCGAAACGAUCGACAAACAAACGUGAGUUACGGCAAAAACAGAGUGGAGGCAACUCCUCUCUGUUCAUAAUGCGUUUUCGUAAUGCGUUUCGGUGGCAUCCUUUGAUUCUGAGAUGAUUAUCGUGAUUUUCUGAUCCGUGUUCCGAAAGUUAAAAUUGAGAUGCAAAUGGUUCGAUGAAGCUGUGGCCGUGAUUAUCGUGAUUUACAUCUCGAGCUUUCUCUCGAACUUGCUGUGAUUUCCUGCGCGUGCAGUGGUUUUCACUUUUCAGUUUUUGUCUCCUGACCAUACAAGAGCAAUUCCAGCCUUCCUUAUGUUACGUGACCUUGGAAUUGCACCAUCGUACGUCUUAUUUUCCAUGUAUUCGUGACAUAGCUGGAUUAAUAACGAAUGUCCCAAGCUUAAUUCAUCGAUAAAGACUGUUGGAACGCUAGAUUGUCAUUGAUCAUUUAGGAAAUGCUUUUGUCCUGUCAUUCUACAUUCACCAGAAAACAUAGAGUUUAACACGAUGGUUAAGCUCGAGUCUUCGUUGAAGGACGAUUCUGAUUCGCUCAAAUCCAGCAAAGUGAAGAAUAAUGUGGAGAGAAUCGACAACUGGAAGCCAAGCCCUCGAUAAGCUUUUAGGCGGUAACAGACUUUCUUUUGCAGACUGUGUGUCUUUUUCUCCAUGCAUUUCAACGAAAACAAAUUUCACCGGUUUGGCAAUCUUGACAGGUGGUAUUGAAACUCUGGCAAGUACGGAAGCAUUUGGCGAACCUGGGUGAAAAUCACAGUCCAACAACGUUACCUUUGAUGAACUUUUAGUUGUUUUUGUUAAUUAGCUUUCUCAGAAAAAUGCUGCGGACGUCACUUCAGGUCUGGGAAAACACAGCUUGCAUGCACCCCAUGCGUUACUUCCCGGGUUGGUCUGAAUUGGAUAUUAGGUUUCUGUCUUGAACUUCUGUUGCAUUUGUUUUUUUUUUUUUUUUUUCCUGAUGAAAAAUGCCAAAUAGUAACAUAAUGAUUGAAUUUCUAUGGAGUAUAAAGAUGUGGGUAAUCUUGGCAUCAUGAUGCGUGUAUUAGGUGAUUCUGGAAGUAUGGCACUCUCAUUUUCUGUAAUCUGCAGUCAGUAUACUGGAACGCAUGUACAGUGGCUCAAACCAAGCAGGAAAAAGGCCAGAAGAGUUUGUACUAUGUCACAACCGAGUAAAAGCCUUAAUCAUAGUCGGACUCGGACUUGGGUUGAUCAUUAGUCGAAUGUGAUGCUUGAAGAUACUCUACUUUAUUUGCAAAUCCUACAACAGUAUUUACCCCUAUUUUCAAUCAUUCUUUAUUAAUGGUUUGUGGAUUCCAUGGCUGUAAAAUAUUUUCAGCUGCCAACUCACAUGAGAGGAGGAAAUGGCAAGGUAGCUUAUAUCGACGCAAGAGGAACUUUGUAUCCUAUUAUGAUCUGUCUGUAUUUUUCUUGACCUCUUGACAAAGAUACUUGUGUUUCUGAAUCGUAUGUAAGUGCAUGUGCACUUUCUUAACUUAGUACACCUGUAGUCUUAGAUAACGUAAGCAAUGCACUUUCAAUUUUAAUCAAAUUCUAGACAUAAACACGCUCCAUGUCCGUCACUCUUUACUAAAUCACCUAGUUACAAAUUUUAGGAUGUAUGCCAAUCUAGGUUUAGCACAACCAAAUCGGUCAUGAGUAAGUGCUUGGCAAGUCAUCGUGAAUAAACUUAAUUGUCGAUUGAUAUUUUCAUGAUUUCAUGAGCAAUCAGUGCGGAGUUUGAGCACAAUGCAAUUAAACCAGGAACUGACCUCAAUGCAGAUCGAUUAUUUUCCUUUUCUAAGAAGAAAUUUAUGCGGUCCAAUUUGAGAAAAUUAUAAACCAAGCGAGACGAAGGUGAGUACAAAAUUAAACCAAAUCGAACUAAAUUAUUCAGUCCGAAAUUAAAAAUAAAUAAUAAUAAUAAAAAAAAAAAAGAGGUCAUACCCAAUUUUCUCUCAUCCUCUUUAAGAGUGGAUUUAAAAAGAUUUUAAGAAUUUAUCAGAUCCAUUAAAGCUCAAUUUAUAAUAACAAAACUCCAUCAAACGUAAGUCAGGGCAAAACAAGGGCGUAGGCAACUGCUGUCUGUUCAUCUCAUCGCUUUCAGUUUCUCGUCGAUGUUCCGGUGCGUCGUUUGAUUCUGAAGUUGAUCAUCGUGAUUUUCUGGUCUCUGUUCUCAAGUUGACUGUAUAUCUCUUUGAAUGUCGAUGUUAAGUGACUCUGAAUACUGCUAAGUGCAUGAGCUUGAUUUCGGUUUCGGUUGCUCAGUUAAGCUCGAUUUUCCUGGAACAUCACCGUGAAUCCAUUGGCGUUUUUACAUCUCGGCCUUUCUCUCGAACUUGUCGCGAUUUUCUGCGCGUACGAUAGGUUUUAGUUUUUGUCUUCUGAUCAUCCAAGAGCAAUUCAGCCUUCGUUAUGUUACGUGACAUCCGCCGGAUGUCUUUUUUCCCGUGUAUUCGUGACGUAGCUGGAUUAAUAACGAAUAUCCUAAGCUAAUUUCAUCAAUAAUAUCUGUUGGAACGCUAGAUUGUCAGUGAUGAUCUAGGAAAUGCUUUUGUCCUGACAUUCUACAUUCACCAGAAAACUUAGUUUAACGCGAUGGUUAAGCUUGAGUCUUCAUUGGAGGACAAUUCUGGUUCGCUGAAAUCCAGCAAAGUGAAGAAUAAUGUGAAGAGAAAAUGAAAGACUAAGAUCGAACAGUAUCUCGAGCGUGUAAUGCGGAAAGCUGAUAUAUCUGCCGAGGAGGAUCUGAAAUUGGAAAGGAAGCUUGCCAAGAAGCUCAAGGUGAAGGAUGGACAGCUAUGUGGGUCAGACGAUGGAAUGAAUGUGUUAUUUCAAGGAAUUCCUUCUAUUCUUGAUUCUUUUGAACAAGAAGCGCCAGGGGUAAGAGAAAAUCGUAGCGAAAUAUUUGAAGGUAAAUCUUCAGGGGAAAAAAGUGAAAUGUCCAACUAAGAGCAUAUGCAGGAUGAUGGAAAAGCUGUUUAUGUUAAGGCUGGAGCCUGUGACUCAGGAGACUAGAAACCCCUUCAUUUCAGCUCUCAAUUGAGUUCAUGAGCUCCGCAAAUUUCAAUUCAUUUCCUUUUCAUGAUGUGAUUGCCAAGAAUGAUUCUGAGUUUCCAUUUGACUCCCUCUUGAACCUGUCGUGAUUUUCUGUGCAUACGAUAGUUUAAUUUUCUUUCCUUAAAUGACGAGAAGUAAUUUCCGCUACUACUUGAAUAUGAUACGUCUAAUUCACCUUUUUGACGUAUGUCUUCUAAAUCAUACAAGAGUAAUUUGGCCUUUGUUAUGUUACGUCACAUAGUAAUUGCACCAUCAGUACAUCUAUUAUCCACGUAUUUAUGGCAUAGAUGGAUUAAUAACGAAUCUCCUAAGCUAAAUUCGUCAACAAUCACUAUUGGAACACUUGACAUUCUACAUUCACCAGAAAAUAUAGAGUUAAACACGAUGGUGGGUUGUUUUUUUUUCGUUUGCAGGUAUUUCUCAGGGAAUCCAUGCUGGAGAUGUGAAAAAAGAUACAGGAUGCGGGGAUCGACACUUGCAAAUGUCUUGAUGAUGCAUACAGAGAAGGUAUAUCUGAUAUUCAGUUCCGAAAAUUAAGCGAAGGUAUUAUUUGGCUAAGGUGAUUUCCUGUGUCUUUGUUUUGUUUUUUUGUAGCACUUAACUAGAACCAAAGGUUUAUCUGAAGCAAAAGUUGAUAAGAUAUGCGAAUCAGCUGAAAAGAUAGUGGUUAGAGCUUAAUUUCUUCUUAUCCUGAGAUGGCGCCGUAAUCAAUUGCAACUUCUAUAUGCAUCUCACAAUAACUUCUCUUUGUUUUCAUCAGAAUUCUCAUUUUAUUACGGGAAUUGAAUCUAUGCUCAGAGCAAGUUAUGCUCAGAGUAAGUCCUUAAUUCGGCAAAUUUCGAGCUAAAAUGGUUCGGAAGACCUGAAUGAGUCAUUGACCCUUGAAAUAAAGCCUGCAAAUUAACAUAUCGACUGUAGAGAACUGCACUUGCUCCAAACCCUACUUGUCUCACAGCACAAAGUACUUUCAAUGUCUUCGUUUUUUCCAGAGCAAGUCGGUUAUUUGCAUCACAACUGGAAGCCAAGCCCUCAAUGAGCUUUUAGGCAGUAAUAGACUUUCUUUUGUAGAUUGUGUAUAUCAUUCUUCAUGCGUUUCCACAAAAACAACUUUCCCUGGUUCUGCGAUGUUAAACAGGUGGUACUGAAACUCACGCAAUUACAGAAGCAUUUGGCGUAUCUCGAUGACAAGCACAGUCCAAUAACGUUACCCUUGAUGAACUUUUAGUUGCUUUUGUUAGUUGGCUUUCUCAGAAAAUGCUGCUAACGUCACUUCAGGUCUGGGAAAACACAGCUUGCACAUACCCUGUUUGUGACUGCUCAGGUUGGUCACAAUUGCAUGUUAGGUUUUCGUCGUUAACUUCUAUUUCAUGUUAUGUUUCCUAGAUGAACAACAUAAAUAGCAAGAUAAUGAUUGAAUUUCUAGUAAAGAAUAAAGCUAUGGUUAAUAUUGGCAUCGGAACAUGUUUAUUAGGUGAUUCUGGAAGUUUGGCACUCUCAUCAUCUGUAAACGGCAAUCAGCAUACUGGAACACACAAUCUAUAGUGGUUCAAACCAAGUAGGAAAAGGCCAGGAGAGCGUACUAGGUCAUAACCAAUCAGAAGCCUUAGUCAUUGUCAGACUUGGACUUGGGUUGAUCAUCAGUUGAAUGGGAUGCUUGAAGUACUCUACUAUAUAUGCAAAUCCUACAACAUUAUUUUCCCUUCUUUCCAUCACUCUUCAUUAAAGCUGAUCCCGUUCCAUGAGAUGAUAUCUUAUGGUUUGUGGAUUCCACGAUCCUAAUAAUUUUAACAGCUGCCAACUCACGUGGGAGGGGCAAAUGGCAAGGUAGCAUACCUCGCCACAGAAAAAACUUUGUAUCCUAUUAUAAUCUGUUGGUCAUUUCCUUGACCUCAACAAAGCUGCUUUUGUUUCAUACUCGGCUUAUGUCCAUGUAAGUGCAUAUGCACUUUCUUAACUUGGUACACCUGCAGUUGCCAUGAUUGAAUUGUACAAAUAGCUGAAAGAUUUGGCAUGGAUCCUGGUGCCGUCACACGUAAUGGAAGCAAUGCUUUCUACACUGGUGGCAAUCUUUUCUGGCUAAUGUACUUGCUGUAAUCUAGUCUUUCCAUGAAUUUGAAGAUCAUUUAUGCCCGUGCCUCUACUUCUAAGCAUCUGUACAACUUCCUUCUCAGUUUGGCUGCCAAAGUGUCUGAAGAACCAUUUAGGUUCCUGGUAAGACAGUGCUCAAGAAUCAAACUGCACACAUUUUGUAAGGUGUCGAUGGUUGACCUUAGCUGAGUAAUAUCUUUCAGAUUGUGGAUUCAGUGAUCGCUCUCUUUCAAGUGGAAUAUAAUGGAAGGGGAGAACUUGCAGGGCGUCAGGUCGAUUCCGAAACCAUCAAAUCAUGCGAGUUGCAAAUUUUCAGCUCAUCUAGUUUGACACUAAUAGAUUUCCAAUUGCAGCAAACAUUGGCACAAAUGCUCUCACGCUUACUUAAGAUAGCCGAGGAAUUUAAUGUGGCAGUGUACAUGACCAAUCAAGGUACCGCAUCACAUCUCUUUUCUCCCACCUAGUCAUGCAUCCUUUAAAGGAUCUUAUCCAAUUUAGCUCUUUGAUGGUUGCACACUGAAAAAUAGCAAUUUGGUGACUACACUAAGCUCAUACUAGUUCUCAUAAAUCUCAAGAACCAGCUUUUUGGUGUAAACUAGUGAUGUGCACGGUAGCUGCAGUCCAUGAGUUAAGCAAAAAAGAUAAUUUUUUUGACAACUUUUUCUUUGAUUUCUUUGUUUCAGUGGCAUCAAAGAAGCAUGCAGGUGGGCAUGUUCUGGGUCAUGCAACCACAAUUAGGUUGAUGUUUACAAAUGGCAAAGGUGAGCAGUGGGUUUGCAAGGUGUUCAAAGCCCCAGACCUACCUAAAGCUGAAGCUAUAUCCUUUUUGUCUGGAUCUUCGUCUAGCUAUACACUUUAUUGAAAUUUACCAGAUUACACUGCAGACAUUAAACGAAAUUUCUAGAAAUCUAAUAUCAAUCGGAGAGAAAGUUGAUACUAAGUCUAUAUAUGGAUAGGUGGAGACUAGAAUUUGAGCAGUAUACUUGUAGUAUACUUACAUGCGCUGCCUGUGCUAUGGAAAUAAAAUACCCAACCAUUGAUGAUGCCAUACUGCAGAUCUUCCUCUAGUUAUAUACUUCGUUGAAAUUUUUCAGACCAUGCUGCAGAUACCAAGUAAAAUAUCUGGAAGUCUAGAUCAAAAUCUGUGAGAAAGUCGAUAAUUAGUCUAAAUAGGGAUAGGUGGAUACCUGAUUUAAGCAUGAUACUCACUUUAUACUUGAUGUUGCCUGGAGAUCCAUGAACAUGUUGAAUACGAAUUUUGUCCAGAGGAAUUAAACAAAAAGAAGUAGCUGUUGAGAAUUUUCCUCAGUAGGACCGGUAUGAUAUUUUUAGCUGUGCUGUUAUGUAGAUGAUGCACAUCUAUCAAGACCAUCACUUAAUUUAAUCAAAAAAUUUAGGAAGAGCUCAUCUAUCAAUAAGAUGAGACUGAGAUAUUCAAUAUAUGUUGAACUUGACAAACACAUGUUUUUCAGAUAACACCAGGAGGCAUCACCGAUGUGAAGGACUGAAGGAGUCUCUCCAACCAGGAGGGCAGGCGAAGUGCUUUUUUUUGUUAAUCUGCAAUUUGAUAUUAGUCAUCGUAUUGACCGCAAGAGGCAUAUAAUGAGCUCCCAAGAACUUGUUCAUUUCCUUUCUCUGCAAUGGACACUUUGUCACCCUUGUCAUAGCUUGUCCCUAAGUUUCAUGUGCUCGACAACAAACCAUUCAUGAAUGACAUGAGAUACUUUCUCUAACUGUGAUGGUGACCCAAAAGAUUUGUCAACUACAAUGUCACCUUUGUGUAUCAAAUGCAAAAUAUAUCAUAAGGGUAAGGCCGAAGUAUCCUUUCUGCUUCUUCUAUUUAUGUUUAGCCAAUUGAAUGCAACUAAUACAGCCUUAUAUGCUCUUAGGAACUUAAUCGAGCAUGGCAUGUCAUUGAAAGGUCAUAGGACUUCAUAAGAGAUGUAACCAAAAGAAAAUUAUUCUGUGUCAUUUCGAAUAACCUCAAAUGAAAUGAAAUUUAUCAAUCACUGUGUUUCGUCAUAAAGAAAAAUAAAAUAAAAUUCUCCACUGCAAUAUGUUUUUAACUACACAUAAUAGCAUAUGGGUUUAAGGUCAACAGUUUGUGGAUACCAUGGUUUUUAUGAGCCCGAGAAGAAUCUAGUCACAAUAUUUAAAAACUAAUUACCCAACAUCAUCUCCAUUGAGUUCACAAUAAUUUUCUUUUGAUAAUUAAAAAAACUUUGUUGAACUUUCUUACACGAGCAAUCUGGCUUUUGUUUAUGUUACACGACAUUCAAAUCGCACCAUUGCAGUAGCUGCAGUCCUUGAGUUAAGGAAAAAGAUGAUUUUUGAUGACUUUGUCUUUGAUUUAUUUAUUUCAGUCGUAGAUGAUCUAGGCGGUGCUGUGUUCAUAUCAGACCGAAAGAAACCUGCGGGUGGGGAUGUUCUGGCUCAUUUAGACACAAUUAGGUUGAUAUUUAGGAAAGGCAAAGCUGAGCAGCGCGUCUGCAAGUUGUUUAAGGCCCCAGACCUACCGAAAGCUGAAGCCAAGUCGAUACUGAGUCUACAUAUAGAUAGGUGGAGACCUGAUUUAAGCACGGUGCUCACAGUAUACUUGAUGGUGUAUGGAGAUCCAUGAACAUGUCGAAUACAAAUUUUGUGCAGAGUAAUUAAACAAAAAGAAGUGGAUAUCCAGAAUUUUUUUAAGCAGGACUAGUAAGUUAGUUGUGCAGCCUGUGCUAUGUAGACUGCACAUCUAUCAAAACCAUAACUUACUUAUGUAAGAAAUUUUAACGAGAGCUCAUAUGUCAAUAGGGUGAGAUCGACAAGCGCACGUUUUUCAGAUAACAACAGGGGCAUAGCCGAUGAGGACUGAAGAGGUCUCUCCUACCAAGAUGGCCAGGCGAAGUGCUUUUUUAUUUUAUCUUUUGGGUUAAUCUGCAAUUUGAUUUUAGUCAUCGUAUUGAUAGGUACCUCUAUCUCCAUGUUAAGUUUGUAUUGGCAGGCAUCAAGCUCCUUUUGACAGCUUUAAAAUUGCACGAGAGGUUACCGCUUUAGCCUUAAUAUCUAACAUGCUAUCAUUGUCUGUUAUUAAAGUUCACAUGACCCUUCACAAGGUGUUGUGUAAACUUGAUUUCCAUAUGAGAACCAGCACGCUCCAAGUUAUAAUGGUUCACAUUUGUUCUCAUAUGACAAUAUCGUCCUGGUUUGAUUUACUAGUAGAGGUUCUAUGCGGAAAAUAUUACAUUGGAUAGACUUUGCAUGACGGCUAAAUGAAAUGCCAGAAAGAUAUUACUGCACAAAGCAUGAUCAGGUUCUGUAAAGGCUUGGUUUUAUAAGUACAUAUACAGCUGCAUAAAAACGAUGUGAUCUCAAACUCUCAAUAUAGAGCAACGGACCAUUAGAGCUGAAAAAAUUGUCAAUGUAUGAGAAAGGGUGACUGGGUCAUAAGCAACAGAAGGCCAUUCAAUAGCUAAUGGCCUGACCAAAAGGGGCCACAAUGCAUAUGACUCGGCAGUGCAAGGACAAGUUCACAGCACUUCCAACUCUAGGCAUACUGGACUCCUUAGUCUCUGCACCACUUCAAAUGUAGCGCUUUGUACUCAGCCCAAGCUAUUCACCCUAGGAACUGGCUUCACCUCAUUCGGUGCAUGCUCGUAACUCCUCAAACAUUUAGAGCUGAUAAAGAAGCAUCAUGCGUUGGAAAGAAGGCAACAUUAACAGGUGAACGAUUUGGCACUCAAAAAUCACUGGAAGAGCAACAUUGUACGUGAAAAGGCACAUUUCAAUACAUGGAUACAGGUAAAGAACACCAUUUUAACCUUAGAUUAUAGAUUUAUGUUCGAAACCAAUUUUUCCAAAAUGCUGUUACCCAACAACAUAACAUUCUCCUCUGAACUCUGCUUAAUAUCAGCAGAGCUCAUCCAUCCUUACUUUUCAGAUUGCAAUGCAUGGACCAAAUUCCAGUGGAGCUGCAUCAACAAACUGAAAAAAUAAUUACCUUUAGGAAAUGGUGCGAAAGACUUCCCAAAGCCCAUCUUCACGACUUCUGCAUCAUCUGAGCGAACAAGACUGCCUCUAGAAUCAAUUCCCCAGGAGGAAGGAAAACUGCCAUAACAUCCUGAAUGAUUCAGAGGACAGAAAGGAUUAGAUAUAGAUCACAGGUGGAGGGAGAGAUUGAGAGCGAUAUCCCAGAACGAAACCAAUGAACAUUAUUGUUACUCACACAGGCCAGACAAGGGGUUUUAGAAGUGCUGUCGAAGAGCACAAAACCAAACUUCCUGCUGAUGUCUCUCACGACUUGAUCAGCAGAGUAGGCCUCCGAUCCCUCAGAGUUCAAUAAGCUUCUACGACGAUAAUGACCUCAUUAGCGGUUUUUUUCCAUCCAUAUUGCUGCUUAAGAAGAGCAACAUUGGCUCUGUCCUUGGAACAAGAAACCGCAAACAAUCUGUCACAGAGGGUAAGGCAUGUCAAAUCUCGAUGUGGGACAAGCUGAUUGAGAAGAGAAGACAGUACGGCAAUUUCCGUCAAUUAACAAUCCAAUAAAUUUCAUUUUCUGGCUUUCAAAAUGAACCAGAGACUCGAGUUCCACUAUCUCCUUUAGGCUGACAAAUGGAACCUUUCAUGGUAUCACAGUAAAGUCCAACAAAAAUCAGUUUGAUCUAACCGUUGCCUCUCUAAAUAAUGAAAUCACGAUUAUUUUUUUCUUUUUUGGUGGUUAAAGCUACCUUUAUCAAGAGAUGGAGUGGGAAUUUGAAUAGAAGAAAGAGAAACUUUAUUCUUUGACCAGGUAAUCAGUUUUUACAUGGGUUUCGGCCAACAUAAUUCAUUCAAAAUUUAGCUGUUUCAUUCACAUAUCCAAACCUCUGUUUUAAAUUUAUCCUUCCAUCUAUACAAUAACUGUUAUGGGAAGAAAGAGAGCUUCUUAUUUUGAAUAUUGACCUGUAAAUGUUAAAAGGAUAUCAUCUAACCAAUUCACAUAUAGAAAUUCACAUUGUAUUUUGUGGCUCCUACAAUAUAGUCACUAAAGCAAUUCUGUACUUAGAGUCAAAAGUACAACUUUUUAACCUAUUGGCAAGUGAUACUGCAUAUUCAAUGUUAAAAACUUAAGACUCGUCCUUCCAUGAGCCCCAAUCAAAAUGACAAACGAGGGCUGCCGUUACUGUGAGUACAUCAUGUAUAUCAGCAGCAAUCCUCUCUUCAUCCUUUUUGGCUUUCUCUAUGUAACAAAGCCUCAUUUUAUGUUUUAUAAGGUAAUGUGAUGUGAUCUCAUUGAACCACUCUUGGCUGAUGACAAGAACUAAACUCACCUGAUUCGACGAGGACUGAAGUAUCUUAUUAUCAUCUUGGAAAUUCCCACAGAAAGGCGCCACCUUGCCUUGAGAAACCACCCAAAGCUUGUCCAUGCUUCCAGAUAUUGGAUGCUCAUCGUGACUAACCUGCAAAUCAAGGUGAAAAGAUGGCUAUUAGCUGUAAAGACAAUCCAUCAUUGGUCAAAUUGAAGUAUUCUAGCAAAAAAAUCAAUCUCACCAUCAGACAUCUUCCUUGGAACAAGACCAGCCCUCAAAUGAGCGCCUCAACCGCAUCCAAAUCCUGCAGUUUGGGAUAGUAAAAAACACAGAAUCAUACUCAUCAAUCCUUAGACAAGAAACUAGCAAUUUAGAAAGAUAGAACUUUAGUAGUCAUAGGUCAUUAAAGUAGAACUUAAAGUCGCUUUGGUGCAAGUGGAUCCACUCCACGUUCCUUAAAAGGAAGAACUUCUGGGUGGUUAAGCAGCCGACCUGUUGCUCUUGGGCCUGGAAGAAAAUUUUACAACUCAGAGUAGAAGUCCGGCUCAGUUUCUGGUGCAGAAUUGGGGAUGGCCUUUCUACGUCACUUUGGUUUGAUAACUGGCAUCCUAGGGGGCCGCUGAAUUGGGUUUUCUUGGAUGUGUUAAUCUAUAACUCUGGCCUUUCUAGAGAGACUUCAGUUGUAGACCUCUAUGUGGAGGAUGGGCAGGCUUUAAGGUCGGUGUUGGAGUCGUGGGAGAUUCCCCUCCCCUCCCUCUCUCUUAACCAAGGUUGCUUUUGCUGGAAGGAUAAUCCGGCAGGGUUCAUGGUGGCCAUGGCCUGGGAGGCCUUUAGGAGGAAGAAGCCCCGAAUUUUAUGGCAUCGUUUCAUUUGGAACAAUGCCAUUACACCCAGGUACCAAUUUCACCUUUGGCUUGUCGCCAAGCAUAGGUUUCCCACCCAAGCUUUCCUCCUCUCUUAUGGAAGGAUUGAUACUACUUUUUGCCCCUUCUGUGAGGAGGUGCCUGACUCUAUUGACCAUCUAUUUUUUGAGUGUCGGGUCACGGCUAAUUUGGCUUUCUUUUGGGCAACCAGAUGUAACCUUCCGUGGCGAAACCGGUCUUGGAAUGAAAAUCUCCUCUAGGCCACAACCUUUCUUGUGGGCAACGACUUCUUCAAAAGCAUGGCGCGGUUUUCUUUUGGCACUCUCUGUCAUAUCAUUUGGAGGAAUAGGAACAAUAUUCUCUUUAGAGAGGAGCCGCUGUCCAUUCCGGCCAUGAAGAAUCAUCUCCUCAAAGUGGUCAAAGAUAAGGCACUCUCUUUCAAGGAUGUGGAAGAUUCCUUCAGGAAUAGGAGACUACAACGCAGUUGGGACCUGAAUCCGAGUAUCUUUGCUCCGCGCGUUCUCCUCUCGGGUGACUAGCCGUCUCUAGAUCGACUGAUGUUGGUCUUUGUGUCGUCGUGCUUGUCUGGCGGUUGUUCAUGCCGUCUGGGUCUCUUUCUUUUCUUUUCUUGCUCUUGCCGCUUGGCCUCUUUCUCGGCUUCCUUCCACUCAUAAUGAAGCCGUUCAUCUCGAGUGCAAGUUUAUGAAGACGGUUCGUUUUGUACUGUUUGGUCUUCCCCAUUUAUAUAUUGCUUAUUUUACCAAAAAAAAAAAAACAAAGAAAUUUCCACGUUAAUUAUGUGCAAAACCCAAUGCUGCCUAUAGGAUAUUGGAACUACUUGGUAUUGCAGAUUACUGCAAUACAAAAAACACCGAUCAUGCUAGCAUACAUGUUCAAUUCCCAAUAUUUUGCCAGUUGGAACAAUUAGAUUGGUUAUGUUCCAUUAUAAGUUAGAUGUAAGAUGGCAGAGGCUCCCUGUUGUGAUCACUAAUUGGUUCCAUUGUAUUUUCAAUGCAAAGACCAGAUUCCUAUAAGUUCAAAUAGUGCAAGAACAAUAUAACAAGCUAACUGAAAAAGUCAUCGAAGUCACAAAAUGGAGAAAAAUGAGUAAAACUUAGCAGAUGAUCGGAUGGCUUGCAAGCCAAAACUAUGUGAGGUUUCUCAAAAGUUAUCUUGGCAAAUGCAACUUUCUGACCACCUAUUUAUAUGGGCAAAGAACCAUGUUAUAUGUGCAAUAACAUUCAAAAAGCCUCAGAGAAAGUAGAAUGAACCGCAAUUUAGAUUACAAAUUAACUCACCUCUAAAAGAGCUUCACGAUCUCACACAAAAAUUGCUUCAAUAAAAAAUUUACAUAUGCAACAGUAACAGAGAGGGAGGAGAUGUAUCAUACAAGGUUUGCAUUCGUCGAACUGCAAGAUUUCCAGUUACACCAAACAAACACAAGUAAGCUCGAAACUUUUGUUCUGGAACUCCCCGCACGAAAAAUGCCACAUAAGAAGGUAUUUUCAAUAAAAUAACAUAAUGUAAGACAAAAUAAUAUUCCACAUUAGAGUAAACGCACAUGACUGAUACUUUAAAGAACUGAAUAGUUUUGCCCCAAAGGUCACUGCUGACAACACAAUCACAGAAGCAGGUAGCAUAUCAUUUCAAUCUCAACCAAACAAGCAUAAGUAGUUUGGCUAAAAAUUUCUUGCAAGCUUUUAGUAAUAGUUCCUAACCCACCAGAGAUCAAGACCCAAGCGGAAGGUGAUUUAUGGAAUAUCAAUGCUGUCACGAAUUGGCGUGGCAUUGAAAGGUUGGAGCCAUGAGGCGCCCCAGAAUUUUAUCCCAGAUUGACUGGUUAAUACUACAAAGGAUCAUCAUCAACAAAAAGAAGGUUCUCAAUGAUAAAGGAAACCAUUGAAAAAAGAAAAGAAAAGGAAGUGCAUCCCUUUUCUUCACAAUCAUAUCACAGCAUCCACAUAACUAAUCAUGUUUUUAGAUUUUAGAAAAGAUUAUUCUUAUUUAGAUCGUAUUCACUAGAAGAAAAUUUAGAACAUCUCAAUGCACCAUAUAAAAUUAAACGCUUCUUUUUUCUAUUAUUAAAUUGCAAAAGGUGACACUUAACAUUGACAGCAUUAGCCCCACCUCAACAGCAUUCGCAAGUGAUCCUUCCAAGAGAUUUUGCCAAUACAAAUCACAGUGGUAUCUGCAAAGCAACCACAGUGAACAAGCUUAAGGGCAGAAGAAAAAGAAGUUGGGAAGAGAAAAUACAACAAACGCUGAAAAGCAUAGUGCAUUUUGAUUCACAAUUUGUUUGGCGGGUCACGCAAGUGCAAAAAUAAGCACAGUUUUUGGGCAUCAAGAAGAGUUCAAGAUAUGUCAUCAAUAUAGCAAGAUGCAGCUUUGUGAACAGUUCGUUCUACAUAUGUCAAUCUUUCACCUUCAGUGGCUGGUUUUCGAAAAUCUAUGUGAAAAGUCUAAAUGAGGAAAAUCAGUUCGUAUCAAGCAUCGAAUUUAGGAAUUGGCUUCACCUCCUUCGGUGGGUGCUCAUAACUCCUCAAACCUCUAGAGCUGGUGAAGCAGCAUCCUGAGUUGGAAGAGAAGGCAAUGUUAAAAAGGUGAACAAUUUGGCGCUCAAAAACCAUUGGAAGAGCAACAUUGUAAGUGAAAAUGCACAAAUCAAACAUGCAUACAGGUAAAGAGCACCAUUUUAACCAUAAAUUAUAAAUUUAGGUUUGGAACCAAUUUUUCCAAUAUGAUGUUACCCAACAAAAUAACAUUCUCCUCUCAAUUCUGCUUAAUAUCAGCAGAGCUCAUCCAUCCUUACUUUUCAUAUUGCAAUGCAUGGACUGAACCCCAGUGGAGCCGCAUCAACAAACCGAAAAAAUAAUUACCUUUAGGGAAUGGUGCGAAAGAUUUCCCAAAGCCCAUCUUCACGACUUCUGCAUUAUCCAAGAGAACAAGACUGCCUCCAGAAUCAAGUCCCCAGAAGAAAGGAACACUUCCAUCAACAUCCUGCAUGAUUCAGAGAACAGAAAGGAUUAGAUAUAGAUCACAGGUGACGGGAGAGAUUGAGAGUUAUAUCCCAGAACCAAACCAAUGGACAUUAUUAUUACUCAGAGGCCAGAAAAGCGGUUUUAGAACAGCUGUCGAAGAGCACAAAACCAAGCUUCCUGCUGAUGUCUCUCACAACUUGAUCAGCAGGGUAAGGCCUUCGAUCCCCAGAGUCCUAUAAGCUUCUAUGAUGAUGACGACCACAUUAGCAGUUUUGUUCCAUCCAUAUUGCUGCUUAAGAAGAGCAACAUUGUCUAUGUGUCCUGUGUCCUUGGAACAAGCAGAAGAUAUUAUCGACAACCGCAAACAAUUUGCCACAGAGGGUAAGGCAUGUCAAAUCUUGAUGUGGGAUGAGCUGAUAAAGAAGAGAAGACAGUACCACAAUUUCCAUCAAUUAACAAUCCAAUAAAUUUCAUUUUCUGGCUUUCAAAUGAACUAGAGACUUGAGUUCCACUAUCUCUUUGAGGCUGAUAUAUGGAACCUUUCAAAAUAUCACAAUAAAGUCCACCAAAAAUCAGUUUGAUCUAACCGUUGCCUCUCCAAACAAUGAAAUCAUGAUUUUUUUUUUUGGUUAAAGCUACCAUUAUCAAGAGAUGGAGUGGGUAUUUGAAUAGAAGAAAGAUAAACUUUAUUCUUUGACCAGGUAAUCAGUUUUUAAGUGGGUUUCGGCCUGCAUGGUUCGUUCAAAAUUUAGCUGUUUCAUUUGCAUAUUCAAACCCCCGUUUUCAAUUUAUCCUUCCAUCUAUACAAUAACUGUUAUUAGAAGAAAGAAAGCUUCUUAUUUUGAAUAUUGACCUGAACGUGUUAAAAGGAUAUUAUCCAACCCAUUCACAUACAGGAUUUCAUAUAGUAUUUUUGGCUAGGCAUGGUCUACAAUAUAGUUACUAAAAGCAAUUCUGUACAUAGAGUCAAAAGUACAAACUUUUUAAGAUAUUGGCAAGUGAUACUGCAUAUUCAAUGUUAAAAACUUAAGACUCAUCCUUCCAUGAGCCCUAAUCAAAUGACAAACAAGGGCUGCUGUUACCGUGAGUACAUCCUAUAUAUCAGCAGCAAUCCUCUCUUCAUCCUUUUUCGCUCUCUCCGUAACAAAGCCUCAUUUUAUGUUUUGUAAGGUAAUGUGAUGUGAUCCCAUUGAACCACUCUUGGCUGAUGACAAACUAAACUUGCCUGAUUCAACGAGGACUGAAGUAUCUUCUUAUGAUCCUGGAAAUUCCCAUGGAAAGGCGCCAGCUUGCCUUGAGAAACCACCCAGAGCUCGUCCAUGCUUCCAGAUAUUGGAUGCUCAUUGUGACUACCCUGCAAAUCAAGGUGAAAAGAUGGCUAUUAGCUGUAAAGACGAUCCAUCAUUGGUCAAAUUAAAGUAUUUUGACAAGAAAAUCAAUCUUGCCAUCAGACAUCUUCCUUGGAACAAGACCAGACCUUGAAUGAGCGCCUCAACCGCAUCCAUAUCCUGCAGUUUGGGAUAGUAAAAAUCACAGAAUCAUACUCAACAAUCCUUAGAAAAGAAACUAGCAAUUUACAAAGAUAAAACUUUAGUAGUCAUAGGUCAUUAAAGCAGAACUUAAAGUCCACAUUUAUAAACAAAGAAAUUUCACAUUAAUUAUGUGCAAAACCCAAUGCUCCCUAUAGGAUAUUGGAAAUACUUGGUGUAUAGAUUACUGCAAGACAAAAACACUGAUCAUGCUAGCAUACAUGUUCGAUUCCCAAUAUUUUGCCAGUUGGAACAAUUAGAUUGGUUCUGUUCCAUUAUAAGUUAGAUGUAAGAUGGCAGAGGCUCCCUGUUGUGAUCACUAAUUGGUUCCAUUGUAUUUUCAAUGUAAAGACCAGAUUCCUAUAAGUUCAAUUACUGCAAGAACAAUAUAACAAGCUAACUGAAAAAGUCAUCGAAGUCACAAAAUGGAGAAAAAUGAGCAAAGCUUACCAGAUGCAACAGUAGCAUAGAGGGAGGAGAUGUAUCAGACAAGGUUUGCAUUCGUCAAAGUGCAAGAUUUCCAGUUACACCAAACAAGCACCAGUGAGCUUGAAACUUUUGUUUCGGAACUCCCUAUAGGAAGAAUGCCACAUAAGAAGGAAUAUUCAAAUAAAAUAACAUUGUGAAUAUUGACAGUGCACCUAAUUCUUUCCUCUUGCAAUCAAAAGGCAAUCACAUUGAAGUACUCUCUUCUCUCACAAACUUUGCACAAUCGCAAAUUGCCCUCGCCAACAGCUUUGGUGAAAAUAUCCAUAAGAUAUCACCAUGGCAAAGCAAGACUACCAAACACAACAAUCAUCAGUAUGGCCAAUUGAAGUCACAGAACAAGAAGAAUCUAAGCUGAGAGUGGAUACAAGAGAAACCGAUUCCACACGAGGUCCACAACAUAAGACUUCACAUCGGUAGCGAUUGAUUUAGUCAUCAAGAGAAAUGACAACAAUGACUACCGCUUCAUUCAUUCAUUCUGCCUCACACAGCACACAUUUCUUUUGCAGGCGUUGUCGUCGACAAGAGACGAAGAACAUAUCAAUUGUCAACCAAACAAAAUGUGCAGGACAACCUUGGUGAGAUCAAAAUGGAGAAGUCACAAAUACGACCUCUUUUAAUUUAAAAACAUUUACUCGAUUGCUUAAGGCGGUGCUCAAGAUUGGCAAAAGGAUUUUACCUGAGAACCCCUGCAGAANNNNNNNNNNNNNNNNNNNNNNNNNNNNNNNNNNNNNNNNNNNNNNNNNNNNNNNNNNNNNNNNNNNNNNNNNNNNNNNNNNNNNNNNNNNNNNNNNNNNAUACCCUUGGGAAAUCAAAUCGCUGGAUGAGACGAAGUACGAAUUUUUCCUAAUUUUUUCUCGCACUCUUCGGAAUGAAGCUAUGCACCCAAACCAUUCAGCGAUUUUUUUCAUGUCCCUCCCCAAAUCAAAUCAAGUAUGGAAACACGAUAUCCGAAAAUUAUAAAUGCAAAAAUCUGGGAAACAAGGUCCCACAUACCUUCAGUGAAGAAAAUUAGGGCUAGAUCUACCAUUCAAAUGAUAUGUGCGGGAUAUGAGCGAUCUUGUCCCAGUCCUCGCCUGCUUGUCUUUUGCAACUCUCCCACAAUUCUCCGCAAUUGUAGAUGAGUAGGUGAGUAAGGGAUGUGAGCCUUCGCAUUGCUUCAGGGAAUGAUGUCAACGAGGAGCACUUGAUGAUGUCGAGAUUUUGAAGUGAUUGAAGGUCCUCGAUCUGCUCUGGUAUAUCCUUCAAAUUGUAGCAAUUCCAAAUAAGGAGACGCUCGAGAUUGCGGGCCUGUAGAAGCCAGUGUGGGAGAGAUGUCGGUUUGGGAAGGAGCUUUAUUCUCACGGAGCGGAGACUCGGAAGGCCUCCAUGGAAAUCCAAGAUGUUGCCGCUUUCGUCUUUGGAUAUAUCCAGCGCCUCACAAUCCUUGAAACGGAGAUCCACGAGGCUCGAUAGAUGUCGCAUACCUUGCGAGAGGGAAGUCAACUGAUGACAACCACCGAUGCUAAGAGAUUCAAGGGAAGUGAGACUUUGGAAGCCCUCCUCAGGCAAACAUUCUAAAAACUUUAUAUCGUAGAUAUUCAAUCUCUUCAACUUAUUAAGGCCAAGCAUCAUCUGAUUUAUCAACGCCGCUCCGUUGGCACGUGUCAGAUCUAACUCCUCGAGAUGAGGAGUUAGUGGCAUGGCUUUUAAUUUUUCACAGUACUCGAUCUUCAAUCGCAAUAGACUAGGAAAUGAUGCUGGUGAAGGGGAUGAUUGGUCCGACUCAAUAUAUUCCAAUUUAGGCAANNNNNNNNNNNNNNNNNNNNNNNNNNNNNNNNNNNNNNNNNNNNNNNNNNNNNNNNNNNNNNNNNNNNNNNNNNNNNNNNNNNNNNNNNNNNNNNNNNNNNNNNNNNNNNNNNNNNNNNNNNNNNNNNNNNNNNNNNNNNNNNNNNNNNNNNNNNNNNNNNNNNNNNNNNNNNNNNNNNNNNNNNNNNNNNNNNNNNNNNNNNNNNNNNNNNNNNNNNNNNNNNNNNNNNNNNNNNNNNNNNNNNNNNNNNNNNNNNNNNNNNNNNNNNNNNNNNNNNNNNNNNNNNNNNNNNNNNNNNNNNNNNNNNNNNNNNNNNNNNNNNNNNNNNNNNNNNNNNNNNNNNNNNNNNNNNNNNNNNNNNNNNNNNNNNNNNNNNNNNNNNNNNNNNNNNNNNNNNNNNNNNNNNNNNNNNNNNNNNNNNNNNNNNNNNNNNNNNNNNNNNNNNNNNNNNNNNNNNNNNNNNNNNNNNNNNNNNNNNNNNNNNNNNNNNNNNNNNNNNNNNNNNNNNNNNNNNNNNNNNNNNNNNNNNNNNNNNNNNNNNNNNNNNNNNNNNNNNNNNNNNNNNAACAGUGGUAGAGAUUAAGUAUUUGCAAGCUUUGCAAUCUCGUAAUGGAGUUAGGAAGCCUUCUGAGUGUUUGCUGUAAGAGAGAUCGAGAUAUGUGAGAUACUUCAACUCACAAAUGGACCUUGGCACCUUCUCGACCUCUAUGGCAUGUAGAUCCAAGAUGCGCAACCUCUUGAAAUUUUGAAUUAAUUGUUGUAGGUCUACUUCACUUGUUAGAUUGCUUCCCCAAUCUCCAAUAGUACACAAAAACGUUCUCAAUACACUUGGUUUCAAGCGUGAGAUUGGAAGUUCACCCAUUAAAUUGAAAGUCGAACCAUAGGAUAUAUGACGAGUUCUUUCAUUUAUUUGAUUUGUGUCAUCCCUUGCCGCCCAACACUUGUUCCCUGCAACCGAGUAGGCUAGAUCAUGCAUCAAAUCAUGCAUCUUGCAAGUUUCCUCAUUUGUGUAUGGAUCUUUUUUAAAAUCUUGGAAGAAGUUACUCCAACAUAGAUCCAUGAAAUAUUCAUGAGCAAUGUCUUCUAAAAGCUCACCUGAAUUUGAUGGCUGGAUAAAUCCUUCUGCCAUCCAAAGAUAGAGUAAAGUAUGCUUCUUUAUCUCAAAAUCUUUGGGAAACAAUGAACAAAAGGCAAAACAUUGUCUCAAAUGUGAAGGAAGUUCGUCAUAACUUAGCCUAAGAAUAGAUAUUAUAUGGUCUUCCCUUUGAGACACUUUUGGGAGCUCAACAUCUUUGAAAUGUAACCAUCCAUCUUUAGUUUCCUUAAAGAAUAAUAACCUCCCAAUAGUUCGAACAAUCAAUGGAACUCUAGAACACUUUCUAACUAUCUCUUUACCAAUAGCUAGCAUGCUAGGAUCUUGUCUGGCCCCUUCUUUUCGACCAGCCAUUCGCAUCAACAAAUCAAGAGAAUCACUUUCAGAUAAGCCCUUAAGAAGAAGAGGCGAAGCAGGGGAGGUGAUCUUUGCAACCAAAGGAAGGCGUGUAGUUAUAAGGAUCUUGCUUCCUCUAGCACCUCCCAUCAAUAAUGAUUUCAAGUUGUGCCAUGUUUCUGAUUUUGCAUCCCAAAAAUCAUCCAAAACUAAGAGAUAUCUCCUUCCAUCAAUUAUUUUCCUCAGUUCAAUUUGCAACCUAUCCAUCACAUUGUAGUUUGGUGGUUCUUUCUUCUCCACACAAACUAUGAUAUCUUUCACUAUUUUUAUCAUGUCAAAGUCAUUAGAAACACAAACCCACAUUUUCAAGUCAAAAUGUUUACUGAUCAUCUCAUCAUUAUACACAAAUUUAGCAAGAGCUGUUUUUCCAAGCCCCCCAAUACCAACUAUUGGAAGGAUAGAAACGUUCUCUUUCACAUCCAUGUCCAGUAAGAAUUUCAUGACAUUCUUUUUAUCAUUACCUCUUCCAAUAAUGUCUUCCUCACCUCCUCUCUCUUCCUCCGCCCUCUCUCUCUUCCUCCCGCCCUCUCGGUCCCUUGCCCAAGUGGAAAGUUCUUUUCAGCCUCAAUAUCUUUCAAUCUCUCCCUCACUUCUCUUAUUUUUCUACUCAUCUUCAGUUCAAAGCAAGCUGGUUUANNNNNNNNNNNNNNNNNNNNNNNNNNNNNNNNNNNNNNNNNNNNNNNNNNNNNNNNNNNNNNNNNNNNNNNNNNNNNNNNNNNNNNNNNNNNNNNNNNNNNNNNNNNNNNNNNNNNNNNNNNNNNNNNNNNNNNNNNNNNNNNNNNNNNNNNNNNNNNNNNNNNNNNNNNNNNNNNNNNNNNNNNNNNNNNNNNNUGGUGACGGUGCUCUCGAGCGCCUGAAGUUCACGCUUGAUGCCCCCUAAAUUUCCAACCUUUCCCAGUGCUUGAGUAAUCAGAUUGGCAAGGACGCUUCCACCAAUGCUGAUGACAGCUUCUGUCAUAUUUGUUCUCUCUAUCUCUCUUUCUCUAUGGGGUUGAGAAGAUUUUAGUCCUGUCGUUCCGAGGCUAGCGUCUUCUUAGAUGAUGUAUAAAAAGUCUGUCCUUGAGAUUAAAUGAGUGUACAAUAAUAGUAGAUAAUAGAAAAUAUUUAACUGACAAGCAGUAAUUCCAAAGCAUCCUAUGUCAUGUAAGAUUCCAUCCCAUCUAAUAAGUAAGGCGAGUUCCUAUUCAUACAUUCUUCUAGAAACAUUAUGUUAGAUUAUCUUAGAUUGAUUAAGUUUUUUUUUCUACCAUACCAUUAAGUAAUAUGUCUAAUUAACAUUAAGGAAAUUGGGAGGUAAUUGAGUGAUGAUGUGGUUCGACCGUUAAGCUCCAUUUUGCUGGACUUUCUUCUUAGUUUGGUUUUAAUAUAUGAUGCGUAAUAAAUUAAAACAAAACAAGGUAAUCACAAUGAUCAUAGGCUUUUUAAAAAAUAAAAUUAAUUUUGUGCUUUCUUAUGUAAAAUUCAAAAUGUUAUUUAAAUAUAAAAAGUCAUUAUUCAAAUUACAUAUUAAUGUUUACGUGUUGUGAAAAUUUCAUAUGUUUAAAGACAAAAUAAUGUAAAAUGUAGACUGAGACAACAUUAGAAGAAACAAAAAUAAAAUGUAAAAAUCUAUCAAGACAAGCCAUGAGCUAAGUUGGUGAUGCUCUUGAAAUCCGCUAGAGGUGUUGGACCAUGUCGUUGUCCUUUGUACUUGUUAUCUUUUCUUUUUUCCUUACUUUUUCUCUUUUUGGGCGAACAGAAAGUGUAAGGUAACAUGAUGUUGAAGCAAAGCCACAAUUUUUCACUUCAUUGGCCGACAAAAUGAGAAUCAGAAUCCACUUACAAGGGCUACACUACAUCCACCACAAUCUGCUCAAGCCCGGAAACCAUCUCAUUGCAGCUUAGAAAGUUAUCAUAGCUGUCUCGACAAGGGCAGCAGCAUAGGGAAUGCCCCGAUGGAUGCCCACUCUCUAGUGUUCAGUGGACAAGAUUAGCUUAUGCUCGGUGAUAAAAUGUUGUACUUUGCAAGACCGUACGUGUCAGAGAACAAGACAAAUGAAGAUAUUGAGUCUUAAGGUCUAGCGUCCCUGUCAAUUUGUGCACAAUCUCUUUUGAACUCUUUACCAAGCCCCUUUUCUUAUUAGUGUUGAACUCAAGUUCUUCUAAAUCACAUCCAACAAGUAAGAUAAAUGUGUUCCAAUAUAUGACCUAUUCCACACGAAGAAAAAGUACAUAAAAUGGCGAUCAUUUUGAAUCAGGUCCAAAUUUAUGAGUAAUAGCACGAGUCUUAACAUGAUCCUAAAUAUUUCACGAAACAUUUGGCAAGAUGCUUGAGAUCUUUAAUAAGGAUAGCAGGUGUUGCACGUUCUUAUUCACUUAUAAUCACAAUUAGUUGUUGUAUUUGGUCACUUCCCCUUCCAUGUUAGUUGCAUGUUCAUAAUUUCUAUGGAUGCCGAUUCAAUUAUAUUUAAUUCCAUUUCUUUCUAACCGCCCCUUGCUCUGCCAGGAUUUUCAAAAGAAAUCAUGUGACUCUUAGUAUGUACGUAGCGAGUAAUUUUUCAUGUGACCAGUAACUUUUUACAAGAUAUUCGACUUCCAAUAUAUAAAUAAAUACUCACCUAUUUACAUUAUUAAUAAUUUUUUACAUAAAAGGUAACCUAUCUACAUUGAUUCUUAUCGUCCCAUGUAUUUUUUUUUAAAAAGGACAAGUUUGAAAAAAAAUUGAUGCUUUUUGCAACGUAACAGUAAAUCUUAAUUUGUAAGACCAAAAAUUUACAUGAAGUUUGUAACCUAUUCAUGGGAUGAGUAAGUUUUGCUUUAAAAAAGUAAUUACCACCGACCCUGUUUAAUAAAAGAAAAUAUAGGAAUUGACAAACAAUAUGUAAGCCGCCCACGGUCUAGAAAGUGAAAAUUAAAGUUUUUUUUUUUCUCAGCAGCUGUAAAUGAAAAUUUCUCCCAAGGGGGCUAAAGAACAAAUGAGCCCGGCUUUUUUCUGAUGAUGCCCAUUUUCCUAGUUUCAUCACAUGCUUUCCUUAGAAAACAGUGCACGUCCACAUGCUUUCCUUAGAAAACAGUGCACGUUCACCUGCUUAGAAAACAGUGCAUGUCCACAUGCUUUCCUUAGAAAACAGUGCACGUUCACAUGCUUUCCUUUUAAUACGGUGCCGGUUCACAUGCAUGCCUCAGUUGUUUUGUAGUAAACACCGGAGUAUUAAGAUUAAUAUAACUUGGAUCUUGAGAAGACGGAAAAUUAUCAUAGCUGCGGGGGCAACUUAAAAUCUAACUUCACAUGGUAAAAAAAAUUUAUGUUAAUGAAUUUCCGCUUUUGUCCGAAUAAAAAACUGAAGAAAAGAUUAUGAAGUAUAAAUUGUGAAUGAAGUAGUAUGAAACCUUUGUGUGCAAAAAAGAAAUUGCAGAUUGGUAUAGAAGUACGAUGUGCAGUGGGAUGACAAAAAAGCAAGCUGAUGAGGAUGCUUUUCAACUUUAGAUUUUAAUAUGCGGAAUGGUAGAACGGCUCUUAAAGUUGGCUAAUCUUCUCUUGUGAAUUCCAUUUAGAAUUGGAAAUUGGGACAUGUUACAUCUUCUUAUGUGCCCAAUUUGAAGAAGGUUAAAUAUCCUAAAUAUGAAAAUCUUUACACCAUAUAAAUCAUAUUUCUAAAUCCAAAUAAAAGACGUCGAUAGUUUCCCUAAACAUUCUUUGUUUCAUCAAUCUAUUCAUUUUCAGAAAAGCUCUCUGGUUAGUCGCUAUAAGAAAGAACGAACCUGGCUAAUAGUGGGCUGAUCGACGGCCGACCAACAAAGGCGAGGCCCCAACCGGCCAGAUCAAGAGAGGAGGACAGGAGACGGUGUCAGCAAGAUCAAGAGAGAGAUGAGAUGAGACAAGACGGCAUGGGCAAAGACUCCAGGAAUAGAGAGAUCAAUGGCAUUGCUGGGGAAAGUCGAGAGACGAAGAGUCUGAGAGAGAGGCUAGCAAUGGGAGUGGGAACUAAAAGAGAGUAGCGAGGGUCUUUAAAUAUAAAAGAUUUAGCACUGUUUUGAAGUGUUCCAAACCAGUUCUUCCAAAGGCUGGUUCCCAAGAUGUUUACAUGAGAGCUAACCAAAAGUUGUUGGGGUCAGUGAAUUUGAAACGUGGCAGCACAUGGCAGAGCGUGAUGUGCCGCAGCGAACGAGGCUGAAAUUCAGGGCCUAUCACUUUUGAGGGUGGCGAGUUUGAUGAUGGUGUCGAUUUUACAAAAGAUUCUUAAGACAAAAGCAUUCGAACAUCAUCUCUCUGUUACUUUAUUUUAUUCAACCGUAGUUUUUUCUCUUUUUUUUAAUAAACACUCGAGUGUCGAUGAUGAGGUGACAUUCAAAAUAAAAAAUAUGAGAAAAGUAGGAAAAAAAUUAUAAUGUUUGCCCUAAAGUUCAUCAAGCUCUAAGCAUUUGAAAAAAUGUAAUAAAAUCCUCAAGGUUCUGUACCUGGUCCAGUUUCCUCCUUCCAGCAAUAAUUUACCAAGUUUUGUCGGUAUUGAUAUGCCGGAAAGCCAAUUUGGCCUUUUAGUACGAUUUCAGCACAUGCCUCGCGAUGCGGUGCCCUUGUCCCGGAGUUUAAACCCAGCGGGUCAAGGGCGGCCCUGAGUUUACUCGACAGUUUCAUUACUUGACUGUGUACUGUAGGGGUGAGCAUGGUCCGGGUUGGUCCGGGCCACCCCAUAACCCUAGGAUCAAUCCGUACAGUGUCGGUCCUCAAUUUUUAAGACCGAGGACCGACCCUAUUGAGCCUGGGACCAAGGACCGGACCGACCCAAUGGGUUCGGUCCGGUUCCAGGGUCAACCCGGGACCGAUCGAUAAUUUUUUUCGUCUUAUUUUUUAUACUCCCUAAAAAAGCAAACCUACAAAUUCAAAUUAUACAUCCAUCGACAAUGCAAUAUUGUGCAACUAAACUAUAAAUACCAAUACAUAUUUAGCAAAUUUAAGAUGACACAAUAAUAGAAAUUUCGUACCUGCUAACCGCUCAUCGAAAUAUGGGACAAGAUGGAAUGUUUUUGUAAUCAUCUAUCUUUAAUAUUCAUAACACCAUAUGCAAAAGCGUUUUCCUACAUUUGAUCAUGUAGAGUCCAUUCAACCAAAAAAUGAGCUUCACACCACUUGACUACCAAAUUACCGUAGCAACUGCAGUACUACUCUACUCUUCAAAAACUUCUAUCAUUUGACACAAAUUGAAAAGCAAAGUGCAGCUGAAAUUCAUUAGUAAAAUACAAUUAAACCAUAAAAAGUUCAAAAUACUUAAUAUAAACCAUGAAUAUAUAACUUCACAUCUUAUUAAUUCACUUGAACUUCUAAACACCUUAAAACAAAACAAACGACACUUAAUUAAUACUCAACAAAAGUUUUAAAUUGAAAUUACUAUUAGUGCUAUUGAUAGAACAUCUCAAUAUAAUAUAAUAUAACAUACAUUUUACUUAGGUUUGAAUAUAUAAAAUAAUUAUAAAUAAUAUAAUAUAAUAUAAUAUACAGGGUUGGUCCAGGAUUGAACCGACCCAAAACUCUUAGGACCGAGGACCAACCCGCACAGUGUUGGUCCUGGAAUUUCAGGACCAAGGACCGACCCAGUCCCCUUAGGAACCGGACCAGGACCAGCAGGGUUGGGCCAGUCCAGGGUCGGUCCAGGGUCAACCCUAGACCGCUGCUCACCCCUACUGUGUAGACCACGAAACACUUUUACUAUUGACAUCGCAUCACACAUGAAAAAAGUAUCUAACUUUAUUUCCGUAUUGGGUCUGUGUCUUUCUUAACAUGGAGUUUUUUUUUUCCCCCUUUUUGGGUCAGACUCUUAACAUGGAUCGACGGACCCUAAUUCUACAGAAAAACUCCUUUUUUAUAAAGUAAGAAAUGCUCACCGCCUAUUUUGCUAUAAUUUAUCAUGUAUCAUUGAAGCAAUGCACUUAAUGGUUGCUGUGGUGAGACACCGCUGUAGUGGUCUCUACUCUCAUUUCUCUGACCUAACGCGUUGGUUUUUAUUUUGCUGUGGUUUGAAAAUUAUUUUUGGGAAUUUAUUUUUUGACUUUUAGUGUUUGGAUGAGGGAAAACUAAUCGGAUCUACCGAAAACAUUUUCCAUGGACUGAAAUUAUAAAUUUUUAUUGGGACAAAAUGAUUUUCUCUUCUAGCAAGAAAGGGAGCCUUAAUCUUCUCUAAACAUUUUAGUGAAAAAUUUUCAUCAUCCACAAAAAUUUCUGGGUAUAAAUUGUUGUAAAAAAUGAAAAUAUUUUUCAUUAAUUAAUUAUUUCAAGUAAUACAACCGAUCAAUUCUUGGAAAAUAUUUUCCAAAUCAUUUUUUUUUUUUUAUAAAAUAAACAAAGCUUAGGAAUGGUUUGUUGUGGAUGCUUAGGAGGUGUACUACAUGCUAAUGGCCUUAAAAACUUUGACAUCUUUAGUUAAGAAUGUAAUUUGCGUACAUCGAAGGGAAAUUGUCCAAUCAAUUUAAACUAUGCUCUUAAAAUUGAGUCUUGAAGGGCAUUUACGUAAUAGUUGUCUGAAUGAGCUUUUCAACCCAAGUGCAUUCAGCCUCUACUCAGGGACGGAGGAAAUAUGAGAUGAAGUUAUGUUACUUGAAUUAGCAUUUUAUCGAGGUAUGUAAUUUCCACCACUUCCAUAUUUUAAAAAAGUGCAUGACAUGAUUUGCCGAGAAGAAGCUACACUGUGACAUGGUUUGUUUGUUUUGUUUUUUUUGUUGUUCUUUUUAUAGCAUUUUAAGCAUAUAAGUAGAUAUUCUUAUAUGGCACGCUCUUUUAAAAAGUUAGAUCAAGCAUUGGAUAUUUUUGAGCCUCUCUAAUCUGGAAAUAUUCUAAACUGAAAUGCUAUAUAUAUAUAUAUAUAUAUAUAUAUAUAUAUAUGUAUGUAUGUAUGUAUGUAUGUAUGUAUGUAUGUAUGUAUGGGGGCGCGCCGAAUAAAUAUUUUUAAAAAAUCAUUAAUUUUGGGUGAAGGCUUGGUCCUUCAUUUCUUAAAAAGGAUGGCUGGGCAAUCCCUUCCUUCUCUCUGUGGAUGUGAGUUACGGCAACUAUUAAGAGAAAUGAAAAAGAUCCAGAGUACUCGACUCAUAUAAGUUCGAUUUAUAGUUCUAUGUGUGUUCUUAGAACGGCGAGAUUGAACUUGGAGAUAUGCCAAGCGGUCUUUGAAUUGGAAAAAUCGCCCGGUUUGAUUAAUACCUAUGUCCCCAUGUGAUCUAACUUACCGAAUCAAAAUGCAAGUUGGCCUUUGAAGCGUUGGUCUCUACAAUGGUAUGAGCGAGACCUGGUGUCGAUCGUCUUCUUUCACGAAAGCCUUCGAUUCUCCUCGGAGAUCAAUCAAAACCCAGAGCCGACCAAGUAAACUGGAAAAUCCUCUGAGGGAAAGUGGAGAUGGUGGGAGGUCUGCAAGGAGCGAGCAAGAGGCGACCGAAUGCCGUCCGGACGCAAGCAGUGAUCGUGAGCUCUCGCGAGAGAAUUGGACGACGUCGUCGCGCAAAUGGGGAGAUAGAGAGCCACGCGACCUCAAAACGCACAGGAAUUGGAGCCAAAAAAGCCGGUUGGAUCCACCAGCUUCGAUCGUCGCUGCCAAUGCCGUCCAAGACUCCCUCUGGUUAGUUGAACAACCGAUCGUGACCGAUGAUCGCUCCUCGCUGAGAUAAAAGCUCUUUGUUCUGUUUUGAGUAUCGCACGUGUGAAAUAGAGACCGAGAGCUUUGUUGUUUGCUAGCAAUGAAAAUUGUUCACGUCCGAGAUUAUAUUACUAACAACUGCGAUUCGGUCUUCAUGAUCUCGUGCUGAUUGGGCUGUGAUUCUCGCUCUCUCGUUGCUGGAUUGUGCCAUUUCAUCGAAUGCACAUUAAAUGUCUGGUGAAAUGCCUGAGCCGUAUUAGUCUAAAUACGCAUGGUCUUUGUCUGCUUGAAUGACUCAUUGUACCAGUUGGAUAGGUUAAGUAGAUCUAAAUUGAUAUCCACUUUUGAGUCCAUUCCCGAAUGUCUCGGUCUUGGUAGGCUUCCGGUACUCUAAGGCAGAUAAACUCGACUCUCUGAAAUUAGCUAAAAAAGAUGAUUCCGGUACUCUAAGGCAGAUAAACUUGACUCUCUAAAUUAGCUAAAAAUGAUGAUAUGCUGAAUUGUAAAUACUCUGUCGAUGGUUGCUGGUGCGCUCAUGAAGCAUAGGCUGAUCAUGGAGACUAAUACAUUGUAGUGUGGAUCCCAUUUGCUGUACAUAUCUUUUUCUAAUAGUGAAUUCCAAAUCACGUCUUCUCUGCGAGUGAACGUGAAUAUGUGUUCACCGGAUGAAAAGAUAGUGUGGCAGCCGCCAUGUUCUUGUUGCAAAACUAAAUGACAAAAAAGGUAGAAUUGAAAAGUAGUUGGAAAUUUUUUCUAAAAAAUAAAUAUGAAACGUUAUAAAAAUAUAUAUAGUAGACUCGCGUCCUCACAAAUCUAAAAUGAUGCAGAUCUAUUAGAAAACUCGAUACGUCUAUAAUCAUAGGCAAUGUAUAGCUUUUUAUAACUCAAAGGGAUGAAUAGACUCAAAGCUCAUGGAACACCCUAUUAUAAGAUAAAUAGUUACAAAAACAGGCCAUACUAUUUCCACACUCGAAAUGGAGGGAAAGGUUGAAAGGGAUUAAAAAAAUGCAAGAAAUGUUCUCAUAUGAGUGGAGAGCUCCAUUUAUUUCUAAUUCACUUAUGAUCAAACCAUCAUCAGAGCCAUUAUGCCAUUUCAAAAUAGAGGCAAAAUCCCAAGAAAAUCAUCAGUUUGACAAGUUCUGGAAAUUCUCUCCCUAACUUUUUAGAUAAUAAUUUCCAAUAAAUUGGACAAAUUGCGUCACCCUAAGUUAAAAAAGAUGAAUAGUGCUAGAGACACUCAUAUUGACAUAUUCAAUUGGCUCAAACUUUAUAAUACUCAAACAAUAAAUAGAUUUAUAAAAAUUAGAUAAUGUCACCAUUUUGCCACAUCUAAUGGAAACUGAAGGUGGCAUUGGUAAAAAAUCUUCCAACAAGGAAUGCGUUCAUCAGUAGUUAAGCGCACAGGAGUUGACUUAUUGCUCUCAGACAUUUCGAAAAAGAGACUAACUCGAGCUGUUCAAGCCCAACAUCUUGACAACAUUCAAGAGGGUUUGAACCACAGCAGCAUCUGCUACCUUGGAAGCUGCUCUAGGUUAUUAAAGAGUUGAGAUUCGAGGUACUAACCCCCUUUUAAUUACAAUGGGCAUGCCUUUUCAAAGGCUUGUUGCUCUUUGCGGCAUAAAUCGAACUCGUUUGUGUGGUAAUACAUGCAACCAACAUAAGCAUCCAUCUCUUUUGUGCACCUCUGGUGAAGAUCUUUCAGUCUGCAUAGCCAAAAAUACAUGGUUUAGAUACUGCAACGGAAAGUGGUAAGUAAAAUGCAACAGCUACUUUUAUCAGUUGAAAGAGGUAUAACAAAUUUUUCAGCACCUCCAUUUAAGUUUCCAAAAAGUCCAUUUGUAUCAGACUUCUGUGGGCGAACAUCAUGAAUCAUUGACAGUAAAGCUUAUAGCCAGUUUGUAUUUGCCAAUGCAAGGGUUGUGCAGCCCAAAUAUGAAGACAGUAAUGCAACGACUAAGAGGCUCACAAGUAUGUCUGCAUCUAAAACUAUGAAAAGAAGUAGACUGCAUUCCUCUCACUUGAAAUUGAAAGUGCAGAGCCCAUAAGUCAGUCACCAAGCCGUGUGCUCUGUAUAUCAAGAUCAUCAAGUAUCUAGAAUGAAAUCCCUAUCAAAUGGUGUAAGCAAAGUCUACUGAUCCAAGCAAAAGUCAUAGAUCCCGCACACAUCUUUAUUGAGAGAAAACUCAACCAUACUGAUUCUAAAGCACUAAGUCUUAAAUGCUGCACAAAACAGAAGCCCGACCUAUAUGACUACCUUCAAAGCAGAAAUAAUUGUUCUACCAAGAGAUUUGGAAUUAGGAUCCAGAACUAAGACCCAAGAUACUACUCAACUACAUUUGAUUUAACCAAAAUGAUAAAGAGGUUUAAGGAAGGAAGCUCCCAGCCAAAUGUGAAAGGAGCUCCUUGUGAAGUACUAUAUAUGGUGGUGUAUGAACGAAUGAAAUAAGGGAUGGUCGGUGUUGAGAAAGGAAUUGAAUCAAAAGAAGAAUAUUCUUAACUUUUGAUUCUGAUGGAAAAAUGGAAUGCCCCUUGCUUGUGUUUUUUUUUUUUUUUCUCAAUUCCACUUGAAUGUUCCUUGCAUUAAAGUGGCAAAGCUAAAUGAGUCUUUUUCCCCAAAUGUACCUUUCCUUCUCUCCCUCUUUUACUUUUACGGAAGAGACGAAUUUGAGAAAAAAAAAAACAAGCAAGGGGCAUUCCCUUGGAAUUCUUGCUCCUAUCCUAACAAAAUUUUGUUCAAUUCUUAGUGGAAUGUGGAUGUAAAGAAGACUAAAUUGUCCAUCAAAAUCCAUUCAAAAGAUUGCAUGCUUAACCACAUAUGAAAAUGGAUAACUAAAAACUGGCCAAAAGGGAAUUGAGAAGCGACCCCAUGUCAGAUACCCAACACCAUGUUCUGUGUUCUCCAGACCAUUAAUGACUCCCUUACGAACUCAUAUAGGGAGGAGAUGAACUUGAGAAAACACACAAGCAAGGGGCAUUCUGUUGGAAUUCUUGUUCCUAUUCUCACAAAAUUGUGUUAGAAACUUUGUGGAAUGUGGAUGUGAAGAAAACUAAAUUGUACAUCAAAAUCCAUUCAAAAGAUCGCAUGCUUAACCGCAUAUGAACAGGCAUAGCUAAAAACUGGCCAAACGGGAAUCGAGAUGCGACUGUACGUCAGAUACCCGAAACCAUGUUCUGUGCUUUCCAGACGUAUUAUGACUACAUAUCGAACUCGGUAUGCAAACUACCUUAUACCAAAACCUUUCCCAAUACUAUUCUUAGUUGCUAAUGAUUCCAACUGCCCAUUUUCAAGACAUUCACAAGCAACUAAGAAAAUCCCACGCUCUAUUCUUUGGGGUUUUCUCAGCAACAUUCCCCAAACCAUAUAUGCCAAUCAAACGACGCAAGAAAUGCCCCCACUUCCUCGCAUUUCAGAUAAGCGAACAAACGAUGCGGCAACAACAAGAACAACAAUCAUAUCGAAGGCGACCGCGACUGAAUCGGGGAGCCGCGAGAGAAAUAGAGAAUCACGCUCACAGGUGGAGCACGCAGCGGGUGACUUGCUGGCCCUUCUCGAGGCACUUCUCCGGGUUCGGGUCCUUCUGCUUGCACUUGAGAAAAGCCACGUUCUCCGACAGGCAGCUCGCCCCGAUGUGCAUGGACGACGCCGUCAGCACCGCCGACGUCGGGAUCGGGCCCCCGGCGGCGUCCAGGGACGUCGCCAUCCCGGCCGACAUCGAAUUCCUCUUGGGUUAUCUUCUCUUCCUUCUUAUUCUUCUUCCCUGCGGCAGAGAAGAUGGGUGAAGCAGAUUCUUCUUCAACGAAUGCGUGAUCCGGGAAUUCAAGACCAAGAGAACUCCAGAUCGAAAGGAGAGAUCUUUGAAUUUGUGGGCAAAGUCGUCAUCUUUACCUGAUUGACCGUUCGCAGUUGCAGUACAGAGUGAGAGAGAGAGAGAGAGAGAGUGGAUUCUGCAGUGAUAGAUGAUGAUAUUCUCAACAUCCGCAGUGAAAGUAAUUAUUUUUUUCUACAAAUGAAAUGUUUGUUAAUGAGAAUUUUAGAAGUUUUUUUUUUGAACUAAAAUGAGAAUUUUAGAAUGGCCAAUUGAUAAAAUCCAUCUCAUGUCGAGGUGUUUUUAUGUUUCCAAGAAAUAUCUGUACUUGGAAAAAAAAUCAUUGAUAAACUUAAAUUAUACUAUCAAUCCAUCUUAUGUCGAGGUGUUUUUAUGUUUCCGAGAAAUAUCUGUACUUGGAGAAAAAUCAUUGAUAAUCUUAAAUUAUACUCAUUGUGAUAUACUUAUUUUUCCUUUUUGGUGAUAUGAAAAAUUUAAAUUUGUAUACAUGUGAUAAAUUUAUUCUAAAACUAAAGAUCCCGAACAUUUAUUCUCAUGACACAUUAUAUAUAGAGUUUUUUAUGUCAUUAAAAUAAUUAUAAGUUUGGGAUUUUUUGGGGUAUAAGUUUAGAGUUUUUCAUGUCACAAAAAAAUUUAGUGUAAAUAUAUCAUAACGUGCAUAGUUUAAGGCUUAUUGUUGCCUUUUCCCUUACAUAUAAAUUGAAGUUUCACAAAUUAGAUUUCAAAUUUACUUUCUUGAGAGAUUUAUAAUUAAUGAAAUUUGGGAUAAUAUUAAGGGUUAACACUACAAAAAAAAAUCUUAAAUUAAUAUACUUGUGCCGCAUCCAAAUUAAUUUUGGCGCCACAAAAAAUUUCAAAUUAGUAUUCUCAUGAUAUAUUUAUCCUAAAUCAAUUUUCAUGACACAAAAUCAUAAAUCGGUACAUUCAAGUUGCAUUUAUCACAUUUUCCUUAGAUUCUAAUAAAUUUUAUUACAGAUGUAUUACUUUGAAAUUAUGUACUAGGCUGGAAUUUUUGGUAGUAUCGUUCCUAAAAUUAAAUUUUUUUUCUUCCAGCCUUAUGUUUUUUCAUCAACCCAAGUCCCGACUUGUCCCAAGAAAAGCCAAAGUCAGGUUUUAAAGAGGCACUCUCGUAAUUUUGCGGACACAAGCAUUUCCAUUUACGAGAGAUAAAUUCAGAGGUAUUGCGUUAAUUUUUUAUUUUUUAUUUAUCUCUGAUUAGUGUUUAUAAUCAAUUCUUUACUUGUGUUCUCAUGUAUUUGUAAAAUGAAGUUCAACUAUAUGUGUUUGUGCUGAAAUUACAAGAGUUAGGCUCGGCGGUUGAUUGUCGUUUGAGUUCAUCGAACUGGAAAUGUCGGUAGAAUUGCGUUUCUUGUGCCUUAGACAGACACAAGCGAUUAAGAAAGGAACACAAACUUGAUCUUGAUUCUUGGAUUUUGAAGUCCAGGUUUAGGACGAUUCGGACACCCGAUCGUAGGCUCUUGAAAUUGAUGGCAGGAUUUCUCGAGCUAAAAUUAUAGAUUAUAUUAAAUCAAUACAUUGUUGGGAAGUGAAGGCAUAGAAGAUUGAAGAAUAGGAAAAUUGGAAGUCAAAGUAAAUUAUAAGCCUCUGAGAAUACCGAUAAUCAUAGGCCUAUUCGUCGUGGCUCUAGCCAUUUCGGCCGUGGCAACAGAAUCAGCUCUUAUCUCAUCAAAUUUAAGCUUCCUUUGUUUUAGGGAAGAUGGAUAAUUGAACCUUAAGGGAUGAGAUAAGUUGUGGAUCCGAGAGAACCAUAUUGAAGUUUGAAAAUAGCGUAACGAACACUGUUUUUGCACUGAGAGUAGCCUGGAUGGUACCAAUGCCCUGAAAAUAAUGACUUAUAUUGCUUAAAAUAAUUAGUAAAUGGAAAAAAAAAAUACUUUCAUCAUCCCCAAUCAUUUAUGUCCAAAUAUUUUCUGGGAUCAUGAAAAUAUUUUUCAUUUAUUCAUUAUUGUAAGAAAGUUAAGCCAUCAUUUUUAAGAAGAUAUUUUGUAAAUUAUUCAUUUUUCGCAAAAUAUUUUGUGAGCCUUACAUAGAACUGAUUCCAAAUGAUCCUCUCAUUUUGACAGUUUCGAUCUCCUUUCAAAGAAAUUUUUUUUUUUUUCCUUAAACUUGCGAACGUAGUCUAACAUUUGUUUUGGCGUUUUGUCUACUAUCCAAGUCAAAUGAGAACAAAGAGAAAGAUAGAACCGACGCGUUUAGAGUGGAAUGCUAUUACUUUUGGAAUGAUAAUGGGUGCCGCCUGUUUGAUCUAAUGCUACUCGAGUUCAUAAAAAUCGGAAUGGGGAUUGAUGGAUCCCGUGAAGAUGGAGAAAUCGCUGGCCUUGUUGGAGAAACAGGCGAACCUCUUCAUGGAGUCUUACCGGCGGGCCAAGACAGCAAAGAAAUAGACAACAANNNNNNNNNNNNNNNNNNNNNNNNNNNNNNNNNNNNNNNNNNNNNNNNNNNNNNNNNNNNNNNNNNNNNNNNNNNNNNNNNNNNNNNNNNNNNNNNNNNNAAAAAUUGUGUAGUUAUCAAACGCAUUUAAAUGCUCAAAAACAUGUUCAAAAUAGAAAUAGGAAAAAUUGUUCCCAAAAACAGAAAUAUUACCAUAUGUACCCUAAGUGCUAUUAGAAAAGUAGAAGAAAAGAAAAUUGAAGAUUUAAUUAUUAGGGCAAUAGCCAGAUAACUCUGUCAAGUAUAAAAUAUGCAAAGAUGCUGCUUGCUUGGAUACUUUUCACAAGUAGUAAAAUAUCAGGUAAGUUCUAACCAUCAACCCCCUCAAAGCAACAAGUACUAAACUAUCCACUAGCUGGGUUCUGAAAACUUAUUUGCUACAUUAAUAAUUCUACCGAAAAAGACCAUUUGAAGGAUUAAGUAGUUCAUGUUUCUCAUUAUUGAUCAAAGAGCGGGGUACAUGACUGUAAUCCAUAUUGAGUGCUUAAAACCUUUUGACUUUUUCGAUGACCUAGAGGAAAAAACAUAACCACGGUGAAGCCAGCAUUGUCCGGUACUUGAAUUUGAAAUAGUUAGCCUCAAAUUUCACCGACGACUUCUACACAACGUUAUGACCAUUUAAAAAGAAAAGAAGUGAAGUCUACAGAUAAAAAGUGAAGCCAUCCCAUUUCAUCAAAGCAGAGCUCACAAUAAGAACGUGAUGCACUCAUACUAGAAGAAAAGACUUAAGCUAACAACUUACACCAACCUAUAUCGUCAAUCAAAUGCUAAACAAACAAUAAUAACUCGAAAUGAAAUUACUAGACAUGGCACAACCUUGAUAUUCCCGGCUGCUUUGAUGGCUGCAACAAUCCUGUCUUGGUCUUCUAGCUGUGCUCGCCCCACAGCAGAGAUUACCACAUCAACUUGCUUAAUCGCACUCAACAGACUCUUUUGAUUGUAUAUGUCUCCCUAAGAAUCAAAUAACCAUGAGCAUGGAAAAACAAUCAAUAAAGUGAGCAAUCAUCAACCGAUCCAAUUUUGGCCAGUAGGAAGACUACGAAAAAGGAGAAAUACAAAUGCUGAUAAGACUUCAAUACCUUCACCAGACAAGAAAAAGUGUUAUGAGAAAUUAAAAAAAAAAAAAAAAAGCUGCUAUCCACAGAAUUCUUGUCCAUGCAUUACCUACCAAUCUUUUGAAAGGUUACAACAAGGUAUUUGCAAUGGCAUCUGAAUUACAGAUCAGCCACAUGUACUUCUGUAUAAAAAUUCAUCUACACAGUACGAAACAUAUGGAAAAUUUCAUAAGAUUUGCCUAAAAAUGGAAACUUUCACAAGAUUUGUCUAAAAAUGUACUCGUUCGUUUCAGCAUGCGAAGCUAAGGGGAUUCCUCAGUCAGUGUGAAAAAUGAGAGGGAGAUUGUUUCUGGUUUCACCAACUUACGAGGCCGAAAUAUCAGAGAAGAAAAAAAGGAACGCCGAAUUCUGACGUGACUCCAUCAACUCGAUCUUGUGAAAGAUUGAGAUGAAAAUCGACUCCGAUACUACUGGUUAAAGACAUUUCUCAGAAUUCCGAGCAUGAUCAAAUGGCAAGGGACGCUUCGAUUCCUCGAAGCAGCACCAAAUGUGGGAAACGACCAAAUCACACGGGAAUAACUGCUCACAUGGACUAGGUUCACGUUUAAGCUCUUGAAACCUUCGAUGAUUUCGGCCUUGGCGGGGUUGGAGAGAGUGGACUCCCUCACAAGAGCAAAGGUAGGGCGACCGGACUUAGCGCUCGCUUUCACGAUGAACUUUCCAAUUUCUCCGGUGCCUCCGAUCACCAGGACUCUGCUCUUCUCUGCCAUCUUGGAGGGUCUUUUCACAGCGGGCGUGGCGUUUUCCAGCAAACUUGAUCGGGGAGAGAGAGAGAGAGAGAGAGAGAGCUAAAAGGCGGGGGUUCCUGUCUUCGUGAUGGGACGGAGUGUCAUUGGAUGAUUCUGGAAGGGCAUAAUCGUCUUUUCAAUGAAAUAAUUUUUCUUAUUGAGGUAAUCCUUUACUAGAAAAAGGGUACAUGGAAAGUGGGAAUAGAUAGAAGAUAACCAUUUCGUUUCAUUUUAACUUAAAAAAAGAAAAGCAAGAAAAUUUAAUUUUGAUGUUGCUAUAAAUUUAAGUAAUCGUAAUUGAUGAGGAAGUAGUUGAAACUACUUUCUUUACGUUGACUUUUAUCAUAUGAAAAGAAAAGAAAAAGAUUAUAAAAUGAGCAAUGAGCUACUCUACAUCCAUAUGGUAGCAUGAUAUCAUAGAGCUUCAUAGCCGCUAUGCUAUUAUUUUGAGGUUCAAUGAAUUCUUUUUCUUGGGAGGGUUGAUCACAAGAUUACCCUUCUUUAAUUAAUUGACCAACACAAGAUUACUAUAUUUGUAAUUCAUAACCUCUAUGUGAGAAAAAAGCAGCAUUACGAGUGUCCAUAUAUGUAGUGAUUAGUAAUAAGUUAUUAAACCUUUGACAUCAAUACCAAUUCAAUUUUAAAUAUUUCGAUUUGGUCAAUUUAGUUCUAAACUUUUUAACAAUUUACCUUGCGAUACAAUCUUACGUAGCAUUGAUACUGAUACAUGAUAUGAUAUGAUACGCCAAUACGUCAUUUCCGACACAUUGGGACAUGUAUAUUAAAUGUCAAAUUAAUUAAUUUAAUUCAAAUUCACAAAUAAAUAAAUAAUAAAAGAUAUUAGAAUGAAUUUACACUAAAAAUCGUGAGUCCUAGGAAGUGAAAGUUAAAAGAGAAGAGAAAAGAAGACUAAAUUUUUCUUUUUUUUUUUUAUUAUUAUUUUUAUUACUGCUCACCCGAAAUAUAUCGAUGCCUAAGUUCUUGAAACCUUCGACGAUGUCAGCCUUGGCGAGGUCAGAGAGAGCGGACUCCCUCACGAGAGCAAAGGUAGGGUAACCGGACUUAGCGGUCGCUUCCACAAUGAAUUUCCCAGGUAUCCAAUGUCUCCGAUUACCAGGAUUUUGCUCUUCUCGGCCACCUCGGAGGGUUCCUUCACAGCGAAGGUGCGGUUUUGCCCAGAGAACUUGCUCGCUCUCGUGCUGCGACUAUUGCCUGUUGGCGCGCAUCGAGAUGAAUCGUCAUUUUAUUUUGGUUCCAAAAGGGCAUAAUUCUCUUUUUCGGUGAAUUGACUUUCCCACCCCCGUCAUACUUCGCUCGGAAAAUGAGUAGAAGCAAAAGUGGGCCACGAAAGUUGGAAGAAAUUUACGGUGGAAACUGAGCACGUGCAAAGUACGUAUCUAUCGAUUUUGUGGAAUUUGGACGAUGACGAAAUAUUUUUUGAAACAACAACUCGACUUACUAAAAGUUGCCUGUAUUUGAUGAAGAAAAUUGAUUGUUGCGUCAACAAAACAUCCAUCGAGAUAGAAAAGAAAUUUUUUUUUUUUUUUUUUGAGAUAGAAAAGAAAUUGACGGCCCUAACUUAUGCUGGCUGCAUGUUCUUCAAGGAAUUCAAGAAGGAUAUCUUUUUACAGUAAUUGAUUGUUACUUUCUGACAAAAAAGCUAUUUUAUGUUUCUUCAUUAAAUAUUCUCGAUUUACGGUGGGUUUGGAAAAAAUUGAGCCAAACACACCCCUAAUUAGACAACAAUCCACAAAAUGCUGGGCUUUUGGGAUAAGAAUUUGGCUCAAGAGUCAUCCAGAUUGAUGGCGCAUGCCUCUUUUUGUUCGUGUUUGUUCCCUGCAGUCUAUAAAAGUCCCGGAAACAUUAAUGAUAACUCUACAUUGUGAGGAGUUUGUCAGUCGGUUUACGCUUGUUUUAACUUGUCAUUCUUUAAGAUUAUCCAUAAUCAGGCCACGAUGGAAAUUUCAAUCCUGCUGACACGUUAAGUAUCUAACUUCAAAACAGUGAUCGUCCACGAACUAUUUAGACUUGAAAGACAAUACAAUAUACAAAAAUAGAGAAACCCGUGUCUUUGUGGUAGCUCAGCUUGGCCCAUGAACCCAAUAUCAAUCUCCAAAACAUAAGUAAUUUCUCCAAGCACUUCAUAGGAUGUCCUCAGCCUUUGGGGUUGUACAUUGCAUGUGAUGAUCAGCGAAAGCAACACUUCACACUAGGAUCAUGAGAAGCAGCAUCUUAUAUUUUUUUAUGAUUCAAGCCGAUGUGAGAAAUUUAUCAAGCACAAUCGGGUUCGAUAAUCAGACAAACUGAUCCAAAUACUAAUCCACAAUUGUGGAUUUGACAUUAGUGUAGAGCUCUAAAGCUUCCACUCAAAAUGAUGGCUCAAUCUCGAAGCUGAUUUAAUCUCCUUUCAUGAAAACAUAAUGGAAUACUACCAAUAUCACAUUGAGCAGAACCACCACCUCUGCAAUGACCGGACAAGUUUUAAAUCUUAGAGAGAAUAGAGACGAUUCACGCGCUUAAAUCCAAUAGAAAUGCAUCCCUAACCUUGAAUAUUCUUCAGAACCUCCUCCUUCGAAACAUACACCCUCUCUAGAGUCCUGCCGAUCUUUCUCUCCCACAAUGACACGAGCUCACUAAAAGAGUAGGUGUUGGCAAGAGGUUUGAUGUACAGAAUUUUGUUCAAGAUCCUUGGAUCAUCCACAACUUUAAUGGUGUAGGUGCCAAUGUCAUCCUCCUUGUUAAACACCACUGCAUAUUGGCGUGGAGAGUUUUAGAAUUUGGCUAAUAAAUAAAUCACAGAGCCAUUGAUCUUCCUAGGGUUACUUUCGGCUCGAAUUGAAGAAGAAUUCUCUCGGUAAACAGAUUCAUCAAACAACCGGCAGACAGAUGCAUCCAUAUGUUCUUUUCUCAACGAAAUACAUGAAGAGAACCUUCACGAUCUGCCCACUAGGUGGUAUUAUGCCAAGAUAAACCACAACACACUCAUAUCAUCUACUAGGCUCUUAAGGUGAAGACUAAUGGAUGUAAGAAUCCUAAUAUCUCCAGACAAGGACGUUGCCCUGGAAUUCUCAAGCUUCAAGAACUGCCCCUCACACUAAUCACUACUGUAAUUAAAUCGUGAUUAAUGUACAGAAAAAUCUUAACUAGCGAGAUUAACGGCAAGGGACACUUCAGUUGCUCAAAGGAGCAUCAAAUGCGGGAAACAAACAGGAUUGCAUAGGAAGAACUACUCACAUGAACUAAAUUGACGCCUAAGCUCCUGAAUCCUUCAGUGAUGUUGGCCUUGGCAAGGUCGAAGAGAGUGGACUUUCUCACGAGGGCGAAGGUAGGGUGACCAAACUUAGCACUCGCUUCCACGAUAAAGUUUGCUUUAGGUCUUUGCUCUGCUUAUAAUUUUCUGGUGAGAGGAGCGACUGGACAGUUAUAGACGCUUCCACUGCAUUAUAGCAACCAUAAACAAAAGUCUCCUAAAAAUCAAUCGGUCAAUUUCGUUAAAGUCACUAAAGAAUGUCCAACCUUUUUGUAGGAACUUGUCAGAUAAUGCACACUUCAAUCCGAAAGUCCUUGGUUGUCAAUCUGAUUGGUCACAUACUUGACAUGUGUCCCUCCCUUAAUAGUAGCUAUCCCAUUCACCAAGCUGAACUGUUUUAGAAUUCACAAUGUUAAAUUCGUUCAGUAGCUAUCUAGCUCUAUAUUCGCCCGUUACAGAAGAAAGUAUUCAAACUACCUAUUGAAACUGUCCUUCGCUCAGGCUUAGACAGACUUCCACCACUCCUCACAGUCUCCUGAAUACUGAUCCAAUCAAGUAAAUUAAGUAUUCAGAAUACCAUUCCGAACUACAAAAUGACACUAAUCAGACAAAAAGAAAGGAGAGAACCUUGGGAGGAAGGAACGUUCUGGUUUUAUUUUCAUAGGCAUAUUUGAGACAGACGCAUGUUUUCACAGGAACCCUUUUCCCGUUCACCUCGAUCUUCUCUGUCUUCCCGAGACACCCAGCCAAGUCAAUCACACGCUUUUUCAUCAAAGCAACCACAUCAUCUUCAAGGUGGGUCAUGUUAAACUUUGCCAAGUCUGGCUUGAAUGAGACCUUGGUCCAGUUUCCGCCUGCCUCGCAUGCCUUAAUAUCAGGUGGGCCUUUCAAUCUCAUGUUUUGUUGAGAAAACCUUUAAAUCAGUGGAACAGAUCAGUAUAGGAGUUCAACCAAAGCAAUCCCGCUAACCCAAUGAAAACCAAAAUGCAGUCCUAUUACUGCUAAACCCACUGCUGAGAACACUCGACAGUCCCUGAUCGCGAACCCACCUGUUCCAAUCGAAAUGUCCUUGCCCCCUGCCCCUCCCACUCUGCUUGAAGGGAAUGUGCAGGCUGUAGACAGAACGUGAGACAACCCCCUUUUUAUCAAUAGGCCCGAUGCUGGUUGUACUUCUCCAGGGGAGAAUUUUUCAGAACUACAGAAGGAUGCAGUUUCUGCUACUGUUAUUGCACCGACCACUAAAGCUUCUGUUGCAAUGGCCUCUGGUUGUGAUGGUAGUCAGGAGGUGGCGUGCUCUGCUAGUAUUCCUCCCGCACUUGCUGACCCGGGGUGGAAGCAAGUUACAAAAAAGAAAAAGGCUCAGGUGAGCAAAGAAGCUGCCUCUUUUAGCCUAGCCCCGCCUAGUGAAGGAGGCCAACUGAAAGGCUCUACUUCUGUUAAAGCUGGUACUGCUUCGUUGCCUCGUAAGAUUGCUGGAGUCUCUAAGGCCGUUGUAGGCUCUUCUCUGGCAAAAGCGAAGGCUUCUCCUUCCAUCCUGCCUGAAUGCUCAGAUGAGAUAGCUAACUCCAGCAUCCAUGCUGGAUCGGAUGAUGAGAACCUGCUUUCGGUUGGUUGUCCCUCGCCAAAAGGUCCACCUACAAGCGUCUCGGAUGAGACGAUACAAGAUAAACUUCUGCUUUUAUGCCUGGAUCCUCCUCUUUCGGUGGCUCCUCCUCCGACAACUGCUCGGAAAAAGACCACUAAAAAGAGGUAAUCUCUUCCUCUCUCCUUGUAAAUAUGUAUAUAGCUGCUUGGAACAUUAGAGGCCUUUGUGAUCCUCUCAGAAGGGCUGAAGUUAGGAGAUUGGUCUCCACUCACAACCUUUGCUUUAUUGGUCUCAUUGAGACUAAAGUUCCCAAGAAUGCUUUUGAUUCUAUAUCUUCCUUCUUGUUGAAUGGCUAGAAAUGGGUUGUAAAUUAUGAAUUCUCCCCUCGUGUUAGAAUAUGGGUUGGAUGGAACCUAGGGUAUGUUAGUUAUGAAACCUUAUCAAUUAAUGACUAGGCUAUUCAUGGCCAUCUGAGGCUUACCUUAACUGGUAGAGUUUGCUGUGUGACUAUAGUAUAUGAGGAACAUUCUUUUAUUCAUCGAUGGCCACUUUGGGAGGACCUUCUCCGUAUGAACAAUCUUAUGCAGGAAAUACCUUGGUUGGUUGCCGGUGAUUUUAACACCAUUAAGGAUCCUUCAGACCGUUUCGGUGGUUCCAACAAUUGGAUCCCUUACUUUGAUGAAUUCAGCAAUUGCUUAGCUCAAUCUGAUUUGGAGGAUCUCAGGUAUGUCGGUCUUCGAUUUACUUGGUUGACCUCUACUGGAGCUACUAGAAAGAUGAGAAAAAUUGAUCGUGUCUUGGUUAAUACUAAAUGGAAUUCGGAUUUCUCGUACUCGGAGGCCUCUUUCUUGAACCCGGGCAUCUUUGAUCACUCUCCCAUGGUUGUCAGAGUACUCAACUUGAUUCUUACGAGAAGACCUUUCAAGUAUUUUGAUUUUUGGUCAAAGCACUCCGACUUUUCCUCCAUCAUUCAGCAAAUUUGGUAUAGACCGGUCGAUGGAGUUGCCAUGUUUAGACUUGUGUCUAAGCUUAAAACGCUGGAAGGACGACUUAAACAAUUGAAUAGAGAAGCCUUCUCGAAUAUUUCAGUGAGGACAGCGGAAGUUAGAGAGGCUCUUUGUCUUACUCAACUUGAUCUUCACCUCGACCCAAAUUUUUCUGAUCUUGCAAAUCUUGAGAAGACGCGUCGCAAACUCUGUGGACUUAUGCAGAUAUGAAGAAUCCUUCUACAGGCAGAAAUCAAGAGUUCGAUGUCUUAGGGAAGGCGAUCGAAAUACAAAGUUUUUUCAUCACUCUGUCAAGAGAAGGCAACUCAGAAAUAGGAUCCUUUCGGUAAAGGAUACUUCAGGUGCUUUAAUCACUAACCCUACUAUGGUUCCUCAAGUUUUUGUCUCGUUCUUCAUUGAUCUCCUUUCUCCUCAGAAGGAACUUUCCAGGCCUUCCUUGCAGGAAUUAAAGGGGUUCAUUCGAAGACCAUUGUCGACUGAUCAGAUCAAUACUCUUUCCAGCCCGAUUCUUGACUCUGAAAUUUGGGAUACGCUUUUCUCUCUUGUGAAAGGCAAAGCUCCCAGCCCUGAUAGCUUUAUUGUCGAGUUCUUUAAGCAUUGCUGGGGGAUUGUUGGCCCGCUGGUGAUAGAGGCAGCUAAAGAUUUCUUCUCUUCAGGCCGAUUCUUGAGAGAGGUAAACAAUACUAUACUUGCUUUGGUACCUAAAGUGCCUAAUGCUUGUGCUGUGACAUAUUUCCAACCUAUUGCUUGCUGCAAUAUUAUUUAUAAGCUAAUCACCAAAAUUUUGGCUAAUCGCCUAGCUGCAGAUUUAAGUGAUUUGGUUGAUCCUUUCCAUAAUGCCUUCAUUAAGGGGAGAAGGAUUAGGGAUAAUAUACUGAUGUCGCAGGAACUAUUUGCCGGAUUUCAUCUUGAACCGUAUCUUCCCAAAUGUGCAAUAAAAGUGGACUUCUAAAAAGCCUAUGACACUGUUGAUUGGGACUUCCUUCAACUUACUCUUACGGCGUUUGGUUUUCCUGAUUCUCUUAUUCAACAUAUUAUGGUGUGCAUCCGGACCCUGAAAUACUCUAUUUCUAUCAAUGGAGAGCUUCACAGAUUCUUCCCAGGUGGGAGAGGCCUUCGCCAGGGCGACCCAAUGUCUCCCUACCUAUUCACCCUUGUGAUGGAGAUGUUUUCUGGCAUCUUGAAUGCCCGCACUGCUCUAAAAGAGUUCAAGUAUUUUUGGAGGUGCAAAGCAGUCCAGCCGUCUCACCUUUUUUUUGCCGAUGAUGUAUUUCUUUUCAGUCAGGCUGAUUGGAAUUCCAUCACUGUAUUAAAAAAUGCCUUGGAUUUAUUUUCUUCAUGGAGUGGCUUAAUCUCGAACAAGAACAAGAGCGAAAUUUUUAUCUCGGGUGGGGCCUCUUCUUUGCAGAACUAUAUCCUUUUGGCAUUUGGCUUCCAAGAAGGGAAACUACCAGUGCGUUAUUUAGGAGUGCCUAUCAUCUCCUCUAGGCUUCGGAAAGCAUACUGUAUUGCCUUGAUUGAUUGGAUUACUGCUAGGGCUCAAUCAUGGACUCAACAUUUCCUAUCAUUUGCAGGAAGAUUGCAGCUUAUUAGGUCAGUCCUACAUUCUAUCCAAGCAUUCUGGUCUAGUGUUUUUACCUUGCCGGCUUCAAUUCUUAUUAGCAUCGAGAGAAUUUUCAGACAAUUUUUAUGGAAAGGCACCACGCUUGGCAGAGGUGGAGCUAAGGUUGCUUGGGAUGAAGUUUGCCUUCCCAAAAAUGAAGGAGGAUUGGGUAUUCGCAAGUUGAAGGACUGUAACAAAGCAGCGAUGCUUAAAUAUAUAUGGAUUCUUUUCACAUAUAAAGAAUCCUUAUGGUGUCGUUGGAUUCAUUCCAACUUUUUAAAAAGGAAGAUUUUUUUGAUCUCCUCUUCUCCUACUGUGUGCUCUUGGGCUUGGAGGAAAAUAUUACAUUUAAGAGUAGAAUUUCGGCUUUCUUUCUCCUGGAAAAUUGGGGAUGGACUUUUGGUUUCCUUAUGGUUUGAUCAUUGGCUCUCGAAAGGCCCUCUCGACCAGUUGAUUCCAAAUUCUUUCAUUGAGUCUUCUGGUCUUCCCAAGCAUGCUGUGGUUGCAGAUCUCUUUCCCCCCUUAGGCUAUUCACUCAGAAAUCUUUUAGAAUGCUGGGGAUUUUCCAUUCUGUUGGUUACCUUUGGCCCGGAUCAGUUCCUUUGGCGUCGGCACCCUUCCGGUUCCUUCUCGGUGGCUAGUGCUUGGGAUUGUAUUAGAUCUAAAAACAACCGGGUUCUCUGGGCUUCGCUUAUCUAGAAUAAUGAUAUUGCUCCUAGAUUCCAAUUCAUUCUUUGGUUGAUUACCAAGAACCGGUUGCCUACCUAGGAGUUCCUCCUCGCUUAUGGCAGAAUUGAUUCUAGAACAUGUGCUUUCUAUAAUGAAGUCCCAGGCUCCAUUGAUCACCUAUUUUUUGAUUGUCAUGCUUCGGCUUCUCUUGCCUUCUUUUGGGCUACAAGAUGCAAUUUACCUUGGCAUUUGAGGCCGUGGGUGGAGAUCCUUCCUUGGGCCAUUAAAUUCCUAUCCGAUAAUGAUUUUUUCCACCGUAUCGUUCGCUUCUCUUUUGGUGCCUUAUGCUACUUGAUCUGGAAGAAAAGAAAUGAUAUCAUCUUUUGAGGGGAAACGUUGGUUCUCUUUGCGUUGAAAAAUCACCUUUUAAAGGUUGUCAAGGACAAGUCCAUCACCUUCACCAAUGUUCCGGAUAUUUCGAGGAACAGGCGUCUCCAGAGAAGCCGGAGUCUUGACCCCUCCAUCUUCACCGAUCAUCUUUUGACUUUGCAAUUUGUUCGUGGUUUCUUUCGUAGGCCUGCUUACAAGCUGUCUUCAAGUCUCCGUUCUUUGACUCUUCCAUUGGAGUUGGUUGAGGGUUGUGUGGGCUGUUGCGGGUUGUAGCUUUUGUGGCCAUCUUUGUCUUUUUUUCUUUCGGUUGUUGUUGUUUCCUCCUUUGCUUUGUAGCUUCUUUGCUUCGGCUCGCUUCCACUCUUUUUGCUAUUGCACUUAGAGUGUAAGCUUUGGCGCCAUUUUGUACAUUUGUCCUAAGCUUUAUUUAUUCAUUACCUUUACCAAAAAAAAAAAAAAAACACACACACACACACAUAGGUUUAUACACAAAUGUUUACAAAAGGGAUCGGCUCCCAAUAAAAGAGAAUUGUCCUAUGAUUAGCUAGUCGGACAAGAUCGCCGAUUCUUUGAGCUUCACCUCUUAAACUUCGGGGCUUAUGGUCCUUCACCAAUAUUAUCUAAGGACCUGAAAAUGGUUAUACAAUAACCAGUGAGACAAUAUUUCAGCGAGUUCUACCCCCUAAGACUCGAUUAGGAAGCAAAUACGCCAUAAGGGUUGCCUAAGCACAAUCACAAGUCGGAUGACUUACCUUGAUCUCAGUUCUUCCCUGCAAUUCAACACAAUUCACAAUCUCAUCGAGUCACAUCAACAUAUCAAAUCAUUCACUCAGAUCGACUUAUCGAUCAAUCGACUUAGCCGAUUACAUGUCCAUCAGACUAUUCCCCGAUCAUUCUAAUCAAUACUAUACAUUUUCCAAGAUGAUAUAUCUAGUCACCGAGCCCAGGUGCAUUCUCCAAGAUGACAUAUCUAGUCACCAAGCCCAUGUACAUUCUCCAAGAUGACAUGCCUAGUCACUGAGUCCACGUACAUUCUCUAAGAUAACAUGCCUAGUCACUGAGUCCACGUGCAUUCUCCAAGAUGACAUAUCUAGUUACUAAGCCAAUAUAAUAUAAUGUUCUUUCUCCAAGAUGACAUACUGAGUCAUCAAGUCAAACUAAUAUAAUGUUUUUCUCCGAGAUGACAUACCAAGUCACCGAGCCAACAUGAUAUACGUCUUUCUCCGAGAUGACGUACCAAGUCAUCAAGCCGACAUUUGUUCUCCAACAAUUUCUCACUUUCUAUCAUACUUGGUAAAAUAGCCAUGUGUGGGUACAUGGUUGGCCUUAGCCAAAAUAUAAUAACUUCAUUUCCAUAAAUCUCACCAUUUUAUAUAGUCCACAAAAUAUUUUUGACGUUGUAAACUAACGUUCGGUUAUUUUCCAAUCAAUUACUGAAAUUAAAUCAAUUUAAGAAUAAAUUCCAGAAAUGCAAUUCAUGCACAAUCAGCACAAUUUAAAGCUUAAUUAAAUAAACAAGUUGUUUCACUGCAAUCAGCAUAAAAUUCUGGUCACCGGCUAUUCCGAUCUAAUUUUCAUAAAAUAAAUAAAUAAUUAAAUAAUUACGGAAAUAUAUUAAAUAAAUGCCAAUAAAUCCAACUUAGGCCCGUAAUGCCUAAUUGGACGCCGAAACAGAUCUGAAAAAUUUCUAAGACUUGUUAAAUAAAUACUAGAGUCUAUUUACUCGCUAAUUGCACUAACUAUCCACCUAACAUGUAUUGGUAAUUAAUUAAAUUCACUAAUGUAAUCUAACUAAUCACCUAAUCAUACUUAAUAUAAUCAACCCUUAAGUGUGAUUAACCUACUAAACAAAGAUUAGUAAGUUAAAUUCACUUGUUCGGCGAUCCGGUUGGUGCAAAUCAACGGGGACACAACGGGGCUCGAUUCUCUCCAAAGUGGGCCAAACUUUCAUGGUCCGGAACAACCUCAAAAUGGGCCAAAUCCUUGCUAGAAAACCCACUCCUUAAACUUCUAUUCUUGGCUAGAAAAGAAGAAAAUAGAGGUUGGUUUGGCGAGGUAAGGGUAGUGAAGGUAGUAGGGACACUCGGUGGCCACCGGCAGUGCUUCACGGCGGUUGAACGGGGCGAGAUGGCUCUAAUUGAGCCUGUUGGACGGUGACGCAUGCCUGGAUGACAAGCUGGGUGUGGCUAAGGCAAACGGCACACACGGGCGAAGGCGGAGCAACGAUGGGCUAGCGUGGGGGCGUCGAAUGGCUGCGGUGGCGUGCGGCAGUGACGGGCUGCUCAGCUGGUCUUCUCUGGCUUGCUGCUGGUGUCGAUCAACACAAAUGGAGGUGGGAUGGAGGCUGCUGACCGGUAGGGAUAAGGAGGGGGGCAAGGGGGGUCACUUAGUCUCAUUUUCUCCUUAUUUGUCCUCCAAGACCAAGUCCAACUUGUCCACCAAGCUUGGCCAUCUUCCACUAGCAUUUUCCAGACCCGUUUGCCCCCAUCUAGAAGCUUGAGAGGGUCCAAAAGUCAUGGUGGUGGGGGGCAUACGAAUUUGCUUGAUUCUCUCAUCAAAUGGACACUUAUUCUUGCUUAAUUCAUCACAAACCAGUCUCCAUAAAAUCAACCGAUAUCUCAUUGAUCCAAUUAGUAUUUUUCCUCACCAAUUGAUCCCACUUGCAUCCCAAUUUCGCGAUAAAAAACGAUCCCUGACUUUUUUUUUUGACAAAAACGGCCUUAUGACGAUUUUUUCCCAAAAAGUCUCGGUUUGCAAACAAAUCUCCUAAGACUAAGUCGACGUUCCUAAGAUGAUUUGUAACAUGACAGAACUUUCAAUUUCUGAAAUCGGAUUCAAAUUCGUUGUUAAUUUCACUCUGGCACGUUUUUAGCGUGACCUAGGCUACAAGGUAUCUUUUAGAAAUUUUUAGUGCCAAUGACCCAUGGUCGAUUUUCUUCGAGCCACAAUGAACUCACUCGACACAUUGGUGACUCUCGGUUGUCGUGAAAAUCUCGAGGAUUCAAAUACGAACAUAGGGUACCAAAACGAUAGAAAAAUUAGUUUAAUGUCGGUCGACGAGAAUUUUUCAAUUUAGUGGAGUCACCCAUGUUUAGUCACACAUUUCAAUUGAACCAAUCUAUCUCUAAUUCCUAAUUGACUUAUAUAUGUGCCAUAAUGACCUCUAAAAACAAGUACGGUCGAGUAUUCAAUUCCUGGUCGAAUUCUCCAGUCUAUUGCAUUAAAAUUCCUUAAUGGCUUCCCUAGAUAGUUUAGUUAUCUCAAAGUGAUUAGCUCUGAGAACAGCCCUAUAGGCACGUUGAUGAAAUGUCUGAUUAAUUUAAAUGAAAGCAAAAGUGAAAAAUUCAAGAUGUCACAACAUGCUUAAUUUUGAGUUGAGCACGAGUUCGAAUCCCUCAAGUAUCUUAUCGAGUUGAGUUCGCGCUUUUUGAUACUUAGCUCGAUACCUUAUCGAGCUUUCAUUAUUAAAAGCAUUUGAUAACUAUAAAAAUAUAUAUGAAGAUAUAAUAUCCGAGCUUACAAAAUCGAAGCUCGAGUUUUGAUUGUAAGUUUGACUAUAAUCAAAUUGAGCUAGGGUAUUAUGAAACCCUAAGUGCCUUCGAUCAUUAGGACCUUUGCUCUUAUUAGCCAUCAAAGAGUUUUCCCAACAGGAGGUGUGGUUUUUCUUAGCGAACUUGCUUGGUCUCUGAAGCGACUCUGCCGUACAGAGAGGGUGGGGGGUUCUUGUCUUCAUAAUGGAUUGUCAUUGGAUUUUGAUUCCGAAAGGGGCAUAAUCGUCUUUUUAGUGAAAUAAUCUUACUUGAUGAGACAAUCCUUCACUGGAGAAAGGGCACAUGGAAAGUGGGAAAAUAAAAGAUAACAAUUUUGUCCAAUUUCGGUGAUGAAUAAAUUAAGAUAGAUUUAACUUAACAAAAAACCAGAAAAUUUAAUUCUGAUGGUGCUAUAAAUUGAAGUAAUUGUAAUUGUGAAGUGUUAGGGAUUCUAUUCAAUUAAAUGUCAUGUUUUUACUAUAAAAAAACCCCUAAAUUCGGUAUUCAUAUUACAAAUUUACCUUAAACUAUUUUUUUGAAUAUCAAAAACCUUAAACUGGUACACUUGUAAUAAAUUCACCAAAAACUAAUUUUUUAUCACAAAAAACCCCAAAUUGAUAGAUCCUAACAAAUUUACUCAAAACUAAUAUUUUAACAACAAAAAGCUCCAAACUGAUAAACUUACGACAAAUUUAUCUUCUGUUAACUUCUGUCAAAUUUUACUAUUAAAUUUGCUAACGUGGAUAACACAUGGUAAUGUGUCAUGUCCAUAGGGUAAAUAUCAUGAAAAACUCCAAACCGAUAUACUUAUAACAAAUUUAACGUUACUUUUGUGAUAAAUUUAAUGAUACGCCUAUGAUAAAUUUGGGAUUUUUUGUGACAUUAAUCCAAUGAAUUAUUACAUGGACUUGCUAUGUCACCAUAACAUGUCACAAUGUGUCAUUUACCUUAACAAAUUUAAUGGUAAAAUUUGAUGGAGUUUAAUAGAAGGUAAAUUUAUCACAGUCAUACCAGUUGGGAAGUUUGGAGAUUAUCAUGAGUCUACCAAUUUAAGGUAAAUUUAUCACAAGUAUAUUAAUUUGAGAUUUUUAGUUGUCAAAAAAUUUAUUUAGGAUAAACUUAUUAUGAAUGUACCAAUUUGAAAUUUUUCUUAAUAUUAACCCUUUAAUUUAUUGGCCAAGGUUACUACAUUCGUAAUUUGCAACCUCCACGGAUAAAAGCAACAUUAUGAGAGUUGAAAUGUGAAAUGAUUUAACAACAAUCCUAAACCUUUAAUAUAUCAAUUCAAUUCUCAACUUUUAAAUUUGAUUAAUUUAAUUCUAAAUAUUUUAAAGAUUUAUUUUGCGAUACAAUCAACACUAAUUAAAUAAUGCAACACAAUCAAUGCUAACGUAAAAAAAAAAAAUCAAUUUUAAAAAAAAAAAUCUGAUUUUUUUUUCCUUCCUUUUCUUUUCAUUUCUUCGUACUUUGUUUUCCCUUCUUCUUCUUUUUUUGCUUUCCUUCUUCCCCUGCCAAUUGCCUAGCCUGGGCAAAGGCCACAACAUCCUUGCCAAGGGUUGACCUCAUCGUCAAAGGCUCCAAUUCAUUACCACACCAAGGACGCACCACAUAAAAUAUACAAAAUUAGAGAACCCAAUGCCUUUCCUUUUGCUUUCCCAUAAAUAAAAAACAAUGUCAACUCCAAAAUAGAAGAAACUUCUCCAAGCACUACAUAGAUGCAAACAAAUCGAAUGUUCAUAGUAUGUCCUCAUAUUUGAAGGUUGUACACGCCAUAAGAUGAUCAGUGGGAGCGACAUUUCACACAAGGAUCCUAACAAGCAGAAUCCUAUAUUAUUCAUGAUUCAAACUACUAUGAAAUAUCGACCAAUCCCAAGCAGUUUCAGCCAUUAGACAAAUUAAUCAAGGUACUGAUCCACAGUCGUGUAUUUGACGUCGGGAUAGAGCUCUGAAGCUUCCACGCCGAACGAUGGCUCAAUCUCAAAGUUGUUUUGGUCUCCUUUCACGAAAACGGAAUGAGAUAUUGCCAAUAUCACAUUGAGCGGAACUGCUGCCUCUGCAAUAUCAUCAGACAAGUAGAUUGAUCAAUGUCAGAAUACUAAAAUCCCGGAGAGAAAUUGACAAUUUUACAUGCUUAAAUCUAAUAGAAAUGCAUCCCUAACCUAGAAUGUUCUUCAAAACUUGCUCCUCUGGAACGUAAACCCUCUCCAGGGUCUUGCCGAUCUUUCUCUCCCACAAAGACACGAGAUCAUUAAAUGAGUAGGCGUUGGCAGGAGGUCUGAUGUACAUAAUUUUGUUCAGGGUCCUUGGAUCAUCCAUAGCUUUAAUGGUAUAGGUGCCAAUGUCAUCCUCCUUGUUAAACAUCGAUGUAUAUUGACGGGGAGAAUUUUAGAAUUCAGUUAAUAAAUAUAAGCCAUCAAUAUUCCUAGAGUUACUUUCAGCUUGCAUUCAAAGAAGAAUUUUUUCGAUAAACAAAAUCACCGGACAACUCGCAAACAACUGCAUCCAUACAUUCUUUUUUCUAUCAAAUACAUUAAGAUAACCUUCAUGAUCUGCUGCCCAGGUAGUGUUGUGCCAAGAUAAACCAAAUAACUUCCAUGUCAUCCGUUAGUCUCUGAAAGUGAAGACUAAUGGAUGUAAAAGGCCAACAUCUCCAGACACAGAAGAUGCCUAGAAUUCUCAAGCUUCGAGAACUACCCCACUCUGAUCACUACUGUGAUUAAGUUGUGAAAAAUGUACAGAAAAAACUCAAAAAUUAAAAUGUGCAUCUCAAGAAAUUGCUUCUUACCUUUUACAUUUCCAUCCCCUAAAAUAACAACUUUAUCUCUAGGGGGACUGUAGCCCCAGGCUGCGACAACGUUGGAAGGAAGUAACCUGCAAAAAAGUUAGAAGACACAUAGGUAUAAGGGAUUCCCUCAGCCUCAACAAGGUGGUGAAUCUUGGCCUUAAUAGCAAAUGCAGUUUUUGCUGGCUCCACAGCAUGGACACGAUCCACAUCAUUUCCAAAUUCUGAAGGUAAGAAUCUCUGUGAAGCAAAUUAACUAAAUUAGAAGAAACAUUUUCACUAGAAAGCAACAAAAAACUAGAGUAUAUACCCCUUAUCGAACAAACUUACAUGAGUUCUGGCAAACAAAGAAAACAAACUUACUUGAGAUUGAAUUUCACGUUUUAAUACGUUACUAUAACAGAGUAAAAAUGAUUACAAGUGAAUCAAUACGAGCAAUGAAGCAAAUUUAACCCCAAGUGCUAUUAGAAAAAUAGAAGAAAAGAAAACUGAAGAUUUAAUUGUCAAGGCAUCAGCUAGAUAAGUCUGUCACGUAUAAAAUAUGCAAACAUGCCGUUAGCUUGGACACUUUCACAAGUAAUAAAAUAUUAGGUAAGCCCAAUGCCUUUUGUGAGUAUAUGCUGAGCUCCACUCACUAUGGACCGUCAUCCCCCAAAGCAACAACUACUAAACUAUCCACUAACUAGGUUUUGGUAACUUAUUUACAACAAUAAUGAAACCACCAAAGAGAGACCACUUGAAGGAUUAAGUAGUUCAUGUUUUCAUUCAUGAUCAAACAGCACGGUAGAUGACCGCAAUCCAUAUUGAGUGCUUGAAACCCUUUUAACUUUUCCAAUGACCUAGAGUAAACCCAACCGCAGUGAAGCCCGCACUGUCCGGUACUCAAAUUUGAAAUAGUUGUACUGAAAUUUCACUCACGACUUCUACACAAAGUCAUGACUAUAUAUUAGAAAGGAAAGAAAUGAAGUCUACGGACUAAAAAGUCAAAUCCAUCCCAUUUCGACACAUUGCCCACCGAUCUUUACAAGAUCAUAACAAGGAAUCUUACGGUUCUUACCAUGACAUCUGCAGAACAAAUCAGCCACAUUUACUUCUAUAUAAAAGUUCAUCUACGCAGUACAGAACAUAUGGAAAAUUUCGUAAAAUUUGUCUAUAAAUGUACUCGUUCGUAUCAGCAUGCGAAGCUGAGAUGAUUCGUCAGUAACAAAAUAACAGAGGAGAGAAAGAGAAACACCAAGCCGUAACGUGACUCCGUCGUCAACUGCGAUCUUGUGAAAGAUCGAGAUAAAAAUCGUCUCCGAUUCUAUGGCUAAAGACAUUUCUCCGAAUGAAGAACAAGAUGAACGGCAGGCGACGCUUCGAUUCCUCGAAGCAGCACCACAUGCGGGAAACGAACAGAGAUUGCACGGGAAUGACUACUCACGUGAACUAAAUUGAUGCCAAGCCUCUUGAAAACUACUACGAUUCCGGCCUUGGCGGGGCUGGAGAGAGUGGACUCCCUCACGAGAGCGAAGGUAGGGUGACCGGACUUGGCACUCGCUUCCACGAUGAACUUUCCGGUGUAUCCGGUGCCUCCGAUCACCAGGACCUUGCUCAUCUUCUCAAUACGUGCUUUUUUACGGGUACGUUGAUCGAAGGUUUCCGGAACUGCUCUGUUGUUGCCAGAGAGAGGCAUAGCGAGAGAGAGAGAGAGUGGGGGAGAUAGAAUAUAGAGAGAUGGGGGGAGAGAGGGAGAGAUAAAAAGCGGGGAUCCCGUCUUAACGACGAAGCGUCAAAUUUAGUGCAUCCUAGAAGGGUAUAAUCGUCUUUUCAGUGAAGUGAUUUUUUCUCGUCCUUCACUGGAAAAAGGGUACGUGGAAAGUCGGAGACUUUGCAGAAGAAAAUGAAAAUGUGUGAAAUAAGCCAAAAUAUGAAAAUUUGAAUUUUAAGUUUGGAAGGUGCUGGAAAUACAGGUAAUGGCAUGAUUUUGAAACGUGAGAGACUCGAAUUAACUUCAUAUUAUGAUUUUAUUUUAUUAAGCCAUCACAAUUGACAUUGAUUUUUCAUGUGACCGAAAAGGAAAGAGCUUUUCAUAUUAUGAUUUUAUUUCUCUAAUUACGUGUCAAGCCAUUGCAAUUAAUAAUAAUUUUUCAUGUGACCAGUGAGGAAAGAGUUGAAAUCGCAUAUUAGGGUUAUCGGAUCAUAUUAAGAAAAGAAAGUGAAAAUGGUAUCAAAGGGCAACGAACUGCUCUCCAUGCAUGUUCUGUGUUGAUCAAAAGAUUGCUGUUUUUCAUUUUCUUUUUUUUUUUUAAAAAGAAAAAGAAAAAAGAGAACAACCUUGUUAGAUUCGUUUGGGAAUUCAAGAGAAAGCAUGAUGUAAGCAAAUCAUAAGCAUGAUGCGAUAAUCUCUUUAUGAUUAAAGUUAAAGGAAUUUAAGUUUGGAUGUCCAUUCGAAUUGAAAAUGAAAUUUUUAUUUAUUUUAUAAAGUUAGUGAGAUAUUUCAUAGUACUGUCGUUGAGAAAAGGCCCCAAAAAUCUAUGCCCACCGUCCAUGGUAUGGUGCGAAAUAAUUCAUUAAUUCAGUCCACUAAUACACAAAUGGCCGAGCUUGGAGAUGGGAAUUUGUUUUGUUGUUAUACAUGCACGUAGAUGCAAUCGCAAAACUCUUACCAACAAUAUAAAUUGCCAAAUUUUGAAUGUGACUCUUGAAGUUUUGGCCCAGUCCAAAUCGACCCCCUGCUGUUACUUUUCUGUGAAUCAACUCUAGAAAUCUGUCACAAUUGAGUCCAAAGUGAUCACUAUUCCGGCAGGGAGAUCAGAUCGAAUUGAGGCCAGGAUGUCCUUACUUCCAUAUGAAUUGUGAAGUUAAAUGGCAAGGAUAAAACCAUUUUAAAAUUGUUUACAACUUGCUUAGAACUUAAACACUUGAAAGGGAAUUUUAAAUUUUGAGACGAAUAAUCAACGAUCAAAUACUUAUUACUAAACGUGUCCCAUACCGUUAUAACAACUCUCCGAACAUAUUGGCAAAAGUCUUUUGUCGGUCUCGACAGCAAAAAAUCUUCCAAUUUCAAGAGGCGCAAUAAAUCUAUGAAAACUCCCGGUUGGAGUAUAUACUAAGAUUUAUUAUGACGGUUCACUUUCUAAAUUUAAAUGGACCCAAAUGAUAGCAAUUUAGCACGGUCUUGACCCCGUUCACAACUUCUAUUCGGUCGUAAUCCCAGACAUACACUAUUAUUGGCAUCGCAGACUAUUUGAUAAGAUGGACAGCAGAAAUUUCGUUUCAUAAAGAAGGAGCGACAUAGCAUGACAUGCCUCAGAAAUGGAGAAACUCUUUCUUUUCGCUUGGCCGAUAAACCCAUGUCAACUCCAAACAGAAUUAACUUCUCCAAGCACUGUGUAGAUUCGCACAUAUUGAUUGUUCAUAGCAUGUCCCUAUAAUUGGAGGUUGUACAAGCCAUGAGAUGAUCAGCGGGAGCAACAUUUCAUACGAGGAUCCUAAGAAGCAGCAUCCUCUAUUAUCUAUCAUUCGAGCUGAUGUGAGAAACUUACCAAGCACAGUAGGUUUUGAUAAUCAAACAAACUAAUCAAGGUACUAAUCCACAAUCGUGUAUUUGACACCGGGGUAGAGCUCUGAAGCUCCACUUUGAACGAUGGUUCAAUUUCGAAGUUGGUUUGGUCUCCUUUCAUGUAGAUAGAAUGGAAUAUGGCCAACUAGGCAUUGAGUGAAAUUGCCGCCUCUACAAUAUGACCGGAAAAGUAGACCAAUUGAAGCUUGAGAAUACAGAUAAUUUCACAUGCUUAAAUCUAAUGAAAAAGCAUCCCUAACCUUGAAUGUUCUUCAGAACAUUCUCCUCUAGAACAUACACUCUCUCCAGGUCCUUGCCAAUCUUUCUCUCCCACAAAGACACGAAAUCAUCAAACGAGGAGGUGUUGGCAGGAGGUCUCAUGUACAGAAUUCUGUCCAGGGUCCUUGGAUCAUCCACAGCUUUGAUGGUAUAGAUGCUUAUGUCAUCCUCCUGGUUAAACAUGGCUAUAUAUUAAAGAGGAGAGUUUUAGAAUUUGGCUAACAAAUAAUUCACAGAGCCAUUGAUCGUCCUAGAGUUACUUUCGAGUUGUAUUUAAUAAAGAAUUCUCUCGGUAAAUAGAUUCACUAGGCCCUUGGCAUCGGUAUGUUCUUCUUCAUACCAAAUAUGAUCAAGAUAACCUUCUUUAUAUGCUGAAAAGGCGGUACUGUGCCAAGAUAACCCACAUGCAGAUAACCCACAUGACAUUCGUAUCAUCUUUUAGUCCUUAAACUUGAAGACUAAGGUAUGCAAAAGGCCCAAUAUCUCCAGACAAGGAAACUGCCUGGAAUUCUCAAGCUUCAAGAACUGCCCCUUACUCUGAUCACUACCAUAAUUAAAUGGAUGCACAGAAAAAUCUCAGUGGCCUAAAAUGCGCAUUUCAAUGAAUUGCUUCUUAUCUUUUGCAUUUCCAUCCCCUAAGAUGACAACUUUAUCUCCAGGGGAAGCUGUAGCCCCAGGCAAUGACUAUGUUGGAAGGAAGUAACCUGCAAAGCAAUUACGACAUACAUCAGUAUAAGGGAUUCCCUCAGCCUAAACAAGAAGGCAGAUCUUAGACUUAGUUGCGAGUAUAGCUUUCACUGGCUCCACGGCAUGGACACAAUCCACAUCAUCUCCAAUGUCUGAAGGCAAGAAUCUCUAAAAAGAAACAUAAUCAAAUCAGAAGAAACAUCUUUACCAGAAAGCAACAAAAACUUAGAGCAUCUCCUUAACCAACAAACUUAUAUCUCUUGCAAAAGAAAAACUAUAUAAGACUUAAUUUCAUGUUGUUUACAUAUGUUACUAUAAACAAAGUGAAAAGUGAUUAUCAGUGAAUCAAUUAAUUCAGCAAUUAAGCAAAAAUAGAAAAAUAGAGGAAACGGCAGCAGCCAGAUAACUAUCUCAAGUACAAAAUAGGCAAAUAUGCUGCUUGCUUGGACACUUCCACAAGAAAUAAGAUUUCAGGUAAGUCCAUUGCCUUUUGUGAGCAUGCCGAGUUCCACUUAUUAUUGACCAUCGACCACCCAAAGCAAUGAGAACUACUAAGUUCUAUCCCAGCAAGUGGGAUUAACAUAUUUGCAACAAUGAUAAUACUACUGAAAAGACCACAUUGAGUGCUCGAAACUUUUACAUUUUUGGUUGACCUAGAGGAAACCUGACAUCACGCAGUUUCAGGAUAGAUAAACCCUCCUGGAGUAUGUAGGCAGCCCAAUAUCCAUACAAAUAUCGAGACAGAGGAGGGCGCGAGUUUGAGGUCAAAGAGCCUUUGUGUGCGUGAAGAUAUAAAUCUAUGAGUAAAUUACAUGUACAUAUUAAUGAGUUCGUGUAGAUGGUACAUUUUGCAUCCAUGAUGACAGAAUUCCCUACCCAAUUAAAUUCGUCAAAGAGAAAUUGCGUGGAUUCAGAGCAGCCCACUUAGAAGACCAAACUGUCCUAUACUUGGGUUUGAAAUAGCUAUCGUCGAAUUUCACCGAUCACUUCUACACAAAGAGAUGACCAUUGAAGAAAAAGAAGUGAAGUCUGCAGAUAAAUAAGUCAAUCCACCUCAUUUCAUCGAAGCGGAGCUCAAAAGAGAAAGUAGUGCACCUACAUCAUCAGUCAAAUGGUAAACGAACAAUGGUAACAACAAUGAAAUAAUUAGAAACAGCACCACCUCAACAGUCCUGGCUGCUUUAGUGGCAGAAAAAAUCUUGUCUUGGUCCUCUAGUUGUUCGUUCCCAACAACAGAGAUUACCACAUCAACCUGCUUAAUCACGUUCAGUAGAAUCUUCUGGUCAUAUAUGUCUCCUUGAGAAUCAAAUAACCAAGAGCAUGGACAAACAAUCAAUGAAUGAAGUCAGCAAUCAUCCGCAAGAUUCAUCUGCGCAGCAAAGUGCAGCUACGUAGCUACAGUUGUCUCAUAAACCGCUAAAGCAUACGGAAGUUUCCACAAAAUUUGUUCGAAAAUGUGCACGGUCGUAUCAUCAUGCAACGCCGAGAUUUCUUCAGGCAUUCGAAAAACGAGAGCCACGUGAUUUCUUUUCUAACAUAUACAAAGACAAAACAUCAGAGAAUAGAAAGAGCAACACCAACUCCAUUAACUCCAUGAACUGAAAUAUUUAGAAAGAAAGCAGCUCCGAUUCUACUGCUAAAAACAUUUCUCAGAAAGGCAAACGAGAUUAUCGGCACGCGACGCUUCGAUUUUUCUAAGUAGCACCGAAUGCGGAAAAUGAACGAAAUCGCACGGGAAUAGCUACUCACGCGAACUAAAUUGACGCCUAAGCUUUUGAAACCUUCGACGAUUUUGGCCUUGGUGGGAUUGGAAAGCGCGGACUCCCUCACAAGAGCGAAGGUAGGGUGACCGGACUUAGCACUCGCUUCCACGAUGAACUUUCCGAUGUAUCCAGUGCCUCCGAUCACUAGGACUUUGCUCUUCUCCGGCAUCUCAGAGGGUUUUCUCACGGCGGAGGAGUGGCCUUUCUGGCCAGCGUGAUUUGUCUCGUGCUGCAACUGUUGGCGCUCGUCGAGAUGAGUGGUCCUUUUGUUUUGACUCCGGAAGGACAUAUUUAGUGAAUUGAAAUUUUUGCUAGCAUACAAUCUACUGUGAGGAAAUGGAUUUCAUAAUAAAUUAUAAUUAUUUACAAUUUAAUUUUUUAUGAUUCAGAAUAGACUAUUAUUCUCAUAAUAUAUUAAAAAUUAUCAUGUAAUCAUUUUUAAAUUUAAUUUUUAAUUAGAUACAAAUUACUUACCUAUCGAUUUUGACUACGAUAAUGUGAAUUUUUUUUUGAAAAUAGGAAUAAGUUAACUUACCGAAAAUAAGAAAUUAUGAAUUUAAGUUUUUUAGAGAUAUAAAAUUGAUUGCUGUGUUGACAAAUCUCAUAAAAAAGAAAAAGAAAUCAAUGGGCCUAAUUUAUGGUGGGCUAUAAUCACGGAAUUAAAAAAUGAAACCUUCCCUGUCGAGGACAAAAGUUGGUUGUUACUUCCUGACAAGAAAAAAGUUAUUUUAUCUUUUCUUCAGUAGAUAUUGUUGACAUUUAAGCCUCGUUCGUGUACUUUGGACUUUUAUAAAACGGUGUGAGACUGGGAGUUGGAGGCAGCCAUAGAAACAGCAUUCUCAAUAAGAAGGUUCUCCAAUUUUUGGUGCUCUUUUUCCAAAUUUUUAAAGUUCAUAAUAUUAUUAUUCUUUUGAAUCCAACAUUUGGUAUAAUGUUAUCCAUCAAAUUCAUCCAAUGACAACUUUCAAAGUUAAACAAAAGGAAUUUCAAUAAUUAGCCUGGCUAGAUGAAAGUUCUUUUUAAAUCACAAAAUUUGCAAAAUCUAGUUGACAAUGACUAAAUCAAACUAGCUGAUGCUGAGUAGUAUAUGCGACCUUUCAAGCCGGGGAUGAAAGGAUAUUUGAAAAAAUACCAAGCACAAACACUACAAAAGCGGUAUGUGAUAUUUUGCAAAAAUUCUACAAAGGCUAUUGUCAUGUAAGACAGAUGCGGCUUCAGAAAUAAGGUAAUUUUGAGUCUCUAUACAUGAAUAAUUAUAAAUCAAUCUCAACAUAUUUUGAUUUUGUACAAACUAUCAUUAACCAAUUAAGGAUUAAUGGUGAAAAACUUCAAGAAGUACAAGUGGUUGAAAAAAUCUUGGAGUAUUAAUUGAAAUAUUUGACUAGUUGUCGUAACAGUCAAAUAAGGGUGGGAUGUGACAAUCUUUGGAGUGAUUGAUGGGUUCAUUGUACUUGUGUGAGCAAAGAAUGAAUUAAAAGUCCAUUGAUUUAAAUCCCGAGCAAGCUUUGUGUAGUCAAGUUAGUCAAUUAAGCUGAGGAGGGAAGAGGUUGUCGGAGGUUCUCGAGAUAGAGGUGAAAAUUCAAAUUCCAGCGAAAAAUAUAUAAAACAUGACAAAUCAAAACUCAAGUGUUCUAAGUGCAACAAAUUCGAAUAUUAAAAAUCUGAGUUUCAGGCAAAGAUGUAGUACAAGCAUGCAAAACAAGCGCACGCAAUUGAUGCUGACGAAAACAUAGUGCUAGCAUGCAAAAAAGAUGACUAGAGCACCGUGUACAGCAACAUCUAUUAUUGACAUUUGUGCUUAGUAUGUACUCGGACUUGGAGGUUUGUCCAUGCCAUGAGAUGAACAGCGGGAGCCGCAUUUCACACUAGGAUCCUAAGAAGCAGCAUCCCAUAUUAUUUACUAUUCAAGCUAAUGUGAGAAAUUUACCGAGCACAAUCGAUUUUGACAAUCAAACAAACUGGUCAAGGUACUAAUCCACGGUUGCACAUUUGACAUCGGGGUAGAGUUCCAAAGCUUCCACACCAAACGACGGCUCAAUCUCAAAGCUGGUUUGAUCUCCUUUCACAAAAAUUGAAUGGUAUAUGGCCAACAUGUGAUUGAGUGGGAACGCUGACCAGUCGAAGCUUGAGAUAGAGAUAAUUUCACAUGCUUAAAUCUAAUAGAAAAUGCAUCCCUAACCUUGAAUGUUCUUUAGAACUUGCUCCUCUGGAACGUAAACCUGCUCUCGGGUCUUGCCGAUCUUUCUCUCCCACAAAGACACGAGAUCAUUCAUCGAGUAGGCGUUGGCAGGAGGUCUGAUGUACAGAGUUGUGUUCAAAGUCCUUGGAUCAUCCACGGCUUUGAUGUUAUAGGUGCCAAUGUCAUCCUCCUCAUUAUUCACCACUAUAUAUCGACGGGAGAAAGUUUUAGAAAUCGGCUAAUAAAUAAAUCACAGAGGAAUCGAUCUGCCUACAGUUACUUCCCGCACGUACUUAAUAAAGAAUUCUCUCGAUAAACAGAUUCAUCAAACAACUGGCAUCCAUAUGUUCUUUUCUCAACCACAUACAUCAAGAUAACCUUCUUUAUAUGCUGAACAGGUGGUAUUGCGCCAAGGUAACCCACAUGACAUUCAUAUCAUCUAUUAUUCCCUAAAUUGAAGACCUAAUGGAUGCAAAAGGCCCAACAUCUCCAGCCAAGGAAGUUGCCUGGAACUCUCAAGCUCCAAGAGCUGCGCCUCACUUUGAUUGCUAUCGUAAUUGAAUCGUGAAAGAUGUAAAAAAAAUCUCAACGGCUUAAUAUGCGAAGCAUUUCGACAGAUUGCUUUUUACCUUUCACAUUUCCAUCUCCUAAGAUGACAACUUUAUCUCUAGGGGGAACUGUAGCCUUGAGCUGUGCCAAUGUCGGAAGGACAUAACCUGCAAAACAUUUACAAACAUACAUAGGUAUAAGGGAUUCCCUCGGCCUCAACAAGGCAGCGGAUCUUAGCCUUGAUGGCAAGAAGAGCUUUCGCUGACUCCAGAGCAUGGACACAAUCUACGUCAUUUCCAAUCUCUGAAGGAAAGAAUCUCUAAAAAGAAACAUAAUGAAAUCAGAGGAUACAUCUUUAUUAGAAUGCAGCAAAAAUUUAGAGCAUAUUCCCCUAAACCAAAAAACUUAUAUGAGUUUUGGCAAAAACAAAGGAUGAGGAACUUACAUGAGACUGAAUUUCUAGUUGUUUCAUUAUGUUACUAUAACAGAGUAAAAUGUGAUUAUAAGUGAAUCAAUUUAUUCAGCAAUUCAGUAAAUUNNNNNNNNNNNNNNNNNNNNNNNNNNNNNNNNNNNNNNNNNNNNNNNNNNNNNNNNNNNNNNNNNNNNNNNNNNNNNNNNNNNNNNNNNNNNNNNNNNNNCAAUAUACACCCAGUCUUGAGCAAGUUCGCCGGGAAAAACCAUGCCUCCACCAUGAAAGAACCCUUCGAGAUGGCCGAAAAGAGCAUAGUGCUGGUGAUUGGAGGCACUGGAUACUUCGGAAAGUUCAUUGUGGAAGCGAGUGCUAAGUCCGCUCACCCUACCUUCACUCUCGUGAGAGAGUCCGCUCUCUCCAACCCUGCCAAGGCCGGCAUCGUGGAAGGUUUCAAGAGCUUAGGUGUCAAUAUAUUCCAGGUGAGUAGUUAUUCCCGUGCGGUUGUGUUCGUUCGCCAUUCUGAGAAAUGUUUUUAUCAGUAGGAUCGGAGUUGAUUUUUAUAUUUAUUUCUCUCUUGAUCGAGUUGAUGGAGUCACGUUACGAUAUGGCGUUGCUCUUUCUCUUCUCCAAUAGUUUGUCUUUGUGCAUGGAUGAGAUCAGAAAUCACGUCCCUCUCCUUUUUCAAAUGCCUGACGAGAUCUCAGCUUCGCAUGAUGAUACAAACAUGCACAUUUUCAGACAAAAUCUUAUGGGAAACUUUGAUAUGCUUUAGCUGUUUCUGAGACUGCUAUAGCUAAGUAGCUGCGCUUUGCUGUGUAGACAAAUCUUGCCAGUAAUUGCCGACUUCAUUGAUCAUUCGUGCAUACUCUUGGUUAUUUGAUUCUCAGGGAGACAUAUACGAUCAAAGGCAGGAGGUCUGAUGUACAGAAUUUUGUUCAAGGUCCUUGGAUCAUCCACAGCUUUAAUGGUAUAGGUGCCAAUGUCAUCCUCCUUGUUAAACACUGCUGCAUAUUGAGGUGGAGAGUUUUAGAAUUUGGCUAAUAAAUAAAUCACAGAACCAUUGAUCUUCGUAGUUACUAAUGUUAAACGAGCAAUGGUAACUCGGAUGAAAUUAUUAUAAACAGCACGACCUUGAUAUUCCCGGCUGCUUUGAUGGCUGCAACAAUCCUAUCUUGGAUCUCUACCUGUGUUUGCCCCACGGCAGAGAUUACCACAUCAACCUGCUUAAUCGCAGUUAACAAACUCUCUUGAUCAUAUAUGUCUCCCUGAGAAUCAAAUAACCAAGAGCAUGGACAAACAAUCAAUAAAGUCGCCAAUCAUCAAUCAAUCCUAUCUUGGCCAGUAGGAAGACUAUGAAAAAGGAUAGAUAUGAAGUCCGAUGCAGAAAGACUUCAAAGACUUCAAAACCUUCACUAGACGAGAAAAAGUAUUUUAAGAAAUAAAGCAUCCACAGAAUUAUCGUCCAUACAUUGCCUACCGAUCUUUUGAAAGGUUAUAGCAAGGGAUUUGCGGUGACAUCUGAAUAAAAGGUCAGUCACAUUCACUCUUAUAUACAAGUUCAUUUAGGCAGUACGUAAAAUAUGGAAGUUUUUGUAAGAUUUGUUUAAAAAUGUAAUCUAUUCGUACUUCGUAUCAGAAUGCGAAGCUGAGGUGAUUCGUCAGUCAAUGUGAAAAACGACCAAUAAUUCAGGGACAAAUUACUGGAGGAGGGAAAGAGAAACACCAAAUAUCAACUCAAUCUUGUGAAAGAUUGAGAUAAAUGGCGACUCUGAUUCUACGGUUAAAGACAUUUCUCAAAACGACGGAUGAGAUUAAUGGUAGGGGAUGCUUCUAUUUCCAUAGGAGCACCAAAUGCGAGAAACGAACAGGAUUGCAUCGGAAGAACUACUCACGUAAACUAAAUUGACGCCUAAGCUCUUGAAACCUUCGGCGAUGUUGGCCUUGGCUGGGUCGGAGAGAAUGGACUCCCUCACGAGAGCGAAGGUAGGGUGACCGAACUUAGCACUUGCUUCCACGAUGAACUUUCCGAUGCAUCCGGUGCUGCCGAUCACCAGAACUCUGCUCUUCUCGGCCAUCUUGGAGGGUGCUUUCACAGCGGAGGCGUCGUUCUUCCUGGCGAUCUUGAUCGGUCUGUGAAGUGACUCUGUUAUAACUGUAUGUGUGUGUGUCUAUAUAUAUAUAUAGAGAGAGAGAGAGAGAGAGAGAGCUAAAAGGCGGCGGGCUAAAAGGUGGCGGUUCUUGUCUUCGUGACAGGAUAGAGACUCGAGAGUCAUUGGAGGAUUCCGGAAGGGCGUAACCGUCUUUUCAUUGAAAUGAUUUUUCUUGUUGAGAUAAAUCCUUCAUUGGAAAAAUGGUACAUAGAAAGUGGGAAAAUAGACAGAAGAUAAGAUUUUGUUUAAUUUCAGUGAUGAACUAAAUUAUUGUGAAGAAAGAUAGAUUUUCUAUUUCUUUUUUGGUAAAUAAUCAAUAUAUUGAGCGUAAACCAAAACUAUACAACACAGUCUGGCACCAAAGACUUACUAUCAUAAGGACAAAUUAGUCCGAAUGAGUAGAGGGAUGCCGACAAAACAACAACAGCCACCAAACAAGUUAGGCACAAAGCCAACAAAGCUGAGGCAAAUAUAAGAUAGAUUUUAACUUAGCAAAAAACAAGAAAAUUUAAUUUUGAUAUUGCUAUAAAUUUACGUAAUCAUAAUUGAUGAGGAAAUAGUUGACACUACCUUUUUUACGUUGCCGCCGCCAACCCGGGUAGCCCGCUCACGGUGGGGGCUACCCGGGCCUCUUCAUUUCCCUAAACCCAGCCUAGUAUGCUAGGAGAAUGGCUUCACGGGGAUCCGAGGUGGGCUCCCCUUCCUUUUAGAGGGGUUGGCGGGGAAGCCAUGGGGACAUUAUCCCGUAAUCCUAGUUAAACCCCCUGUAAAUGGGGGCUAACUGGGCAUCCUGUGAUGCCCGAUUCAGGGUGGAGCAGUUUAAGGACCUGCUUAGGUCCUAACCGUCUUUUCAUUGAAAUGAUUUUUCUUGUUGAGAUAAAAUCCUUCAUUGGAAAAAUGGUACAUAGAAAGUGGGAAAAUAGACAGAAGAUAAGAUUUUGUUUAAUUUCAGUGAUGAACUAAAUUAUUGUGAAGUAAGAUAGAUUUUUUUUUUUUUUUUGAUAAAUAAUCAAUAUAUUGAGCGUAAACCAAAACUAUACAACACAGUCUGGCACCAAAGACUUACUAUCAUAAGGACAAAUUAGUCCGAAUGAGUAGAGGGAUGCCGACAAAACAACAACAGCCACCAAACAAGUUAGGCACAAAGCCAACAAAGCUGAGGCAAACGUAAGAUAGAUUUUAACUUAGCAAAAAACAACAAAAUUUAAUUUUGAUAUUGCUAUAAAUUUACGUAAUCAUAAUUGAUGAGGAAAUAGUUGAAACUACCUUUUUUACGUUGACUUUUAUCAUAUGAAAAAGAUAAGAAAAUGGUAUGAAAUGGGCAAUGAGCUACUCUACAUUUAUAUGGUAGCAUGAUAUUAUACAGCUACAUAGCUGUUGUGGUAUUGUUUCAAGGUUCAAUAAAUUCUUUUUCCUAGGUGGGUUGACACAAGAUUACCAUUCUUUAAUUGGCCAACAUAAGAUUACUAUAUUUGUAAUUCAUAACCUCUAUGGGAGAAAAAAGCAACAAUGCGAGUGUCGAAAUAUGGAAUGAUUAGUAAAAAGUUGUUAAACCUUUGACAUGUAUACCAAUUCAAUUUUAAAUAUUUUGAUUUGAUUAAUUUAAAUCUAAAUUUUUUAACGAUUGACCUUGCGAUACAAUCCCAAGUAGUACCAACACCGAUACGCAAUACACAAAAUGACAUGACAUGAUAUGCCAACACGUCUAUCUAAGAAAAGAAAAGAAAUCGAACACAUUAGGACACAUCGUAUAUUAAAUAUAUAUUUUAUAUAUACAUGAUAAAUUAUCAUUUCUAUGAUUAUUUUAAUCAAAUUAAUUUAAUUCAAAUUCACAAAUAAAUAAAUAAUAAAAAAAAAGACUAGAAUGAAUUUACACUAAAAAUUGUGAAUUAUAGGAAGUGAAAGUCAAAAGAGAAGAGGAGAUUAGGUUUUCUCUUUUCUCCCUUUUAUUAUUUUUAUUACUAUUUAUCUUUGUACAUAUUUCAUUUUGACUCGUCAUCUAUUGAAAAUUUUUAAAAUUGACUUGUGUGUAUCGAAAUCAUGUGUCGGAAUUCUGGACUUGCAUGUCAAACCGUGUUAGAAGAGUUAAUUACGUGUCAGAUUUUUUGAUAUCUGUUGACCGCGUAUCGAAAGGUGUCAAAGUGUAACACCGAACUCGCGUAUUGGGAGAGUUGAUCACGAGUCGGAUUUUUCAACACAUGUUAAUCACGUGUCGAAACAUGUCAAAGCAUAUUGAACACGUGUUGGUAUGACAUCCUGAAAAUUCAGUUUUGUUUUUAAUUGAAUGAAUCGAGUCUUUCAUCGAUGCGCUUAUAGUGUUAUUCUCUGAGCUGAUUACUCAUAAGAUAACUAAACUAUCUAGAGAAGUCAUUAAGGGAUUUUAACGCGAUAGACUUAAGAAUUCGACUAGGAAUCGAUUGUUCAACUAUGCUAAUUUGCAAGGGUCAUUAUGGCACAAUUUAAAAAUCGAUUAGAGACCAGAGAUAGGUCGAUUUGACAGAGGUGUGUGAUUAAGUGUGGGUGAUUCCACCUGAUUACAAAAUUCUUGUCGAUCGGCAUUAGACCGAUUUUUGAUCGUUUUGGGUACCCUGUGUUUGUAUUUGAGACCUCGAGAUUUUCAUGACAAUCGAGAGUCGCCAAUGAGUCGAAGAUGCACAAUGUGACUCAAGAAUAAUCGACCAUGGGUCAGUUGCACUAAAAAUUCCUAAAAGCUACCCGGUAGGUUAGGUCACGUUUAGAUCGUGCUAGAUUAAAAUUAACAGCGAAAUUGAACCCUAUUUCAUAAAUUGAAAGUUUUGAAAUAUCACGAUUUAUUUUAGGAACGUCGACUCAUCCUCCCAAGAAUUUUCGGAGAGUUCGGGAUUUUUAUGAAAAAUCAAUUUGAACGUUUCGGAAAAGAACGGAAAUUUGGAAUGGCCAAAUUGAAUGGAUUUUUGACUUCCAAACUGAGCUACUCGGCGAAAGGAAAUUGUAGAAAUUGUGUGGGCUUCUUCUUCAUCAAAAUUAGACAUCAAAUUAGAGAAUUUGUGGAAGAAAUUGAAAUCCAAAAAUGAGAAAAUUCUAAGCUUGGCAUGGGGGCUGCAACUUUGGCAAUCAAAGUGGAUUAUUUGUGGGAAAUUAUAAGUAAGAAAGUAAUUAUGGACAAGAGGGAUAAGAUUGAAGACUUUUUGGUCCAAGGAAUGAUGAAUAUAGAUUUUUUUCAUUGACUUUUGGCCCCCCCUCACCAAUCUUCUCUCGUACGCUACCUUCCCCCCUUCUUCGUGCGCCCGCUUCCUCCCGAUCCCCCUUUGUUCUGUCUCUUCUUCUUUUCAUUUUGUUUCUUCGAAGACCCGCAUGCUUCUCCAUCAUCGAAUUCCCCUCCAUCCUCUGCCAUCUCCACCGAGCUCUUCCCUUCAAGCUGCCACACGUCCACGUAUCUUCUCCCCCCGGUCAACCCCUCGCCAGCAGAAGCCCCGAAGUUGUGACUGCCCACCCUUAUCAACACUGCCAGCCCUCCACCACCGCUUGUCCCCUUUGACUGAAGCUGCUGCUCCUCUUUCACGUUGCCACGAAGACGCCAGUAGCGCCCCCUCUCCUUUGGCUUCUCUCCCGCACGUCCAUCUGUCCACCGAGUCAACAUUCAGCACUAGCCCUCCCCAGUGAAGACCACCGAAUUUCCUUCCAGCGCCACACGUCCUCCACUCCAUCACCCGUGCACGAAGCCGUCCCACCAAUUCCCUUCAGCGGUCAAUUGACCAGAAGUUUUCAACGCCAGCAGCUUCAUUGACGUGAGCCCAUCUCCACGUAGGAGCUCCUUUCAGCCGCAUGAUCAGCCCCAACGACUAGCCCACUCGAAGUCGCAAGUCUAACCGCAAGUUCAGCCAAGUCCAGCAGUAAACGUGGGCUUUGUGGGGCCGUUUUUGGCCCGGUCCAAGCCUCCGUUGGCGUCGCCGCUUCGGAGUUUGUCGCUUGUCUCUGCGUCGCCGUCACUGUAGACUCACCGGCUCGCAAAUUCAAUGAGUUUACUCACUAAACAUUGCUUAGGAGGUUAAUUAUGCUUAGGAGAUGAUUAGUUUAAGUUAAUUAAGGAUUAUGUGGUUAGUUAGAUUAGAUUAGUCAUUUAAUUAUCCAAUUCUGUAUGUUAGGUUGUUAGAUUAGAUUAAUUAGAGACUAGACAGGUUGUAUUAAUUAUCUAGAUUGGUUCGGAAAUUUCCGGACCCGUCUCGGUAUUUAAUUAGGCUUUUCCGGUCUAAGUUCCUAUUUAUAGCAUUUAAUUGUAUUAUUUAAUGAAUUUUAGUAAUUAUUUAAUUAUUUAUUAUUUUUCGAAAAUUAGACUGGGAUAGCCGGUGAUCGGAAUUUCAUGCUGAUUGCAAUGGUGUGUUUAGUUUAUGCAAUUGGAUGUUAGUUUGUGCAAAUCGAGUGCUGAUUGGAUUUUUGGUCAUUUAUUCCAAAAUUUAGAAAAAUUCAUUAUUUAUUUAGAAUAUUCCGAGUGUCGGAUUUUGACACCAAAAAUAGUUUUAUAUACUAUAUAAAACAGUGGGAUUUUAAAUUGGAGGAUAUCAAUUUUCAAGGAUUGAUCUAACCGUGUACUCACACACGACUAUUUUCACCGGGUGUUUUAAUAUGAAGAAAAUAGGCUAGGAUCACUAUUUUAAUGGAGGCUUUUGAGUGCAAUGCAUAGUGUCUUGGGCCGAAAUUGAUUGAUCAUGUGUUGGUUAAGAGAACCCGUCUCGAGCUUUUAAGCCGAAUGUUACCUUAUAUGGGAUACCCACUCAGUGGGACUCAAGUUGCAGUAGAUUCUAGACCUACGCUCCUUCGCAAAAGCCGUCUUUGAGAGACGUCGCCGUGUUCAAUGGUGGUGAGACGAUGCCUAGCUAUGCUAGUAGACUGCCAAAUAGAGAGUAUGACAUGCUAUAAGCCGAGAUCAAAACUAGGAACGCAUGUUUAAUUGAGUUAAAUGUGUCGGAUUAUGAGACAAAAUUGUGUGACAUAAUAUGGGACGUGUUAUAACGAUUUGGUUAUAUAAUUAAGACCUCUAUGCUUGUUUGAAAUUUGAGUGUGGCGUUCCAGUUAAUUGAGCUUGGUUGUUGCUCAUGCUUUUGUGCUGUCUAUGGUAUGAACUGUGCUGACCUGUAGGAAGGAUUUGAGAUGAGGUAAGUCUCUGUGGUUGUAUGAUUGUGUGGUUAUGACACUUUUAGGCGUAUUACCCUCCUAAUCAGGGUUUAGAGCAUGAACUCGCUGAGAUUUAUAUCUCAUCCUGUAGUGGGCUCAAUUCUUUUCAGGGCCGUAGAGUGAAGGAUUUGGAGUCGAGCUAAGGUGAUCUGAAGUGUAGAUCAGAUAGAAUAGUUUCUUUUAAGAGUUGGUCUUUUGAAGUCUUUUGGUUAUAGACUUUUGUAUAUGACUCAGUUGGUUUAUAAAAGCACAUUUUGUUUGUGAAUCUAUUGUCCUGCUUUUCUAUCUCGAGAUGGGUUUUUGUCAGGGGAUUCGUUAUUCGCUUCUGCAUGUGCAAUAAAAAGAAAUGGUCGGUAACUUGUUCUAGGAAGUCGCAUUUUUAUUAUAGACCACCGAGGGAUGGGCACGCACUCGAGGAUUGGGGUGUGAUAGUUGGAGUGUCGAUACGUCCCAAGAGUGUCAAUGCUUUCUAGAUACAUCAGGCGUCGUCGGCUUCUAAUGUAACACAACCAAUGCUCACAUGAAACAAUUUGAAAUUUUUUUAAAAAAAGGAUCUUUUCGGCUCUUUUUACCUUAUUUUCUUUCNNNNNNNNNNNNNNNNNNNNNNNNNNNNNNNNNNNNNNNNNNNNNNNNNNNNNNNNNNNNNNNNNNNNNNNNNNNNNNNNNNNNNNNNNNNNNNNNNNNNNNNNNNNNNNNNNNNNNNNNNNNNNNNNNNNNNNNNNNNNNNNNNNNNNNNNNNNNNNNNNNNNNNNNNNNNNNNNNNNNNNNNNNNNNNNNNNNNNNNNNNNNNNNNNNNNNNNNNNNNNNNNNNNNNNNNNNNNNNNNNNNNNNNNNNNNNNNNNNNNNNNNNNNNNNNNNNNNNNNNNNNNNNNNNNNNNNNNNNNNNNNNNNNNNNNNNNNNNNNNNNNNNNNNNNNNNNNNNNNNNNNNNNNNNNNNNNNNNNNNNNNNNNNNNNNNNNNNNNNNNNNNNNNNNNNNNNNNNNNNNNNNNNNNNNNNNNNNNNNNNNNNNNNNNNNNNNNNNNNNNNNNNNNNNNNNNNNNNNNNNNNNNNNNNNNNNNNNNNNNNNNNNNNNNNNNNNNNNNNNNNNNNNNNNNNNNNNNNNNNNNNNNNNNNNNNNNNNNNNNNNNNNNNNNNNNNNNNNNNNNNNNNNNNNNNNNNNNNNNNNCAUUUCUUAUGUACUUGUUUCCUCUUCUUCUUCCAUCAAUCACCAGGCCUUGGUGAAGGCCUCGAUGCCCUCACCAAGGGUCGACCUCACAUGCUUGGGGCAAGGCUCGACCUCAUGGCUCCACUUCAUUACCCACACCGAGGAUGGACCAUAUAUAACAUACAAAAUUAGAGAAACCCGCAUCUAACUUUUAGCUUACCAUAGCUUGGACAUAAAACCAUAUCAAACUCCAAAAUAGGAGUAACUUCUCUAAGCACUGCAUAGAUGCACACACAUCGAAUGUUCAUAGUAUGUCCUCAUAUUUGGAGGUUGUACACGCCAUAAGAUGAUCGGCGGGAGCGACAUUUCACACAAGGAUCCUAACUAGCAAAAUCUUAUAUUAUUCAUGAUUCAAACUGAUGUGAGAAACCUACCAAAUACAAUCAGUUUCGGUUAUCAAACAAAUUGAUUAAGGUACUGAUUCUCGGUCAUGUAUUUGAUGUUGGGAUAGAGCUCUGAAGCUUUCACUCCGAAAGACGGCUCAAUCUCAAAGUUGGUGUGGUCUCCUUUCAAGAAAACAGAAUGAGAUAUGGCCAAUAUCACAUUGAGCAGAACUGCCGCCUCUGCAAGAUGACAAUACAAGUUGAUCGAUUGACUUUAGAAUACUCAAGUCUCGGAGAGAAAUAGACAAUACACGUGCUUAAAUCUAAUCCCUGACCUUGAAUGUUCUUUAGAACUUGCUCCUCUGGAACAUAAACCCUCUCCAGGGUCUUGCUGAUCUUUCUCUCCCACAAAGACACGAGAUCACUAAACAAGUAGGUGUUGGCAGGAGGUUUGAUGUACUGAAAUUUGUUUAAGGUCCUCGGAUCAUCCACGGCUUUGAUGGUAUAGGUGCUGAUGUCAUCCUCCUUAUUAAUCACUGCUGUAUAUCAACGGGAGAGAGUUUUAGAAUUCAGCUAAUAAAUAAAUCACAGAGCAAUCAAUCUACCUAGAGUUACUUUCAGCUCGCAUCUUGUAAAGAAUUAUCUCGAUGAGCGGAUUCAUCAAACAACUGGCAUCAUAUGUUCUUUUCUCAACCCCAUACAUCAAGAUAACCUUCUUUACAUGUUGAACAGGUGGUAUUGUGCCAAGGUAACCCACAUGACAUUCAUAUCAUCUAUUAGUCCCUAAAUUGAAGACUAAUGGAUGCAAAAGGCCCAAAAUCUCCAGACAAGGAAGUUGCCUGGAAUUCUCAAGCUCCAAGAACUGCUCCUCACUCUAAUUGCUAUCAUAAUUGAAUCGUGAAAGAUGUACAGAGAUCUCAACGGCUUAAAAUGCGAAACAUUUCGACAGAUUGCUUCUUACCUUUUACAUUUCCAUCUUCUGAGAUGACUACUUUAUCUCUAGGGGGAACUAUAGCCUCAAGCUGUGCCAAUGUCGGAAGGAUGUAACCUGCAAAACUGUUACAACAUACAUAGAUAUCAGGGAUUCCCUCGGCCUCAACAAUGCCGCCGAUCUUACCUUUGAUGGCAAGAGUAGCUUUUGCUGGCUCCACAGCAUGGACGCAAUCCACGUCAUUUCCAAACUCUGAAGGCAAGAAUCUCCAAAAAUAAAAUUUAGAAGAGACAUCUUUGUUAGAAAGCAGAAAAAAUUUAGAGCAUAUUCCCCUUAACCAAGAAACAUGUAUGAGUUCCAACAAAAAAAGGAAGACAAACUUAUAUGAGAAGGAAUUUCGAGUUGUUUCAAUAUGUUACUAUAACAUAGUAGAAAGUGAUCAUAAGUGAAUCAAUAAAUUCAGCAAUUCAGCAAAGUCGACUCCAAGUGCUAUAAGAAAAAUAGAAUAAACAGAGCAGCAGCCAGAUAACCCUGUCAAAUAUCGAAUAGGCAGACAUUCUACCCUGUCAAAUAUAGAAGAGGCAGACAUUCUGCUUGCGUGGACACCUUCACAAGUAACAAGAUAUCAGGUAAGACCAAUGCCUUUUGUGAGCAUGCCGAGUUCCACUCACUAUUGACUGUCAAUCUAUGUAGCACCGACACGGACACGCGACACGCGACACGACACGACACGACACGCCGACAUGUCAUUUCUUAAAAAUAGAGAAUUUUGACACAUUCCGACACGUUAUAUAUUAAAUAUAUUUUUAUAUAUAAAUACAUAAAAAUAGCAUAGAAUUAAUUUACACGAAAAAUAUUAAAUAAUAUUAUUAAUUAUUUUAAUUUGUUACAAUAAUACAUAAAACUUAGAGGAAACAAACAUUGUUUAAAGAAAAAUGCUGAAAUGAUAUUUUUAAAUUUAUUUAUUUAUCAUAUAUAGCAUUUUUUUAUUACUUCUUUUAUAGUAAAAGACUUUUGAAAAAACUAAAACAAUUCUAAAAAGCCAAAACUGAAAAAAAAAAAAAAUGGACCCCGUGCGUGUAUAUUUAUAGCAAUUUUAUUACUUCUUUUAUUACUUCUUUUGUGUAUAUUUAUAUUUUGACCCCUCAAGUAUUAGAAAUUUUAAAAUUGACCCCAUGCGUGUUGGAAUCAUGUGUCGGAAUUCUAGACUCACAUGUCAGAGCAUGUCGGAGAGAGUUGACUACAUGUCGGAUUUUUCGACACUCGUUGACCGCGUGUCGGAGCGUGUCGGAGUGUUGGACACGACACGAAAGCUUCCAAAGAGUGUCCGUGCUACAUAGCUGUCAACCACUCAAAGCAGCGACAAGUACUAAGUACCACUUCAAGGAUUAACUAGUUCAUGUUUCCCACACUGUCCUAUAGUUGAAUUAAAAUAGUUACUCUUGAAUUUCACUGAUGACUUCUACACAGGGUUAUGACCAUUUAAAAAAGAAAGAUGUUGAAGUCUACAGAUAGAUAAAUCCAUCCAUCCCAUUUCAUCAAAGCAAAGCUCGCAACGACAUCGCAAUGCACUUAAACUAGUAAGACAAGAAUCAAGCUAACACCCAUUAGUCAAAUGCUAAACCAACAAUAGGAACUUGAAAUGAAAUUACUAGGCACAGCACCACCUUGAUAUUCCCAGCUGCUUUAAUGGCAGCAACAAUUCUGUCUUGGUCCUUUACUUGUGCUCACCCCACAGCAGAGAUUACCACAUCUACUUAUGUAAUCACAAUAGACUCUCUUGAUCGUAUAUGUCUCCCUGAGAAUCAAAUAACCAAGAGCAUGGACAAAUGAUCAAUGAAGUCGGCAAUCAUCUGCAAGAUUUGUCUACACAGCAAAGCGCAGCUACGUAGCUAUAGCUGUCUCAGAAACAGCUAAAGCAUAUCGAAGUUUCCACAAGAUUUUGUUUGAAAAUGUGCACGUUCACAUCCUCAUGCAAAAGCUGAAAUUUCGUCAAGCAUUUGAAAAAGGAGAGGGACGUGAUUUCUGAUUUCAACCACGCACAAAGACAAAAUAUCAGAGAAGCAAAAGAGCAACGCCAGAUCGUAACGUGACUCCAUCAACUCCAUAAAGUGAGAGAUAAAAAUCAACUCCGAUCCUACUGAUAAAAACAUUUCUCAAAACGGCAAACGAACGCAACCGCACAAGAAUAACUACUCACCUGGAAUAUAUUGAUGCUUGAGCUCUUGAAACCUUCGGCGAUGCCAGCCUUGGUGGGGUCAGAGAGAGCGGACUUGUCAUGCCUCGGAGCUCCGAGCGCGCGCACAUCCCUCGAUGGUCAAUGAAAUUGCGAAGUCCUAGGACGCGUCGCCGACCCAUUCAUUUUAUUGCACAUGUGGAAGCGAAUAAAAUAAACCCCUAACAGCAAAUAGCAUGGGAUAGAAAAACAGGAUAACAAAUUCACAACAAAAACACGCUUUUAUACACAAACUAAGUUUAUAUACAAGACUAGCCUGUUUACCAAAAAGAUUAGCCCUCAAAAAGGAAAAUGUCCUAUGGUCCACUAGUCGGACGCGUUCACCAAUCAUUCGGACUCCACAGGCUCCGGGGGCACUGGGUCCACCACAGCCCCAUCAAGAGGGUCAGCUGUAUCCUCGCCAAAAGCGGCGUCGACUACCACAAUGGGGAUCUCAAAACCCUGGAGGGGACCAACUCUGUAUCUAUUUAGCCCGUGGCGAAACCACACCCUAAAUUGAUGAGGUACUCUCUAAGGUUGGCCCUCACUGACCCAGACGGUGGUCACUACGAGCUCAUAAACCCGGACCCCGUGGCCUCCGGGAAUAGGGUAGUCAGUAACCAACUCGGUAACCCUUUGAGGCUAACCAUAACGUAUCGGUGGAGCUGCCAUCUAAGGACCUGAAAAAAAAAAUUUUGAGCCCAUGACGGGGUGAGACAAUGUUUCAAUAAGUUCACCCUCUAAACUCCGACUAGGAAAGAAAUACGUCUAGCCACACAAUCACACAACCACAGAGACUCACCUUGUCUCAGAUCCUCCCUGUAGAUCAGCACAGUUCAAAAACACAACCAUAUGCAGUAAUCAAACUCAAUCAAUUGGAACGCCACCACUUUCAUCUCAAUAAACACAAGGGUCCCGAUUAUAAGGCCAAAUCGUUAUGACAUGUUCUAUACUAUGCCACACAAUUUUGUCCCAUAAUAAGGCGCGUCAAGUCAAUCAAUCAUGCAUUCCAAUUGAUUACAACCCAACGGUUACGACCGACUCAACAGUCACCGGUCUUUUGGGGUAGUCGGGUGUCGUCUCGCACCAUCGAGCAUUGCAACAUCUACAUCUAGACGACAUUCCACAUAAGAGCAUUGGUCCAGCCUCCACUGCGAUUGGCAUCCGUUGACUUGGGGCAUUCUCGAAGGAGCAUCGCCCGGCCCCAAAAGCUCGUGAUAGGUUCUCAUAUCAUUCAUGCACCCAUUCAAUCCCGGCCAAGACAUCGUGCUUCAUACUCAAAUGCUAUAAUUAAAAUAAUGUACUUGGCCUAUUUUAUUCCGUAUUAAAAACACACAGUAAAAUAAUCGUGUGUGGGUACACGGUCAAUUUGGACCAGAAAAACUGAUACACUUCUUUUUAAAAUCUCACUAUUUGAUAUAGUAUGUAAAACUAUUUUCGAUGUCAAAAUUCGACACUCGGGGUUUUCUUAGUAAAUAUCGAAAUUUCACAAUUUUGGAAUUAAUAACCAAAUUUCCAAUCACUACUUAAUUUGCACAAAUUAACACUCAAUUGCAUUAACUAAGCACACAAUUACAAUCAACACGAAAUUCCGGUCACCGACUAUCCUGGUAUAAUUUCUAGAAAAUAUUAAAUAAUAAAAAUAAUUAAAUAAAGCAAUUUAAAUACCAUAAAUACCAACUUAGGCCGGAAAUAUUAAUCUAACCACCUAAACGGGCCUAGACUAUUUCCGAACCUAACUAGAUAAAUAGUACAAUCUAUCUAGUCUCUAAUUAGUAUAUUCUAACCACCUAACAUGCACAAUUGAACAAUUAAAUAAUUAAUCUAAACUAACUAACCACCUAAUCCCUAAUUAGCCUAAACUAAUUAUCCACUAAGCGUCAUUAACUCCAUAAGUAGAGUUUAGCAAGUAAACUCACCGGUUUAGCGGGCUGGUGAGUCCACGACGUUGGCGACACAGAGAUGAGCGACACUCGAGCUUGCGACGACACCAACGGAGGUUUAGACGGGCCUGAAAACGGGCACGAGCUCUCAGCUAGGAGCUGAGCUUUGGCCACUGCUCAAGGCUGCUGGGCUGGAUCAAAGGGGCUGAAACGGCACAGGAUGGGACGCGGUGGCUGUAGCGACUCCAAGCGGUGGUUUCGGCUGGCUAGAUGGUGGCAAACGGUGACUGGACAUCAACCAGGAGGUCUUGACGGUGGCCAGGACACGUGGGGGAUGGCGAACAAGCGGGACGCAAGCAAGGUAGGUGGACGGCUCGCAAGUAGUGUGCGGGCUCGCGACGAGUAGACAAGUGGUGAGGGGGGCUUUGGCGGCGGUCGACGGGCUAAGGGGAGGGCUUGCCGGUUUCUGUAGUUUUUCUCAAGCUCUAAAACUCUCAACAAUGGAUAAAGUGGGCUCAAGGAGGGAGAAGAAGACAACUACAGCAAGAGGGGGAACCAAUGGCCUCAAAUAUCCACCAAAAUGCUCAUUGCUUGGCCCCCACUUGAUCAGCCAUAUCCUUAGCCAUUUGUCCUCACUCAAACUUUCCCUAGAAGCUUCCCCAAAUGGUCCAAAUGUUGCUGCAUCCCAUUGGCUACGAAUUUGGACAAUUCCCUCCAAAUUUUAUUCAAUUCCUCUCCAAUUGAGCUCAAAUUAGAGUCCAAAAAUUCAGCCAAGGUGUCAUCAUCCAUUUCAUGAUUUUUCCUCAUCAAUUGAACCAACUUGACAGCAAAAAAUCUGACAAAAAAGGGCCCUCUAAUUUUCCUGGUCCAAAAUAGCCUUAUUUUGAUUUUUCGCCGAAAUCUCGAGUUUUCAGAAAAAUCUUCGGAGGAUGAGUCAACAUUACUAAAAUGAAUCGUGACAUGACAAAACUUUCAAUUUUUGAAAUCGGGUUUAAAUUCGCAAUUAAUUUCAACUGGGCGCGAUUUUAGCGUGACCUAACCUACUGGGUAGCUCUUAGAAAUUUUUAGUGCAAUUGACCCAUGGUCGAUUAUUUUCGAGCCACAUUGUGCAUCUUCGACACAUUGACGACUCUCGGUUGUCGUAAAAAUCUCGAGAUUUCGAAUAUGGGCACAGGGUACAAAAAUGACAGAAAAAUCAGUCUAGUGCCGUUCGACAGAAAUUUUGCAAUCCGGUGGAAUCGCCCACACACUAAUCACAUACCUUUGUCGAAUCGACCCAUCUCCAAUCUCUUAUCGAUUUCGACAGUGUCGUAUUGACCAUUGCAGAUUAGCACAAUCGAGUAUUCGAUUUCUAGUCGAAUUCUCAAGUCUAUUGCGUCAAAAUCCCUUAACUGCUCCACCAGAUAGACUAGUUAUCUCGUGAGUGAUCAGCUUAGAGAAUAGAACUAUAGGCGCAUCGAUGAAAAGCCCAACUUAUUCAAUUGAAAACAUAAUUGGAAAUUCGGGAUGUCACAACUCUUCCCGUCUUAUAAAAAUUUUGUCCUCGAAAUUUAAAUCAUUACAAAUAUUUAAACAAAAAGGUAGAGGUACAGUCGUCUCAUUGGAUAUUCACUUUCCCAGGUUGCUCCUUCUGUGCCGUGGUGUUACCAGACCACUUUGACUAACAAGAUUGUCUUAGUGUGCAGAACAUGUUCCUUGCGGUCUACAAUCUGAACCGGUCUCUCUACGUAUGACACCCUAUUGUCCACAUCUAACUCUUCAAAGUUCAGCACAUAGGUCGGAUUAAGCUCAUACUUCCUCAACAUUAACACGUGAAAGACGUUAUGCACUUGCGCCAACCUUGGUGGCAAUGCAAGACGAUGCACUUGAGUCCCUAUCCUUUCUAGAAUCUCAAAAGAAUCUACGUAUUUCGGACUCAACUUUCCCUUUUUGCUAAAGCGCGAAUUACCCCUCAUCGGUGACAUCUUCAAAAAGACGUGCUCACCAAUUUGGAAUUCCAAAGGUCUUUGACGCUGAUCUGUGUAGCUCUUCUGACGGCUUUGAGUAGUCUUUAAUCUGUCCUUGAUAACUGUGACUGCAUUCACUGACUGUUGAACCAACUCUGGGCUUGUGAUUUUCCGUUCUCCAACCUCAUCCCAACAAACUGGCGUUUUGCACGCUCUACCAUACAACGCCUCGAAAGGUACCACCUGAAUACUCUGCUGGUAGCUGUUGUUGUAGGCGAACUCAACAAUAUGAAGCUGUUCCUCCCAACUUCCUUUGAAAUCCAACACACAAGCUCUCAACAUGUCCUCAAGAGUCUGAAUCGUCCUUUCAGACUGGCAUUUGUCUACGAAUGAUAAGCCGUACUGAAUUGCAGCUUUGUCCCCAAGGUGAUCUGUAAACUUUUCCAAAAGGCAGUUGUAAAUCUCAGGUCUCUAUUAGAUGUGAUUGUCACCAGCACUUUAUGCAACGAAUAAUUUGAUGCACGUAUAAUUCUGUGUAUCUGUCCAAUGCAAGGUCCUUUUGUACGGCGAUAAAGUGAGCCAACUUCAUCAGUCUGUUGACCAUAAUCCAAAUGGAAUCAUUACCCCUCUGACUCCUCGGUAAGCCCAUCACAAAGUCCAUUGUGAUGUAUUCCUAUUUUCACUCAGGAAUCUCGAGAGGUUGCAGAAGUCCUCUCGGCUUACAGUGAUGUGUCUUCACUUGCCGACACGUUAGACAUUUGGCAACAUGUUUAGAAAUAUCCUCCUUCAUACCGGUUCACCAAUAGUGUUGACGCAGAUUCUGAUAUAUCUUCGUACUGCUUGGAUGAAUGCUGUAACUACUACAAUGAGCUUCUGACAAGAUCUAUUCUUUAAGCUCUUCCUCGUUAGGUACACACAAUUGUCCUCGGAACCUUAGUGUUCCGUCUUUAGAAAUUUGAAAAUUAGCCUUUCUCUUUUCGGUAUCCUUUUGCAGGAUUUUCUAAAUAUCUGGGUCUGUCAACUGAAGCGUCUUGAUUCUGAUUCUCACUUCCGGCUCAAUUCUGAUGGUGGCCAUAAGAUUUGAAAUGUGACCUACCUCAAAUUUGAAAACCGAAUCUCGAGCUCUUUCGAGUAAAAUCCAUUCCUUAACUAUCAUUUGUGCAACUGAAGACUUCCUACUCAAAGCGUCUGCGACCUUGUUAGCCUUUCCAGGGUGAUACAAGAUGUUGCAAUCAUAGUCAUUCAGAAGUUCCAUCCAGCGACACUGUCUCAUAUUUAACUCCUUUUGAGAAAAUAUAUACUUGAGACUUUGAUGGUCUAUAAAGAUUUGGAAUCUUUCUCCACAUAAAUAAUGUCUCCAAAUCUUCAGAGUAAAGAUGAUUGCUGCGAGUUCCAAGUCAUGCGUCGGAUAAUUCAGCUCAUGAGGUCUCAACUAAUGGGACACGUAUGCAACAACCCUACUAUGUUUCAUUAACGCGCAACCCAGUCCUCUAAACGACGUAUCACUAUAGAUCUCAUACCCUCCAGGACCAUAUGAAAUUGUCAACACUGGUGCGAUAGUUAGUUUCUACUUAAGCUCUUGGAAACUACGCUCACACUUAUCUGUCGACACAAACUUCUCUUCCUUCUUCAACAGUCAAGUCAACGAUGAGGCCAAAACUGAAAAUCCUUCCACAAACCUUUUGUAGUAACUUGCCAAACCCAAAAAGCUUUUGAUCUCUGUCACUGUUGUCGUUCUUGGCCAGUUGAUAACUGCUUCGAUCUUGGUCCUUCGCCUGAAAUCACGUGACCUAGGAAUGCAACAUGAGUCAACCAAAACUCGCACUUGCUAAACUUAGCGUACAACUCAUGGUUCCGUAGUGUUUGAAGCACCAUCCUCAAAUGCCUUUCGUGCUCCUCAGGACUUCUCGAGUACACCGGGAUAUCGUCGAUAAAAACAAUCACAAAUUGAUCCAGAUAUUCUUUGAAAACUCAGUUCAUCAAAUCUAUGAAAGCAGCUGGGGCGUUCGUCAAACCAAACAACAUUAAAGUGAACUCAUUGAUAUAGCUAGUAUAAGUACCUAGAGGGGGGUGAAUAGGUAUAUAAAUAAUUUUUCGAGAUAUGAAAGCAAUACUAGGCAGACAAUAAAAAGAAGACUCCUCUUUUGUUAAUAGAACGAACUGUUGACAAAGUAAAAGGAGUAGGGACUGCCAGACUCAAGACUUAAAGUAUAUUCCCAGUGACAGUUUUUAAUCCGUUGAAGUAAGGCUAUCCAGAUCUGUGUGAUUCUUUGUGGACUCAGCCUUAUCGACUGGAGAAGAUCUCUUGGCUGGAUGUGACAUAACGGAUUCCUUUUAAGAUUGAUUAAGGAUCCGAUGAUUGGCGAAGUAUUCUCGGAAGGUUCUACUUAUGGAAACCAAGAUCCUGAUUGUAUGGGCGAGCAUGAUUGAUGGGCUAUCGACAUGUUCCUUUAAUAGCUCGAAUGAUCUUCCAAAAUUGAUUCUGUCCAACGGGAAGAUUGGAAGAAUUCAUUUGGUAAGUGCCAACGAGUAUGAUGGCAUAAAGGAGUAUAAAAGGAAGACGUUCCAGUUGUUCGAAGUGUGUGCACGAUAAAGAAUUCCAAAGUCUGAAGCUCCUUGAUUCGUAGUCAAUUCAUUAAUUGAACGACAAUCUUGUAUACUGAGAGAGUUCAUUUUGAGACAUACCUGGAGGAAGAUUGUAGAUAUCAUACUGUGGAUCAGGAGAGCAUGGCUGUAACAUCCCUUUUGUCNNNNNNNNNNNNNNNNNNNNNNNNNNNNNNNNNNNNNNNNNNNNNNNNNNNNNNNNNNNNNNNNNNNNNNNNNNNNNNNNNNNNNNNNNNNNNNNNNNNNAAGGAUGGCUGGGCAAUCCAUUCCUUCUCGCUAUGGAUGUGAGUCACGGUGACUAUCAGGAGAAAUGAAAAAGAUCGAGAGUACUCGACUCAUAUAAGUUUGAUUUAUAGUUCUAUGUGUGUUCUUAGAACGGCGAGAUUGAACUCAGAGAUAUGCCAAGCGGUCUUUGAAUUGAAAAAAUCGCCUGGUUUGAUUAAUACCUAUGUCCCCAUGUGAUGUAACUUACCGAAUCAAAAUGCAAGUUGGCCUUCGAAGCAUUGGUCUCUAAAAUGGUAUGAGCCAGACCUGGUGUCAAUCCUCUUCUUUCACGGAAGCCUUCGAUUCUCCUCGGAGAUCAAUCAAAACCCAGAGCCGACCAAGUAAACUGGAAAAUCCUCCGAGGGAAAGCGGAGAUGGUGGGAGGUGUGCAAGGAGCGAGCAAGAGGCGACCGGAUGCCGUCCGGACGCAAGCGGUGAUCGUGAGCUCUCGCGAGAGAAUUGGACAACGUCGUCGCACAAAUGGAGAGAGAGAGAGAGCCACGCGACCUCAAAACGCACAAGAAUUGGAGCCAACGCCGUCCAAGACUUCGUCUGGUUAGUUGAACAACCGAUCAUGACCAAUGAUCGCUCCUCGCAGAGAUAAAAGCUCUCUGUUCUGUUUUGAGUGUCGCACGUGUGAAAUAGAGACCGGGAGCUUGGAUGUUUGCUAGCAAUGAAAAUUGCUCACAUCCAAGAUUAUAUUACUAACAACUGCGAUUCGGUCUUCAUGAUCUCGUGCUGAUUGGGUCGUGAUUCUCGCUCUCUCGUUGCUGGACUGUGCCAUUUCAUCGAAUGCACAUUAAAUGUCUGGUGAAAUGCCUGAGCCAUAUUAGUCUGAAUACACAUCGUCUUUGUCUGCUUGAAUGACUCAUUGUACCAGUUGGAUAGGUUAAGUAGAUCUAAAUUGAUAUCCACUUUUGAGUCCAUUCCCGAAUGUCUCGGUCUUGGUAGGCUUCCGGUACUCUAAGGCAGAUAACUCGACUCUCUGAAAUUAGCUAAAAAAGAUGAUUCCGGUACUCUAAGGCGGAUAAACUCGACUCUCUGAAAUUAGCUAAAAAUGAUGAUAUGCUGAAUUGUAAAUACUCUGUCGAUGGUUGCCGGUGCGCUCAUGAAGCAUAGGCUGAUCAUGGAGACUAAUACAUUGUAGUGUGGAUCCCAUUUGAUGUACAUAUCUUUUUCUAAUAUUGAAUUCCAAAUCACGGCUUCUCUGCGAGUGAACGUGAAUAUGUGUUCAGCGGAUGAAAAAACAGUGUGGCAGUGCCGGCACGUUCUUGUUGCAAAAUUAAAUGACAAAAAAGGUAGAAUUGAAAAUAAGUUGGAAUUUUUUUCUAAAAAAUAAAUAUGAAACGUUAUUAAAAAAAAAAAAAUAGUCGACUCGCGUCCUCACAAAUCUACAAUGAUGCAGAUCUAUUAGAAAACUCGAUACGUCUAUAAUCAAUCAUAGGCAAUGUAUAGCUUUUUAUAACUCAAAGGGAUGAAUAGACUCAAAGCUCAUGGAACACCCUAUUAUAAAAUAAAUAGUUACAAAAACAGGCCACACUAUUUCCACACUCGAAAUAGAGGGAAAGGUUGAAAGGGAUUAAAAAAAUGCAAGAAAUGUUCUCAUAUGAGUGGAGAGCUCCAUUUAUUUCUGAUUCACUUAUGAUCGGACCAUCAUCAGAGAGCCAUUAUGCCAUUUCAAAAUAGAGGCAAAAUCCCAAGAAAAUCACCAGUUUGACAAGUUCUGGAAAUUCUCUCCCUAAUUUAUUAAUAAUUUCCAAUAAAUUGGACAAAUUGCGUCACCCUAAGUUAAAAAAGAUGAAUAGUGCUAGAGACACUCAUAUUUACAUAUUCAAUUGACUCAAACUUUAUAAUACUCAAACAAUAAAUAGAUUUAUAAAAAUUAGAUAAUGUCACCAUUUUGCCACAUCUAAUGGAAACUGAAGGUGGAAUUGGUAAAAAAUCUUCCAACAAGGAAUGCGUUCAUCAGUAGUUAAGCGCACAGGAGUAGACUUAUUGCUCUCAGACAUUUCAAAAAAGAGACUAACUUGAGCUGUUCAAGCGCAACAUCUUGACAACGUUCAAGAGGGUUUGAACCACAGCAGCAUCUGCUACCUUGGAAGCUGCUCUAAGUUAUUGAAGAGUUGAGAUUCGAGGUACUAACCCCCUUUUAAUUACAACGGGCAUGCCUUUUCAAAGGCUUGUUGCUCUUUGCGGCAUAAAUCGAACUCGUUUGUGUGGUAAUACAUGCAACCAACAUAAGCAUCCAUCUCUUUUGUGCACCUCUGGUGAAGAUCUUUCAGUCUGCAUAGCCAAAAAUACAUGGUUUAGAUACUGCAACGGAAAGUGGUAAGUAAAAUGCAACAGCUACUUUUAUCAGUUGAAAGAGGUGUCACAAAUUUUUCCAGCACCUCCAUUUAAGUUUCCAAAAAAUCCAUUUGUAUCAGACUUCUGUGGGCGAACGUCAUGAAUCAUUGACGGUAAAGCUUAUAGCCAGUUUGAAUUUGCCAAUGUAAGGGUUGUGCAGCUCAAAAAUGGAGACAGAGUAAUGCAACAACUAAGAGGCUCACAAUUAUGUCUGCAUCUAAAACUAUGAAAAGAAGUAGGCUGCAUUCCUCUCACUUGAAAUUGAAAGUGCAUAGCCCAUAAGUCAGUCACCAAGCCAUGUACUCUGUAUAUCAAGAUUAUCAAGUAUCUAGAAUGAAAUCCCUUUCAUCAAAUGGUGUAAGCAAAGUCUACAGAUCCAAGCAAAAGCCAUAGAUCCCGCACACAUCAUUAUGGAGAGAAAACUCAACCAUACUGAUUCUAAAGCACUAAGUCUUAAGUGCUGCACAAAACAGAAGCCCGACCUAUAUGACUACCUUCAAAGCAGAAUUAAUUGUUCUACCUUCAAAGCAGAAUUAAUUGUUCUACCAAGAGAUUUGGAAUUAGGAUCCAGAACUAAGACCCAAGAUACUACUCAACUACAUUUGAUUUAACCAAAAUGAUAAAGAGGUUUAAGGAAGGAAGCUCCAGAAGAAUAUUCUUAAUGUUUGAUUCUGAUGGAAAAAUGGAAUGCCCCUUGCUUGUGUUUUUUUUUUUCUCAAUUCCACUUGAAUGUUCCUUGCAUUAAAGUGGCAAAGCUAAAUGAGUUUUUUUCCCCAAAUGUACCUUUCCUUCUCUCCCUCUUUUACUUUUACAGAAGAGACGAAUUUGAGAAAAAAAACAAGCAAGGGGCAUUCCCUUGGAAUUCUUGUUCCUAUCCUAAAUAUUGUUCAAUUCUUAGUGGAAUGUGGAUGUAAAGAAGACUAAAUUUUCCAUCAAAAUCCAUUCAAAAGAUUGCAUGCUUAACCGCAUAUGAAAAUGGAUAACUAAAAACUGGCCAAAAGGGAAUUGAGAAGCGACCCCAUGUCAGAUACCCAACACCAUGUUCUGUGUUCUCCAGACCAUUAAUGACUCCCUUACGAACUCACAUAGGGAGGAGAUGAACUUGAGAAAACACACAAGCAAGGGGCAUUCUGUUGGAAUUCUUGUUCCUAUUCUCACAAAAUUGCGUUAGAAACUCCAUGGAAUGUGGAUGUGAAGAAAACUAAAUUGUACAUCAAAAUCCAUUCAAAAUAUCGCACGCUUAACCGCAUAUGAACAGACAUAGCUACAAACUGGCCAAACGGGAAUUGAGAUGCGACUGUACGUCAGAUACCCGAAACCAUGUUCUGUGCUUUCCAAACCCAUUAUGACAACAUUUCGAACUCGGUAUGCAAACUACCUUAUACCAAAACCUUUCCCAAUACUAUCCUUAGUUGCUAAUGAUUCAAAUUGCCCAUUUUCAAGACAUUCACAAGCAACUAAGAAAAUCCCACGCUCUACUCUUUGGGGUUUUCUCAGCAACAUUCCCCAAAUCACAUAUGCCAAUCAAACGACGCGAGAAAUGCCCCCACUUCCUCGCAUUUCAGAUAAGCGAACAGACGAUGCGGCACUAACAAGAACAACAAUCAUAACGAAGGCGAGCGCGACCGAAUCGGGAAGCAUCAAGAGAGAAAGAAUAACGCUCACAGGUGGAGCACGCAGCGGGUGACUUGCUGGCCCUUCUCGAGGCACUUCUCCGGGUUGGGGUCCUUCUGCUUGCACUUGAGGAAGGCCACGUUCUCCGACAGGCAGCUCGCCCCGAUGUGCUUCGACGAUGCCGUCAGCACCGCCGACGUCGGGAUCGGGCCCCCGGCGGCAUCCAGCGACGUCGCCAUCCCGGCCGACAUCGAAUUCCUCUCGGGUUAUCUUCUCUUCCUUCUUAUUCUUCUUCCCUGCGGCAGAGAAGAUGGGUGAAGCAGAUUCUUCUUCAACGAAUGCGUGAUCCGGGAAUUCAAGACCAAGAGAACUCCAGAUCGAAAGGAGAGAUCUUUGGAUUUCUGGGCAAAGUCGUCAUCUUUACGCGAUUGACUGUUCGCAGUUGUAGCGCAGAGAGAGAGAGAGAGAGAGAGAGAGUGGAUUCUGCAGUGAUGGAUGAUGAUAUUCUCAACAUCCGCAGUGAAAGUAAUUCUUAUAGAAUACUUUCUUUUCUACAAAUGAAAUGCUUGUUAAUGAGAAUUUUAGAAUGGCCAAUUGAUAAAAUCCAUCUCAUGUCGAGGUGUUCUUAUGUUUACAAGAAAUAUUUGUACAUGGAAAAAAAUUCAUUAGUAAUCUUAAAUUAUACUCAUUGUGACACACUUAUUUUUAUUUUUUUUAUGAUAUGAAAAAUUCUAAACUUGUAUCCAUGCGAUAAAUUUAUUUUAAAACAUUCCCAAACAUUUAUUCUCAUGACACAUUAUAUAUAUAUAUAUAUAUAUAUAUAGAGUUUUUUAUGUUAUUAAAAUAAUUAUAAGUUUGGGAUUUUUUGGGAUAAGUUUAGGGUUUUUCGUGUCACAAAAAAGUUUAGUGUAAAUGCAUCAUAGUGUGCAUAGUUUAAGGCUUCUUGUUGCUUUGUCCCUUACAUAUAUAUUGAAGUUUCACAAAUUAUAUUUCAAAUUUACUUUCUUGAGUAAUUUAUAAUUAAUGAAAUUUGGGAUAAUAUUAAGGGUUAACACUAAAAAAAAAUUAUCCUAAAUUACUAUACUUGUGCCACAUCCAAAUUAAUUUUAGCGCCACAAAAAAAUUCAAAUUAGUAUUCUAAUGAUGUAUUUAUCCUAAAUCAAUUUUCAUGACACAAUCAUAAAUCGGUAUAUUUAGGCUGCAUUUAUCCCAUUUUCCUUAGAUUCUAAUAAAUUUUAUUAUGGAUGUAUUACUUUGAAAUUAUGUACUAGGCUGGAAUUUUUUGUAGUAUCAUUCCUAAAAUUAAAUUUUUUCUUCCAGCCUUAUGUUUUUUCAUCAACCCGAGUCCCGAUUUGUCCCAAGAAAAGCCAAAGUCAGAUUUUAAAGGGGCACUCUCGUAAUUAUGCGGACACAAGUGUUUCCAUUUACGAGAGAGAAAUUCAAAAGUAUUGUGUUAAUUUUUUUUAUCUUUGAUUAGUGUUUAUAAUCAAUUCUUUACUUGUGUUCUCAUGUAUUUGUAAAAUGAAGUUCAACUAUGUGUUUGUGCUGAAAUUACAAGAGUUAGGCUCAGCGGUUGAUUGUCGUUUGAGUUCAACGAACUGGAAAUGUCGGUAGAACUGCAUUUCUUGUGCCUUAGACAGACGCAAGUGAUUAAGAAAAGACCACAAACUUGAUCUUGAUUCUUGGAUUUUGAAGUCCGGUUUAGGACGAUUCAGACACUCAAUCGUAGGCUCUCAAAAUUGAUGGCGGGAUUUCUCGAGCUAAAACUAUAGAUUAUAUUAGAUCAUACAUUGUUGGGAAGUGAAGGCACAGGAGAUUGAAGAAUAGGAAAUUUGGAAGUCAAAGGAAAUUAUAAGCCUCUAAGAAUACUGAUAAUCAUAAGCCUAUUCGUCGUGGCUCUAGCCAUUUCGGUCAUGGCAGUAGAAUCAGCUUUUAUCUCAUCAAAUUAAGCUUCCUUUGUUUUAGGGAAGAUAAAUAAUUGAAAGAUAAAUAAUUGAACCUUAAGGGAUGAGAUAAGCUGUGGAUCUGAGAGAACCAUAUUGAAAUUUGAAAAUAGCAUAAUGAACAUUGUUCUUGCACCGAGAGUAGUCUGGAUGGUACCGAUGCCUUGAAAAUAAUGACUUAUAUUGCUUAAAAUAAUUAGUAAAUCGAAAAAAAAAAAUACUUUUAUCAUCGCCAAUCAUUCAUGUCCAAAUAUUUUCUAGGAUUAUGAAAAUAUUUUUCAUUGAUUCAUUAUUGUAAGAAAGUUAAACGAUCAUUUUUUAAGAAGAUAUUUUGUAAAUUAUUCAUUUUUUUCGCAAAAUAUUUUGUGAGCCUUACAUAGAACCGAUUCCAAAUGAUUCUCUCAUUUUGUCAGUUUCGAUCUCCUUUCAAAGAAUUUUUUUUUUUCCUUUAACUUGCGAACGCAGUCUAACAUCUGUUUUGGCGUUUUGUAUACUAUUCAAGUCAAAUGAGAACAAAGAGAAAGAUAGAACCGACGCGUUUAGAGUGGAAUGCUAUUACUUUUGGAAUGAUAAUGGGUGCCGCGUGUUUGAUCUAAUGCUACUCGAGUUCAUAAAAAUCGGAAUGGGGAUUGAUGGAUCCCGUGAAGAUGGAGAAAUCGCUGGCCUUGUUGGAGAAACAGGCGAACCUCUUCAUGGAGACAGCAAAGAAAUAGGCGACAACCGAUGGUUAGACUUGGUAGGAUUUGGUGGCGAUACGUUCAGGGUUUUGAUUUUGGUUGGGGAACUUUGGAGGACUUAAAUCACUGUAUUGUGGAUGAACUGCAGUUCUUCAUUAGUCACAAUCUUAUAAUGCUUCUCAAAUCAACUGCAUGACUGUUAAGUAAGCCUUUCAUCAUCAAAAUGUCUGCAAUAUUGAUGCAACGACAUAUUUAGCUUCCUGAGCAUUGGAUUUUUCAGCUGGAAAUGUACAUCGAGUUUGAAUCACAUUUCCUUCUUGCAGUUGUUCUUUUCUCAUGCCACAGUGGAGAGUUGUAAUCGUUGUAGCUCGCAAUUUCUUUUUCCCGCCUACUUUCUUCCCUUCACAUCAAUGGAAAAAAUCUUGUUCUCUUUCUUCACUUCACAACCAUCAAAAUUAAAAAAAGAAAAAGCAGAAAGAGAAUGACAAUCUAAUGAGGAAUUGCAUCAGGUGCGAGUCUCUGGUGUAGUGGGGUGGCGACGACUGGGCAGAUGGGCUGAUCCAUGUGCCAGAGAGCAGCGGAGAUGCUGGGGUGGCUGCAGAUGUGGAGGAGACAGAGGAGCUUAUUGAAAGAGCAGGCGGCACCGGUUGAGCAAUGCAGUGACGUCGGCAGCUACAAGGAAAGAGGUGAAGAUUAAGGAUAACAAAGAGGCAGUUUGAGGAAUUGUUGGGGAAGCCAGACAUAAAGGAAAGAGGAUCCACUCAAUUUCAUUUCGCAACACUGGAUUUCAGAGCUCUAGAGCUCGUUGUCAUGCUGCUUCUUCUCGAUGUUCCUCAGUACACUCUCCUUGGCAUUGGUAUUCAGGUGGCGUCAAGCUCACUUGUAUAUUAGUUCGAGCUCAUUACAGGCCUUUGCUGAAUCUCCUUCUGUCAACAUCAGUGUGCACUUAAUGAGAGUUUCCAUCUCCGGCCUCAUAAGGAUCCUCAAGCUUGGGAACCCCACGUAGGUUCUCUCUCUUUGACCCAUCAGUUUGCUUUAGGUCUUUGCUCUGCUUGAAAUUUUCUGGUGAGAGGAGCGACUGGACAGUUACAGACGCUUCCACUUCAUUAUAGCAAGCAUAAACAAAAGUCUCCUAAAAAUCAAUGGGUCAAUUUCGUUAAAUUCACUAAAGAAUGUCCAACCUUUUUGUAGGAACUUGUCAGAUAAUGCACACUUCAAUCCGAAGCUGCUAGUGUCGAAGUUUCCUUGGUUUGAGAGACAAAUGCAAGAUUGUCAUAAAACCAUAAAUAAAACCCAUGAAUGACUCAAAGUUUUGGGCUUUGAAAUUGGCAUUCUCACACUUAUCACAAGAGCGAAGGUAGGGUGACCGGAUGUAGCACUCACCUCCACGAUGAACUUUCCGAUGUAUCCAAUGCCUCCGAUCACCAGCACUUUGCUCUUCUCGGCCAUCUCGGAGGGUUCUUUUCCGGCGGAGUUGCAGUUCUUACCGACGAACUUGCUCGGUCUCGUGCUGCAACUGUUGUUACCUGUUGGCACGCAUCGAGAUGAAUCGUCCUUUUAUUUUGGUUCCAAAAGGGCAUAAUUGCCUUUUCGGUGAAUUGACUUUCCCACCCCCAUCACCCUUCGCCCGGAAAAUGAGUACACACAAAAGUGGUCUACGAAAGACGGAAGAAAUUUACGGUGGAGAAUGAGUACGUGACGUGAACUUUUUUGAAAUGACAACUUGACUUACUAAAAGUUGUCUAAAUUUGAUCAAGAAAAUUGGUUAUUGCGUCGACCAAACCUCCAUUGAGAUAGAAAAGAAGUCAAUAGUUCUGAUUUAUGAUUGGCUGCGUAUUCUUUACAAAAUUCAAAAAUGAUAACUCUCCUGUUAAAAACAGAUGUUGUUGACUGUUACUUUCUGACCAAAUAAGCUAUUUAAUCUUGUUUUCAUUAGAUAUUCCUGACUUAUGAUGAGUUUAGGAAAAUCGAACCAAACGCACGCUUAGUUAGACAAUAAUCCACAAUAUAUCAAGUUUUGGAAUAAGAACUUGUCUCAAGAUUUAUCCAGAUUCAUCGCGCAUGCUUCUUUUUCUUCCCGUUUGUUCCCUCGCAGCCUCUAAGAGUCCCCCAAAACAUUAACGAUAAUUCAAAAUUGCGACAAGUUUGACAGUCGGUUUACGCCUAUUUUAACUUGUUAUUCUUUUAGACGAGAAAGAUAACUUGACAUACAAAAAUAGAGAAACCCGUGUCUUUGUGUUAGCUUCGAUUGGCCCAUGAACCCAUAUCAAACUCCAAAACAGAAGCAAUUUCUCCAAGCACCGCAGAGACGCGCCACAUUGAACAUUCAUACUUUAUAGUGUCCUCAGACUUGGGGGUUGUACAUGCCAUGUGGUGAUCAGCAGAAGCGACAUUUCACACUAGGAUCCUGAGAAGCAGCAUCCUAUAUUAUUUAUUACCGCAUGGUGAUGUGAGAAAUUUACAAGCAUGUUCGGUUUCGAUAAUCAAACAAAUUGAUCGAGGUACUGAUCCACGGUCAUGUAUUUGACAUCGGGGUAGAGCUCCGAAGCUUCCACUCCAAAUGAUGACUCAAUCUCAAAGUUCGUUUGGUCUCCUUUCACAAAGACAGAAUGGGAUAAUGCCAAUAUCAUGUUGUGUGGAACCGCCGCCUCUACAAUAUGAUUGGACAAGCUUUAAAUGUCAGAGAGAACAGAGAGGAUUUCAGGCACUUAAAUCCAAUAGAAAUGCAUCCCUGACCUUGAAUGUUCUUCAGAACCUGUUCCUCUGGAACAUACACCCUCUCUAGGGUCUGCCGNNNNNNNNNNNNNNNNNNNNNNNNNNNNNNNNNNNNNNNNNNNNNNNNNNNNNNNNNNNNNNNNNNNNNNNNNNNNNNNNNNNNNNNNNNNNNNNNNNNNAGGUCCUUGGAUCAUCCACAGCUUUGAUGGUAUAGGUGCCGAUGUCAUCCUCCUUGUUAAACACCGCUACAUAUUGACAGGGAGAGUUUUACAAUUUGGCUAAUAAAUAAAUCACAGAGCCAUCGAUCUUCCUAGGGCUACUUUCGGCUCACAUUGAAGAAGAAUUAUCUUAUCAAACAGAUUCAUUAGACAACAUGCAGACAAAUGCAUUCAUAUGUUCUUUUCCCAAACAAAUACAUAAAGAGAACCUUCGUGAUCUGCCCGCUAGGUGGUAUUAUGCCAAGAUAAACCACAACACAUUCAUAUCACAUAUUAGUCUCUGAAAUUGAAGACUAAUGGAUGUAAGAGUCCCAUUAUCUCCAGACAAGGACGUUACCCUGAAAUUAUCAAGCUUCAAGAAUUGCCUCUCACUUUGAUCACUACUGUAAUUAAUUCGUUGUUAAUGUACAAAAAAAAUAUUAACUAAUUAAAAUGCGCAUUUCAAUGAAUUGCUUCUUACCUUUUGCAUUUCCAUCCCCUAAGAUGACAACUUUAUCUCUAGGGGGAGCUGUAGCCUCGGGCUGUGACAAUGUUGGAAGGUAGUAACUUCCAAAAGAGUUAGAAGCCACAUAUGUAUAAGGGAUUCCCUCAGCCUCAACAAGGCGGCGGAUCUUGGCUUUGAUAGCAUAUCCAGUUUUUGCUGGCUCCACAGCAUGGACACGAUCCACAUCAGUUCCAAACUCUGAAGGCAAGAAUCUCUAAAUAGAAAAUUAAUUGAUUCAGAAGAGGCAUUUUUAUUAGAAAGCAACAAAAAACUAGAGUGCAUUCCCCUCAUCCAACAAAUUUACAUGAGUUAUGGCAAAAAGAGAAACCAAAUUUAUAUGAGACUGAAUUUCACUUUUUUCUUCAAUAUGUGACUAGAACAUAGUGACAAUAAAAACAAACAAACUUAUAUGAGACUAUAUUUCAUUUUUUUUUUCAAUAUGUGACUAUAACAGAGUAAAAAUUAUUAUAAAUGAAUCAAUACUAGCAAUUAAGGUGUUGUUAGGUAAUGCUCCGGGAAACUUUUUUUUUGGUUUUUUUUUUCCUAGGCACAAAAUUAGAACAGAAACGCAUUUGGUAAUUUUUUAUUCCUAGGAACAAAUUAAAAAAAAACAAAACAAAUAAUAAUUAUUUUUUGUUUGUCUUUUUUGUUUUUAGGAACAAGUUAAGAAACAAGCAUUUUCUCUUUUCUUUUCUUCUUUUUCUUUUCCUCUCUUCUUCUCCUUAGCCGGUAGUUGGCCUUGGCAAUGGCUGGCGACUGGCCAAACGAGGCCUGACAACCUCGCCGAACCCUCGCCAGCCCCUGGUGAGGUCACCCCAAGCUCAUCGAUUGCUAGCGAGGCCCCCCUUAACCUUGCCCAACCACUGUGAGGUUGGCAAUGCCUAGGUGGGCAAUGCCGACCUUGUGGUGGUCGAGCGAGGUUGAGCCUCGCAGGUCGCCUCGUCAGUCGCCGGCCAACCAUGGUCAAGGCCGACAAUUGACUAGAGGAAGGAAAUGAAAAGGAAAAAAAGAAAAAUGUAAUAAAAUUAUUAAUAAAUNNNNNNNNNNNNNNNNNNNNNNNNNNNNNNNNNNNNNNNNNNNNNNNNNNNNNNNNNNNNNNNNNNNNNNNNNNNNNNNNNNNNNNNNNNNNNNNNNNNNUAGUGAAAUCCAGCCAGUGGGCUGUCAGUGAAGAAGAGUGGAUGUAGGUUUGGAACAAGCCGAACCACUAUAAACCUCGUGUUGAAUUUUCUCUUUCCUACUCCUUUUACUUUGUCAACAGUUCGUUCUAUUAACAAAAGAGGAGUCUUCUUUUUAUUGUCUGCCUAGUAUUGCUUUCAUAUCUCGGAAAAUUAUUUAUAUACCUAUUCACCCCCCUCUAGGUACUUAUACUAGCUAUAUCAAUUGGUAUCAGAGCCCGUGUACUCAUUUUUUUUUUGAAGUGUUUUACUUCAGAGUUAAAGAUCCAUGGCUAGUAUGCUAGCUCCAAGGCUGGUGGAAGGGCAAAGCAAUACCAGACCACCCUACUUUGAUGGAAAGGAUUACAACAUCUUGAAAAACAAGAUGAAAGCAUUCCUACGAUCAAAGGAUCCUCUGGAAUGGGACGUUGUAGAAAAAAGGAAUUACUCCUAAAGCUGCAUCUGUCUCAGAGAGAGGAAAAGAAAUUGUUGAGUCAAGAGAAAUGACUCGAGAAGAGAUAAUCAAGAGACAAGCACUCGAUGCAAAAGCAAUUUAUUCUUUAUAUUGUGCUUUGUCACCAAUUGAAUAUAACAUAAUAUCUUCUUGUGUUACAGCAAAAGAAGUCUGGGAUAAAUUACAUAUCACCUAUGAAGGAACAGAUCGAGUGAAGGAGACCAGAAUCAACAUUCUCCUCGGUCAAUAUGAAGCCUUCAAAAUGAAAUCAGGAGAAUCUAUAAUUGACAUGUUUAGCCGUUUUACAGAUAUCGUCAAUGGUCUUGAAAAUCAAGGUCAACCAAUUUCUAAUCCCAUGAAGGUAAACAAGUUACUGCGAGGACUCUCCAAGGAUUGGAAUCAUAUAAAGACUUCAAUAAGAGAGACACAAAGAAUCAUGCCACUAUCUGUCAAUGAGUUGGUUGGAACUCUUCAGUCUUAUGAAGUGGAGCGAAUCAAUGAAGAUGAAGAUCCUAAAGGUAAGAAAUCCAUUGCAUUAAAAUCCAAUGAUGAUUCUGAUGUUACAGAUUCUGAAGACGAUAUGGACGAUGAGGAACUUGCUCUUAUGAUAAGAAGAUUCAGAAAGCUGAACAGAAAAGGAAGAAGAUUCAAUCCAAGGAAACAAAGCUUUCAAAAGCAACAAACCAAGUCUGUUGAUGAUGAUGAAUCAAACAAAGAUGUAGUCUACUUUGAAUGUAAGAAAAAUGGACACAUCAGACCCAACUGUCCCCUUUUGAGAAAGAAGAAAGGAAAAGCUGAAAAAUAUCGAAAAGCUCUUAAAGCAGAAACUUGGAGUGACACAGAGUGUGAAGAAAGCGAUGAUGAUUAUGCCAACAUAUGUCUGAUGGCACAAUCAGACUCGGAUUCAAACUCUGAAACAGACUCAGACUUAGACAGUGAAAUAGGAGAAGAGAGUGUUUCAUGCUCUUCUGCCUCUUGAUCUGCUCUCUCUUCUUCUUCUUCGAACCUCUCCUCCUCUGUUCUUUCUUCAGCUCUUCUCUCUUCUUCUUCUUUUUCCUCUACUUCUUGCUCCUCUGCUUCUCUUUCUCCUUCUUCUCUCUCUUCUUCUCCUCUUUCUUCUUCUUCUUUCUCUUCUUCUUCUCUUGCUUCUUCUCUCUCUCCUUCUCUUUCUUUCGCCAGUUCUUCUCUUUCCUCUGCUUCCUUCUCUUGUCGUUCCAUUGAUUCUGGAACAGAACAACUUAGCUUUUUCAAGGCUAUAGCAGAAAUGGUGAGAUCAUCCUCAUCAUCCUCAUCCUCAAUGAAGAGAGCCCUUCUCUUUUUGGAUGAAGCAACCAUUGGCUCCUUCCCUUUUCUUUUCGAGCCAGAAGGACCAUGAUGAGUUUUGACAGGGGUUUUCUCCUUGAACUUCUCCAAUGCCUUGUUAAGUUCUUUCAGACGCAUUUUCUGCACCAUUUUCAGUCCUACCACCAUUUGGUCACACGGUCAAACACAGAGAAAUUGUGGAGGCUGAAUAUUCAAGUGUCUGAAUAUUUUUGUCACAAGACCUUGAUAAGGAAGUUGUCCCUUGUCCUUCACCAGUGCUCUAUACAUGUGGAAUAGAAUGGUGUGAGGAAGAGAAAACUUUUUCCCAGCAUUGAUUGCGUACAUCAACUUUGCCUCUGAGUUGGAAACAUCAGUCUUGGAAGUUGAUUUGGGUCUAAGGUAAUUGAUCACAAUCUUGUGAAGAAUGAUGUUGUUCGCACGCAUCCUUGAGUAGGUAAUCCUUCCCUCUGUCAUUCUGUCUUUGACAAGUUCCAAUGUUGUGCGAGCAAUAGAGGCAUUGAUUGGUUGAUACCUUCCUCUUUCAACCCCAAUCACAUCCGCCAGCAUAUUCACAUCAACAACAAAGUCUUGAUCUCGGACACUAAAAGAUAUUCUAUUCGCAUCCAAGAAACUAAGAUUUGAAUAGAAAUAUGCAGUCAAUUGUGCAUAACCCUCUGUGGUGUCAGUACAGAACUGUUCCAAUUGAAGAGAAUUGAACUUUUCUCUUAAGUUCACAUUCACAGCAUCUAGGAAGUCAAAAUCUACACUCCUAGGGUUUAUCACCCCACGCUUCAACAAUCUUGAGUAUAGAUCCUUAUGUUCCUUCGAUGUAAACAAAUCUAUCAUUUUCCCUCGAAUAUUCGCUGCAACACCCAUUCUCGAUUGAAAUUGGCUGUACAGUUUAUCAUCAUCAUUCCCAUAUGUUGGAUUAAAACCACCGACACGCGGAUCACUUGGAAUGUUCGCAAGGGCUUGUUCUGCCAUCCCUCUUGGAGCAAUUCCCAAGUUUUCCAUUUUUCGCAAGAAUAUGUACUCAUUUCCAUGUCCCUUAUCCUUAAGGAACUCAUCGAUGUAUUUCAAUGGAGUACCAGUACUCUUUAAAGCACGAUAAAGCUUAUAAAUAAAGCCGGGCUUUUGAAUUCUUACAGGUUCGACGUCUUCAAUGAUUUCUUCUUCCUGUUGAUGACCCACACCCUGUGGACUAGAUGGUGGAGAAUGACGCGGUUGAGAAUGUUGCGGACUUGGUGAAUCUUCUUCCCCUGUAAGAUCAAAAUAAGUAGGCCCCUCACUCGAUCGCUGUGGUCCCCUGCUUGCUAUCCUCGAAGACUUUCUUGAAGACGACAUCUUUCUUUGUCUUUGAAAGAUUCUUUGCUUGACUUUCCCAAGAAAAAUGACAACUUUUUCGAAGAUUAAACAAUGGAGGAAGGCACGAAUGGAAGAUUGAGACUUUUUAGGGUUUUGGAGUUUUGCAGAGAGGAAUCGAUUGUAAAUAACCAAGCCAAGAAACCAAACGUCAUAAAGGAAAGUGAAAAAGUGCCUUUUUUAAACUUAACUGCCUUAAAAAAAAAACUUCCAUAGAAAUUGAAUUUUUGAAAAGGCAAAUUUGCACUUUUCACGGAAAUUUAAAAUCAAUUACCAAUGAUCGUACCUUUUCGAGAUAUAAUAAAUAAGAGAGAAUAACUUACAGUCAAGACCCACGAUUUAUUGAGUCUGAGAGUCUAAGAGUCUGAGAGUCUGAGAGUCUCUAGACUUUAACUUCUUCAAGCUUAAAGAUGUUGAGACUAGAACGGAUGAAUUCAAAUUGAUUUUUCUCCAGAGGCUUUGUGAAUAUAUCCGCCAGUUGGUUCUUUGAGUCAACAAACUGAAUCGAAAUUUCUCCAUUUUGAACAUAAUCUCUAAUGAAGUGAUGUCGAAUCUCUAUAUGUUUUGCUCUUGAAUGAAGAAUAGGAUUUUUGGUAAGAUUGAUUGCGCUGGUGUUGUCACAGUUAAUUUCGGUGCAUGAAUCUUCAAUUCCAAAGUCUCUUAGCUGUUGUUUUAUCCACAAAAUUUGUGAACAACAACUUCCGAGAGCUACAUACUCUACUUCUACUAUAGAAAGAGCUACUGUACUUUGCUUUCUUGAAAACCAAGAUACUGUUCUGUUUCCAAGUAACGGACAGGUACCCGAUGUGCUCUUUCUAUCAACUCUGCAACAGGCUAGAUCUGCGUUUGAGUAUCAAAGAAGAGUGAAGUCUCCCUUUUUGGGAUACCACAGACCGAUACUUGAGGUUGAAGCAAUGUAUUUGAUAAUACGCUUCGCAGCACUUAGAUGAGAUUCUUUAGGGUCUGCUUGAAAUCUAGCACAAAUGCAAACAAUAAACAAAAUGUCAAGUCUAGAAGCAGUAAGAUAAAGAAGUGAACCGAUGAUACUUCUAUAUAGCUUCUGGUCAACUUUCUUUCCUCCUUCAUCUUUGUCUAUCUUCAAGGAACUUGACAUUGGUAUAUCAAUCUUUUUGCAAUUUUCCAGUCCAAACUUCUUGACAAGAUCAUUAGCAUAUUUUUCUUGAUAAAUAAAAGUUCCUUCCUUCAAUCGUUUCACUUGAAGUCCAAGAAAGAAGGUUAAUUCUCCCAUCAUACUCAUUUCAAAUUCAUCCAGCAUAGACUUAGAGAAUUUCUUGCACAGACUUUCAUUAGAGGAUCCAAAAAUAAUAUCAUCAACAUAUAUUUGAACUAGCAAGAAACUUUUGCUUUCUCUUUUGAUAAAUAGAGUAGUAUCUACUUUACCUUUGACAAAGCCGGUUUGAAUCAAAAACUUACUUAGCCUGUCAUACCAAGCUCGAGGUGCUUGCUUUAAUCCAUACAAGGCCUUUUUCAGUCUGAAUACUGAGUCUGGCUUCUUUGGAUCUUCAAACCCAGGUGGCUGUUCCACAUAGACUUCCUCAUGGAUAAAUCCAUUUAGGAAAGCACUUUUGACGUCCAUUUGGAAUAACCUGAAAUUUUUAUAACAAGCAAAAGCAAGUAGUAAUCGAAUUGCUUCUAACCUUGCUACUGGUGUGUAAGUCUCAUCGUAGUCUAUCCCUUCCUCUUGAGUAUAUCCCUUGGCCAUGAGUCUUGUUUUGUUUCUUACAACUUUGCCAUUCUCGUUCAUCUUGUUCUUGAAAACCCAUUUAGCUCCAACAAUAGAUUUACCUUUUGGUUUAGGAGUCAAUUCCCAGACAUCAUUAAUGCUGAAUUGUCUGAGUUCUUCUUACAUAGCUUCAAUCCAGCUUUCAUCAGAUAAAGCUUCUUCUAUGCUUUUGGGUUCUACUUCAGAAAUAAGAGCCACAUCAUUAGACUUUUCGCGCCUUUUGGAUCUUGUGCGAAUUCCUUCAUUAAUGUCGCCAAUAAUAAGAUCUUUGGGAUGACUGGACUUAUGCUUCCAGUUACUGGUUGGUUCGUCAGGUUGAUGAGCACUUCCUUCAAUUGAAUCUUCAAUAACCGUUUGUUGCUGGUCUUUCAGAGUCUGGUCUGCUUCUUGAGAUUUAGACUUUGUAGAGUCUGGAGCAAGUUCAGAUUCUUCGAGAUGAGUCUGAAUAGAUUCAUUUUGCAUAGAAUCCUAGAACUUGAUAUUCAUUGAUUCUUCCACAGAUUGACUUUUCUUGUUAUAGACUCUGUAGGCUUUGCUUGAGGUAGAAUAUCCAAGGAAGAUGCCUUCGUCUGAUUUUUCUUCAAACUUACCAACUCGAUCAUUUGCAUUUUUCAAUAUAAAGCAUUUGCAUCCAAAUAUAUGAAAAUAUGAAACAAUAGACUUUUUUCCUUUGAAUAAUUCAUAGGGGGUUUUAUUUAGAAUCGGCCUUAGAAAAACUCUAUUGAUAAUAUAACAUGCUGUUGAAACAGCUUCAGCCCAAAAUCGUGAAGAGACGUUACUUUCAAUUAGGAGAGUUCUAGCCAUUUCUUGAAGAGAUCUAUUCUUUCUUUCCACAACUCCAUUUUGCUCUGGAGUCUAUGGAGAGGAAAACACAUGCUGAAAACCCGAUUCAUCACAAAAUUUUGUAAAUUCUUGAUUUUCAAAUUCGCCUCCAUGGUCUGUUCUUAUACUAGAGAUAGCAUAUCCUUUUUCAUUUUGAACUCUUUUAGCAAACUUUUCAAAAUAAGAAAAGGUUUCAGACUUACUUGCCAGGAAGUAUACCCAAGUAAAUCGAGAGUAGUCAUCCACAAUUACAAGGCAAUACUUCUUACCUCCAAUGCUUUGAGUUCUGGUUGGUCCAAAGAGAUCCAUAUGCAACAAUUGCAGUACACGAUUAGUGGAAACUUUAUUUAUUGGUUUAAAGGAAUUUCUUACCUGCUUUCCCAAUACGCAUGGUGUGCAUAGAUCAGACUUUUGGUAAGAUAAAUUGCGUAAACCACGAACAAGCUUCUUUGCUGAUAUUUUGGCUAUCUGCUUCGUAUUGAUGUGCCCAAGCUUCCUGUGCCAUAAGCUUGCUUCGUCUUGGAUUGAGAUUAAACAUUGUGAUUCAUCUGGUUUCACAUCCAAGAGGUAGAUAUUUCCAUGUCUUCGACCCAUAAACGACUGAGUAGAGUCUUUAUUGGUUCCUGAACAUAUUCCCUCUUGAAAAUUGAUUUUGAAACCAAUAUCACAGAGCUGGCUGAUACUGAGCAGAUUGUAGUUAAGUCCUUUCACUAGGGAAACAUUGCUUAUCGUGAGGUUCCCAAUCUUUACAGUUCCAAAUCCCACAAUCCUUCCUUUGAUGUUUCCUCCAAAAGAGACUUUUCCACCAUUUACUUGAACGAGCUUUAUGAAGCAAUUUGAAUCUCUUGUCAUGUGUCUUGAGCAUCCACUAUCCAGAUACCAUUUUACAUUUUUCUUGAUAGUGACUUGCAUUUAAAAAUGAGACUCAAGCUUUCUUUGGUACCCAUAUUUUCUUGGGUCCACUGGUGUUAGUAUUAAAUGCAGUAUUUGCCCAUACUUUCUUAACAGGUUUCCAGACCAUAGGACACUCUUUUUCAAAAUGAUCUGCACUAUUGCACUUUGAACAUCUGAGAGCAUUUCGACCUACAGGUUUUACAAACACCUUUUUGAAAUGUUUUCUAUAAGUAUCUCUUGAAGGUCUUUGCUUAAUUCUUUCCUUUACUUUAGGAAAAUCAAUUCAAGGAAUUGUUUCUUCUGUCAUUCCUAAACCGGAUUUAUUGAAAUAGGGUCUUUGUGCAAAAAGAAUUUUUUCAAGUUUCUCAGAUCCUAAUGAAAUUUUUUUUGAAACAUUUGAUAAGUCAUUUUUCAGGAAUGCAUUUUCUUUUAAAAGAUUGACUUCACUUUCUUUAAGAGAAGAAACAUUCAUGUCUAAACAUUCCAGCUUUUCUUUCAAAGCAUUCUCCUGUUGUUUUAUAAUAGAGUUUUCUUUUUUAAGUUCGGAAAUCCUCUUGAGAGAUGUUUUAAGACUAGAACACAGCUCAUCAAUGUAUUUAAAAACUUUAACAGGGAUUUUAAAGUUACUUACCUCUAUUUCACUGUCUGAGUCUGAGUCUGUUUUAGAGUUUGAAUCUGAGUUUGAUUAUGCCAUCAGACAUAUGUUGGCAUAAUCAUCAUCGCUUUCUUCACACUCUGUGUCACUCCAAGUUUCUGCUUUAAGAGCCUUUCGAUAUUUUUUUAGCUUUUCCUUUCUUCUUUCUCAAAAGGGGACAGUUGGGUCUGAUGUGUCCAUUUUUCUUACAUUCAAAGCAGACUACAUCUUUGUUUGAUUCAUCAUCAUCAACAGACUUGGUUUGUUGCUUUUGAAAGCUUUGUUUCCUUGGAUUGAAUCUUCUUCCUUUUCUGUUCAGCUUUCUGAAUCUUCUUAUCAUAAGAGCAAGUUCCUCAUCGUCCAUAUCGUCUUCAGAAUCUGUAACAUCAGAAUCAUCAUUGGAUUUUAAUGCAAUGGAUUUCUUACCUUUAGGAUCUUCAUCUUCAUUGAUUCGCUCCACUUCAUAAGACUAAAGAGUUCCAACCAACUCAUCGACAGAUAGUGGCAUGAUUCUUUGUGUCUCUCUUAUUGAAGUCUUUAUAUGAUUCCAAUCCUUGGAGAGUCCUCGCAGUAACUUGUUUACCUUCAUGGGAUUAGAAAUUGGUUGACCUUGAUUUUCAAGACCAUUGACGAUAUCUGUAAAACGGCUAAACAUGUCAGUUAUAGAUUCUCCUAAUUUCAUUUUGAAGGCUUCAUAUUGACCGAGGAGAAUGUUGAUUCUGGUCUCCUUCACUCGAUCUGUUCCUUUAUAGGUGAUAUGUAAUCUAUCCCAGACUUCUUUUGCUGUAACACAAGAAGAUAUUAUGUUAUAUUCAACUGGUGACAAAGCACAAUAUAAAGAAUAAAUUGCUUUUGCAUCGAGUGCUUGUCUCUUGAUUAUCUCUUCUCGAGUCAUUUCUCUUGACUCAACAGUUUCUUUUCCUCUCUCUGAGACAGAUGCAGCUUUAGGAGUAAUUCCUUUUUCUACAACGUCCCAUUCCAGAGGAUCCUUUGAUCGUAGGAAUGCUUUCAUCUUGUUUUUCCAGAUGUUGUAAUCCUUUCCAUCGAAGUAGGGUGGUCUGGUAUUGCUUUGCCCUUCCACCAGCCCUGGAGCUAGCAUACUAGCCAUGGAUCUUUAACUCUGAAGUAAAACACUUCAAACAAAAUGAGUACACGGGCUCUGAUACCAAUUGAUAUAGCUAGUAUAAGUACCUAGAGGGGGGUGAAUAGGUAUAUAAAUAAUUUUCCGAGAUAUGAAAGCAAUACUAGGCAGACAAUAAAAAGAAGACUCCUCUUUUGUUAAUAGAACGAACUGUUGACAAAGUAAAAGGAGUAAGGAAGAGAAAAUUCAACACGAGGUUUAUAGUGGUUCGGCUUGUUCCAAGCCUAUGUCCACUCUUCUUCACUGACAGCCCACUGACUGGAUUUCACUAUGAACAAAAGAGAUGUUACAGCAAUGCUCUUCCUUGAUUCCACAGUAUGGAUAUUCUACCACACUUCCUCAAGGUAUCUCACAAAAUGAACUCUCUCCUGUAUACAAGAUUUUCGUUCAACUAAUGAAUUGACUACGAAUCAAGGAGCUUCAGACUUUGGAAUUCUUAUAUCGCGCACACACUUCGAACAACUGGAACGUCUUCCUUUUAUACUCCUUUAUGCCAUCAUACCCGUUGGCACUUACCAAAGGAAUUCUUUCAAUCUUCCCAUUGGACAGAAUCAAUUUGGAAGAUCAUUCGAGCUAUUAAAGGAACAUGUCGAUAGCCCAUCAAUCCUGCUCGCCCAUACAAUCAGGAUCUUGGUUUCCAUAAGUAGAACCUUCCGAGAAUACUUCGCCAAUCAUCGGAUCCUUAAUCAAUCUUAAAAGGAAUUCGUUAUGUCACAUCCAGCCAAGAGAUCUUCUCCAGUCGAUAAGGCUGAGUCCACAAAGAAUCACACAGAUCUGGAUAGCCUUACUUCAAUGGAUUAAAAACUGUCAAUGAGAAUAGACUUUAAGUCUUGAAUCUGGUAGUCCGGAAGUCUUCAAACUUAGAAUGGAUGAGUCUGCAGAACUUCAGACUAGACUGAUAGAAACGUUUUGUCAGCUUCAAAAUAUUCCAGAAAGAUUUCUCCAACACUCAUAAUGGCCGUAUCGACUACGAAACGCUGACUUCAGUAUGUCCUCAUUUCUGAUCCUCAGUUGAUGAUACUAUAUCCUCAAGUCGUUCUUAGAAAAUAUCAACAUUCCUUGCAGCUGGUCAAACAAGUCAUUGAUCCUCGACAGUGGAUACUUGUUCUUGAUCGUCACUUGAUUGAGUUGACGAUAGUCGAUGCACAGGCGUAACGAAGCAUCUUUCUUCUUCACAAACAAAACUCGUGCUCCUUAACGUGAUGCACUAGGAUGUAUGAAUCCCUUAUUCAACAAUUCCUGCAUUUGCACCUUUAGCUCUUUCAACUCAUACAACGUCAUACGGUAGGAAGCCUUAGAAAUUAGCUCUGUCCUGAGGGCUAGCUCAAUCACAAACUCAAUCUCUCUCUCUCUAGCAACAGACCUGACAAUUCUUUCGGGAACACGUCUGGAAACUCUUGAACCACUGCGAUAUCUACGAUCUUCAGCUCCUCAACUAUCGUAUCCACGACAAUCACCAAAUAACCUUGACAACCCCCAUCUAAUAAAUGGGUUGCCUCAAGCGAAGAGAUUAAGGUAAUCGAGGGUCCUCCUUGACUCCCAAUAAACUCAAAACUUUCACCCGCUAGCGGGUUAAACUGAAUCGCUUUACGAUAGCAGUCCAUUUUAGCGCGUUGUUUGGUGAGUAUGCCAAUUAUUACAUCGAAAUCAUACAUGGCUAGGACUAUCAAAUCUAUCCUCCAUUCCCGCUCACCAAUCACUAACUUGCAACUAGGACAACCCAUCAUAAACAACACCUUAUCCUUUAAUGGUGUAGAUAUGCUAACCACUGACUCCAACAACUUAGGACUCAAUCCUACCAGCUUAACAAAUUACUCAACUAUAAACGAAUGAGUUGUGUCACGUCCCGAUCCUCGAACGUGUGCCCAUCCCUCACAUGGUCGAUUAAUAGCGAUGUUCCAGGACGCAUCGCUGACCCAUUUCUUUUUAUACGCAUGAGGAAGCAUAAGAUAAUCCCUAGACAAUAAAACAUUUGGAUAGAAAAGUAGGAUUAAAAACUUGAAAUUGGAAACACCCACACACUUAUAUACAUUGCAAUUCAUUAUGCAAAUAUAUACAAGAUCAACUACUAAGUCCGGUCCUACUCAAGCUUGCUCAACAAUGAAGUCUAAAGAUAGGGGUGAGGUUUCAGUCCUUUGCUGAGUCCUCAUCUGGGUUCUUCUCCUGCUCAACGAACUCUCUUCCUUCCACGCUCCCGCUGGAUAGGCUCUAGCAUACUCAGGUGAUACUGGGUCUUCAAGAUCGGGAGUCACCGGGUCAAUCACCUCUCCACCUCUGGGUUCUGCAAUGCUCUCUCCAUACACUACUUCCAAAGCAUACUUAGGCACCUCAAAUUCCGGUAUCAGGCCCACCCUUCGCCUAUUGCUAUAGUAUCGAUACCAUGCCUGGUAUUGAUGGGGCACCUUAUGGGGUUUACCCAUCUCAACCUAGACAAUGGAUUUCACCAUUACGUACUCCAAUCCUUCCACGUGCCUUGGCAUUGGCACAUGGAGCUUCUCUUUGGUGAUUUCCUCCGGUAAACCAAAACCCAUGGGAGGAGGUAGAGGUACUGCCAUUUACGGGCCUGAAAUGGUUAUUCAAUAACCAAUGAGACAACGUCUCAGCGAGUUCUACCCUCUAAGACUCGAUUAGUAAACCAAUACGCUAUCCGGGCCACUUAUACACGCACGGGUCAAAGGACUUACCUUGGCCUUAGAUUCCAUAUACAAAUCAGCACAGUUCAAUAGGCACCCAAUCAUAAUAUCACAGAUCGAUAUCUCGAUCAAUCGACCUAAUCGAUUACAUGUCAAUCGGACCAUUCACCAGUCGUUUCCAUCCAUACUAUGCAAUUUAUAAGAUAGUAUACCUAGUCGCCAAGCCACGUGCAUUCUCUAAGGUAUCAUAUAUGCCAAGGCGAUGUACUUAAUCACAGAGCCACGUGCAUUCUCUAAGGUGCCAUAUCACCAAGGCGACGUACUAAUCACUGAGCCCCGUGCAUUCUCUAAGGCGACUUAUACGCCAAGGCGAUGUACUAAUUAUCAAGCCACGUGGAUUCUCUAAGGUGAUAUACCAAAUUACUGAGCUACGUCACACAGCAUUUCUUCUCAUCUUUUAUCAUACCUGAUAAAAUAUCGUACGUGGGCACACGGUUGGCCUUAGGCAAAAAUAUAAUAUUUUCAUUUCCAUAACUUCCACAUUUUCUGCAAUCUACUAAAACAUUUUUGGCAUUAUCAACCGAUGCCUGGUUAAUUUUUCAGUUAAUAACCAACAUUAUUCGAUUUAGGAAAUACAUCAUGAAUUCACAAAUAAUUCAUUUCAGCACAAAAUAAAGCUCAAUUAAAUAAACAGACUACGCCACGACAAUUAGCAUAAAAUUAUGAUCGUUGACUAUCCCUGCCUAAUUUUCGAAAAUUAAAUAAUUAAAUAAUUAAUUUCGAAAAUUAAUAAAUAAAUACUAAAAAUCCAAUUUAUACUCGUAAUGCCUAAUUGGACGCCAGAACAGAUCGGGAAAAAAUCCUGAGAUACAUUCAAUAAAUACAAGUACAUCUCUACUUGCUAAUUACACGAAUCAAACACCUAACAUGCAUCAUUAAGUCACUAAUUAAAUUAUUCUAAACUAAUCUAACCACCUAAUCAUGCUUAAUUAACGCUAAUCAACCACUAAGCAUCAUUAGCAAUUAAACAAUGAUUAUUGAGCUAAACUCACCCGUUUAACAAUCCGUUCGGAUUGAAACGUCGGGAACGUCCCAAUGGACGUUUAACUCCAAAGCGGGCCUCGGGUUUGGGGCCCGUAAACACCUCAAAGUGGCCUUAGAACCUUGCUGGAAACCCACUAGCUGAGUUGUUGGUCUUGGCGGCGAAGGGCAGCUCCGGUUGAGUUCCUCAGGUCACAGCACAGUGGCUGGACGGCGAGGGGAGGUGAGUAAGGUGGACGGCGUGCGUGGCUUGGCGCGGGUGGAGGCGGAGCGGCAACCAAUGGUGGCACGGCUACUGGCGGCUUAGCAUGCAAUGGCUGGACGACGUGGCUGCUCCUUCCGCUGGCUUCUGCUAGCGUCUUCCUUGCUGGUUGGGGGUGUUGCACGAAGCAAGAGGGAGAGGAGAGAGAUAUGGACAGUGGAGUGAGUGAGAGAGAGAGAGAGGAUAAAGGAGAGAUGGAAGGUCCCUUGGCCAAUAUUUUCCACACCCUUGUCCCCUACAAGCUUGUCCACCAAGCCAGCCCUCCAUGGCUGUCAAUUGGCCACCAAGGCACUCCCCCACAACUUGUCAAAUGGUCCAAAAAUGCUAGGGGGAAUGGGGCACACGAAUUUGACAUCAUUUGGCUUUAAUUGGAUUCCUCAACUUACUUAAUUUAAUCUCAAUUGGCCAUAGUAAAUUCAAUUGAUGCCUCAUUGAUCCUCUUAGAAUUUUUCCUCACCCACAUAUCCAUCUUGCUUCCCAUUUUUGCAACAAAAAUUAAUCCCCAGCCUUUUCUGCACAAAACAGUCAUAAAUUAACUUUUUCCCAAAAAACAUCGGUUGUCAGAAAAAUCUUCUGAGACUGAGUCGUGAAUCCUAGAAUUUAUUGUGACAUGACAGAAUCUUCAAUUUCUGAAAUUGGACUUGAAUUGGUAGUUAAUUUCCAUUCGGCGCGUUUUUAGCAUGAUCUAGACUACUUAGUAGUUUUCAUAACUUUUUAGAGCAAAUGACCCCUGGUCGAUUUUCUUUAAGCCAUUAUGAAUCCACUCAACUCAAUGGCAACUCUCAAUUGUUGUGAAAAUCUCGAGGAUUCAAUUAUCGACACAGAGUACCAAAACGACACUAAAAUCAGAUUAGUACUGGUUGACGAGAAUUUUCCAAUUUAGUGGAGUCACCCAUGAUCAGCCACACAUCUUAGUCGAACAGACCUACCUCUGAUCUCAAAUCGAUUUUUAACUGUGCCGUAAUGACCUCUAAAGAUAAGCACGGUCGAAAAGCCGAUUCCUAGUUGAAUUCUCAAGUCUAUUUGCUUUAAAGUCCUUAAUAGCUUCCCCAGACAGUCAAGUUAUCUCGAGAGUGAUCAGCUCUGAGAACAAUCCUAUAGGCACGUCAAUGAAAUGCUCGAUUAAUUCAGUAGAAAAUAGGGUUGGAAAUAUGGGAUGUCACAAGUUGCACCAGGGUCAAAUAAAGCAUAAGUAGCGUUGUUGUUCAAUGAGACCGUACCUGUGAUCACAUCAGGAGAGUCCUCUGCUUGUCCUCUGGUGAUGGCGUAUAGCCUUCCCUGUGCUGGAGGCCUAUUCUAUCCACCCUAUUAUGCAAUUUGUGGCGCGAACCCUCUAUUCUAACCUAUCGGUGGCGACGGCAGCAACUAUUAUGGUCCCAUCUGUCUUCUGAGACAAUCUCUAACUUAGUGGCCUUGCUGGCCACACCCAUAACAAGCACCCGGCCUAGAAUGGCACGGGGCCGAUCCAUGUCGCCUUCAACAGAAGCAACACACGUCCAUCUGACUCGGCGCUAACUUACCUACUCCACCUUUCCUGUUAGGUGGGACAGGGAAUCUUCCUCCUGUCAUAGGUCUCUUCUCAAACCUAUUUCCAUCUCUAUUUGAACUAAACCGCGACCCAGAUGUAGCGGCUUAUUCGUUCAGAUUCCUUUCUAUUAGCUAGGCUCGACCGUACAGCUCAUUGUAAUCCUUCAGGUCGAAUGGCACCAGCGGAUUCUUCAGCUCUAGUCAAAGGCUAUUUCUGAACCUCUAAGCUCUAUCUUCCAGAUCCUUCACCAGUCUAGGAGCGUAUUGCGAUAGCUCCGCAAACUUAGCUUCAUACUGAUCCACUAUUAGCAUGCCUUGACGGAGGUGUUGGGAUUCCUCCAUCUUCUACUCUCGGGCACUAUUAGAAAGAUACUUGCUAGUGAAGGCUCUCAGGAGGGCGUUCUACACCGGAACCUCACCUUCAGGGACUACUCUGGCUCUAGUGGCCCUCUACUAGGUACUCGAAUUACCCUGCAGUUGAUACACUGCUAGGUACUAGUGCUGGCCUGAGCCAAUGCUUAACCACAACCACCUCGAGUACCGACUCUUGUCGGCAUCCUACCCCGAGUUAUUGGUCCCAUGGUCCUCUUCCUAGGAGUCAUCUGCUCCUAAUCACUCAUUAUGCAAGUUCUUUACAGAAACCUGAUUUCCAAUUCUACACAGAAUUAGAAGCUGAGCGAUCACACCAAACAAGCUACUAAACAACUAUCACUCAUAUGCAUCAGCAUAAAAUAAAAGCCGUUCCUACGAACUAUCCCAUGAACCCUCGCACCUUAUCACUCCAACUAUCGACCAGCUCUGGUACCACUCCGGGCGGGGAUGUCACACCCCGGAGCUUCGAGCGCACACACAUCUCUCGUUGGUCAAUGAAAUUGCGACGUCCCAGGACGCGUCGCCAACCCAUUUAUUUUAUUGUACAUACGGAAACGAAUAAAACAAACCCCUGAUAGCAAAUAGCAUGAGAUGGAAAAGCAAAAUAACAAAUUCACAACCAAAACACACUUUUAUACACAAACUAAGUUAUAUACAAAACUAGUCUGUCUACCAAAAAGAUCAUCCCUCAAAAAGGAAACUAUCCUACAGUCCACUAGUCGGAUGCGUUUACCGAUCCUUCGGACUCCACAAGCUUCGAGGGUGUCGAGUCCACCACAGCACCAUCAAGAGGGUCGGUUGUACCCUCACCAAAAGCGGCGUCGACUACCACAGUGGGGACCUCAAAUCCCUGGAGGGGACCAACUCUGUAUCCAUUGAGCCCGCGGCAAAACCAUGCCCUAAAUCGAUGAGGUACCCUUUGAGGUAGGCCCUCAUCGACCUAGACAGUGGUCACUACGAGCUCAUAGACCUAGACCCCGUGGCCUCUGGGAACAGGGUAGUUAGUAACUAGCUCGGUAACCUUCCGAGGCUACCCAUAGCGUACCGGUGGGGCCGCCAUCUAAGGACCUAAAAAGAAUUGAGCCCACAAUGAGAUGAGAAAAUGUCUCAACAAGUUCAACCCCUAAACUCUAACUAUAAAUGAAAUACGCCUAGCCACACAAUCACACAACCAUAGAGACUCACCUUGUCUCAGAUUCUCCUUGCAAAUUAGCACAGUUCAAAUACACAAUCAUAUGCAGUAAUCAAACUCAAUCAAUUGGAACGCCACCACUUUCAUCUCAAUAAACACAAGGGUCCCGAUUAUAAAGCCAAAUCGUUAUGACACGUCCCAUACCGUGCCACACAAUUUUGUCCUAUAAUCAGGCGUGUCAAAUCAAUCAAUCAUGUUUCUCAAUUGAUUACAACCCAAUUGCCACGGCCGACUCAACAGUUAGUGGUCUUUCGGCGUAGCCAGGCGUCGUCUCGCACCAUCGACCAUGGCAACGUCUACAUCUAGACGGAAUUCCACAUAGGAGCAUUGGUCUAGCCUCCACUGCGACUGACAUCCGUUGACCUAGGGCAUUCCCGAAGGAGCAUCGCCCGGUCCCAAAGGCUCGUGAUGGGUUCUCAUAUAAUUCAUGCACCCAUCUAAUCCUAGCCAAGACAUCGUGCUUUGCAUUCAAAUGUCCUAAUUAAAAUAAUGUACUUAGCAUAUUUUCUUCCUAUUAAAAACACACGGUAAAAUAAACGUGCGUGGUUACACAGUCAAUUUGAACCAAAAAAACUUAUACCCUUCUUUUUAAAAUCCCAUUAUUUGGUAUAGUAUUUAAAAUUAUUUUCGGUGUCAAAAUCCGACACUCGGAAUUUUAUAAUUAAAUAUCGAAAUUUCACAAUUUUUGAAUAAAUAAUCAAAUUUCCAAUCACCACUCAAUUUGCAUAAAUUAACACUCAAUUGCAUAAACUAAGCACGCCAUUGCAAUUAGCACGAAAUUCCAGUCACCGGCUAUCCCAGUGUAAUUUCCAAAAAAUAUUAAAUAAUUAAAUAAAUUGGAAAAAAAAUUAAUUAAACCAAUUGAAAUACCAUAAAUACCAACUUAGGCCGAAAAUACUAAUCUAACCACCUGAACGGGCCUAGAAAAUUUUCGAACCUAACUAGAUAAAUAGUACAAUCUAUCUAGUCUCUAAUUAGUAUAUUCUAACCACCUAACAUGUAUAAUUGAACAAUUAAAUCACUAAUCUAAACUAACUAACCACAUAAUCCUUAAUUUGCUUAAACUAAUUAUCCACUAAGCAUCAUUAACUCCAUAAGCAGAGUUUAACAAGUAAACACACCGGUUUAGCGGGCUAGUGAGUCCACGACGUCGAUGACGCAGAGGUGAGCGAUACUGGAGCCUGCGGCGACACCAAUGGAGGUCCGGACGGGCCUUAAAACGGGCCACAAGCUCUUAGCUAGGGGCUAAGCUUCAGCCACUGCUCGGGGCUACUGGGCUGGAUCGAAGGGGCUAAAACGGCACGAGAUGGGAGGCGGUGGCUACAGUGACUCUAGGUGGUGAUUCCGGCUGACUAGACAGCAACGAACAGCGACUGGACGGCAACCAGGAGGUCUCAACAAUGGCCAGGACACGCGGGGGAUGGCGAACGAGUGGGACGUGAGCUGGGCAGACGGACGGCUCACAGGCGGCGUGCAAGCUCGCGACAAGCAAACGGGUGGCAAGGGGGGCUUUGGCGGCGAUCGACAAGCUAGGGGGAGGGCUUGCCGGUUUCUCUAGUUUUUCUCAAGCUCUAAAACUCUCAACAAUGGAUAAAGUGGGCUCAAGGAGGGAGAUGAAGAUAGCUGUAGCAAGAAGGGGACCCAAUGGCCUCAAAUAUCCAACAAAAUGCUCAUUGCUUGGUCCCCACUUGAUCAGCCCUAUCCUCAGCCAUUUUUCCUUACUCAAACUUCCCCUAGAAGCUUCUCUAAAUGGUUCAAAUGUUGCUGCACCCCCUUGGCUACGAAUUUGGACAAUUCCCUCCAAAUUUCAUUCGAUUCCCAUCCAAUUGAGCUCAAAUUGGAGUCCAAAAAUUCAGUCAAUGUGCCAUCGUCCAUCUCAUGAUUUUUCCUCAUCAAUUGAACCAACUUAAUGGUCAAAAAUGCGACAAAAAAGGCCCUCUAAUUUUCUUGGUCCAAAAUAGCCUUACUUUGAUUUUUUGCCAAAAUCUCGAGUUUGCAGAAAAAUCUUCAAAUGAUGAGUCAAUGUUCCUAAAAUGAAUUGUGAAUGACAGAACUUUCAAUUUCUUAAAUUGGGUUUAAAUUCACCACUAAUUUAAACCAGACACAAUUUUAACAUGAUCUAGCCUACCGAGUAGCUCUUAAAAUUUUUUAGUGCAAUUGACCUGUGAUUGAUUAUUUUCGAGCCACAUUGUGCAUCUUCGACACAUUGACGACUCUCGGUUAUCGUGAAAAUCUCAAGGUUUCAAAUAUGGGCAUAGGAUACAGAAAUAAUAGAAAAAUUGGUCUAGUGCUGUUGACAGAAAUUUUGCAAUCCGGUGGAAUCGCCUACACACUAAUUACAUACCUCUAUCGAAUCGACCUAUCUCCGGUCUCUGAUCGAUUUUGAUAGUGUCGUAUUGACCCUUGCAAAUUAGCAUGGUCGAGUAGUUGAUUUCUGGUCGAAUUCUCAAGUUUAUUGCGUCAAAAUCCUUAACUGCUUCACCAGAUAGACUAGUUAUCUCGUGAGUAAUCAGCUCAGAGAAUAGAACUAUGGGUGCGUCGAUGAAAAGCCAAACUUAUUCAAUUGAAAAUAGAAUUGGAAUUUCGGGAUGUCACAGGACUCCCUCACAAGAGCGAAGGUAGGGUGACUGGAUGUAACACUCACCUCCAUGAUGAACUUUCUGAUGUAUCCAAUGCCUCUUAUCACCAGCACUUUGCUCUUCUCGGCCAUCUCAGAGGGUUCUUUUACGGCGGAGGUGCGAUUCUUCCCGGCAAACUUUCCCUGUCUUGUGCUGCAACUGUUGUUGGCUGUUGGCACGCAUUGAGAUGAAUCGUCCUUUUAUUUUGGUUCCAAAAGAGUAUAAUUGUCUUUUCGGUGAAUUGACUUUCCCACCCCCAUCACCCGUCGCCCGGAAAAUGAGUACACAAAAAAGUGGUCUACGAAAGAGAAGAAAUUUACGGUGGAGAAUGAGUACGUGACGUGAAUUUUUUUUAAAUAACAACUUGACUUACUAAAAGUUGUCUAAAUUUGAUCAAGAAAAUUGAUUAUUGUGUCGACCAAACCUCCAUUGAGAUAGAAAAGAAAUCAAUUGUUCUGAUUUAUGAUUGGCUGCGUGUUCUUUACAAAAUUCAAAAAUGAUAACUCUCCUGUUAAAAACAGAUGUUGUUGACUGUUACUUUCUGACAAAAUAAGCUAUUUAAUCUUUUUUUCAUUAGAUAUUCCUGACUUAUGAUGAGUUUUGGAAAACCGAACCAAACACACACUUAGUUAGACAAUAAUCCACAAUAUAUCAAGUUUUGGAAUAAGAAUUUGGCUCAAGAUUUAUCCAGAUUCAUCGGGCAUGCUUCUUUUUCUUCCCGUUUGUUCCCUCGCAGCCUCUUAGAAUCCCCCAAAACAUUAACGAUGAUUCAAAAUUACGACAAGUUUGACAGUCGGUUUACGCCUAUUUUAACUUGUUAUUCUUUUAGACGAGAAAGAUAACAUGACAUACAAAAAUAGAGAAACCCGUGUCUUUGUGUUAGCUUCGAUUAGCCCAUGAACCCAUAUCAAACUCCAAAACAGAAGCAACUUCUCCAAGCACCGCAGAGACGCGCCACAUUGAACAUUCAUACUUUAUAGUGUCCUCAGACUUGGGGGUUGUACAUGCCAUGUGAUGAUCAGCAGAAGCGACAUUUCACACUAGGAUCCUGAGAAGCAGCAUCCUAUAUUAUUUAUUACCGCACAGUGAUGUGAGAAAUUUACAAGCAUGUUCGGUUUCGAUAAUCAAACAAAUUGAUCGAGGUACUGAUCCACGGUCAUGUAUUUGACAUCGGGGUAGAGCUCUGAAGCUUCCACUCCGAAUGAUGGCUCAAUCUCGAAGUUCGCUUGGUCUCCUUUCACGAAGACAGAAUGGGAUAAUGCCAAUAUCAUGUUGUGUGGAACCGCCGCCUCUGCAAUAUGAUCGGACAAGCUUUAAAUGUCAGAGAGAACAGAGAGGAUUUCAGGCACUUAAAUCCAAUAAAAAUGCAUCCCUGACCUUGAAUGUUCUUCAGAACCUGUUCCUCUGGAACAUACACCCUCUCUAGGGUCUUGCCGAUCUUUCUCUCCCACAAAGACACGAGCUCAUUCAUCGAGUAGGUGUUGGCAGGAGGUUUGAUAUACAAAAUUUUGUCCAAGGUCCUUGGAUCAUCCACAGCUUUGAUGGUAUAGGUGCCGAUGUCAUCCUCCUUGUUAAACACCGCUACAUAUUGACAGGGAGAGUUUUACAAUUUGGCUAAUAAAUAAAUCACAGAGCCAUCGAUCUUCCUAGGGCUACUUUCGGCUCACAUUGAAGAAGAAUUAUCUUAUCAAACAGAUUCAUUAGACAACAUGCAGACAAAUGCAUUCAUAUGUUCUUUUCCCAAACAAAUACAUAAAGAGAACCUUCGUGAUCUGCCCGCUAGGUGGUAUUAUGCCAAGAUAAACCACAACACAUUCAUAUCACAUAUUAGUCUCUGAAAUUGAAGACUAAUGGAUGUAAGAGUCCCAUUAUCUCCAGACAAGGACGUUACCCUGAAAUUAUCAAGCUUCAAGAAUUGCCUCUCACUUUGAUCACUACUGUAAUUAAUUCGUUGUUAAUGUACAAAAAAAAUAUUAACUAAUUAAAAUGCGCAUUUCAAUGAAUUGCUUCUUACCUUUUGCAUUUCCAUCCCCUAAGAUUACAACUUUAUCUCUAGGGGGAGCUGUAGCCUCGGGCUGUGACAAUGUCGGAAGGUAGUAACUUCCAAAAGAGUUUGAAGCCACAUAUGUAUAAGGGAUUCCCUCAGCCUCAACAAGGCGGCGGAUCUUGGCUUUGAUAGCAUAUCCAUUUUUUGCAGGCUCCACAGCAUGGACACGAUCCACAUCAGUUCCAAACUCUGAAGGCAAGAAUCUCUAAAUAGAAAAUUAAUUUAUUCAGAAGAGGCAUUUUUAUUAGAAAGCAACAAAAAACUAGAGCGCAUUCCCCUCAUCCAACAAAUUUACAUGAGUUCUGUCAAAAAGAGAAACCAAACUCAUAUGAGACUGAAUUUCACUUUUUUCUUCAAUAUGUGACUAGAACAUAGCGACAAUAAAAACAAACACUAGCCAAACGAGGCCCAACGACCUCGCCGAACCCUUGCCAGCCCCUGGUGAGGUCACCCCAAGCUCAUCGAUUGCCAGCGAGGCCCCCUUAACCUUGCCCAACCACCAUGAGGUUGGCAAUGCCUAGGUGGGCAACGCCGACCUUGUGGUGGCCGGGUGAGGUUGAGCCUCGCAGGUCGCCUCGUCAGUCGUUGGCCAACCAUGGCCAAGGCCGACGAUCGACUAGAGGAAGGAAAAGAAAAGGAAAAAAAGAAAAAUGUAAUAAAAUUAUUAAUAAAUUAAAAGAAAUUUCAAAUCACAAAAAUAUUUGGGAUCGUACCAAAUGCAUUUUUGUUCCAAGGAUAAAAAAUUGUGUAGUUAUCAAACGCAUUUAAAUGCUCAAAAACAUGUUCAGAAUAGAAACAGGAAAAAUUAUUUUUGAACAGAAAUUGUUCCCGAAAACAGAAAUAUCACCAUACGUACCCUAAGUGCUAUUAGAAAAGUAGAAGAAAAGAAAAUUGAAGAUUUAAUUGUUAGGGCAAUAGCCAGAUAACUUUGUCAAGUAUAAAAUAUGCAAAGAUGCUGCUUGCUUGGACACUUUUCACAAGUAUUAAAAUAUCAGGUAAGUUCUAACCAUCAACCCCCUCAAAGCAACAAGUACUAAACUAUCCACUAGCUGGGUUCUAAAAACUUAUUUGCUACAUUAAUAAUUCUACCGAAAAAGACCAUUUGAAGGAUUAAGUAGUUCAUGUUUCUCAUUAUUGUUCAAAGAGCGGGGUACAUGACUGUAAUCCAUAUUGAGUGCUUAAAACCUUUUGACUUUUUCGAUGACCUAGAGGAAAAAACAUAACCAUGGUGAAGCCAGCAUUGUCCGGUACUUGAAUUUGAAAUAGUUAGCCUCAAAUUUCACCGACGACUUCUACACAAAGUUAUGACCAUUUAAAAAGGAAAGAAGUGAAGUCUAUAGAUAAAAAGUGAAUCCAUCCCAUUUCAUCAAAGCAGAGCUCACAAUAAGAACGUGAUGCACUCAUACUAGAAGAAAAGACUUAGGCUAACAACUAACACCAACCUAUAUCGUCAAUCAAAUGCUAAACAAACAAUAAUAACUCGAAAUGAAAUUACUAGACACGGCACAACCUUGAUAUUCCCGGCUGCUUUGAUGGCUGCAACAAUCCUGUCUUGGUCUUCUAGCUGUGCUCGCCCCACAGCAGAGAUUACCACAUCAACUUGCUUAAUCGCACUCAACAGACUCUUUUGAUCGUAUAUGUCUCCCUGAGAAUCAAAUAACCAAGAGCAUGGAAAAACAAUCAAUAAAGUGAGCAAUCAUCAACCGAUCCAAUUUUGGCCAGUAGGACGACUAUGAAAAAGGAGAAAUACGAAAUCUGAUGUAGAUAAGACUUCAAUACCUUCACCAGACGAGAAAAAGUGUUAUGAGAAAUUUGAAAAAAAAAAAAAAGCUGCUAUCCACAGAAUUCUUGUCCAUGCAUUACCUACCAAUCUUUUGAAAGGUUACAACAAGGUAUUUGCAAUGACAUCUGAAUUACAGAUCAGCCACAUGUACUUCUGUAUAAAAAUUCAUCUACACAGUACGAAACAUAUGGAAAUUUUCAUAAUAUUUGCCUAAAAAUGGAAACUUUUACAAGAUUUGUCUAAAAAUGUACACGUUCGUUUCAGCAUGCGAAGCUAAGGAGAUUCGCCAGUCAGUGUGAAAGACGAGAGGGAGAUUGUUUCUGGUUUCGCCAACUUACGAGGCCGAAAUAUCAGAGAAGAUAAAAAGCAACGCCGAAUUGUGACAUGACUCCAUCAACUCGAUCUUGUGAAAGAUAAAGAUGAAAAUCGACUCCGAUGCUACUGGUUAAAGACAUUUCUCAGAAUUCCGAGCAUGAUCAAAUGGCAAGGGACGCUUCGAUUCCUCAAAGCGGCACCAAAUGUGGGAAACGACCAAAUCACACGGGAAUAACUACUCACAUGGACUAGGUUCACGCUUAAGCUCUUGAAACCUUCGAUGAUUUCGGCCUUGGCGGGGUUGGAGAGAGUGGACUCCCUCACAAGAGCAAAGGUAGGGCGACCGGACUUAGCACUCGCUUUCACGAUGAACUUUCCAAUUUCUCCGGUGCCUCCGAUCACCAGGACUCUGCUCUUCUCUGCCAUCUUGGAGGGUCUUUUCACAGCGGGCGUGGUGUUUUCCGGCGAACUUGAUCAGAGAGAGAGAGAGAGAGAGAGAGAGAGAGAGAGAGAGCUAAAGCGGGGGGUUCCUGUCUUCGUGACGGGACGGAGUGUCAUUGGGAUGAUUCUGGAAGGCAUAAUCGUCUUUUCAUUGAAAUAAUUUUUCUUANNNNNNNNNNNNNNNNNNNNNNNNNNNNNNNNNNNNNNNNNNNNNNNNNNNNNNNNNNNNNNNNNNNNNNNNNNNNNNNNNNNNNNNNNNNNNNNNNNNNUUGAUUUAUUUGUUUCAGUCGUAGAUGAUCUAGGCGGUGCUGUGUUCAUAUCUGGCUCAUUUAGCCACAAUUAGGUUGAUAUUUAGGAAAUGCAAAGGUGAGCAGCGCGUCUGCAAGUUGUUUAAGGCCCCAGACCUACCGAAAGCUGAAGCUAAGUCGAUACUGAGUCUACAUAUAGAUAGGUGGAGACCUGAUUUAAGCAGGGUGCUCAUAGUAUACUUGAUGGUGUAUGGAGAUCCAUGAACACGUUGAAUACAAAUUUUGUGCAGAGUAAUUAAACAAAAAGAAGUGGAUAUCCAGAAUUUUUUUAAGCAGGACUCCUAAGUUAGUUGUGCAGCCUAUGCUAUGUAAACUGCACAUCUAUCAAAACCAUCACUUACUUAUGUAAGAAAUUUUAGCAAGAGCUCAUAUGUCAAUAGGGUGAGAUCGACAAACACAUUGUCACGCCCCGAACUCGGAGCGCGUGCCCAUCCCUCUCUGGUCGAUAAAAUUUUGCGACUUCCCAGGACAAGUCGCCGACCCAUUGAUUUUUAAGCACAUGCAGAAACGAAAAUAAAUCCCCUGACAAUAAUCAUCUUGGGAUAGAAAAGCAUGAUGUCAAUUCAUAAAAGCACACUUUUACAAACAACGAGAUUCGGGCACAAAACGAGUUUAGUCGAAAGCCUACAAAAAUGUUGACUCUCACAAGAGUUUAGUCGAAAGCAUAUCUUGUUAAAGAAAAUUCUAAACUAUCAUUUCCUGCUCCCGAAGAAUUCAUUGACCCACAAAACAGAUAUCUUCAUGCUCCAAAAAUAGCAACCCCCACUAAUGUGGAUGAACAUGGGAGACAGAAAAAAAAAACCCCUACUGCUAAAGCUGUUCUAAACUGGCAAUCAGAGAUUCUGUUGGCACAAAACAAUGCCUUCAAGGCUUCAUGCCUUGGAAUCAGGACAACAAGAGAUUCUGUUGAUUCCAAAAUUGGAAAUGUGCAACAAGAUCUUCGAAGGUAUGAUGAAAGUACCAAAAAGAUACUUCUGAGUUCCAGAAAAGGCUUCAGGCCUUGGAAUCAGGACAACAUCUUGGGUAUCAUUAUCUUGAAAGUUCAAAGCCAGAAAUAGAAAAGCUCAAAAGGCAAAUCCAACUUCUUGAAGAAGGAAUGUUCAGACCUUUUGAUCCAUUAGCACCUCCUGUUAGAACUGGGUAUUUACCUCCACCUCCACAGACGUCUAUUUUUGCCACCAUUCUAGAAGAUCCCUAUAGAAGAGAACUGGAUAUGGCAGAAAUACGAAAUCGCCUCAAGGCACUGCAGAAGGAAAAAGGGAAAGAAAAAAUGCCGCCAAAAUCAAGUUCAAUUGUUAUAAGAGAAAGGCCAGAUCAGAUGAUGUUAUCCAAUCCAUUAGAAUCUUUUCUAAAGGAUUUGGGUACCCAGGAACUUGACCCUGUCAUCCAACAACCUGAUCCUGCCAUUCUAGAAAAACAGAUUCUACUCCCAGCUGAACAAACUUCUCCUGAUAUUGAAUCAGAUUUAGCAUCUCUUUCCUCCUCUUCAUCCUUCUCAAUUCCCAUAGUGGAUUCCCUCCCCAUUGCGCCAGUAACUUCAUCAUAUCAUGGCUGACCCCCCAGAUGAUGAAAUGGAAUCCAACUAUUCUGAGCCAGAAAUUGCUCAGACGAGCAAUCCCGCACAGCAUGUGUCCAUAGCAUCAAAACAAUUUUUCACUAUUGAUGAUAUUCCUUAUCACAAAUGGCCAGAAAGACUUGAAGAAUUUCAUACUUGGUUGAAUACUCAGUCCAUCACCAACCAUGAUAUGAAUGAUGUCCUUUACAACUUUGUUACAAGGUUCACAGGAAGCCUUAGACUCUGGUGGCAAUCAAUUUCAGAACAAGACCAUAUCCAUUUUCUGAUGUCACCUAAUUUCAGCCAUGCCAUCACUCUCUUAUAUCAUGUCUUUGUGGGAAAACCCACUGAUCUCAUAGAGAUAAAAAGAAGAGAGUUUUUGAGAGAAAAUGCUGCUCCCUCCAGGAGAAGCAUCUUGAUAAGCAUUAUCGAGUAAUGCUUCAGCUCUUUUACCAAGUCGGCGCAGAUCCAAAUCUGAAGCAUGUUUUCCUUACUUCUAUCCCCAAAGAACUAUCCCAAAUGGUUGAAAGAUCUUUCUUUGGAAAACAAAGGAGAAUACAAGAUAUUCCCCUGGGAGAAAUACAACAAGAAGUUCAUUUAUGUCUCAAAGAAUUAUGCUUAAAGCGCUAGAUGGUCCGUACCUACAUCACAGAUGACAAGUGCCUUGAAUCAGCUUGUUCUCGCUAGAAGUUAAAAAUCAAAUGCUCCAAGCAAGACUGUGAUGAUACUUGUGGCAAGUAUUCCCGGAAGAAAAAACACUACAAGAAGUUCUGGAUAAAAAAAUCCAAACAUGGCUCCAAGCAUUUCAGGAAAAAGAAGAAAUGGCGACACCUACGCAAAAGAAAGGAUCGCACAGGCCAUAAGAAAUCAAACCGUUGCUACAUUUGCAAUCAGAAAGGAUAUUUUGCCAAAAAUUGUCCUCAAGCGAGAAAAUGUCAGAAUCGUCUAAUUCAUUACAUUGAGAAUGAAACAGGUAUUUCUCUUGAAAAUGAUGAUAUUUAAUCCUUAUUCUAUGCCGACGAAGAACCAUCUGAACAAACUCUUUGUGUCAUUCCCUCUUACCAAACUUCCAGUGAGACUGAGUCAGACUCAGAAUCUGAAGACAUUUUUCACAUAUCCCCCACAUCUUCAGAACCAAACCUUGACAUAUUUUCAAGUCAAACUCACUGUCCCCAUUUCCCUGUAAAAAUCCUCACCUCGAAGUUUGCCAAACCUAUCACUGUCAUUGCUCUCAUUGAUACCGGAGCAAGUUGUUCCAUCUUAGAUACUAAAGUUCCGCUUGAAGAAUAUUAGACUCCCUAUGUCCGAUAUUUCAACUCCGCUUCUAGAGAUACUUUCUCCACAAAUGUCAUGACUACUCCUGUAACUGUUCAGUUCUUUCCUCAGUGCUCCAUAAAUGCAAAAAUCUUUGGAUCAAACCACCCCAAUAAAGAUCUGAUAAUUGGGUGGGACAUCAUGACUCAAAUCUCUCAGCUUCGAAUCAUCCCUGGAAAAGGUCUUAGAUAUAAAGACCAAUUCUCCGAGUUUGUCAACAUUCAGAGACUCUUUUCCAUUCAAAUGAGUUUAUUAGAUCCAAUCAUGCAAAAGUUGCUAGAAUCUUGUUUGGAAUCCCAUUCAGAAUUCGCUCAAAAGUGUUCCCAUCAUUUAUGGGAAAAUCUAGAGUUCUUUGUUCGCAUUCCCUUAAAAAAGAAUGAAGACAUAAAUCCAACCAAAGCGAGUCAUAUGGGAAUGAAGCCAAAACAUUUGGCUUUAGCUCAAAGGGAAUGCUCAGAACUAUUGCAGCAAGGCCUUAUUGAAAUCUCCAAUUCUCAAUGGGCUUGCGAAGCCUUUUAUGUCAAUAAACGUGCUGAGCAAAAUAGGGGAAAAAUGAGACUGGUAAUCAACUAUCAACUUCUCAACCUUUUUCUCCAAGAUGAUAAAUUUCCUUUACCAUCCAGAGAUUCUCUCUUUACUGGUCUAACCAAGGCCCAUAUCUAUUCCAAAUUCAACCUCAAAGCCAGAUUUUGGCAAUUGGGCAUCCAUCCUGAAGACAGAUCCAAAAUAGGAUUCUAUAUUUGAACCAGCACUUCCAAUGGAAAGUUCUUCUUUUUGGCCUAAAGGUAGCACCAUCCCUUUUCCAAAAGGCCAUGUGUCGUAUUUUCCAACCAAUCUUGUCAAGUGCAGCCGUAUACAUCGACGAUAUUUUGCUCUAUAGUCCUGACGAGCAGUCCUAUUGUCAACUCCUUGAGCAGUUUGCAGAAAUCGUAAAAAAGCAUGGUAUUAUGCUUUCUCAAAGGAAAAUGAAUAUUGCCCAAACAGAAAUCGAAUUUCAUGGUAUGCACCUCAACAAAGGUAAAUACUAUCUAGGGCCACAUAUCGCUCAAGAAUUAUUGAAGUUUCCUGAAGAUAACUUCACGACAAAACAAGUUCAGCAAUUUCUUAGGAUAAUCAAUUAUCUCAGAGAUUUUGUCCCAAAUAUUGCAAAGCUCCUGAUUCCUUUGCAAUCUAUGCUGACGAAGAAUCCCCUACCUUGGCGAAAAACUCAGACCAAAGUAGUUGCUGAGCUUAAGGAGAUUAUGCAGAAUCUCCCAUCAUUACAAAUACCAUCAACAGGAAAAAGAAUUCUUCAAACUGACGCCAGUGAUGAAUACUGGGCAGCCAUCCCGUUCGAAGAAAUUGAUGGUAAGAGACACAUUUGUGCUCACAAAAGUGGAAAGUUUUCUCAAGCUGAAAUACAUUACCAUUCCACUUUCAAAGAAAUCCUAGCAGUAAAAAAUGAAAUCAAAAAAUUUGAGUUUCAUCUCAUCGGCCAUUACUUCCUGGUAGAAUUAGACAUGACAUCUUUUCCCCAGAUGACCAAGUUUAAACAGAAGUAGAUUCCAAAUUCCCAACUGCUUCGAUGGCCUGAAUGGUUCUCAAAGUACUCUUUUGAAACCAAACAUAUUCUUGGAAAAAAGAAUGUGCUUGCUGACUUUUUGUCAAGACCCAAAGCACCAGCUGAAAAAGAAUGUGAUAAAAAUCUUUUAGAUUUUCUAAACUGGUUCCAUCAUCCUACUCACUGGAAACAUCUCCUUGAAAAAGAACUGAGAACCAUGACACCAAACCUUGAAGUCCACACCAUCCUGUUUUUCCGAUGUCCAUGGUAUUUUUUCAGAAAUAAUGGCAAUAUUCUCGAUGCCCCACUGGAUAUAGGAACCACAUCCUAUAAACCACACUUGAACAGCCGAGAAGCUCAAAUUCACAAAUCUUAUCCAAGAUCUGUUAGAUUUUGUGAACACGAGUACCGAGAACUCUAGAGAAUCUUAUGCCAGGAAAACAAAACCAUUCCUGAAGAUGUUUGGAAUUAUGUACCCACUACAUGGGAUCAUUAUGACCUAGCACUAGAAGCUAAGGAAGCACUCGGGCAAUACAGACAAGCUGCAUCGUCCCAAAAGCAUGAAAUGACAAGCGAAGAUGACAUUGUCCAAUCUACUCAAGACCCCUAUGCACGCUUUGGAGGACCUCUGUCCUAGAAUCCCUACAAAUAGAGAUCUUCGUCCUUAUUCCAGAACAUGGACACAUCCUUUUAUCACAACCAUCCAAUUGGCCUUAGCCAAGCAUUCCUACCAACACUACAAGUGACAAUACAAACUGGGUAGAAGAAGAGGCAUCCCAUUGGGCUCAUGAACAAGCAUCCUCAUCAAGAAGGCUGAAUCAAAUCCUCUCACCUGAAGACCUUGAAGCCCUUGAGCAGAAAUACGAGGCACAUCUCCUAAAAGAUAGCUCAGAUGACUUAGUCUGUAGCUACAAUGCUCGUGACGGACGAGACCGCUGAGUCUGUACAAUUUCACUGUAGCAAAUCACUGUUCACUUUUACUGUAGCACUAGGCUAGGGAAAGUAAUGUUUACAGUACAAUUACUGUUCAUAGUGUGCGAAUAAUUCCCUCCCGGAAGUUUCCGGUGCCUCUGUUUGUUUCUGAACCCGUGAGCUUGGUCCCUGUGUACGUCCUUGUGACCUCUUAUUGUCUAUAUAAGGCAAGGAGGGUGUAUUGUUUUGGGCAGAGCCCCCUGAAGUAAAGUGUGUACUUUGUGAAAAACCUCUCCAUGGCUUUCUAAAUUCAUCUUCUUCUCUAGCCUGGUAGGAUCCUUCAAGAAAUGCAACUUGGGUAGGUUAGAAACGUUUCCAUCCUGGCAUCUCUUGGUGUCUCUAGGCUCUGAACUAAAGGGCUGAGUAGUUUUUUGCGAAAAGGCUGUCCUUGAAGGGCUUGAACGGGAGUUGUUCGCCCACUGUGGGAUGCAUAUCUGCAGAAAAUUUACUCUCAUUCCUUGGUUCUAAGUCUAGGUCCAUUCAUGACGACAUACCGAUAGGACAUAUCCACCGAUCCUCCAUACUCCUCCUCCUCACACUUCGAGACCUUGGUCUUCCACGACCACUUUCUAAGGACCUGAAAAUGGUUAUUCAAUAACCAGUGAGACAAUGUCUCAACAAGUCCCCCUACUAAACCCAUAUUAGGAGGGAAAUACGCUUCAGGGCGCUUUAGUCACAUAACCACACAAUUAGAACAGGGAACUUGCCUCGCCUCAGUUCCUUCUUGCAGGUCAGUUUAGUUCAUAUCUCAAAUGCAUGCAAUUUAUGCAUAUGACAAUUGAAACGCCUUACUUUUCUCAAUCAACUACAAGGGUUUCAGCCCGAUCCAUCACAAGAGUCCCAAUUAUAAAACUAAACCAUUAUGACCCGACCCAUACCAUGAGACAUAGUUUUGUCUCAUAAUCAGAUGCAUCAAACUUAGACAAUCAUGCAUUCCAAUUGUUAAUUAAGCCACUCAAGGCACUGUCGACAUCUAUGUUCGACAGUCUACUAGCAGAGCCAGGCAUUGUCUCUUCCCCAUUGAACACGGCUAUGUCUCAUUGACGGCAUUCCCGAAGGCGCAUAGGUCCAGAAUCUACUGCGACCCGAUACCCUAAUGCAUGGGUAACCCGAAAAGGGAUUUAGUAAUGUCCGGCAUAAUUGCACGAGACGGUUUCUCUUAAUCAACACACAAUCAAUCAAUUUCAGCCUUGGACACUGUACAUUGCAUUCAAAUGCCUCCAUUAAAAUGGUGAUCCUGGCCUACUUUCUUCGUAUUAAAAAUACACGGUAAAUUAGUAGUGUGUGGGUACACGGUUAGAUUAGACCCAGAAAAUUCAUGACCUUUUGAAAAUCCCACUAGUUUAUACAGUAUAUAAAACCAUUUUUGGUGUUUAAAAUCCAACACCCGAGAUUUUCUGAAUAAAAUUGAAAUUCACAAUUUUUGGAAUUAAAUAUUCAAAAUUCCAAUCAGCACUCAAUUUGCACAAAUUAACACUCAAUUGUAGAAAUUAACCACACCAUUGCAAUCAGCACGAAAUUCCGAUCACCAACUAUCCCGGACUAAUUUCCGGAAAAUAAUUAAUACUUAAAUAAUUUCUAAAAUUAAUUAAAUAAAUCAAUUUAUAUACCAAAAUGCCAACCUAGGCCAACAUCACUAAAUUAAAUACCAAUACAUACCCGGAAAAUUGCUGAACCCUUCUAGAUAAAUAACACAAUUUAUCUAGGCCUCACUUGAUCUAAUCUAACCACCUAACAUGCAUAAUUGCAUAAUUAAAUCACUAAAUUAAUCUAACUAACCACCUAAUUCCUAAUUAAAUAAAUUUAAACACCCCUUAGACGUCAUUAGCCUACUAAGAAGAGUUUAGUAAAUAAACUUACCGGUUAAUUGCAGAAACCGGUUCACCGCGACGACAACGCGACGACGGCCGAAAUCCGAAUUUUUGGCGAUGUCGACGAACACUCGGACCGGGCCCAAAGGCCUUGCAAGCCCACAGCAAAUUGUUGGGCUUGGUCUGGGCUUGGGCUGACUUGCUUUGCGGGCUUGGGUUUCAAAUGGGCCUGUUCGCCCACUGUGGGAUGCAUAUCUGCAGAAAAUUUACUCUCCUUCCCUGGUUCUAAGUCUAGGUCCAUUCAUGACGACAUACCGAUAGGACAAGAAAAUACUUUGGGCUUGUAGGACUGAAAUCAUGUGGCUUUGCUGGUCUUCGAGCUGGGGGAAAAGGCGCAGCCAUGGAUCUGCUUCGGUGGAGGGUUUUCGCUGCUGGUUGUUCAACUGAAGAAGACGCCAGGUGGGGCAGGCGUGCUGGCAGAAGAACGGAUGAAGAUGCUAGACGCUCGGUGGAACAAAGCAAGUGAUGGUGGGCUCACUUGUUGCUGGAUCGUGGGGGAAUGGUCAACAAAGGAGCUCUACUUGCAAGGAUGUUGACUGAAGCUUCAGUGGAUUUGGAAAACAAAAGGCCGAGGGGUGUUGGACGAUGGUGAAUGAUGAUGGUGAUGGGGGGCAGAGACGUGGGCUUCGCUGGGGACGUCGCAAAUCAAGGAAAGAAGACGUGGGGUCUUCGGCGGCAGCUUGAGGAACAAACGGGUAGAAGGGAGCGAAGAAAUCGUGGUUGCUUCGAUCGGGGUUGGACGCGUGAAAAAGGAAAGAAGAAGCAAGUGAGGAAUCGGUGGAAUAGCCGAGUGAAUAAAUAAAUAAAAAAUGAAAGAGAAACAUAUGUGCAAGGAGGAGGUCGGCGAAGAGUCGUGCAAGGAAAGUCAAGGUGGAGGGGCCCAAGGUCAAACAUUUAUCCCUUCCAUUGAUUACAUGUCUCCCCUAUUACUUUCCACCCAAUUUUCCAUCAAAAUAGUCCAAAUUGAAGUAAAAAAUUGAAGUCUCUUGCAAAGCUCCGAAUUUCCAUUUUUGGUCUUCAAUUUCCUCACUCAAUUCCCCAAAUUAAGGUCUAAUUUUGCCAAGGAAAAAGCCCGAACAAUUUUCUGUAAGUCUCUGACACUCAAAGGCUUGACUUGGAAGUCUCAAUUUUAGGGGUGAUCGAUUCUCGGUUCGGUCCGGUUCCAAGGUGGAACCGAGAACCGGACCGGGAGAAUCGGUUCCCAAUUUUGGGAACGGUGGACCGAACCAUUGGUCUUAGGACCGAGAACCGGACCGGACCAUCGGUUCCGGUCCUGUCCAGUCCGGUCCAAAAGAAUUGGCACUUUAUUUUUUCACUAAAGAAUGACAAUUCACUAAAGAAUAAUCAUGUUCCGGACCGAUCAAUCAAAUUCGGUUUCCGAGCAAUCUAAUAAAAUUACUCACACAUGUUUCCACGUGCAAAAUAUUCAAACUUUACUUGUGUGAAUAUCAAUCACAGUUUAUGUGUUUCAUGCUUAAUUUUAAGCAUAAAACCCAUGAACAACGUCAUUAAAGGUUGUGCUUGGCUUAGGUUUUAUAGACAAUCUCUCUUCUAUACUUUGAAUGUUUAGUCGAUAUGAGACUUUUUAAGGCUUGAAGUGCCUUGUCGUUUGCAAGUGAGGGGAGCAAGAGAGAGAGAGUGUGAGCAUGAGGAGAGUUUUUUCUAUAAAUAAAUAGUAACAACAAGAGUUUUGGUGGUCUCUUGGCCACAUAAGAGGUUGUUACCUAAAUUGCAAUUCCGAUUGCAAUAAGUUUCAUAUAUAAUAUUAAUAUAUUAUAUGAAUAUAAAUUAUAUAUAAAAAAUUUUGGUCCGGUCCGGUCGGUUUGGUCGGUCCGGUUCCCACCUUGGAACCGGGAAUCGGACCAACCGGCCGCCGAUUCCAAGAUUAGGAACCGGGAACCGGACCGCCGACCGUGGAAACUACCCAAAACCGGCCGGUCCGGUCUGGUUCGAUCAGGUUCCGGUUCGGGCGGUUUUCGUUGCACACCCCUACUCAAUUUCCUUUAAUUUGGUCAAUCCGAAUUUCCGUUAAUUUUCUAUGGCGUCCAAAUCAAUUUUCCGUAAAAAUAUUGGGAUCUCCGAAAAUUCCUUGAAGAAUGAGUCGACGUUUCUAAAAUAGAUCGUGACAUGACAGAACUUUCGAUUUCUGAAAUCGGGUUCCAGUUCGCGAUUAAUUUCAAUUCGAUGCGCUUUUAGCGUGACCUAGUCUACCAGGUAACUUUUAGAAAUUUUUGGUGCAAUUGAUUCGUGAUCGAUUUAUCUCAAGUCACAUUGUACAUCUUCGACACAUUGGCGACCUUAAGUUGUCGUGAAAAUCUCGAUGUUUCAUUUACGGGCACUGGGUACCAAAACAAUAGAAAAAUCGGUUUAGUGCCGAUCGACGAGUAUUUUGCAAUCAGGUGGAAUCACCUAGGCUCUAAUCACAUAUCUCAAUCGAAUCAACCUAUCUCCGGUCUCUAAUCGAUACUGACAGUGCCGUAAUGACCCUCGCAGAUCAACAUGGUCGAGCAGUCGAUUCCUGGUCGAAUUCUCAAGUCUAUUGCGUCAAAAUCCCUUAAUGGUUUCACCCGAUAGGCUAGUUAUCUCGUGAGGGGCCCUCUCAGAGAAUAAGGCCAUAAGCGCAUUGAUAAAAAGCCCAUUUCAUCUCAUCGAAAUCAGACUCGAAAAUUAGGAUGUCACACGCACGCUUUUAAGAUAACAACAGGAGCAUAGCCAAUGAGACUAAAGAGGUCUCUCCUACCAAGAUGGCCGGCGAAGUGUUUUUUUAUUUUAUUUUUUGGGUUAAAUUGCAAUUUGAUUUUAGUCAUCGUACUGAUAGCUACCUCUAUCUUCAUGUUAAGUUUGUAUUGGUAGGCAUCAAGCUCCUUUUGACAGUUUUAAAAUUGCACGAGAGGUUACCGCUUUAGCCUUAAUAUCUAAUAUGCUAUCAUUCUCUUAUUAAAGUUCACAUGACCCUUCACAAGGUGUUGUGUAAACUUGAUUUCCAUAUGAGAACCAGCACGCUCCAAGUUAUAAUGGUUCGCAUUUGUUCUCAUAUGACAAUAUCGUCUUGGUCUGAUUUACUAGUAGAGAUUCUAUGCGGAAAAUAUUACAUUGGAUAGACUUUGCAUGACGGCUAAAUGAAAUGCCAGAAAGAUAUUACUGCACAAAGCAUGAUCAGGUUCUGUAAAGGCUUGGUUUUAUAAGUACAUAUACAGCUACAUAAAAACGAUGUCAUCUCAAACUCUCAAUAUAGAGCAACAGACCAUUAGAGCUGAAAAAAUUGUCAAUGUAUGAGAAAGGGUGACUGGGUCAUAAGCAACAGAAGGCCAUUCAAUAGCUAAUGGCCUGGCCAAAAGGGGCCACAAUGCAUAUGACUCAGCAGUGCAAGGACAAGUUCGCAGCACUCCCAACUCUAGGCAUACCGGACUCCUUAGUCUCUGCACCACUUCAAAUGUAGUGCUUUGUACUCAGCCCAAGCUAUUCACCCUAAGAACUAGCUUCACCUCAUUCGGUGCAUGCUCGUAACUCCUCAAACAUUUAGAGCUGGUAAAGAAGCAUCCUGAGUUGGAAAAGAAGGCAACGUUAACAGGUGAACGAUUUGGCACUCAAAAAUCAUUGGAAGAGCAACAUUGAACGUGAAAAGGCACAUUUCAAUACAAGGAUACAGGUAAAGAACACCAUUUUAACCUUAGGUUAUAAAUUUAUGUUCGAAACCAAUUCUUCCAAAAUGCUGUUACCUAACAACAUAACAUUCUCCUCUGAACUCUGCUUAAUAUCAGCAGAGCUCAUCCAUCCUUACUUUUCAGAUUGCUAUGCAUGGACCAAAUUCCAGUGGAGCCGCAUCAACAAACUGAAAAAGUAAUUACCUUUAGGAAAUGGUGCGAAAGACUUCCCAAAGCCCAUCUUCACGACUUCUGCAUCAUCUAAGCGAACGAGACUGCCUCCAGAAUCAAUUCCCCAGAAGGAAGGAAAACUACCAUAACAUCCUGAAUGAUUCAGAGGACAGAAAGGAUUAGAUAUAGAUCACAGGUGGAGGGAGAGAUUGAGAGUGAUAUCCCAGAACAAAACCAAUGAACAUUAUUGUUACUCACACAGGCCAGAAAAGGGGUUUUAGAAGAGCUAUCGAAGAGCACAAAACCAAACUUCCUGCUGAUGUCUCUCAUGACUUGAUCAGCAGGGUAGGCCUCUGAUCCCUCAGAGUUCAAUAAGCUUCUACGAUGAUAAUGACCUCAUUAGUAGUUUUAUUCCAUCCAUAUUACUGCUUAAGAAGAGCAACAUUGCCUCUGUCCUUGGAACAAGCAACCGCAAACAAUCUGUCACAGAGGGUAAGGCAUGUCAAAUCUCAAUGUGGGACGAGCUGAUUGAGAAGAGAAGAUAGUAUGGCAAUUUCCGUCAAUUAACAAUCCAAUAAAUUUCAUUUUCUGGCUUUCAAAAUGAACCAGAGACUCGAGUUCCACUAUCUCCUUUAGGCUGACAAAUGGAACCUUUCAUGGUAUCACCGUAAAGUCCAACAAAAGUCAGUUUGAUCUAACCGUUGCCUCUCUAAACAAUGAAAUCACGAUUUUUUUUUUCUUUUUUGGUGGUUAAAGCUACCUUUAUCAAGAGAUGGAGUGGGAAUUUGAAUAGAAGAAAGAUAAACUUUAUUCUUUGACCAGGUAAUGGGUUUUUAAAUGGGUUUCGGCCAACAUAAUUCAUUCAAAAUUUAGCUGUUUCAUUCACAUAUUCAAACCUCUUUUUUAAAUUUAUCCUUCCAUUUAUACAAUAACUGUUAUGGGAAGAACAAGAGCUUCUUAUUUUGAAUAUUGACCUGUAAAUGUUAUAAGGAUAUUAUCUAACCAAUUCACAUAAGAAAUUCACAUUGUAUUUUGUGGCCCCUACAAUAUAGUCACUAAAAGCAAUUCUGUACUUAGAGUCAAAAGUACAACUUUUUAACCUAUUGGCAAGUGAUACUGCAUAUUCAAUGUUAAAAACUUAAGACUUGUCCUUCCAUGAGCCCCAAUCAAAAUGACAGACGAGGCCCCCUGUUACUGUGAGUACAUCAUGUAUAUCAGCAGCAAUCCUCUCUUCAUCCUUUUUGGCUUUCUCUGUGUAACAAAGCCUCAUUUUAUGUUUUAUAAGGUAAUGUGAUGUGAUCUCAUUGAACCACUCUUGGCUGAUGACAAGAACUAAACUCACCUGAUUCGAUGAGGACUGAAGUAUCUUAUUAUGAUCCUGGAAAUUCCCAUAGAAAGGCGCCACCUUGCCUUGAGAAACCACCCAAAGCUUGUCCAUGCUUCCAGAUAUUGGAUGCUCAUCGUGACUAACUUGCAAAUCAAGGUGAAAAGAUGGCUAUUAGCUGUAAAGACAAUCCAUCAUUGGUCAAAUUGAAGUAUUCUAGCAAAAAAAUCAAUCUCACCAUUAGACAUCUUCCUUGGAACAAGACCAGCCCUCCAAUGAGCGCCUCAACCGCAUCCAAAUCCUGUAGUUUGGGAUAGUAAAAAACACAGAAUCAUACUCAUCAAUCCUUAGACAAGAAACUAGCAAUUUACAAAGAUAGAACUUUAGUAGUCAUAGGUCAUUAAAGUAGAACUUAAAGUUGCUUUGGUGCAAGUGGAUCCACUCCAUGUUCCUUAAAAGGAAGAACUUUUAGGUGGUUAAGAAGCCGAUCUAUUGCUCUUGGGCCUGGAAGAAAAUUUUACAACUCAAGAGCAGAAGUCUGGCUCAGUUUCUGGUGGAGAAUUGGGGAUGGCCUUUCUAUGUCACUUUGGUUUGAUAACUGGCAUCCUAGGGGGCCGCUGAUUGGGUUUUCUCAGAUGUGUUUAUCUAUAACUGUGGCCUUUCUAGAGAGGCUUCGGUUGCAGACCUCUAUGCAGAGGAUGGGCAGGCUUUAAGGUCGGUGUUGGAGUCGUGGAAGAUUCCCCUCCCCUCCCUAUCUCUUAACCAAGAUUGCUUUUGCUGGAAGGAUAAUCCAGUGGGGUUCACCAUGGCCAUGGCGUGGGGGGCCUUUAGGAGGAAGAUGCCCCGAGUUUUAUGGCAUCGUUUCAUUUGGAACAAUGCCAUUAGACCCAGGUACCAAUUUCACCUUUGGCUUGUCGCCAAGCAUAGGCUUCCCACCCAAGCUUUCGUCCUCUCUUAUGGCAGGAUUGAUACUACUUUUUGCCCCUUCUGUGAGGAGGUGCCUAUUGACCAUCUAUUUUUUUAGUGUCGGGUCACGGCUGGUUUGGCUUUCUUUUGGGCAACCAGAUGUAACCUUCUGUGGCGAAACUGGUCUUGGGAUGAAAAUCUCCUCUGGGCCACAACCUUUCUUGUGGGCAACGACUUCUUCAAAAGCAUGGUGUGGUUUCCUUUUGGCGCUCUUUGUCAUAUCAUUUGGAGGAAUAGAAACAAUAUUCUCUUUAGAGACGAGCUGCUGUCUAUUCCGGCCAUGAAGAAUCAUCUCCUCAAAGUGGUCAAAGAUAAGGCACUCUCUUUCAGGGAUGUGGAAGAUUCCUUCAGUAAUAGGAGACUACAGCGCAGCUGGGACCUGGAUCAGAGUAUUUUUGCUCCACGCAUUUCCCUUUCGAGUGACUAGCCGUCUUUAGACCGACUGAUGUUGGUCUUCGUGUUGUUGUGCUUGUCUAGCGGUUGUUCAUGCUGUUUGGGUCUCUUUCUUUUCUUUUCUUGCUCUUGCCGCUUGGCCUCUUUCUCGGCUUCCUUUCACUCAUAAUGAGGCUGUUCAUCUUGAGUGCAAGUUUCUGAAGCUAGUUCGUUUUGUACUUUUUGGUCUUCCCCAUUUAUAUAUUGCUUAUUUUACCAAAAAAAAAAAAAAAACAGAAACUUCCACAUUAAUUACGUGCAAAACCCAAUGUUGCCUAUAGGAUAUUGGAACUACUUGAUAUUACAGAUUACUGCAAUACAAAAAACACUGAUCAUGCUAGCAUACAUGUUCGAUUCCCAAUAUUUUGCCAGUUGGAACAAUUAGAUUGGUUCUGUUCCAUUAUAAGUUAGAUAUAAGAUGGCAGAGGCUCCCUGUUGUGAUCACUAAUUGGUUCCAUUGUAUUUUCAAUGCAAAAACCAGAUUCCAAUAAGUUCAAAUAGUGCAAGAACAAUAUAACAAGCUAACUGAAAAAGUCAUCGAAGUCACAAAAUGGAGAAAAAUGAGUAAAACUUACCAGAUGAUCAGAUGGCUCGCAAGCAAAACUAUGUGAGGUUUCUCAAAAGCUAUUUGGGUAAAUGCAACUUUCUGACCACCUAUUUAUAUGGGCAAAGAACCAUGUUAUAUGUGCAAUAACAUUCAAAAAGCCUAAGAGAAAGUACACAGUGAACCGCAAUUUAGAUUACAAAUUAACUCACCUCUAAAAGAGCUUCACGAUCUCACACAAAAAUUGCUUCAAUAAAAAAUUUACAUAUGCAACAGUAACAGAGAGGGAGGAGAUGUAUCAGACAAGGUUUGCAUUCGUCGAACUGCAAGAUUUCUAGUUACACCAAACAAACACAAGUAAGCUCGAAACUUUUGUUCUGGAACUCCCCCCACGAAAAAUGCCACAUAAGAAGGUAUUUUCAGAUAAAAUAACAUAAUGUAAGACAAAAUAAUAUUCCACAUUAGAGUAAACGCACAUGACUGAUACUUUAAAGAACUGAAUAGUUUUGCCCUAGAGGUCACUGCUGACAACACAAUCACAGAAGCAAGUAGCAUAUCAUUUCAAUCUCAACCAAACAAGCAUAAGUAGUUUGGCUAAAAAUUUCUUGCAAGCUUUUAGUAAUAGUUCCUAACCCACCAGAGAUCAAGACCCAAGCGGAAGGUGAUUUAUGGAAUAUCAAUGCUGUCAUGAAUUGGUGUGGCAUUGAAAGGUUGGAGCCAUGAGGCGCCCCAGAAUUUUAUCCUAGAUUGACUAGUUAAUACCACAAAGGAUCAUCAUCAACAAAAAGAAGGUUCUCAAUGAUAAAGGAAACCAUUGAAAAAAAAAAGGAAGUGCAUCCCUUUUCUUCACAAUCAUAUCACAGCAUCCACAUAACUAAUCAUGUUUUUAGAUUUUGGAAAAGAUUAUUCUUAUUUAGAUCGUAUUCACUAGAAGAAAAUUUAGAACAUCUCAAUGCACCAUAUAAAAUUAAACGCUUCUUUUUUCUAUUAUUAAAUUGCAAAAGGUGACACUUAACAUCGACAGCAUUAGCCCCACCUCAACAGCAUUCGCAAGUGAUCCUUCCAAGAGAUUUUGCCAAUACAGGUCACAGUGGUAUCUGCAAAGCAACCGCAGUGAACAAGCUUAAGGGCAGAAGAAAAAAGAAGUUGGGAAGAGAAAAUACAACAAACGCUAAAAAGCAUAGUGCAUUUUGAUUCACAAUUUGUUUGGCAGGUCACGCAAGUGCGAAAAUAAGCACAGUUUUUGGGCAUCAAGAAGAGUUCAAGAUAUGUCAUCAAUAUAGCAAGAUGCAGCUUUGUAAACAGUUCAUUCUACAUAUGUCAAUCUUUCACCUUCGGUGGCUGGUUUUCGAAAAUUUAUGUGAAAAGUCUGAAUUAGGAAAAUCAGUUCGUAUCAAGCAUCAAAUUUAGGAACUGGCUUCACCUCCUUUGGUGGGUGCUCAUAACUCCUCAAACCUCUAGAGCUGGUGAAGCAACAUCCUGAGUUGGAAGAGGAGGCAAUGUUAAAAAGGUGAACAAUUUGGCACUCAAAAACCAUUGGAAGAGCAACAUUGUAAGUGAAAAUGCACAAAUCAAACAUGCAUACUGGUGAAGAGCACCAUUUUAAACAUAAAUUAUAAAUUUAGGUUUGGAACCAAUUUUUCCAAUAUGAUGUUACCCAACAAAAUAACAUUCUCCUCUGAAUUCUGCUUAAUAUCAGCAGAGCUCAUCCAUCCUUACUUUUCAUAUUGUAAUGCAUGGGCUGAACCCCAGUGGAGCCGCAUCAACAAACCAAAAAAAUAAUUACCUUUAGGGAAUGGUGCGAAAGAUUUCCCAAAGCCCAUCUUCAUGACUUCUGCAUUAUCCAAGAGAACAAGACUGCCUCUAGAAUCAAGUCCCCAGAAGAAAGGAACACUUCCAUCAACAUCCUGCAUGAUUCAGAGAACAGAAAGGAUUAGAUAUAGAUCACAGGUGACGGGAGAGAUUGAGAGUUAUAUCCUAGAACCAAACCAAUGAACAUUAUUAUUACUCAAAGGCCAGAAAAGCUUUUAGAACAGCUGUCGAAGAGCACAAAACCAAGCUUCCUGCUGAUGUCUCUCACAACUUGAUUAGCAGGGUAAGGCCUCCGAUCCCCAGAGUCCUAUAAGCUUCUAUGAUGAUGACGACCACAUUAGCAGUUUUGUUCCAUCCAUAUUGCUGCUUAAGAAGAGCAACAUUGUCUAUGUGUCCAUGGAACAAGCAGAAGAUAUUAUUGACAACCACAAACAAUCUGCCACAGAGGGUAAGGCAUGUCAAAUCUUGAUGUGGGAUGAGCUGAUAAAGAAGAGAAGAUAGUAACACUGAUAAAGAAGAGAAGAUAGUAACACAAUUUCCAUCAAUUAACAAUCCAAUAAAUUUCAUUUUCUGGCUUUCAAAUGAACUAGAGACUUGAGUUCCACUAUCUCUUUGAGGCUGAUAUAUGGAACCUUUCAAAAUACCACAAUAAAGUGCACCAAAAAUCAGUUUGAUCUAACCGUUGCCUCUCCAAACAAUGAAAUUAUGAUUAUUUUUUUUUUUUUGGGGUUAAAGCUACCAUUAUCAAGAGAUGGAGUGGGUAUUUGAAUAAAAGAAAGAUAAACUUUAUUCUUUGACCAGAUAAUCAGUUUUUAAGUGGGUUUCGGCCUGCAUGGUUCGUUCAAAAUUUAGCUGUUUCAUUUGCAUAUUGAAAGCCCCGUUUUCAAUUUAUCCUUCCAUCUAUACGAUAACUGUUAUUAGAAGAAAGAAAGCUUCGUAUUUUGAAUAUUGACCUGAACAUGUUAAAAGGAUAUUAUCCAACCAAUUCACAUAUAGGAUUUCAUAUAGUAUUUUUGGCUAGGCAUAGCCUACAAUAUAGUUACUAAAAGCAAUUCUGUACAUAGAGUCAAAAGUACAAACUUUUUAAGAUAUUGGCAAGUGAUACUGCAUAUUCAAUGUUAGAAACUUAAGACUCGUCCUUCCAUGAGCCCUAAUCAAAUGACAAACAAGGGCUGCUGUUACCGUGAGUACAUCCUUUAUAUCAGCAGCAAUCCUCUCUUCAUCCUUUUUUGCUCUCUCCGUAACAAAGCCUCAUUUUAUGUUUUGUAAGGUAAUGUGAUGUGAUCCCAUUGAACCACUCUUGGCUGACAACGAACUAAACUUGCCUUAUUCAACGAGGACUGAAGUAUCUUCUUAUGAUCCUAGAAAUUCCCAUGGAAAGGUGCCAGCUUGCCUUGAGAAACCACCCAAAGCUUGUCCAUGCUUCCAGAUAUUGGAUGCUCAUUGUGACUAACCUGCAAAUCAAGGUGAAAAGAUGGCUAUUAGCUGUAAAGACGAUCCAUCAUUGGUCAAAUUGAAGUAUUUUGACAAGAAAAUCAAUCUCACCAUCAGACAUCUUCCUUGGAACAAGACCAGACCUUGAAUGAGCGCCUCAACUGCAUCCAUAUCCUGCAGUUUGGGAUAGUAAAAAUCACAGAAUCAUACUCAUCAAUCCUUAGAAAAGAAACUAGCAAUUUGCAAAGAUAAAACUUUAGUAGUCAUGGGUCAUUAAAGCAGAACUUAAAGUCCACAUUUAUAAACAAAGAAAUUUCCACAUUAAUUAUGCGCAAAACCCAAUGCUGCUUAUAGGAUAUUGAAAAUACUUGGUAUUAUAGAUUACCGCAAGACAAAAACACUGAUCAUGCUAGCAUACAUGUUCGAUUCCCAAUAUUUUGCCAGUUGGAACAAUUAGAUUGGUUCUGUUCCAUUAUAAGUUAGAUGUAAGAUGGCAGAGGCUCCCUGUUGUGAUCACUAAUUGGUUCCAUUGUAUUUUCAAUGUAAAGACCAGAUUCCUUUAAGUUCAAUUACUGCAAGAACAAUAUAACAAGCUAACUGAAAAAGUCAUCGAAGUCACAAAAUGGAGAAAAAUGAGCAAAACUUACUAGAUGAUAGGAUGGCUCGCAAGCAAAACUAUGUAUGGUUUCUCAAAAUUUAUCUUGGCAAAUGCAACACUGCUUUUCUGACCACCUAUUUAUAUAGGCAAAGCACCAUGUUACAUGUGCAAUAACAUCCAAAAAGCCUCAGAGAAAGUACGCAGUGAGCCGCUAUUUAGAUCACAAAUUAACUAACCUCUAACAAAGCUUCACAAUCUCACAUGAAAAUUGCUUCAACCAAAAAUUUACAUAUGCAACAGUAGCGUAGAGGGAGGAGAUGUAUCAGACAAGGUUUGCAUUCAUCAAAGUGCAAGAUUUCCAGUUACACCAAACAAACACAAGUGAGCUUGAAACUUUUGUUCCAGAACUCCCUAUAGGAAGAAUGCCACAUAAGAAGGUAUUUUCAAAUAAAAUAACAUUGUGAAUAUUGACAGUGCACCUAAUUCUUUCCUCUUGCAAUCAAAAGGCAAUCACAUUGAAGUACUUUCUUCUCUCGCAAACUUCACACAAUCGCAAAUUGCCCCCGCCAACGGCUUUGGCGAAAAUAUCCAUCAGAUAUCACCAUGGCAAAGCAAGACUACCAAACACAACAAUCAUCAGUAUGGCCAAUUGAAGUCACAGAACAAGAGAAAUCUAAGAUGAGAGUGGAUACAAGAGAAACCGAUUCCACACGAGGUCCACAACAUAAGACUUCACAUCAGUAGCGAUUGAUUUAGUCAUCUAGUCAUCAAGAGAAAUGACAACAAUGACUACCGC